rnacentral:lncRNA from 1 species
UCGAGAUUUAUUGUGCAUUGAUAUGAAUUCUCAGAAAAAUUUCUCGAUCGAUGCUUUGCCACGAAAAGAAGCAUUGCAGUUAUUUGAGGAGAUAGUGGGUGAUUCAACUAAAAUAUCUGCUUUUCAAAGUAUAGCAAAUGAGAUCGUUGAAAGAUGCGGAGGUUUGCCUGUUGCACUGAGUACAGUUGCAAAUGCUCUGAAAACUAAGGAGCGUGACUUUUGGAAAGAUGCAUUGAAUCAGCUAAGAAGAUCGGAUGCAAGAGAAAUUCAUGGCAUGCAAGCAAAUGUGUACACCUCCAUAAAAUUGAGUUAUGACUUCUUGGAAAGUGAGGAGGCAAAAUCUCUGUUCCGUCUUUGUGGUCUAUACAGUGAAGGUAAUGUCAUACAAGUUUCUGACUUAUUGAGAUAUGGUGUGGGUUGGGAUUUGUUUGAAAAUGUUUACACAUUGGAAGAAGCAAGGAGUAGGGUGCAUCGGUUGAUCGACAAUCUCAAAUCUUCAUGCUUAUUGUUGGACGGAGAUGCUGAAGAUGAAGUUAAAAUGCAUGACGUCAUUCAUGUUGUUGCCGUAUCAAUUGCCGCAGAGAAGCGCAUGUUUAAUAUUCCAAAUGUUGCCGACUUGGAGAAAAAGAUGGAAGAGACAAUACGGAAAGAUCCAAUUGCCAUUUCUUUACCUUAUAGAGGUGAUCAAGUGCUUCCCCAAAGAAUGCGAUGUCCCCGUCUUGGGCUAUUUUUGUUGCAUAGGAAGGGUCUUUGCUCUAUGCAAGUUUCAGACCACAUUUUUGAAGGGACGGAAGGACUCAAAGUUUUGGAUCUUGCCAGAAUUCACUUCUCUUCAUUACCUUCAUCACUUGGGUGCCUCAUUAACCUUCAAACAUUGUGUUUAGACUAUUGCCGACUAAAAGAUAUAGCAAUAGUUGGACAGCUAAAGAAAUUAGAGAUUCUCAGCCUUGUAUAUUCCGAUAUCAAGCAGUUACCACUCGAAAUUGGACGAUUGACGCGGUUACAGUUGCUAGAUUUGAGCAAUUGUCGGAGCCUUGAGUUGAUACCACCAAAUGUCAUAUCAAAAUUAUCUCGAUUAGAAGAACUGUUUAUGCAUAACAGCUUUUCACAGUGGGAUAAGGUUGAAGGAGGAAGUAAUGCCAGUCUUGUCGAGUUGAAAGCGUUGACAAAGCUAACUACUUUGGAGAUAGAAGUUCCGGAUGCCGAAAUUCUGCCGCCGGAUUUUGUCUCCGUGGAAUUGGAAAGAUAUAAGAUAUUUAUAGGAAAAAUGUCUGUCCGACGGCUCGUCGAAUCUAAAACAUCAACAUUGAUGGUGCUCAAGGGGCCAGAAAGAGUUAGCCUUCUUUUGGGGAAUGAUGGGACGAAAAUGUUGCUGAAGAGAACUGAAGAUCUCCGUCUAUACUCACAGAAGGGUGUUCAGAAUAUUGUUCAUGAAUUAGACAAUGGGGAAGGUUUUCCACGAUUGCAGCAUCUUCUAGUAACAGACUGUUCUGAGAUUUUACAUAUUGUCGGUUCAGUUGGACGGGUUCGUUGCAAAGUCUUUCCCUUGCUGGAGUCAUUGGAUCUUAUUGAUUUAACUAAUUUGGAGACGAUAUGCUGCAGCCAACUCAGAGAAGAUCAAUCUUUCAGCAACUUAAGGAUUAUAAACGUAGAUUCCUGUCCAAAAUUGAAGUAUCUCUUCUCAUUCUCUAUGGCUAAAAACCUAUUGGGGCUUCAAAAAGUAAAAGUGAGAAAUUGCGAUGAAUUGGAAAUGAUGAUUGGUAAGUGUUUAAAUUAAUUAUUGGUAGGAUUAUUGACAUUGACUCAUUCUUUUUUUCUUUUUCUUUUUUUUUUGGGUGAAAAAACAACGGAUGUUUAUUAUAUAUUGUUUUUGUUCAUUUAUAGGGCCCGACAUGGAGAAACCAACAACUACUGAGGGACUCACAGAAAUCAUUGCAGAGGAUGAUCCUAUUCACAAGGUGAUAAUUUUCUGUUUAAUAAUUAAUUAAUUAAUAUUUUAUCGCGAUUGAUCUUCAAUCAUCAAAAGAAUAUUAUAUUAGAAGUUGUAGUUGAAGGAACAAAAAUGUACGGUUUUGCUGUGCAGGUUACUUUUCUACGCUUAGAGGAACUGAAACUUGACGGUUUAAAAAACAUCAAAAAAUUAUGGCCCGAUCAAUUUCAGGGAAUGUAUUGUUGUCAAAAUUUAACAAAAGUGACCGUGGAAAGGUGUUAUCGUCUGAAGUAUAUGUUUUCAUAUUCUAUGGUUAAUAGUCUUUUGCAACUCCAACAUCUUGAGAUUAUUAAUUGUUGGUCAAUGGAAGGGGUAGUCAACAACACCGCGGGGGGGUUAGGAGGAAGAGAUGAAUUAAAGGUUUUUCCUAAACUACACUCCCUGCGGCUCCAUUGCCUUCCAAAACUAUGUAGCUUCACCUCACCAGAAGACGUCAUUCACACUGAAAUGCAACCUCAAUCUUUCUUUAAUGAAAAGGUUUUUUUUUUUUUUUUUAAAUUAAUUUUAUUUUCAAUAGUUAAUUUCUUCUUUCGUUGAGUCUUCAAAUUUAAUUAAUAUCCAUCUCUAAUUGCAUUGAAUUUUUAACUUCAGGUACGACUCCCAAGUCUGGAGGUAUUACAUAUUAGUGAGGCGGAUAAGUUGAGAAAAAUAUGGCACCACCAGCUUGCUUCGAAGUCUUUUAGCAAAUUGAAAAAAUUGGAGAUAUCUUGGUGUAAUAAUCUAUUGAAUAUUUUUUCUCCAUUGGUAAGAUUGCUAUAUUCAUUUUGAAUUUUUAUUUCAAAUAACAUUCAACAAUUAUUUUAAUCAUUUUUGUGUUUACAAAUAAUUUUCAUUCACAAAUUAUUUAUUGCAAGUAUUGUACUUCAAACUUCUGGAGGGAAAAAAAGUAGUGUACUUCAAAUCACCAUUCUGAACUCUGCAUUUUCAAUCUAAUUUAUAGGUUCACCUGCAUUAAAGUCAACAAUAUAAUUGUUUUAAACACGAUUUAACAGCAUAAUAUAAUUCAAUUUAAUUUUUUUUUCUUAAAUCGUAAUAAAUAAGAUUUUCAGAAAUUAAAAGAUACUUAGUUACUCAGCUUUUAAGUUCACAAAUUCAUAUAUAUUUCUCUUGUCCUUGGGUCUUUAGAUUUCGAUUUUAAAAAAAAUAAAGAAAAGUGUUCAAAUGUAGUUAGUAUCUCUAGUUUAGUUAUGAAUUGAUUACGCCAUUGAUUAAGCACAAAUUCAUGAUGGUCAUUUUGAAUCGACCGUUGAUUAAAAAAAUUCCUCAAAUAUUCACUCUAUAACAAUCCCAUGUUGAUGGCGUUGGGAAGUGUUUUCCAGAAAUGUUUUCCAUUUUUAAAAGCAUGAAUAUCGGGAAAAAAAAAAAAAAAGAGAAAUACAACGUUUUAGUUUAGUUAUUUUAAAAAUAGGCAUGUUUGAAAAUUAAAAAUUUUUAAAAACUAGCAUCAAGAUGAAAAAUGAAUUUAUAAUAUUUAAAAAUUACCUGAAAUUCUUUCUCCGUUCCUAAUACUAAAUAGUGUAAAUGCAUUUUCAUUAUCUUUGUUUUUCUGGACUUCUAUUUAUUUAUUUAUUUUUGUUUUAAUUUUUUCCUUUUUUUCUUUAACAAAAAAUAUCUAGUAGACAUUCAUGAUUUGUUAUUUUUCAUAAAACAAUUGUAUGAUUUUGACAUACUUUGAAUCUAGUUGAAUGCUACUCUUUAUUUUAAGGUUGGAAUUCCUAGUAGCCUGGUGAAUCUUGAUGUAUCAUACUGUGAAAAAAUAGAAGAAAUCAUAGGACAUGUUGGAGAAGAAGCGAAGGAGAAUCGUAUUGCUUUCAACGAAUUAAAACUUUUGGUACUUGAUCAUUUACCAAGGCUUACCAGCUUUUGUUUGGAGGAUUACACUCUUGAAUUCCCAUCAUUGGAACGAGUUUCUAUGACAUGUUACCCGAACAUGAAGACUUUUUCUCAGGGAAUCGUAUCCACACCAAAGCUGCACGAAGUGCAGGUGAGUAAAAAGGAAGUAUUAAGUUUUAUAUGAAACUGUGAUGUUGUUUGGUUACUAAGAAAAUAGGAAGAAAGAAAACUUCUGUAAGCUGAGAAUUCUGUUAUUAUUGAUCUAAUGAAUCUGGAAAUUACAAGCCUUUUUAUAUGUGCAUAGAAGAUUCUACACACAUUGCACACACGCACAGUUUACUACUAACAACCUCUAUAACAACCUUUAGCUGACUCAGCUGCCAUGUCAGCAUACUCAUUAACUAACUAAUUCUAUUCUUAACAGGAAGAGGGUGAAUUGCGCCGUUGGGAAGGCAACCUUAAUUCCACUAUACAAAAGUGUUACGAAGAAAUGGUAUGUGUUAAAUCGAUUCGUCGAAAUUACUUAUGCAUCUCCCUUGCACUUGCACAUUUGAACAUAUAAGUUUAAUGUAUAUAUAUAUCUAAUGCCUUUCAAGAAAAAAAUUUAUAUAUAUCCAGUGCAAUUGUUUUGGUUUGUGCAGAUUGGAUUUCGUGACAUACAGGAUUUGCAACUCUCACAUUUUCCACGUUUGAAAGAAAUAUGGCAUGGCCAAGCACUGCCUGUCAGCUUCUUCAACAAUUUAGUACGACUGGUGGUGGAUGACUGCACGAAUAUGUCGAGUGCUAUUCCUGCCAAUCUGCUACGGUGCUUGAACAAUUUGGAAUACCUGGCAGUGACGAAUUGUGAUUCACUAGAAGAGGUGCUUCAUUUGGAAGAGCUAAAUGCUGACAAAGAACAUAUAGGUCCCCUGUUUCCUAGGCUUUACAGUCUAAGGCUCACUGAUCUUCCAAAACUCAAAAGAUUCUGCAACUUCAUUGGGAAUAUAAUUGAAAUGCCUGAGUUGGAGAAUCUAACUAUUGAGAAUUGCCCUGAUAUGGAAACAUUCAUAUCCAACUCUGUAGUGCACGUGACAAUAGAUAACAAGGAACCUCAAAAAUUAACAUCAGAAGAGAACUUCUUGCUGGCUCAUCAAGUACAACCUCUCUUCGAUGAAAAGGUGAUUAUUAUUAUUAUUAUUAUUAUUAUUCCCUUCACUUUCGUUCGCAUAGAUGUAAUUUCAUAAGAAUCAAGUCAAAUUUAAUGACUCAUCUUUUUGCAUGUCAUCUUAAUUUAUAUAUGAUUUAACAAUAUAACCGCAGUUAUUAACUAUCUUUAUAGUAUGAAUUAUAAAAAUGUCUGGAAUUAAUUGGAUUCCUGGCAACACGAGGUGCUGAACUAUAUUAAUUAUGUGUGUUAAUUCAUAUUGGAUUUAGGAUCAGAUUUCAUUUAUGUGUUUCAAAGGGUAAUCGAUUUGAUACUUAUAUUUGGGAUCCUACUGCAAAGCAUACUGAUUUGGAAAUAAAAUAUAAAAUGCCGUGAUUAAUCUUGUCCAUAAAAUAUGCAGGGGAAGACUGCAGAGAUUGGAUACAUAUUUUCAUUUCCAACUUAAUUUUGUUGAUUUUCAGGUUGCAUUCCCUCAAUUGAGAUGGUUAAACCUGUCUAGAUUACACAAAGUGCAGCAUCUCUGGAAGGAAAAUGACGAAUCCAACAAAGCGUUUGCAAACUUGGGAAGUCUAGAAAUAUCGGAAUGUAGUAAGUUGCAAAAAUUAGUACCACCUUCGUGGCAUUUGGAAAAUCUUGCGACUCUGGAAGUAUCGAAGUGUCACGGGUUGAUAAAUUUAUUGACGCUCUCAGCAUCUGAAAGUCUAGUGAAUCUUGAAAGAAUGAAGGUAGCUGAUUGCAAAAUGAUAGAAGAAAUCAUACAAUUGCAGGUUGGAGAAGAAGUGAAAGGCUCCAUUGUCUUCGAGAAAAUGAACUACUUGACACUUGAUUGUUUGCCAAGCCUAACAAGCUUUUGUUCGAGUAAUUACACUCUUCAAUUCCCAUUCUUGCAAAAAGUAGUUGUGAGACAGUGCCCAAAGAAGAAGAUUUUCUCUCAAGGAGUCGUAGACACACCAAAUCUAAACAAAGUGAAACUCACCGAAGAAAAAGAUGAUGAUGAUGAUGAAGAAGAUGAUGAUGAUGAAGGAUGUUGGGAAGGCAACCUCAAUGACACCAUAAAAAAAUUGUUCAAUGAAAUGGUGAGUAUCAAUUAAGUUUUGGUGCUAUUUAGCAAAUUAUUUUAUAGAAACUAGUGUGACAUAAUAUGAUUGGUUGACUGAAAAUAUAUAAUAAUAAUAGUAAAUAAAUAAAUUAUGAGGAGCAUGUAAUGUUUUUGUUUAACCAAUCAUAUUAUGUCGCAUUAGUUUAUACAAUAUUAUUUGUGCACAAGAGGUGGUGGUCAUAUCAUUACUCUAGUUUUAUUAUUCUUAUGGUGGCAAUGUAUGCUUGCUUACACGAGUAAUUACAAAAUCUGCAGAAUUCUAAAGAAGAGAUUGAGCCAAUCCUUCAGGUACAGUGAAGAAGCUAUCCCGAACCAGGCCAAUCUCUUAUACAUGAUUUAGCUUGCUCGUUCUUCUGUACUUGAAUAAUUUGGCUCUACAUAUUUACAAUUUUUUGCUCAUGCUACAGACUUGCAAGACACUUUGGAUUUUGUUUGAUGCAUUCUCCGUUUAAGAAAGGACUUGAAUUGAUGUUUCAUGUUUCAUGCAAUAUUCGAUUAGAUUCUGUCUAAAUUUCUGUAUUAUUCGUUCAAUUGGUCUUUUAAGCAUUUGAUUUCUAACCUCUCCUAAUAGAAUAUCAUUAGCCGAUGAAAACAGCAUAACAUUUGUGGUUGUGGCAUUAUCAGAAUAAGAAUAUUUUUUAGUAUAGUAAAAUUAUCUCGACCACUGUUAAAAAGAAUUAAACAGUCAAACUGACCUUCUCACACCAGCACGCUUUAAAUUAAAAGAAUUUCAUGAAGUCAAGACCAUGUUAUAGAUCUUGUGGAAAUAAGUGAACCCGUAAUUUUUUUCACACCAUCAUAAGAAAAAUCAUUUUUUUUAAGUAUUUUUGUUAGCUGUUGAGUUUUAAUAGUAGUAGCUAUUAAACAAUAACAAUUAGUGUAUAUUAAAAAGUUGGAAACUGGUUGAUACCACUCGGGAAUCGAGCAGUUCACUUGUUUGCGAGUAGAAACCAACUUUACUACUAAUUACACUCAUACCAAAAAUAGUGACGAAAGAAUCAGGGAAUUUCCUAUUCACUAUUCUUCAUUUUUUAAUGCAAAAUUCCCAUUCGAAAACACCAAUGACUUUCAUUCAAAGUAAAUGAGAAAUUACAAUGAAAAUAGAAUCAAAAUACAUAUAUGUAUACCUAAAACAAAUGAUUUUUUUAAUUAAAAAAAAAAUACAGUUGAGGUGAAAUGAAACCAGAGUCAUGAUAUCUCUGGUUCCAACUUUGGGACAACAGCAGACUUGAGUUCUAUAUGAGAAACACGUACAGCACCAAUCAGCCGCUCCAGUAAUUCAUCUGUAGUAUUUGCCUGCAUACAGAAGAGCAAGAUAAAGAAGACAAACACAGAAGCAUUAUAUCAUUCUGAGAACAUUCAAGUAUGCAAAAAUGCAAGUUGCAGUGCAAUAUCUCAAAAUCAUGUCUUUUCCCUUGUGUCCAUUUAGCAGUGGGGGAAAAAAACAAUCAUACAUACCUGUACAAGGAAAGCCAUGUCAACCACCAAUGUCGUAAUUACACCAAUUACAAGGCCCAAAACUCCAUUAGCAACAGUAGAAGAAUCGAUGUCAACAUCAAUCUACAGAAAGAUGAACAAUGUUAAACCAUGUUAAAGGUAUUGGACGCUAUUUGAAAGGGGAACAUCUCAUGUACUAUAGAAAUUCCAAGAGCAUUUACUUCUAAGUACUUGGGACCGCGAAUAUAGUUACAAUCAACUGCCUUCCCCAAUAAACAAGGGGUGCUUCCAACACUCUGGCGCACUAUCCAUGACCCCUGCAUGAUUCAGUGCUUAAAAUCAAGAACAAGUGCAAAACAAAUUCAAGAGGGUAAAAAGGACAUAGUUUGAAUCUGAAUCCAAAUCCAUUAAUCCAGAGUUCAUAGCUUGGAUGAAGACUGAUCAACUUCUGUUGAGUUGGAUGAUGUCGUCGAUACAGCAAAAUCUACUUGCUACUGUGAUUGACUCCACAACUUCAAAACAGCUUUGGGAGACUCUUACUAGUAUGUUUAUUUCUUAAUCACAAGCUAGAAUCCAAACACUUAGAAUGCAGAUUCAAACUAUUAAGAAAAGUGCAAUGCAUAUGUCUGAUUACUUUGCAAAAGUAAAACGUAUAGCUGAUACUUUAGCUCUAGCUGGAAAACCUGUUGAGUUAAGUGACCUUGUGAUGCAUGUAUUAACCGGUCUUGAUUCAUCAGAUUAUGAAUCUUUAGUCACAGCUAUUUUAGCUCGAGGUGAGAAGAUAACAUUAGAUGAACUAUAUCCUUUGCUGUUGAAUCAUGAAAAUAGAGUUGAGCAAAAGAAAGGAAAAAUUGCUGGUGAUGUGAUGCACAAUAUAACAGCAAAUAUUGCUCAGAAGAACUCAUGCUGGAAAGAAUAAUGGCAAUUUUCAAAAAAAUUAUGGAAAUAAUUCUGGAGGUGGAAAUAAUUCUAGGUAUGGAGGUUUUAAUGGAUAUGGAUAGGGUCAGUUUAAUAAUGGUGGUAAUUCCUUUGAAAUUGUUUGUCAAAUCUGCUUAAUACCUGGUCAUGCAGCCAAUAGAUGCAAAAAUAGGUACAAUUCAUCUUUUGUUCCACAAAGAAACUAUGGCAGAGGUAAUAUGAAUGGUGUCAGAGGUUUUAAUCAAGGGCAAUAUGGUAGAGGAAGAGCUUUUAAUGGUAAUGGUGGCAGAGGUUUUGGAGGUUUUGGUUUAAAUGCCGGUUUUGGCUAUGCACCCAGGGGUUUUGGCUAUCAAGGAAAUAUAGUGUAUCCAGAUAGGAAUCCUUCUGCUUAUUACUCAUUCACCCUUGGACCAUCUACUUUUGUUUCUGGUCAAGGAAAUAAUAAUCCUGGACAGUCAAGUGCUUCAUCUUCCUCAGCUAUGCCUUCUUCACUUCCACCAGAACACAUUGAAGAUCCUUCAUGGUAUAUUGAUAGUGGAGCAACAAAUCACAUUACAAAUUAUCUAGGUAAACUUCUGGAUUCACAAGUUUAUACUAGUACUGAAAAAUUGUUUGUUGGAGAUGGAAAUGCAUGAGCUAUUACACAUGCAGGAUCAGUUGUGCUAAAUACUUCAACUUCUAAACCUUUAAGAACCAUCUUCUGCAUGUCCCUUUUAUUACUAAGAAUUUGCUUAGCAUUUCAAAAUUAUUGGCUGACAAUCCAGUUAUUGUUGAAUUUCUUGGUGAUUUGUGUUUUAUAAAGGCUAGGAACACAGGGAAAAUUUUACUUGAAGGUGUUGCUAAAGGUGACUUGUAUAGAGUCUCUUCACAUGUUGCUGCUCAUUCAGUCUUUCUCAUUUCAGUUGGUCAAAAUAAAACUCACUCUCUUUGCUUGUUCUCCUGUUUUCAAUUCUGAUCAGCUCACUGCUGUUAGUUCUUAUGAAUUGAAUAAAAAGUCAUGUCUGUCAGUUGUUACAAAGAGUUCUAUUGAUGUAAAUCUUCUUCAUAGAAGAUUAAGACACCCAGCAUCUUAUACUCUCAAAACUAUACUCAAAACUUGUAACAACUCUACUGCUUAUAAUAAAAUUGAAAGCUUGAAAUUUUGUUCAGCAUGUCAAUAUGGGAAAAAUCAUAUGCUGCAUUUUGAUUCAGUUGAAACAAAAACUUCAGCACCCUUACAAGUGAUAUAUGCAGAUCUUUGGGGUCCUUCUCAUGUCUAUUCUACCCAAGGAUAUAAUUACUACUUAUCAAUCUUAGAUGAUUAUAGUAGAUUUACCUGGAUAUUUCCAUUGUCAGCCAAAUCUGAUGCUCUUGAAGUGUUUACCAAUUUCAAAAUUUUUAUUGAAAAGCAUCUUCAACUUCAAAUCAAAACUGUCCAAACUGACUGGGGAGGAGAGUUCAGAACACUUUCCUCAUUACUCACUGCUUCUGGUAUCCAUUUUAGACACCCUUGCCCACAUAUUCAUCAUCAAAAUGGAAGAAUUGAGAGGAAACAUAGACACAUAGUUGAUGUAGGUCUGACCUUAUUAGCUCAAGCACAUUCACCACUCAAAUUUUGGUGGAAUGCAUUCCACACAGCUGUCUAUUUGAUAAACAGACUUCCAACUCCAGUUCUAAACAACAUUUCUCCUUUCCAAAAGUUAUUUCAUCAUCAACUAGAUUAUUCAACACUUAAAACCUUCGGUUGUGCUUGUUAUCCAACACUCAGACCAUACAAUAGACAUAAGUUUGAUUUCAGAACUGCCAGAUGUAUAUUCAUUGGCUACAAUUCACAACACAAGGGAUAUCAGUGUCUUCACUCUUCUAAGAGGGUUUACAUUUCAAAUCAUGUCACCUUUGAUGAAAAUUCUUUUCCUUGUGAGUCUGGAGCAGAUUUUUCUUCACUCUCUUCAAGUUGUCAGUCAACAAAAAACUAUAAGUCUUCUUUCAAUUCCUCUGUUCCUUCUGUUACUCAGUUACAAGCACCUUUAGCAGCAUCAUCAGAACACCAUCAAAAUGUUCAUCAUUUAGAUGCUCCUACUCCCUCACCAAAUUCUACUCCACUUUAUUUUUCUGAUAAUUCCAACUCAGCUUCUUCUUCUUCACCACCACAUAAUUCACCUCCACAUACAUUGCCACAACCUGCAUCAACUGGUCAUCCAAUGAUAACCAGGUCAAAAGCAGGUAUUUUCAAGCCAAAAAUUUAUUUGUCAGCUUUAUUAGCCCAAAAAUCAGAACCAACUUCUGUUUCCCAAGCACUUUCUGAUCCUAUGUGGUAUAAGGCUAUGCAAGAAGAGUAUCUAGCACUUAAAACUAAUCACACCUGGGAUUUAGUUUUACCUGCUACUCCAGUGAAGAUAGUUGGCAGCAAAUGGGUGUUUCGAAUAAAGUAUAACUCAGAUGGUUCAGUUUCAAGAUAUAAAGUCAGGCUUGUUGCAAAGGGGUUUCAUCAGACACAUGGGAUUGACCAUACAUAAACUUUUAGUCCAGUGGUUAAAGCUUCAACUGUUAGAGUUAUUCUUAGCUUAGCAGUAUUGAAUCAAUGGGUGAUUAGGCAAGUAGAUGUUAAUAAUGCCUUUCUAAAUGGCAUUUUAAUUGAAGAGGUGUACAUGGCUCAACCUGAAGGUUUUGUUGACUCAACUAAACCUAAUCAUAUCUGCAAGCUGAAUAAAGCUUUGUAUGGCUUAAAACAGGCACCCAGAGCCUGGUUUGAUAGAUUCAAGGAUGCAAUGAUCUCUAAACAGCAUUUCCAACAUUCAAGGUCUGAUAACUCUCUGUUUCAUGCCUGGAACAGUGGUCAUCUAACUCUUGUUUUGGUCUAUGUUGAUGAUAUUAUCAUCACUAGUUCCAGUCCAACACUAAUUCAGCAAGUUAUUCAGAGUAUGAAUCAAGCCUUUGCUUUAAAAGACAUGGGGGAACUUAGCUAUUUUCUGGGGAUUGAAGUCAGCAAGUCUUCAUAAGGGGUUUCCUUGACACAAGCAAAGUAUAUUACUGACAUUCUAGAUAAACAUGGCAUGACAGAUUGCAGUCGUGUGCCUACUCCAAUGUCUACUGGUUAUUAUCUCACAAAAGAAUCAGGAGAGCUAAUUGAUAAUGUUUCUCAAUAUAGGAGUGUUAUAGGAGCUCUUCAAUAUGUUACUCUUACCAGACCUGACAUUGCUUUCUCUGUAAACAAGCUAAGUCAAUUCCUUUCAAGUCCUAGAACACAACAUUGGGAAGCAUGCAAAAGGUUAUUGAGGUACUUAAAAGGCACUAUACAUCUUGGGCUGCAAUUUAAUAACAAAGGAGCUUUGCAACUACAUUGUUUUUCAGAUUCUGACUAGGCUUGUGAUCGUGAUGAUAAGAAGUCACUGGUUGGCUUUGCUGUUUACCUAGGCCUUAAUCUAGUCUCAUGGUCAUCAAAGAAACAAGCUGUUGUUUCCAGGUCCAACACAGAGGCUGAGUAUAGAUCUCUUGCUCAUGCUGCUUCAGAGGUUCCCUGGAUACAAUCUUUACUUGGUGAACUUAACAUCAAAUUGAGCUCUACUCCUAUGAUGUGGUGUGAUAAUCAAGAAGCAAUUGCUUUAGCUUACAAUCCAGUCUAUCAUGCUAAAACUAAGCAUGUCGAAUUGGAUAUACAUUUUAUCCGAGAUAAAGUUACUGCUAAAGAGAUUGAAGUAUGUUUUGUGCCCAGUCAAGAUCAAACAGCAGAUGUGUUGACUAAGGCUUACUUUCAAACAGUUUAGUUACUUAAGAAGCAAGCUGAAUGUUCAUCCUAAACAUUUCAGCUUGAGGGGGGAUGUAGUGAAUUGAAUGAAGUUGGAGCAAAGCAUGAUGUUGCUGUGUAGCUGACUGUAGCAGAUCAACUCACUAGGCUGACCUGGCAAAGUUAGUUAGCUGGUUGAGCUGAUGUGUCAAAUUAGUUAUGCAGCAAAUGGUUAUGUGAUGUAAAAAACUUGUGUGUGUGUUGAGCAAAUUGUAGCUUAAUAUAAAUAUCAGUCUGUAUUCAUUUAGUUGUAAUGCUAGAGUAAUAAAGGUUCUACAAACUUCUUUACAGCGCUUUCUUUUAUUUUCUUUCAUUUUCUAGCUUGCCAAACAAUACAAAACUAAGUUUCUUUCGGAAAAGGAAAAAUAAAAAGAAAAGAAUAGUUACUUGUGCAGUACAGCCUUGACGCCUAGCUACAUGGUCCAUUCUCUGUGUCUUUGAACCAAUCAACAGCAACAAGAUCCAUUAAAUGUUUUCCCGCAGGUAUCUGCAGUUACAAAUUGCACAAAGCACAAGAGCCAACCAAACUACAUCAUAACCUGUCGACCUAGCAUAUGCAGGAUAUAUAACUACCAUAACAAACAACCAAAAUAUGGGGGAACCUUUGUUUUGUCAUAACAAAAAUGCUUGCUACGAACUCUAAAGUUAUUUCCACCAGAAAGUUUCCAGCAGUCACGAGCAUUAUCACAGUCAUCGUGUCGCAGAUUGCCUGAAAAAUAAGAAAAAUCAAUUUGAUCAGCCUGCUCUUCCUCUAGGGUAGCAACUAAUUGAAAAUUAUAAACCAAAAAAAAAAAUCAAUACCAUAAAAAUCCACUAAUGAGGACAUUAGCCAAAUAUACAAAAAUGAAUACUUAUCAUCCACCUGUCCUCUUGAAAUCAUUCUCAAUCUUUUUUUCAUUUGAUGGCAGGAAUUAUUGAAAUUGGAGCCAUUUUUUUUGUGGGAAUUGAAAUAUAUUCUUUAAAUUAUUACAUAAAUAGCAAAAUGUACAUACACACACAUAUAUAUAAUUCAUAUAUAAAAAUUCUCUAAUUUGUUCACAAGUACCAUAGAUUAUAAUUCAGUUAUGAAAUAAAAUAACUACAAUAAUUAUAGUUAAAUGAAUACUUCAUUAAUUCUUAAUUUGCUUCCUAACAUUAAAUGAACAACUUGAGUCAGCCACCUGAAUCAACCAGUAACAACGCCUGAGUCAACCAUCUGAAAAAACCAGCAACCCUAGCUGAUUCAAGCACCUGCAAUUAACAUCAACACAACAGGAACAAUCAUAAAUCAGCACCAAGAACAGACCAAACUGCCAUCAAAUGCCACAAAACCAAACAGUCUGCUACUGCCAUCAAAUGCAAGCAAACAUAUGCAACAAAACCAGAUGCAAGUGAAAUUCUGGAGAAUAUCGGAUAAACCAAACCAAAUGCCACACUUCUAGUAAUUAGACUAGAUGCAGUGUUCAAUUAAACUAAAUGUAGUCUCAUAUUACAUUCAAAUUUUCUAAAAAAACCAGUGUUCCAUCAGAGAAGCACCAAAACCAAACCAAUCUAAUCCAGCAUAAUUACCAGCUCAACCCAAAACAAUUACACAUUAUAUUGACAUAUCAAAAUUCGCUAUCAAAACAUAGCCAAAUAAAUGACAAUAAACUGAAAACAGACCCGAACCAACUGAUGUUGCAGCCCUAGUAGUCAUUGUGCGUUCCACUGCCAUAGGAGCGAGGGUAGGCUCCGUUGUUGAUGAGUGAGUAAGAUAAGGCUCCAAAUCAAUAGUUCCACCUCCUUUCUGCAAUUCAAAAAACAGAAAUUCAUAUAUGUAAAACUAUUAAAAAGUGUGAAACAACCUGUAAGUAUUCAACUUCUGUCAACUCAAUAGCACUUACUAAAGUUUUUAUACAGAAGAAAAAGGCAUUUUAAGUCCAAAAAAUUAGAAUUAUUGGUUGAACUCCAACUCCAUCAAUCCAUGCAACCAUCCAACCUUUAACGAAAAAAUGAAGCAUAAUUAACAAGACAUCUGAAUCAGAAAGAUUGUGCUUUGAUUUGGCACGAGGUGUUGGAAACAACUUAACAAAUCUAGACACAAUCUAUAACCAUCAAGUCCAAACAAAAGUCAGGAUCUAAAAUACUUUGAAAAAUCAGAAAAACCGCAAAAUAUCAGUUUCAAUUUCUUUUUCACCCAUUGUAAGCUCAAACUGAAGGUAGCGGCGCUACCUUUAAACAUCAUUUGGGCUUAUACAUGUGACAUUUGCUCAUGAACAACUAAAGUUGAAUAAGAUUUUUAUAUGAAACGGAAUAUAAAAAGUCAAAGUAGAAUAUGACAGGACCAACAAUAUAUUAUUCAGCAUUAGCAUUAUGUAUAAAAUAAAUUUAGAGGCAUCAUAUUCAUUCACAAUCUUGCAGAGGUAAUACCAGAUUAUGGCACGCAACUCUUGAAUAGCAGAUAAAGGAGGAGAUGCAGUGGGAAGGUAGUAACUUGCUUGCAUGAGAACUAAAAAGUAAUAUCCCAAGAUCAAUUAUAGAUCUCAUAAAACAAAAACAGUGAGGCAAACACAAUUAUUGUGAACAAUUAUUCAUAGAACCACAUAGCAGCAACAAGAUCAAAGUCAUCUGUGUAUAAAUCGAUUCCCCACAGCUGACUGCCUCUGACCUAAACAUAAUGAAAUUACAUAACUAAGAAGUAGAGUCAUAAAAUAUGCUGCUGUAACAGCUAUCAAUAAAUUUCCAGACAAAUGGAAUUUGAUAUGUAAGGCUAUAACUAGCAACACUUCAAAAUAAUUUGAAGUAGCAUGAUCUUACUUUAAGGAUCAAUACUACAAUCUUUCAGAAAAAUUAAAGUCUAACCAAAAUUAAAACCUUAAACAUACUAAAAUCUGGUAAAUAGACCUAUAGGAAUUCCAAUGACCUCCAAAAUAUUUGAAAGAAAAAUUAAUUUACAGCAAAAAAUGUUAAAGAUUUGUAAAAUGGAGGCCCAUACUACUAUUCAAAUUACAAAAGAGGAAAGGGAGCUGGCCAUUAAAUGAUAAAGGCAUGCAUAAAGAAAUACGAGCACCACAUUAAAUGAUAAAGGCAUGCAUCGAGAAAUACAAAAAAUAUGCCCAUAAAGACGUCCACUCAAGCCUUAUAAGCGGCUUUAUGCAAAGGAAAGCCAAUUAGUUAACAGUAAAUGAAUUUCAAGGUGCAAUAAUUAAACUCCCUGAUCAGCACAUUUAAGGUUCAUGCAUUUCUACAAAACAUGUAAAUCAUAAGAACUUUUUUGGUCCAAAUGCUAACCAGUAAUUAAGUAGAUUAUCAAAGUAGUCACAGAACAAGCACCACAUUGAUUGCUAUGCAAAAGAUGAAAGUAAAAGUUAAUACUUUAUUUUAUUUUACUUUUCGAGAGUUUUGAUCAUCAUGUGCAAAAUAGUAGUAUAACUUGCUCAGUGUUAUCUCAAAAAGCUUGCUUAAAAUACCUAUUAGCACCAGUCCAAGUUGUCAAAUAAAUCCUUAUCUAUCCAUUCAUCUCUGACCUUGCCAAAAAGAUUUAAACGAGCAUCUAUAUUCUCACUCCAAUCUUUCACAAUCAUAGGCUUUAACUUAGACCAGUUCUUCAAUAUCCCUUCCACUGUGAGCCCCUCGAAAACCUUGUAAAUUGAAUCACAUUUGUCGUCAGUUUCAAAUCCAUCUGUCAAAAGGCUAAGCAAAUGAAUAUACAAUCAACACCAUUCUUCCAAACGAAUAUACAGUCAACACCAUUCUUCUAAACACAAACAAAGUUUGAACGUAUGACAGAUUUUUAGCCAUUUAAUAUUCCAUCAAAUAUAAUUAGAUCACACCUACCAAGGAUUUUUGAAAAGAAUGCAUUCUCAUCUUAAGCAGCAACCUCACUAGUAACACAUUUUCAUACCCUGUUUCCACCUCUGGUCGCACCACCAAAAAAAAUUCAGUACUAAUUAGCUUUAAUAUGUAAAUUUUCGCUUAGUUUAAGCUAGGGUUUUCUUUCGAUUGAAACAGAGGAAAGCUUUUGGGUUAUUAAAGUGAAAGAUAUGGAAUAAUACAAAAAAUUAUUGAAGUGAAAGAGCAGGAAUACAAAAAAUCAGCAGAUGAGAUCGUUGAAAGAUGCGGAGGUUUGUAUAUAAAUAUUAAAUUGAUCGUUGAAAGAUGUAUAAACCUCCAUAAAAUUGAGUUACGACUUGAAGGAUUGUAUAUAAACAUUAAAUUGAUCUAAUUUAACUUGUAUGUAAACACUAAAUUGUAUAUAAAUACACAAAACAGAACCAUAUCAGUGUUGGAAAAAAAAUAAGAAUCCAGAGUUAUAUAAAUUCAAUAAAAAAGUAUUGAAUUUUUUAUUACUAACUUUGAACACUCUAAUUUCAAUAAAAAAAAUAUAUUACUAAAAUAGUCUUAAUUGAAUUUAAUAUUAAAGAUAUUAGAAUAACUCAACACUAAUAUUCUCAAAUAUAUUUCUCUCCAUAGUCUAAUCUAAUCCAUUCUAAGAAUCCUAUAGAAAAUCUAUUAUUUACUUUUUCCUUAUUAAACACAAAAACAUGUCAUUUUGUUGCUAACUAAAAUUUUGGAACUAACAACAGCAGAUUAACUAAAAUUAUCAGGAAAAGAAAUCAAACAGGAUUUUAAUCGUCAUCAUCUUCACUCUUGCCUUUUUCUUUUUCUUCACACAUGUGGCUUGCACACGCAUUCCCCUCUCUCAUCCUUAGGGCCGCCCUUCAACAAUAUCCAAUCAUCGAUUAUAAUUAUUUAGAUUGACCAAAUCAAGCUUUGAUCAUAUAUCGGUUGAGGUUAGAAGUAGGCAGGCAGCAACGACAAUACUAAUUAAUAUCUCAUGAGAAUUUUAAAAAAGAAUCUAACGUUGCCCAAUUCGUUUGAUUUCAAUGAAAUCUUUCUCCUACCUAUACUUUCGCAUAUUCUCUUUUAUUUCCAAAGUUAAGGUUAUGGAUGUUGUAGAGUAAAAAGAUGAACAUUGCUAGGAAAGCAAUAAAAGGAAAUAAAUAAAAAUUAAAAAUAUAAAAAGAGUUAAGUCAUUUUUUUUGUCUAUUAGUGUUUUUGUAUUUAAUAACGAAAGAUAAAAAUGAAGUAAAUAUUAUCUGUUAGAUUAUUAAAAUACAUACUUAAAAUGUUUUAGUGACAAUCUAAUUAUAAAUUAAGGGUCUAUUUGAGAUUGAGAUUGAACAGUUAAAAUGUUAUAGUUGUUGUAGUUUAGAAGUUAAGAUGAUUUGAUUUUACACUUAUAUGAUAAAAAAUUAUUAUAUCUUUAUUAAUUUUAUCAAAAUUAUUAUUAAAAAAACUAAAUUUAUUAUAUACUAUUAAUUUUUAUUUUAUACUUAAAAUUUUUUUUUUCUUACGGCAAAAGUUUUAGCACCUCAAUACCCAACCAAGUCUAAAACUGCACAAUAAUAAUUAUGAGUGUGCAUGUUAAAAUCUACACACAUUCUUUAAUUUCAAUCAACAGUGUUACAAACUUAGUUAAAAUAUUAUAUCUGAAAUUAUUGAGGGGAAAAAAAAAGAAAAAAGAAUGUUGUUUUCAUGAUAGUGACAUGCGUCGUGCACAUUUUGCUGUUGGCUCUUUGGUCUCUAACCUAGCGAAUAGGUUGCUGUGUCCUCGUUGUUAGAUGCCCGAACCCAGCGCAAGAACUUUGUACGAUACCAUAUAUUUUGUAUGAAUUUAAGCUGAAGUUGGUACCUUUUAUUGUUUUAUAUCAUGACAUCAGGGAAAUUUUUAAUAGAUCUUCAUUUUAGGCUAAAGUACCCGAACAAUAGUUCCCAUGCACUUUGUGAUCUUUUUACAAAAUAUUAAACUAAAUAGCUGUGGAAGUAACAAAGAGGGCAACUUUUUACCAUAAUGUGAUGAAAAUAAUUUAUUUGUUGUCAUCACGAACUAACCAAAUCAAAACAAAAAACUAACUCAAAUCUGUGCGUCUAGUAACUUAUAUGAUGAUCAUUAGAUCUUGUUCUUGUUAAUGCGUCUAGUAACUUAUAUGAUGAUCUGAUGAUAUCCGUAACAUUAACAUACCCAUAAUCCAUUAUUUUAUAAUUAUAAAAAUUGAAGAUUCGGUCAUGCAAUUUUGUAUGAUGAACAGUGUUUCAUUUUUCUGUGAAACAUAAGAACAAUUUGUAAAUAAUGUCCAUGCGGACCUUGUAAUAGCGAAGCAUCAUUAUUGAUCUUACUUUGAUGAUCGCACUUUAGUUUCUUUUUAAAGUGCCUUUUGUUUAUUUUAUCGGCAUCCGCUUUUACAAAAGUUUUGGUCCUCGUUCAUUCAUCAAAGCUUCUACUUUUAUCUUUUAUUAGGCAUCUUAUAAAAAGCUUAAUUUAAUUGGAUUCAUGUUCGAUAUGAAGAUUGUUUUACUUACUUCAAUCUUUCAAUCAACCGAAUUUAUUCUUUUCUGAUCUGGAAAUUAUUCAUGAAAAAAUAGGCGCGUCAGUAGGACAACAGGGACCAAGUACAUAAUAUGAAAAUUCAUUUGUAUUGCUUACUCUAAUAAGCUCUUAAACUCACACAUUCCUCUGCAGUUACCAGUGAUCUUUUGCUCACUAAAAUUGUUAAUAUAUAUUCAAGGUGAAUAAAGAAACUCAUCAUCCCAGAUAAUUAAAGAGGUGAACUUGUUCUAAAUCCUUUAAUAAUUUCUAUUAAUAGCAUAUAUAAUCUCUAAUCCUUGAUCUUGAUAGUAGUUCUUUCUUAAUGUCCAAGAAAAAUAUCUCUCAUUUGUCUUAAUCUUGUCAUUUAAUUUUCUUGAAUUCUGAGUUAGUGUUUAUUGUUAAAUUCGGUUUUCGGUUAGUAGCUGUUGGUUAAUAGCUUCGGUUAAUCCUUGAAUUAAACAUAUUAAAAUCUAAUCAUAAACCCGCCUUUCCCUAUUUUACGACACCCUUUGUGUAAUAGUGACUUCAAAAGUGUAACAUAUUUUUGAACAAUUGCAAGGAAAGAACAUAUUUGACACUUCACGAAACGGUAAAUAUAUAAGCUUCAAUUCUUGUACAACAAAUUAAUAUAACCAACAUCAACCGUCAAUUGAUCAAUAAUUCAGUAACAAAAAGGGACAGAUAUCCUAGUCUUUCUUUACUAAUGAAGCAAGCCAUUAAACUUCGAAAGCUAUUUCUAUUUCCACAUUCUUCAUGUACCAAAGCCAAAAAAAAAAAAAAGCAACAAAAAUUUGGAAGUAAUCAUCUUUAUUCAGCAGCAUGCAUAUUAAUUAAAACAUAUUCAAAAAGAGAUAUACAAUAUCAGGUCUGGAGACGAAAUGAGCCCACAGAGACUACCAAUAAUGUAGUGGCUUGAUUAAAAAUAUUAAUCAAGCCACUACAUUAGAAGAACAAGAGUUAAUCAUGCAUAUUAAUUAAAAAUAUUUUUGCUAUCAUCCACCUGUUCUCUCUAAAUAGUUGCCACUUUUUUUUUUCGUUUGUCUGAAAUUCCAAGCAAAAAUAUAAUUAGAAGAACAAGAGUUAAGGGUUAAAAAAAUGGAAAAAUAGGGCUCCUCUGUUUUCAUUCCCCUGUUUUUCUGUUCGGUGAUUACAAAGAUUUAAAUCAAAAUUUAUGAUGCAGGCUACACGGCACCUGGUGGAAGACUGCUAGGGUUUACCUUUUAUUGUUAGUUAGAAAUUUAAUUUAGAAUUUGUAGUGUUUGCCUUAUAUAAGUAGGUUUCCUAAUAGUAAAAUUAAAUAAUCAAGUUUAUGAUGCACUAGGAUAUGGUUGUGAUAAAUGAGCUUUUUAUGUAUCCUGUGAGGCUGAUUAUUAUUUUAUUACAUUGAAGAUUCAGUCAUCUCUUGGUAGUCUUGUGAAUCAAGCGGAUUUAGUUAGUAGUAGGUAAUACUCUGGACUUCACAUAGUAAACGGAAUGGAGCAUUAUUUUAUCCCGCUAAAUCAGUUUUUUUUUUAAUUAAAAAAUAAUUCAUCAAACACUUUAUAGCUCUGGUUUUAAGUUGGUAAACACUUUAAGCCGCAACUUUAAAUUCAGUUUACGAGAACUCCUAACAGUCACUGUGGCUUGGGUAGAAAUGAAUAUACUAGCAUAAGUAAUGCUACCCAGGAAAUGUAGUUGAACCUAACCAAACUAAAACCAGAUGAUGAAAGCUUAUAUACGCCAAGAGAUUUAUUCGUUUCUGAGUUUGUUUCCAGAAACCCGGAACCUCCCCUGUUUCUACAAACACGGCACCUUUGUUUUCAUUCCCCUGUUUUUCCAUUUGGUGAUUGUAAAAAUCUAAAUCUAAAUUCUUGAUGCAGUCUACACGGCACCUGCUAGAUGAUUGUUUGGGUUUAUCUUUUAUUCUUAAUUAUCAAUUUAAUUUAGAUUCGUAGUGUGCACCUUAUGAAAGAUUAAAUAGAAUAAUGUGAAAAAAAAAGAAUGCCUUUGUUAAUUUUGACUUCAUAAUGUUGCAGUAACCGUCCUCUCUUAUCAUUCCCCUGUUCUUUGGUUUAGUGAUUGCAAAUAACAUUCUUUUCAUCUACUCUUUAUUUAUUUAUUUUUAAUUUUUAACUCAUUAAUUCUUGUUCUUCUUAAAGCGUUUAGUAAAUUAUAUGAUCACCUGAUCAAAUCCCUCACAUUAACAUACAACAUAACUAACAAAGUGUUGGCUCCACUGGCAAUGGAGUCUCCUCAAGUGGCUUAACUGGAUUUGCUCUCCAGUUCGACUCGCAAGGAAGUCGCCUUUGUUGGGAAAACUUGUACCAAAAACUCUGAUCUGUUGGCUUUGUAUCAGUAUUGCUUGUUUGUUGUCUUUUAUUUCAUUAUUUGUAUCUAAGUUUAUUUGAAGAUUACAGAUCAGCAGGAAAAGCCCUUUUUCUAAAGCUAACUAUACAGAUUUUAGAAUAGGGCUCAACCACAUGAAAAUAUUUACGUUGUAAUAUCUCAUAUUAAUAAUCUAAAAACAACCAAUCCAACAAGUUCAAAUUCAGUCAAAUCUAAAAAAAAAUUGCUUUUAAGGAGUACAUGAUAGCUAUUAAACUUUGGUUAAAGAUCUUUUGGGCAAACGUGAAAUUCAGUCAAUCAUAAAUCAACCAAUCCAACGAGUUCAAAUUCAUCACUUGCAAAAUUAAGUUUUCUUCCGAAAUUGAGUUUUUUCCAGUAGAAAUUUUCCCGCAGUCACGAGCACUAUCAUCAAAACAAGAUUAUUAACAUAAGAACAAGAGUUGAGGAAAAAAAUAUCUGUUUAUAUGGACACGGGGUGCACGCUUUAAGUCUUGUUCUUUUACAAUUCAAUUGUAUUGCUUACUCCCAUAAACUCCUUACUCACAUUCUUCUGCAGUUAACAGUGAUCUUUUGCUCAUUAAAAUUUUUCUUAUAUAUCGAAGGCCAAGAGUGAAGCUCAUAAACUCUGUGAUCCUAGAUAACCGAAGAGGUGCGUUUGUUCUAAAUACUUUAAUAAUUUCUUUCAAUCGCAUAAUUUCUAAUCUUUGAUCUUGAUAGCAGUUGUUUCUUAAUGUCCAACAAAAACUAUCUCUUGUUUGUCUUAAUCUUGUCAUUUAAUUUUCUUGAGUUUUAAGUUACUGUUUAUUGUUAACUUCUGUGUUCUUAUGCAGUAUUAUUAAUGGUUAAUUUGCAUCCAUCUUCCAAAAAAGUUUUCUUUCUUCAUAAAAUUGUUGGUUUUCCAUUCAGGCCCCUGAAACCUUUUUCUAAAAAGUUUUUUGUUGUCGUUUCUUUCUUUUUCUUCCCCGCUAGUUCAUUUAAUUUAUUUGAAUCCAUUUUUUUUUCAACAGCCAAAAACUAGAUAUUUAUAGUUAAGCAACAGGCAAUGGCUAUAGAAGCGUGUCUGGCUUUUUUAACCAACUGUGUAUCAGAAGGUGCAAAGUCACUGUUCAACCCUAUUACACGGCAGAUAUCUUAUGUGUUCAAGUACCAGAGCUACAUAGAUGAGCUAAAAGAUCAAGUGAAGCAGCUGGGAUAUAAGAGAGAAAUGGUGCAGCAACCAGUUAAUCAUGCUAGGCUACAAGGGGAUGAGCUUUUUGAGGGUGUCACAGACUGGCUACAUAGCGUUGAUGAAUUCAUCAGUGAAGGGGUUGCAAAAUCCAUUAUUGAUGAUGAAGAUAGAGCUAAGAAGUCCUGCUUCAAAGGAUUAUGCCCAAACUUGAUUUCUCGUUACAAGCUUAGUAAACAAGCAGCAAAGGCGGCAGAAGCUGCCGCUAGUCUCGUGGGAAAAGGCAACUUCUCCAAUGUUUCCUACCGUCCUGCUCCAAAGCGGGCAGAACAUAUGCAAGUGAAAGAUUUCGAGGCGUUUGAUUCAAGAAUGAAAGUAUUUCAAGAUGUUGUGGAGGCGGUGAAGGAUGACAAGGUCAACAUAAUUGGGGUCUAUGGGAUGGGCGGCGUGGGCAAAACCACGCUGGUCAAACAAGUUGCAAACCAAGUGAUGGAAGAUAAGUUGUUCGAUAAGUUCGUUAUGGCCGAGAUAACACAGACCCCAGAUCAUCAUAAAAUUCAAGACAAACUUGCUUUUGAUUUAGGCAUGGAAUUUGACUUGAAUGAGAAUGAAUUUCAAAGAGCUUCUCGACUGUGUCAAAGGUUGAAGCAAGAGAAGCGGCUCCUCAUUAUACUGGAUAAUAUUUGGACAAAACUUGAGUUGGAUGCGGUUGGAAUUCCUUCUGGAGAUGUGGAUGAGAAAGAUAGAGAGGACGAUCGGAGAAGACUCACAAUAAUAUUGACGUCUAGAAGUCGAGAUUUAUUGCGCAAUGAUAUGAAAUCUCAGAAGGAUUUCUCAAUUGAAGUUUUAUCAAAGGAAGAAGCAUUGCAAUUGUUUGGAAAGAUAGUGUGUAAUUCUGCAAAAGCAUCUGCUUUUCAACCUUUAGCAGAUGAGAUCGUUGAAAAAUGCGGAGGAUUGCCUGUUGCACUGAUUACCCUUGCAAAAGCUUUGAAAAAUGAGAGGCUUGACACUUGGAAGGAUGUGCUGCGUCAGCUAAGAAGUUCCAAUGCAAAAGAAAUUGAUGGAAUGGAAAGAAAUGUGUACAUCUCCAUAAAAUUGAGUUACGACUUACUGGGAAAUAAGGAAGCAAAAUCUCUGUUCCUUCUUUGUGGUCUAUAUACUGAAGGUGAUGUCAUACACGUUUCUGACUUAUUGAGAUAUGGUAUGGGUAUGGGCUAUUUUAAAAACGUUUACACACUGGAAGAAGCAAGGAGUAGAGUGCAUACGUUGAUCGGUAAACUCAAAUCUUCAUGCUUAUUGUUGGACGGUGAUGCCGAAGAUGAAGUUAAAAUGCAUGACAUCAUUCAUGCUGUUGCUGUAUCAAUUGCAGAAGAGGAGCUCAUGUUUAAUAUUCCAAAUGUUGCCUACGUGGAGAAAAAGAUGGAAGAGACAAUACGGGAAGGUCCAAUAGCUAUUUCUUUACCUUAUAGAGAUAUUCAAGAGCUUCCCGAAAGGUUGGAAUGUCCCCGUCUCGAGUUACUUUUGUUGUUUUCAAAGCGUGAUAGCUCUUUGCAAAUUUCAGACCUCUUUUUUCAAGGGACAGAAGAACUCAAAGUUUUAGAUUUUACUGGAAUAUUUUUCUCUUCAUUACCUUCAUCACUUGGUUGCCUCAUUAACGUUCAAACAUUAUGUUUAGAUGGUUGCCGACUGAACGAUGUAACUAUAAUUGGACAGCUAAGGAAAUUAGAGAUUCUCAGCUUCCGAGAUUCUGAUGUUAACGAGUUGCCACUUGUAAUUGGACAAUUGACGAGAUUACAGUUGCUAGAUUUGAGCAAUUGUAGCAGCCUUGUGGUGAUAGCUCCAAAUGUCAUAUCAAAAUUAUCUCGAUUAGAAGAACUAUAUAUUGGUAACAGCUUUUCACAGUGGGAGAACGUUGAAGGAGGAAGUAACGCCAGUCUUGUUGAGUUGAAGGGGUUGUCAAAGCUAACUACUUUGGAGAUACACGUUCGGGAUGCCGAAAUUCUACCGCAGGAUUUGGUCUCUGUGGAAUUGCAAAGCUAUAGGAUAUGUAUAGGAAAUAAGUGGUGGAGCAGCUGGUCCGUUAAAUCUGGAUUAUCAAGAUUGAUGAAGCUCCAGGGGCUAGAAAAGUUUGGCAUUCUUUUGCAGAAUUACAGGAUGAAACUGUUGUUGAAGAGAACUGAAUAUCUCUAUCUAGGAGAACUGAAGGGUGUUCAGAAUGUUGUUCAUGAAUUAGAUGAUGGGGAAGGUUUUCCACGAUUGAACCAUCUUUCUGUAAAAAGUUGUUCUGAGAUUUUGCAUAUUGUCUGUUCAGUUGGACGGGUUCGUCGCAAAGUCUUCCCCUUGCUGGAGUCAUUGUCUCUUCGUCGUUUGAUCAAUUUGGAGACAAUAUGUGACAGCCAACUCACAGAAGAUCAAUCUUUCAGCAACUUAAGGAUUAUAAAAGUAUCAGACUGUCACGAAUUGAAGCAUCUUUUCUCAUUCUACAUGGCCAAAAACCUACUGUGGCUUCAAAAGGUAGAAGUGUUUUUUUGCGAUGAUCUGGAAAUGAUUGUUGGUAAGUGUUGAAAUUAAGUGUUGGUGGAUUUAUGGACUUCGCCUCAAUUAUUUUGAAAAAAAAAAAAGACAACGACAAAGAUUAAUUAUGUAUAUUGUUUUAGUUUGUUUAUAGGACCCGACAUGGACAAACCAACAACUUCUUUGGGAUUCAACGAAAUCAUUGCUGAUGAUGAUCCUGCUCCAAAGGUGAUAAUUUUCUGUUCAAUAAUUAAUUGAUUAAUUUAUUAUCACGAUUAAUCUUCGAUCAUCAAAAGAAUAUUAUACUAGACGGUUGUACUUGAAGGAACAAAAAUGUACGGGUUUUCUUUGCAGGUUAUUCUUCCGAGCUUAGAGGAAUUGAAUCUCAUGUCAUUAAGAAACAUCAAAAAAUUAUGGGCCGAUCAUAAUCAAGGAAUGUACUGUUGUCAAAAUCUAACAAAGCUGCACGUGGUCGGUUGUCAUCGUAUGAAGUAUCUGUUUUCAUAUUCUAUGGUUAAUAGUCUUGCGAAACUCCAACAUCUUGAGAUAAGCUAUUGUGAGUCAAUGGAAGGGGUAGUCGACACCACGGGAUGGUCAGAAAGAGAUGAAGGAAAGUUGAUUGAAUUAAAGGUUUUUCCUAAGCUACACUCCCUGCAGCUAGAAUGGCUUCCAAGACUAAGUAGCUUUGCCAAUAUGGGACAUAUUCAUUCAGAUUUAGUUGUUGAAUUCCCUUCUUUGCUAAACCUCAUGAUUGGUUGUUGCAGUAAUAUGUUAAGAUUCAUCUCUACGAGCUCACCAGAAGACACCAUUCAUUCUGAAAUGCAACCUCCUCCUCUCUUUGAUGAAAAGGUUUUUUUUUUUUUUUUUAAUUAAAAAAAAUAAUUUUAGUCACAAUACUUGAUUUGUCUUUUCCUUGAGUCUUCAAAUUUAGUUAAUAUCCGCCUCUAAUUUAGUUAUCAAUUGAUUAUGCCAUUAAUUGAUUAACUAGUUAUUUAAUCUUUAACUGCCAGGUACGAGUUCCUAGGUUGGAGGUAUUAUAUAUUGCGUGGAUGGAUAACCUAAGAACAAUAUGGCACCACCAGCUUGCUUCGGAGUCUUUCAGGAAAUUGAAGAAUUUGGAGAUAGAAGAGUGUGAUAACCUAAUGAAUAUUUUUCCUCCAUUGGUAAGGUUGCUGUAUUCAUUUCGAUUUUUUUUUUCAAAUAACAUUCAACAAUUUUUUAAUCUUUUCUGUGUUUACAAAUGAUAUUCAGCCACUAAUUAUUUAUUUCAAAUAUUGUACUUCAAACCACCACUCUAAAAUCUACGUUUUAAGUCUAGUUUUUAGGUUCACCAGCAUUAGAAUCAACAAUAUAAUUUUUUUAAACACGAUUCAAUAGCAUAAUAUAAUUCAAUUUAAUUGUUUUUGCUCAUAUCUUAAUAAGUACGAUUUUCAAAAAUUAAAGGAUAGUCACUCAUCUUAUAAGUUCACAAAUUCAUCUAUAUAUUUCUCUUUUCCUUAGUUCUUCACAUUUCGAUUGGGAAAAAAAAAAAGAAAGUCUUCAAAUUUAAUUAAUAUCUCCAGUUUAGUUAAGAAUUGAUUAUGCCAUUACUUAACCACAAAUUCAUGAUUGUUUACAACUGACCCUUGAUUGUAAAGAAAUUUCCUCGAGUCUGGAAGUACUUAAUAAAGAUCCACUUUAUAGCAAUCCCUUGUUGACAGUACUGGGAAGUCUUUUCCAAAUUUUUUUUUUCCAUUUUUAUACAUACAUAAAAAAAAGGGGACCAAGGAAAAGGGAAAAAGAGGCAUUUUAGUUGAGUUUUUUUUAAAGGAAUAGUUGAAAUGUGCAAAUUUAUGCUUAAAAACUUAUAUCAAGAUGCAAAAUAAGUCUAAAGUAUUUAGAAAUUGCCUUAAAUUCUUUCUACGUCCCUAAUACUAAAUAGUGUAAAUACAUUUUUAUCAUCUUUGUUUAUCUGGCUUUUAUUUAUUUAUCUUGUUACCUUUUUUGUUUAACAAAAAAUUAUCUAGUAGACAUUUCACAGUUUGUUAUGUUCAUAAAACGUAUAAUUGUAUGAUUAAACAUACUUUGAGCCUAGUUGAAUGAUACUCUUACAUUUUUACUUUUUUAAUAUACACACACACACACACUCUCUCUGCUUAUUUUCAGGUUGGAAUUCCUACUAGUCUGGUGAAUCUUUAUGUAUGGAACUGCAAAAAAUUAGAAGAAAUCGUAGGACAUGCUGGAGAAGAAGUGAAGGAGAAUCGUAUUGCUUUCAGUGAAUUAAAACUUUUGGAACUUGAUGAUUUACCAAGGCUUACCAGCUUUUGUUUGGAGAAUUACACUCUUGAAUUCCCAUCAUUGGAACGAGUAUUUGUGACACAUUGUCCGAACAUGAAGACUUUUUCUCUGGGAAUCUUAUCCACACCAAAGCUGCACAAAGUGCAAGUGACUGUAAAGGAAGAUGGUGAAUUGCACCAUCGGGACGACAAUCUUAAUUCCACCAUACAAGAACACUAUACAAGAUCUCAUGGAAAUAAGUAAACCCGUAAUUUUUUUCACAGCAUCAUAAGAAAAAAUCAUUUUUUUUUUAGUAUUUUUGUUGGCUGUUGAGUUUUAACAGUAGUAGCUAUUAAACAAGAACAAUCAGUGUAUAUUAAAAAGUUGGAAACUGGUUGAUACCACUUGGGAAUCGAGCAGCUCACUUGUUUGCGAGUAGAAACCAACUUUACUACUAAUUACACUCAUUCCAAAAAUAGUAACUAAAGAAUCAGGAAAUUUCCUAUUCACUAUUCUUCAUUUUUUAAUGCAAAAUUCCCAUGAAAAUGGGAUCAAAAUACAUGUAUGUAUACCUAAAACAAAUUAUUAUUUUUAAUUAAAAAAAAACACAGUUGAGGUGAAAUGAAACCAGAGUCAUGAUAUCUCUGGUUCCAACUUUGGGACAACAGCAGACUUGAGUUCUAUAUGAGAAACACGUACAGCACCAAUCAGCCGCUCCAAGACACACGAAGCGUUAUGCCAUUCCGAGAACAUUCAAGCGUUAUAUCUCAAAAUCAUGUCUUUUCCCUUGUGUCUGUUAAGGAAGCACACUGAGCACGUGUGAACUAAGAGUAGCUGCACGAUAAGCAUGUGUUAGUUAAAGAAGUAUAUGCCAGCUCAGCCAAUUAGUUAAGCAGGCUUUUGAUUCUGUUAUAGUUGUGUACCUUGCUUUAAUUCUGUUUUUAUGAUGUAAGCAACGAGUAUAAACACUGCUACGUUUGUCAUUUGUAUGUUAUGGAAAGAAAAGAAAUCCAGAAUAUUCUAUUUCACUUUCUCAUGAAUUUUCUGAGCUUCCAAACAAAAUUAUCAGUUCAAUUUUAAGCUUUUCAACAGUGUCCAUUUAGACGUGCAAAAAAAACAAUCAUACAUACCUGUACAAGGAAAGCCAUGUCAACCACCGACCGAUGUUGUAAUUACACCAAUUACGACAAGGCCCAAAACUCCACUAGCAAAAGUAGAAUAACAUCUAUGCCAACAUCAAUCUAUAGAGAGAUGAACAUGUUAAUGGUAUCGGACGAGCUAUUUGAACGGGAAACAUCUCAUGUACUAUAAUAGAAAUUUUAAGAGCAUUUACUUCUAAGUACUGGGGACCGCGGAUAUAGUUACAACCAACUGCAUUUAGAAACAAAAAUUUGCGCUUGCGACAAGAGCUGAUCUCUUCAUUCCCCUGUUUAGUAAUAAAAAAAAAUCAAAAUAGCGGAGAAACAGGGCCCUCUUUUCAUUCCCCUGUUUGAUAACAAUAAAAACAAAACAGAGGAGAAACGUGGGCUCUCUUUUCAUUCCCCUGUUUUUCUUUUCGGUUUGGCGAUUUUAAAAUUUUAUAUCCACAUUCAUUAAAAAAAAAAAAAAAAGUUAUUCCAAAAAGAUUUUCUAUUUUCAUAUAGACGUUUAUUUAUUAACCAAAAUUUAAAAAGUGUAAUUCUAAACUUAUCCUUGUGCUUUGAUCUUGGAGGGGUUUUUCAUUUUUUCUACACUGGCCAUAUCAAUUAAUGAUGAAAGUUCUUAUCCUUAAUUGCUUUUGAAAUGAGUGAGCACGGUAUGACCCUUAAGAGAAUUAAUUAAUUGGACAAGUUAUAUAACGCCUUUGAUAUGGCUCCUAGACAUGUAUGCAAUUUGUAUCUUUCCUCAAGUAUGCAUGAGAAUACUUGAGGAAAGCUUCACAAUAGUUACGGCCGGAUCUGCACUUCACAAGUCCUAAUAGGGAAGUAUAAAUAUAUGCUUCUGGAACAGUGCAACUCUCCAUAAUAAGUACCUAAGAAUAGACAAAUUUUCAUUACAAUAGAAUGAUAAAUUAUAAUAAUAUUGACACAAUGAUGCCAAUAAUAAGAAUCUUAACAAAUCUACUAAUUUUAGAAUAUGGCUUAGAGUGCUACAAUGAACCACAACAAGUUAUCGAUAUUAUAAUAUCUAUAAUUAAUAUUCCAAUAAUAACUGGGGCUCCUUUGUUUUCAUUCCCCUACUUUUCUGUUAAGUGAUUGCCAAAUUUUUAUAUCUAAAAUUCUUCUAAUUUUAAACUAAGGUUUAUUUAGAAAAAAAAAGGGAGAGAGAGAGAGAGACUCGAAGAGCAUUAAAAAAUGUAAUUUUUAAUUUUCACUUAAGCAUUGUGUGACUUUUAUCAUUUUUUAAAGUUGGCCAUUUGUACUGAAUAAAUAAAAUAAUGGAUAGACUUAUGGACCACUUUUUUUCUGUUAUAUUAAAACAUGAGAUGUCUUUUCUUGAUGUUUUCAUCACACAAGAAUCUGUUUAUGUCAUCAUGCAUCAUGGGUUUAAAUGGGGUAAAUAAAUUAAGAUCGAGGGCAAGUUUGUUUAAGUUCUAAAGUUGCUGAAUAUAAAAAGGGCUGAUAUGAAAAUUACCUAAAGUUUCAAAUAUUGUUAUUCAGCAACCACUUUUAGGUUGCAUUAGUUUCUACACAAAUUUUAUAUAAAUAAUUUAUAACUCCCAUUAUUAUUUAAAAAACUGUAGCAAUUGUUGAAAAAAAAUUCUAAUUAAAGAAAUUGACAUUAUAAUUUAAGGGAUAGUUGCUGUUUUAAUCAUUAGAACUUAAGUCAAUUAUCCAGCUUAUCCUUGUAUUCUUAAAAACUAUAUAAAAUACCAUUAUCUCUUCUUUUGUAGCUAUUGAAUUCGACUUUCACAACAUAAAUAUUUAUUAGCAACAACUUAAAAUUCAAACAAAUAUAAUAUGUAAUGUAUGAAAUACAAAUAAUAGUUAAACAAAUUUUGAUUAUUUACUAUUAAAAUACAUUCACAUUAAUAUCUUAAGGAUAGGUGGUACUCAAAUAAUUUUUUAAAAAUCAGACCCAAAUUAUAUGCAUUGUUAAUAUGUAUUAUUGUCUAAUAUUUGGAUUUUGUUAAGUUACAACUGUUGUAACUUACGAUCUCUUCAAAAAAGAAAAUUGAGUCCCACCACCUAUUAAAUUUUUUACAUUAUUUUUUAAAAGACUGUAAGUUACAUCAGUUGUAACUUAACAGCACCCUUAAUAUUUUACUUUACUUUUAUAUCUUUACAAAACAAUACCAACAAGACAAUAAUGUAUGAAAUAAAUAAAAUAAAUAAAUAAAGAACUGAUAGCGAAAUUAAGUCUAUCAUUAGUUUCUUGUGGUGUGAACUCUUGACAAUUCUCCCACCUAAAACUCUCUAGUGGUGUGAACUUUUGACGAUUCUCCAAAAAUUUGUCAUAUUGCAAAAAGCAAUGUCAAUUGUAAUGUCAUUUCCAUUAGUCAUAGUGGCAGAUAGGACUAGAAAUUGUUGAAACCCAUUGACUUAUUUUUCUUUCUAAAAAUAAGAAAAGCACACCCGUCCGGGGAAAUAAUUUUGUAGUACCUCAUGUCGUGAAUAAGGGACAAUACGAUCCUUUUUUUAUUAUAGUAUUUUUAAAUUUAUUAACUAAAAAAUUAAUUCUAAUAUUUUAUAAUAAAUAUAAGUAGGAUAUUAAAAUGAAUAUAAUAAUGUAUACAUAUUAAAAUAAUUUCAAUAUCUAAAAAUAUUUUAAUAUUUUAAAAUCUCGUAGUCUAUUAAACCAAAUAAUAAUAAAUAGAGACAUAAUAUUCAAAUAAAUACAUAAAAAUUUAAAUUGUUUUCAAUAUCACAUAAAAUAAUUUUAAUAUUAUUAAUACAUGAGAAAUAUUAUAUUAAUUGUAAAAUCUAUUUAACCUAAGGAUUCAUUUAAAAUUUUUUGUAAUAAUUACAAGUAUUUUAUAGAUACAAAUAUAUUAAUUCACAUUUUAAAAAUUAAUAUUGAAAUUAAUUAUUUAAAUUUUAUAAAAAAUUUUGAAGUCUUUUUUUUUUUUUUGGCUACCAUCUACUAAGAGUAGUAUUAUGAUCAAAAGGGGUAUUGGUAUCCUAUAUUAAAAAUUUGAGGUCUACGUGACUAUUUUUCUAAAUUUUUAGGGUAUCAUUUUGUUUUUGACAAAAGUAAAAUUUCAUUUUUGACAAAAAUAAAAUUUCAUUUAAAUGGCUAAAAUGGUGAAUAAAAUAAUACUACAGUGGGCGUAAAUGGAAGGUAAGAAACAAUGAAAAUGAAUAGUCUAAUGUCACCACAGGCACAUAAGGCCAAAGUUUGUUACAUCUGAUCAAGGACAAUUUAGUAUGUGGAGUGGGUCCUGCGUGUCAUUUUUUGGGCAUCUACCUUCUUCAGCAUUGAAGAUUUGAUGUUGACGACAUUUUAAAAAUUUGGAAGACCCAUCAUACAUUUGGAUGGUUGUCAUUAUUUGAUAUUAUCAUUAUCUCGUGGUGAUCCUAUUAUUUAUGUGGCAAAAGAGGUAAUUAAAUAAAAUUUAAUUGGAUGUAACACUUGUUUCGCGUUGUGAACUUUUGACAAUUCCCCUAUAUCCCUCCAAAAACUUUCGUCAUUUUGCCAAGAUACCUAACGAUUGUAAUGUAAUUUUCAUUAUUCAUAGUGCCAGAUAAUGGAGGUCCAGGAACGGACCAGAAAUUAUUGCUACCCGUGGACUUUUCCAAUUUAUUUUUUUUCUUUUGGAUGGUUGACGUUAUUUGAUAGGAGGACGAGAUAGAGAUAGAGUUCUUAAUCGAACACCCGUUUUAUUUAAUGGGGAAAUUAUCAUUUCACCACUACUCUUUUGCCUUAUGCUCAUUCAAUUACUACAAAAUUUUAACAUGUUCUCUGCACUACUUUUCUUUUUUAAAUUUGUAUCAAUUACUCACUUUUAUACUAACACCAUUAAAUAAUUUAAACAAAAUAAUAAAUUUACCCCUAAAUAAAUUAAAAGACCAUUUUAUUUUAUAAAAACUUAAAAAAUAAAAAAUAAAAAUUAUAAUUAUAAUUAUAAAAAUACCCCUAAAUUUAAUAAAGAAAUAAAUCCCCAAAUUAGAAUUUUUAUUUUAAUAAAAAUUAUAAUUAUAAAAUAAUUGCAAAAUUUUGGGAUUUAAUAAACAUCCCCUAAAAUAUUAAAUUUUGGGAUUUAUUUUUAAUAAAUAAAUUUAGUUAUUUUAAUAAAAUUUUACAAAAUUAUAAAUUUGUAAUAAAAAUAAGCUGAGCGCCUCUAUUUUGGAUUAUUUUUUAUUAAAUUUAGGGGUAUUUUUGUAAUUCUAAUAUUUUUUUUCAAAGCUUUUAUAAGAUAAAAUGGCAUUUUAAUUUAUUUAGGAGUAAAAUUAUCAUUUCGUUUAAAUUAUUUAACAGUAUUAGUGUAAAAGUGGCUAAUCGAUUCAAAUUUAAAAAGAAAGAUAGUGCAGAAAACAUGUUGAAAUUUUGUGGUGGUUAAAUGAACAUAAGUCAAAAGAAAGAUGGUAGAAUGAUAAUUUCCCUAUUUAAUAUGGAAGAAGAUCUUUAAACUCUCAGUGAGGCUAUGGCUUCAACAGAUGCAGCCUUGUGGAAAGAGGCAACAAGUAAUGAGAUAGACUCAUUAUUAUCUAAUCAACUAGAUGCAUCAACAAGAUCUUAACUUAGAUUGGAACUUGAAGCAUUGUUGUUUGAAACAUUGGCUCAAGCCUUUAGAGCGAGGUUGGAUGCAAAAUGAUUUACAACAAAGAAAGGAAAAAAUAAAUUUACUAAUUUACAAAAUAAAUUUAGUAAAUUAAUAAAGUCAUUAUAUGAUCUUAAAUAAGCACUAAAGCAACAGCAUGAAAAUUUUGAUUCUAUGAUCAUGUUGCAUGGAUUUUAACAUAAUAACGAUGAUAAAUGCAUUUAUUCUAAAUUAAUGGAUAAAUAUGGUAUGAUAAUUUUCCUCAUUUGAGAAAGAAUUCUUAAAUAAUGUCCCAUAUUAAUUAGUAAAAGAGAGUCACUUGGGCUUAUAAGUAGUAGAGAUGGGCAAAAUUGGAUGCAGAUGAUAUUCGGGUUAAUAUGAUCAGAUUUUGGAUUGUUCGGAUUGAUAAAAAGUCAUAUGAAUGCAAUAUGAACUUGCAUCCAAUCCGAUUAUGUACGGAUCAUAUUCAAAUUGGAUGAAUAGUGCAGAUUAAUUUGGAUUCGGAUCAGAUCGAUAAUAUCAAACUGAAAUCGGAAUCAGAUGUGUUCGAAUAAAUCAGAUGAAUUUCAAUCACUUGCAAGUUGAAAUACAAAAUUGAAAAAUCAUAGAAAUUAAGAAAAAAAUGCAGCAAGCUAGCAAAUGGAAGAACAAAGGCAAAAAAUUAUAUUAUAAAUUAAUCGUAAAAAGGUGCUAUUAGCAAUUGUUGCACAAUGCGAAAAUGUCCUGGAACUCGCUGUGUAGACAUGCAAAAGUUCCGUAAGUGCAUUAACAAUUAUUUUCCAAAAAAAGGUUGUUGCGUCAAUAUUAAAGGAAUUGACAUCCAGGGACCCAGUUUAGUUGCUUAAUGAUUAAUUAAUUAAUCAAUUUAUAAUAUAUUAAUCUUUUAAGUUGAAUACUUAAAAUCUUAGACCCCAAACAAUAAAUCAUCUGAGUAAUAUAAAAGAGAAAUUAUCAUCCUAUUUUUUAUUUGACUUCUUGUAGCUUAUAAAAGAGAAAUUAUCAGUCAUUUACUCAAAGUUUAUUCAGUUAUUAAAAUUAAUAUAAAAUUUAAAUUUAUUUAAUUUUACACUCAAUGUAUGCAAUUUGUAUUAAACAUCCGUUAAAAACAUAAAGUUAUUCCAUCAAAGUGACAAAAUAGAAGCGAACACAAAAUUGUAUUGGUGAUUAUGUUUUAAGAGUAAUUUUAUCUUUUUAGUAAACAGUUAUCCACAUUGUAACAAUGGGUAUAAAAUUAAGUAUAUUUAAAUUUUUAUAACUUUUAGGAUAAUAAGAUAAUUUUUAGGUGGAUGACUGAAAAUUUUUCUUUUCAAAAUAUUUUGAAAACAAUACCAAAUGUACCAAAACAUUGUUUACUUACACUCUAUAUAUAUAUAUAUAUAUAUAUAUAUAUAUAUAUAUAUUUAAUUUCUUAACUCAUUCUUAUCCUUAUUCUUGCUAACAUAUCCACAAUCUGUCAAUGAAAUUUACUUUUAUAAAUUUGAAGAUUCUUUCAUGCAAUUUUGUACGAUAAUGAGUUCUCAUGUCUCUGUUAAAAAAGAAUUCGUAAAUAAUACAAAUGAAAAAAAAACAAAAAGUAGCAGGGCUGGCAAUACAAACCAUAACUUUUUUUCUUUGAAAUAUGCAUAAAUAAAGUUAAUAGUGAUGUGUCAGCACGAUCUUGAGAGCACGGCUUGGAGUCUCAAUAAUUAUUGACACUCAUAUUUGAAAACUUUUGAAAAGAUAAAAUCCAAUAUGAAAGGUGAAAUGUUAUAAUCAUAGUAACUAGAAAAUUGAUUGAUUUACAAAUAUCAAUUUAAACAAUUUUCAUGUUGAUCGACAAUUUAAGUAGAUUGACAAAGAUUGAAGUAAUUACUGUUGGUGAUUGAUUGACUUUGUCCUUAUCCUUGCCUUCUUCUUAUCAAAAAUCGAGUGUCAAUUAAAUUGGGCCAGGGCUUCUGAUUGCAACUAAUAGACUUCAUAUACGCAUAAUGCUCCCUACGGACAUACGUACCAGUAUUUGAUUGAAAAAGGGAUGCGUGCUUAAUGCUCAAGUCGUCUUCUUCUGGAAAUUCAUUGUUAUUACUCUCAUCAACUCGUUACUCACAUUCCUCUUUAGUCAACAGAGAUCUUUUGCUCAAUAAAAUUUUUCUUCUAUAUUCAAGGUGAAUACAGCAGCUCAUCAACUCUGAUCCCAGACAGGUAAAGAGGCGCACUUGUUCUAAAACCUUUAAUAUUCUUUUAGUAACAGAAUCUCUGAUACUUGUUCUUCAUAGCGGUUCUUUCUUAAUUUCCAUCACCUUUCCUAGGAAAAAAUUCUUUGGUUUUUCUUAAUCAUAUCAUUUAUUUUUCUGAAGUCAUAUAAUUUAGUUUUAGUAGCAGAAUACUUGAUAUUGAUAGCGGUUCUUUCUUAAUUUCCAUCAACUUUCCUUGAAGGAUACCUUUCUGUUAAUAGCAAAACAUCUGAUCCUUAAGAUAGAAAAAGAAAUUCUCUAUUUAGGUAUCAGUUGGUUCAAGAUCAAUAUCGCGAUGUUGUUUGCGGUCUUUUCUUUCUCCGUCUUUCCCUUUAGUUCAGUUUAAUUUAUUUGUUUUCCUUUCUUUGAUAUAUUAUUAGAUUUGUUAAGUAGCAGACAAUGGCAGAAGUUGGUCUGGCUGCUUUUUCCAGCAUUGUAUCAGAAGGUGCAAAGUCACUGUUCAAACCGAUUAUACGGCAGAUAUCUUAUGUGUUCAAGUACCAGAGCUACAUAGAUGAGCUAAAAGAUAAAGUGAAGCGGCUGGAACAUAAAAGAGAAAGGGUGGAAAUACCCGUUCAUCAGGCAACUCAACAAGGAGAUGAGAUUUAUAAGGAUGUUGCAGACUGGCUUAAUAGCGUCAAGGAAUUCACUCAGGGAGCUGCAAAAUCCAUCACUGAUGAUGAAGAUAGAGCUAAGAAGUUCUGUUUCAAAGGAUUGUGCCCAAACUUGAUCUCUCGUUACAAGCUCAGUAAACAAGCAGCAAAGGCUGCAGAAGCUGCCGCUAGUCUCGUGGGAAAAGGCAACUUCUCCAAUGUUUCCCACCGUCCUACUCCAAAGCUGGUAGAACAUAUGCAAGUGAAAGAUUUCGAGGCCUUUGACUCAAGAAUGAAAGUAUUUCAAGAUGUUUUGGAGGCGUUGAAGGAUGAUAAGCUCAAGAUAAUUGGGGUCUACGGGAUGGGCGGCGUGGGUAAAACCACGCUUGUCAAGCAAGUUGCGAAGCAAGUGAUGGAAGAUAAGUUGUUCGAUAAGGUCGCUAUGGCUGAGGUAACAGAGAACCCAGAUCAUCAGAAAAUUCAAGACAAACUAGCUUCUGAUUUAGGCAUAAAGUUUGAGUUGAAUGAGAGUAUAUUCGACAGAGCAAAUCGACUAUGUGGAGUAUUGAAGAACAAGGAGCGGCAUCUCAUUAUAUUGGAUAAUAUUUGGAGAGAACUGGAGUUCGAUAAAGUUGGAAUUCCUUCCAGGGAUGUCGAGAAAGAAAGAAUGGAUGAUCAGAGACGAUGCACAAUAAUACUGACGUCUAGACGUCAAGAUUUAUUGCGCAAUAUUAUGAAUUCUCAGAAAGAAAUCCAGAUCGAUGCUUUAUCAAAAGAAGAAGCAUUGCAUUUAUUUAAGAAGAUAGUGGGUGAUUCAAUGAAAACAUUUGCUUUUCAAUCUAUAGCAGAUGAGAUCGUUGAAAGAUGCGGAGGACUGCCUGUUGCACUGAUUACACUUGCAAAAGCUUUGAAAAAUGAGAGGCUUGACACUUGGAAAGAUGUGUUGAAUCAGCUAAGAAGUUCCAAUGCAAAAGAAAUUGAUGGAAUGGAAAUAAAUGUGUACAUCUCCAUAAAAUUGAGUUACGACUUAUUGGGAAGUAAGGAAGCAAAAUCUCUGUUCCUUCUUUGUGGUCUAUUUAGUGAAGGUCAUGCUAUACCAGUUUCUUCCUUAUUGAGAUAUGGUAUGGGUAUGGGCUAUUUUAAAAACGUUUACACACCGGAAGAAGCAAGAAGUAGAGUGCAUACGUUGAUCGGCAAACUCAAAUCUUCAUGCUUAUUGUUGGACGGUGAUACUGAAGCUAAAGUUAAAAUGCAUGACGUCAUUCAUGCUGUUGCUGUAUCAAUUGCAGAAGAGGAGCUCAUGUUUAAUAUUCCAAAUGUUGCCGACUUGGAGAAAAAGAUGGAAGAGACAGUACAGGAAGGUCCAAUUGCUAUUUCUUUACCUUAUAGAGGUAUUCAAGUGCUUCCUGAAAGGUUGCAAUGUCCCUGUCUUGAGCUAUUGCAUACGGAGGGUGAUGGCUCUAUGCAAGUUUCAGACCACCUUUUUAAAGGGACGGAAGGACUCAAAGUUUUGAAUUUUAAUCGAAUUCACUUCUCUUCAUUACCUUCAUCACUUGGUUGCCUCAUUAACCUUCAAACAUUGUGCUUAGACUAUUGCCGACUAAAAGAUAUAGCAAUAGUUGGACAGCUAAAGAAAUUAGAGAUUCUCAGCCUUGUAUAUUCCGAUAUCAAGCAGUUACCACUUGAAAUUGGACGAUUGACGCGGUUACAGUUGCUAGAUUUGAGCAAUUGUUGGAGCCUUGAGUUGAUACCACCAAAUGUCAUAUCAAAAUUAUCUCGAUUAGAAGAAUUGUUUAUGCAUAACAGCUUUUCACAGUGGGAUAAGGUAGAAGGAGGAAGUAAUGCCAGUCUUGUCGAGUUGAAGGGGUUGUCAAAGCUAACUACUUUGGAGAUACAUGUUUCGGAUUCCGAAAUUCUGCCGCUGGAUUUUGUCUCUGUGGAAUUGGAAAGAUAUAAGAUAUUUAUAGGACAAAUGUCUGUCCGGUGGCUCGUCGAAUCUAAAACAUCAACAUUGAUGGUGCUCAAGGGGCCAGAACAAGUUAGCCUUCUUUUGGGGAAUGAUGGGACGAAAAUGUUGCUGAAGAGAACUGAAGAUCUCCGUCUAUGCUCACAGAAGGGUGUUCAGAAUAUUGUUCAUGAAUUAGACGAUGGGGAAGGUUUUCCACGAUUGAAGCAUCUUCAUGUAAAAAGUUGUUCUGAGAUUUUACAUAUUGUCGGUUCAGUUGGACGGGUUCGUUGCGAAGUCUUUCCCUUGCUGGAGUCAUUGGAUCUUAUUAAUUUAACUAAUUUGGAGACGAUAUGCUACAGCCAACUCAGAGAAGAUCAAUCUUUCAGCAACUUAAGGAAAAUAAACGUAGAUUUCUGUCCAAAAUUGAAGUAUCUCUUCUCAUUCUCUAUGGCCAAAAACCUAUUGCGGCUUCAAAAAGUAAAAGUGGAAAACUGCGAUGAUUUGAAAAUGAUUAUUGGUAAGUGUUGAAAUUAAUUAUUGGUAGGAUUAUUGACAUUGACUCAUUCUUUUUUUCUUUUCUUUUUUUUUUUUUGGUGAAAAAAACAACGGAUGUUUAUUAUAUAUUGUUUUUGUUCAUUUAUAGGGCCCGACAUGGAGAAACCAACAACAACUCAGGGAUUCACAGAAAUCAUUGCAGAGGAUGAUCCUGUUCACCAAGUAAUAAUUUUCUGUUUAAUAAUUAAUUAAUUAAUAUAUUAUCACGAUUGAUCUUCAAUCAUCGAAAGAAUAUUAUAUUAGAAGUUGUAGUUGAAGGAACAAAAAUGUAUGGUUUUUCUUUGCAGGUUACUUUUCCACGCUUGGAGGAACUGAAACUUGUCAGUUUAACAAACAUCAAAAAAUUAUGGCCCGAUCAAUUUCAUGGAAUGUAUUGUUGUCAAAAUUUAACAGAAGUGACCGUGUUCGGUUGUGAUCGUCUGAAGUAUCUGUUUUCAUAUUCUAUGGUUAAUAGUCUUGGGCAACUCCAACAUCUUGAGAUACGAAAUUGCUGGUCAAUUGAAGGGGUAGUCAACACCACGGGGUUAGGAGGAAGAGAUGAAUUGAAGGUUUUUCCCAAACUACACUACCUGUCGCUCCAUUGGCUUCCAAAACUAAGUAGCUUUGCCUCACCAGAAGACGUCAUUCACACUGAAAUGCAACCUCAAUCCCUCUUUGAUGAAAAGGUUUUUUUUCAUUGAAUUUUUAAAUUCUCUUUUCGUUGAGUCUUCAAAUUUAAUUAAUAUCCAUCUCUAACUGCAUUGAAUUUUCAACUUCAGGUACGACUCCCAAGUCUGGAGGUAUUACAUAUUAAGAGGCUGGAUAAGUUGAGAAAAAUAUGGCACCACCAGCUUGCUUCGAAGUCAUUUAACAAAUUGAAAAAAUUUGAGAUAUCAGGGUGUCAUAAUCUACUGAAUAUUUUUCCUCCAUUGGUAAGAUUGCUAUAUUCAUUUUGAAUUUUUAUUUCAAAUAACAUUCAACAAUUAUUUUAAUCAUUUUUGUGUUUACAAAUAAUUUUCAUUCACAAAUUAUUUAUUGCAAGUAUUGUACUUCAAACUUCUGGAGGGAAAAAAAGUAGUGUACUUCAAAUCACCAUUCUGAACUCUGCAUUUUCAAUCUAAUUUAUAGGUUCACCUGCAUUAAAGUCAACAAUAUAAUUGUUUUAAACACGAUUCAACAGCAUAAUAUGAUUCAAUUUAAUUGUUUUUUUUCUUAAAUCCUAAUAAAUAAGAUUUCCAGAAAUUAAAAGAUACUUAGUUACUCAGCUUUUAAGUUCACAAAUUCAUAUAUAUUUCUCUUUUCCUUGGGUCUUUAGAUUUCGAUUUUAAAAAUAAAAUAAAGAAAAGUGUUCAAAUGUAGUUAAUAUCUCUAGUUUAGUUAUGAAUUGAUUACGCCAUUGAUUAAGCACAAAUUCAUGAUGGUCAUUUUGAAUCGACCGUUGAUUAAAAAAUUUCCUCAAAUAUUCACUCUAUAACAGUCCCAUGUUGAUGGCGUUGGGAAGUGUUUUCCAGAAAUGUUUUCCAUUUUUAAAAGCAUGAAUAUCGGGAAAAAAAAAAAUGGGAAAUACAGCGUUUUAGUUUAGUUAUUUUAAAAAUAGGCAUGUUUGAAAAUUAAAAAUUUUUAAAAACUAGCAUCAAGAUGAAAAAUGAAUUUAGAAUAUUUAAAAAUUACCUGAAAUUCUUUCUCUGUUCCUAAUACUAAAUAGUGUAAAUGCAUUUUCAUUAUCUUUGUUUUUCUGGUCUUCUAUUUAUUUAUUUUUGUUUUAAUUUUUUCCUUUUUUUCUUUAACAAAAAAUAUCUAGUAGACAUUCAUGGUUUGUUAUUUUUCAUAAAACAAUUGUAUGAUUUUGACAUACUUUGAAUCUAGUUGAAUGCUACUCUUUAUUUUCAGGUUGGAAUUCCCAAUAGUCUAGUGAAUCUUAAUGUAUCAUACUGUGAAAAAAUAGAAGAAAUCAUAGGACAUGUUGGAGAAGAAGCGAAGGAGAAUCGUAUUGCUUUCAACGAAUUAAAACAUUUGGAACUUGAUCAUUUACUAAGGCUUACCAGCUUUUGUUUGGAGAAUUACACUCUUGAAUUCCCAUCAUUGGAACGAGUAUCUGUGACACAUUGUCCGAACAUGAAGACUUUUUCUCAGGGAAUCGUAUCCACACCAAAGUUGCACGAAGUGCAGGUGAGUAAAAAGGAAGUAUUAAGUUUUAUAUGAAACUGUGAUGUUGUUUGGUUACUAAGAAAAUAGGAAGAAAGAAAACUUCUGUAAGCUGAGAAUUCUGUUAUUAUUGACCUAAUGAAUCUGGAAAUUACAAGCCUUUUUAUAUGUGCAUAGAAGAUUCUACACACAUUGCACACACGCACAGUUUAAUACUAACAACCUCUAUAACAACCUUUAGCUGACUCAGCUGCCAUGUCAGCAUACUCAUUAACUAACUAAUUCUAUUCUUAACAGGAAGAGGGUGAAUUGCGCCGUUGGGAAGGCAACCUUAAUUCCACUAUACAAAAGUGUUACGAAGAAAUGGUAUGUGUUAAAUCGAUUCGUCGAAAUUACUUAUGCAUCUCCCUUGCACUUGCACAUUUAAGUAUAUACACCUGCCUUGUAUAUAUAGUUUUAGAAGUUAAAACACAAAACAUGUAAGUUUAAUGUAUAUAUAUCUAAUGCCUUUCAAAAAGAAAAAAAAUUGUAUAUAUCCAGUGCAAUUGUUUUGGUUUGUGCAGAUUGGAUUUCGUGACAUAAUGCGUUUGCAACUUUCGCAUUUUCCACGUUUGCAAGAAAUAUGGCAUGGCCAAGCACUGCCUGUCAGCUUCUUCAACAAUUUAAGAGAGCUGGUGGUGGAUGACUGCACGAAUAUGUCGAGUGCUAUUCCUGCCAAUCUGCUACGGUGCUUGAACAAUUUGGAAUACCUGGCAGUGAGGAAUUGUGAUUCACUAGAAGAGGUGCUUCAUUUGGAAGAACUAAUUAAUGCUGAGGAAGAACAUUUUGGCCAACUGUUCCCUAAUCUUUACGAGCUAAAGCUCAUUGAUCUUCCAAAACUCAAAAGAUUCUGCAACUUCACUGGGAAUAUAAUUGAACUGCCUAAGUUGGACAAUCUAACUAUUGAGAAUUGCCCUAGUAUGGAAACACUGCCUGUCAGCUUCUUCAACAAUUUAAGAGACCUGGUGGUGGAUGACUGCACGAAUAUGUCGAGUGCUAUUCCUGCCAAUCUGCUACGGUGCUUGAACAAUUUGGCAUGGCUGAAAGUGAGGAAUUGUGAUUCACUAGAAGAGGUGCUUCAUUUGGAAGAGCUAAGUGCUAAGGAAGAACAUAUAGGCCCCAUGUUUCCUGAGCUUUCCCUGCUAGGGCUCAUUGAUCUUCCAAAACUCAAAAGAUUCUGCAACUUCACUGGGAAUAUAAUUGAAAUGCCUAAGUUGGAAUAUCUCAUUAUUGAGAAUUGCCCUGAUAUGGAAACAUUCAUAUCCAACUCUGUAGUGCACGUGACAACAGAUAACAAGGAACCUCAAAAAUUAACAUCAGAAGAGAACUUCUUGCUGGCUCAUCAAGUACAACCUCUCUUUGAUGAAAAGGUGAUUAUUAUUAUUAUUAUUAUUUUUCCCUUCACUUUCGUUUCAUAGAUGUAAUUUCAUUAGAAUCAAAUCAAAUUUAAUGACUCAUCUUUUUGCACGUCGUCUUAAUUUUUAUAUGAUUUAACAAUAUAACUGCAGUUAUUAACUAUCUUUAUAGUAUGAAUUAUAAAAAUGUCUGAAAUUAAUUGGAUGCCUGAUAACACGAGGUGAUCUAUUAAUUAUGUGUAUUACAUCUCUGUUUUCCUAGCUAAUUCAUAUUGGAUUUAGCAUCAGAUUUCAUUUAUGUGUUUCAAAGGGUAAUCGAUUUGAUACUUAUAUUUGGGAUCCUACUGCAAAGCAUACUAAUUUGGAAAUAAAAUAUAAAAUGCCGUGAUUAAUCUUGUCCAUAAAAUAUGCAGGGGAAGACUGCAGAGAUUGGAUACAUAUUUUCAUUUACAACUUAAUUUUGUUGAUUUUUAGGUUGCAUUCCCUCAAUUGAGUUGGUUAACGCUAUCUGGAUUACACAAAGUGCAGCAUCUCUGGAAGGAAAAUGACGAAUCCAACAAAGCGUUUGCAAACUUGGCAAGUCUAGAAAUAUCGGAAUGUAUUCAGUUGCAAAAAUUAGUACCACCUUCGUGGCAUUUGGAAAAUAUGUGGGGACUGGAAGUAUCGAAGUGUCACGGGUUGAUAAAUGUGUUGACGCUCUCAGCAUCUAAAAAUCUAGUGAACCUUGAAAGAAUGAAGAUAGCUGAUUGCAAAAGGAUAGAAGAAAUCAUACAGUCGCCGGUUGCAGAAGAAGCGAAAGAUUGCACUGUUUUCAAGAAAUUGAAGUACUUGACACUUGAUUGUUUGCCAAGCCUAACAAGCUUUUGUUUAGGUAAUUACGCUCUUGAAUUCCCGUCCUUGAAACAAGUAGUUGUGAGACAGUGUCCAAAAAUGAAGAUCUUCUCUCAAGGAGUCUUAGACACACCAAUGCUAAACAAAGUGAACGUCACCGAAGAAGAAAAAGAUGAUGAUGAUGAAGGAUGUUGGGAAGGCAACCUCAAUGACACCAUAAAAAAAUUGUUCAAUGAAAUGGUGAGUAUCAAUUAAGUUUUGAUGCUAUUUAGCAAAUUAUUUUAUAGAAACUAAUGUGAUAUAAUAUGAUUGGUUGACUGAAAAUAUAUAAUAAUAAUAAUAAUAAUAAAUAAAUAAAUAAAUAAAUUAUGAGGACCAUGUAAUGUUUUUGUUUAAUCAAUCAUAUUAUGUCGCAUUAGUUUAUACAAUAUUAUUUGUGCACAAGAGGUGGUGGUCAUAUCAUUACUCUAGCUUUAUUAUUCUUAUGGUGGCAAUGUAUGCUUGCUUACACGAGUAAUUACAAAAUCUGCAGAAUUCUAAAGAAGAGAUUGAGCCAACCCUUCAGGUACAGUGAAGAAGCUAUCCCGAACCAGGCCAAUCUCUUAUACAUGAUUCAGCUUGCUCGUUCUUCUGUACUUGAAUAAUUUGGUUCUAUAUAUUUACAAUUUUUCGCUCAUGCUACAGACUUGCAAGACACUUUGGAUUUUGUUUGAUGCAUUCUCCGUUUAAGAAAGGACUUGAAUUGAUGUUUCAUGUUUCAUGCAAUAUUCAAUUAGAUUCUGCCUAAAUUUCUGUAUUAUUCGUUCAAUUGGUCUUUUAAGCAUUUGAUUUCUAACCUCUCCUAAUGGAAGAUCAUUAUCUGAAGAAAACAGCAUAACAUUUGUGGCAUUAUCAGAAUAAGAAUAUUUUUGAGUAUAGUAAAAUUAUCUCCACCACUGUUAAAAAGAAUUAAUCAGUCAAACUGACCUCACACCAGCACGCUUUAAAUUAAAAGAAUUUCGUGAAGUCGAGACCAUGUUAUAGAUCUCAUGGAAAGAAGUAAACCCGUAAUUUUUUUCACAGCAUCAUAAGAAAAAUCAUUUUUUUUAAGUAUUUUUGCUAGCUGUUGAGUUUUAAUAGUAGUAGCUAUUAAACAAUAACAAUUAGUGUAUAUUAAAAAGUUGGAAACUGGUUGAUACCACUCGGGAAUCGAGCAGUUCACUUGUUUGCGAGUAGAAACCUACUUUACUACUAAUUACACUCAUACCAAAAAUAGUAACUAAAGAAUCAGGAAAUUUCCUAUUCACUAUUCUUCAUUUUUUAAUGCAAAAUUCCCAUUCGAAAACACCAAUGACUUUCAUUCAAAGUAAAUGAGAAAUUACAAUGAAAAUAGAAUCAAAAUACAUGUAUGUAUACCUAAAACAAAUGAUUUUUUUAAUUAAAAAAAAAACACAGUUGAGGUGAAAUGAAACCAGAGUCAUGAUAUCUCUGGUUCCAGCUUUGGGACAACAGCAGACUUGAGUUCUCUAUGAGAAACACGUACAACACCAAUCAGCCGCUCCGGUAAUUCAUCUGUAGUAUUUGCCUGCAUACAGAAGAGCAAGAUAAAGAAGACACACACAGAAGCAUUAUAUCAUUCUGAGAACAUUCAAGUAUGCAAAAAUGCAAGUUGCAGUGCAAUAUCUCAAAAUCAUGUCUUUUCCCUUGUGUCCAUUUAGCAGUGGGGGAAAAAAACAAUCAUACAUACCUGUACAAGGAAAGCCAUGUCAACCACCAAUGUCGUAAUUACACCAAUUACAAGGCCCAAAACUCCAUUAGCAACAGUAGAAGAAUCGAUGUCAACAUCAAUCUACAGAAAGAUGAACAAUGUUAAACCAUGUUAAAGGUAUUGGACGCUAUUUGAAAGGGGAACAUCUCAUGUACUAUAGAAAUUCCAAGAGCAUUUACUUCUAAGUACUUGGGACCGCGAAUAUAGUUACAAUCAACUGCCUUCCCCAAUAAACAAGGGGUGCUUCCAACACUCUGGCGCACUAUCCAUGACCCCUGCAUGAUUCAGUGCUGAAAAUCAAGAACAAGUGCAAAACAAAUUCAAGAGGGUAAAAAGGAGAUAAAGUUUGAAGGUACAACCCAUCAAUACAUUCACACCUAAAUGCAUGCCUUCUUUGUACAAAUUGAAGUGUACCAUGCAGUAAAGGGUAAGUAUACGUUAAUAUAGUCCUACUACAUGAAGGCCAAGAUGGAUACCUUAGGAACAGAUGGAAUAAGUUUCAACCUACUAUUGCGAAAUUCAUCAUCGCCAUCAACAAACCGUUGCAAAAGUGAUCCCGUAACCAAUUGCCUUGUGACAAAAUAAAAUACCAUACUAUAAUGUGUUGAACCAGGAACCUGCAGAUGCUUAGGUUACAACUAUACAACCUCCCAAUACAAUAAGUUUGAAACUUAUACCUUCUGAAAUGAAACAAACUUUCUUGAAGAUUAAAGAUCAGUGAGAAAAGCCCUUUUUCAGAAGCAACCUACAUAUUUUAGAAUAGGGCUCAGUGCGUUAUAGAUUCAAUGAACCAUGAGAAGUUAUUUACAUUGUUGUAUCUCACAGGCAGUCUUUUCUCCUAAUGUAUCAAGGGAAAAUGCUAGUGAAUUGAAUGAAGCUAGAGCAGAGCAUGAUGUUGCUGUGUAGCUGACUUUAGCAGAUCAACUCACUAAGCUAACCUGGCAAAGUUAUUUAGCUGGUUGAGCUGAUGUGUCAAAUUAGUUAUGCAGCAAAUGGUUAUGUGAUGUAACAAACUCGUGUGUGUGUUGAGCAAAUUGUAGCUUAAUAUAAAUAUCAGUCUGUAUUCAUUCAGUUGUAAUGCUAAAGUAAUAAAGGUUCUACAAACUUCUUUACAGAGCUUUCUUUUAUUUUCUUCAUUUUCUAGCUUGCCAAACAAUGCAAAACUAAGUUUCUUUCAUGGUAUUAGAGCCAUAAAUGGCGAAUACAGUUCAAAAUAACAACUCUUUUAGUUUUGUUACGCCUGUAAAGCUAGACCAAAACAACUUCAUUUUAUGGCGGGCACAAAUUUUAGCAUCGAUCAAAGGAAACGGUCUGGAAGGGUUUAUCAAUGGUGAUCAAGAAUGUCCUGAGCAGUUUCUUUCUUCUGGAAACAACAAUGGAGCUGAAAUUUUUACUGAAUCUGAAUCCAAAUCUAUUAAUCCAGAGUUCAUAGCUUGGAUGAAGACUGAUCAACUUCUGUUGAGUUAGAUGAUGUCGUCGAUACAGCAAAAUCUACUUGCUACUGUGAUUGACUCCACAACUUCAAAACAGCUUUGGAAGACUCUUACUAGUAUGUUUAUUUCUUAAUCACAAGCUAGAAUUCAAACACUUAGAAUGCAGAUUCAAACUAUUAAGAAAGGUGCAAUGCAUAUGUCUGAUUACUUUGCAAAAGUAAAACGUAUAGCUGAUACUUUAGCUCUAGCUGGAAAACCUGUUGAGUUAAGUGAUCUUGUGAUGCAUGUAUUAACUGGUCUUGAUUCAUCAGAUUAUGAAUCUUUAGUCACAGGUGUUUUAGCUCGAGGUGAGAAGAUAACAUUAGAUGAACUAUAUCCUUUGCUAUUGAAUCAUGAAAAUAGAGUUGAACAAAAGAAAGGAAAAAUUGCUGGUGAUGUGAUGCACAAUAUGACAGCAAAUAUUGCUCAAAAGAACUCAUAUGCUGGAAAGAAUAAUGGCAAUUUUCAAAAAAAUUAUGGAAAUAAUUCUAGGUAUGGAGGUUUUAAUGGAUAUGGAUAGGGUCAGUUUAAUAAUGGUGGUAAUUCCUCUGAAAUUGUUUGUCAAAUCUGCUUCAUACCUGGUCAUGCAGCCAAUAGAUGCAAAAAUAGGUACAAUUCAUCUUUUGUUCCACAGAGAAACUAUGGCAGAGGUAAUAUGAAUGGUGGCAGAGGUUUUAAUCAAGGGCAAUAUGGUAGAGGAAGAGCUUUUAAUAGUAAUGGUGGCAGAGGUUUUGGAGGUUUUGGUUUAAAUGCUGGUUUUGGCUAUGCACCCAGGGGUUUUGGCUAUCAAGGAAAUAUGGUGUAUCCAGAUAGUAAUCCUUCUGCUUAUUACUCAUUCACCCCUGGACCAUCUACUUUUGUUUCUGGUCAAGGAAAUAAUAAUCCUGGACAGUCAAGUGCUUCAUCUUCCUCAGCUAUGCCUUCUUCACUUCCACCAGAACACAUUGAAGAUCCUUCAUGGUAUAUUGAUAGUGGAGCAACAAAUCACAUUACAAAUGAUCUAGGUAAACUUCUGGAUUCACAAAUUUAUACUAGUACUGAAAAAUUAUUUGUUGGAGAUGGAAAUGCAUUAGCUAUUACACAUGUAGGAUCAGUUGUGCUAAAUACUUCAACUUCUAAACCUUUAAAAACCAUGUUCUUCAUGUCCCUUUUAUUACUAAGAAUUUGCUUAGCAUUUCAAAAUUAUUGGCUGACAAUCCAGUUACUGUUGGAAUUUCUUGGUGAUUUGUUUUUUAUAAAGGCUAGGAACACAAGGAAAAUUUUACUUGAAGGUGUUGCUAAAGGUGACUUGUAUAGAGUCUCUUCACAUGUUGCUGCUCAUUCAGUCUUUCUCAAUUCAGUUGGUCAAAAUAAAAUUCACUCUCUUUGCUUGUUCUCCUGUUUUCAAUUCUGAUCAGCUCACUGCUGUUAGUUCUUAUGAAUUGAAUAAAAAGCCAUGUCUGUCAGUUGUUACAAAGAGUUCUAUUGAUGUAAAUCUUCUUCAUAGAAGAUUAGGACACCCAGCAUCUUAUACUCUCAAAACUAUACUCAAAACUUGUAACAACUCUACUGCUUAUAAUAAAAUUGAAAGCUUGAAAUUUUGUUCAGCAUGUCAAUAUGGGAAAAAUCAUAUGCUGCAUUUUGAUUCAGUUGAAACAAAAACUUCAGCACCCUUACAAGUGAUAUAUGCAGAUCUUUGGGGUCCUUCUCAUGUCUGUUCUACCCAAGGAUAUAAUUACUACUUAUCAAUCUUAGAUGAUUAUAGUAGAUUUACCUGGAUAUUUCCAUUGUCAGCCAAAUCUGAUGCUCUUGAAGUGUUUACCAAUUUCAAAAUUUUUAUUGAAAAGCAUCUUCAACUUCAAAUCAAAACUGUCCAAACUGAUUGGGGAGAAGAGUUCAGAACAUUUUCCUCAUUACUCACUGCUUCUGGUAUCCAUUUUAGACACCCUUGCCCACAUAUUCAUCAUCAAAAUGGAAGAAUUGAGAGGAAACAUAGACACAUAGUUGAUGUAGGUCUGACCUUAUUAGCUCAAGCACAUUUACCACUCAAAUUUUGGUGGAAUGCAUUCCACACAGCUGUCUAUUUGAUAAACAGACUUCCAACUCCAAUUCUAAACAACAUUUCUCCUUUCCAAAAGUUAUUUCAUCAUCAACCAGAUUAUUCAACACUUAAAACCUUCGGUUGUGCUUGUUAUCCAACACUCAGACCAUACAAUAGACAUAAGUUUGAUUUCAGAACUGCCAGAUGUAUAUUCAUUGGCUACAAUUCACAACACAAGGGAUAUCAGUGUCUUCACUCUUCUAAGAGGGUUUACAUUUCAAAUCAUGUCACCUUUGAUGAAAAUUCUUUUCCUUAUGAGUCUGGAGCAGAUUUUUCUUCACUCUCUUCAAGUUGUCAGUCAACAAAAAAUUAUAAGUCUUCUUUCAAUUCCUCUGUUCCUUCUAUUACUCAGUUACAAGCACCUUUAGCAGCAUCAUCAGAACACCAUCAAAAUGUUCAUCAUUCAGAUGCUCCUACUCCCUCACCAAAUUCUACUCCACUUUAUUUUUCUGAUAAUUCCAACUCAGCUUCUUCUUCUUCACCACCACAUAAUUCACCUCCACAUACAUUGCCACAACCUGCAUCAACUGGUCAUCCAAUGAUAACCAGGUCAAAAGCAGGUAUUUUCAACCCAAAAAUUUAUUUGUCAGCUUUAUUAGCCCAGAAAUCAGAACCAACUUCUGUUUCCCAAGCACUUUCUGAUCCUAUGUGGUAUAAGGCUAUGCAAGAAGAGUAUCUAGCACUUAAAACUAAUCACACCUAGGAUUUAGUUUUACAUGCUACUCCAGUGAAGAUAGUUGGCAGCAAAUGGGUGUUUUGAAUAAAGUAUAACUCAGAUGGUUCAGUUUCAAGAUAUAAAGUCAGGCUUGUUGCAAAGGGGUUUCAUCAGACACAUGGGAUUGACCAUACAGAAACUUUUAGUCCAGUGGUUAAAGCUUCAACUGUUAGAGUUAUUCUUAGCUUAGCAGUAUUGAAUCAAUGGGUGAUUAGGCAAGUAGAUGUUAAUAAUGCCUUUCUAAAUGGCAUUUUAAUUGAAGAGGUGUACAUGGCUCAACCUGAAGGUUUUGUUGACUCAACUAAACCUAAUCAUAUCUGCAAGCUGAAUAAAGCUUUGUAUGGCUUAAAACAGGCACCUAGAGCCUGGUUUGAUAGAUUCAAGGAUGCAAUGAUCUCUAAACGGCAUUUCCAGCAUUCAAGGUCUGAUAACUCUCUGUUUCAUGCCUGGAACAGUGGUCAUCUAACUCUUGUUUCGGUCUAUGUUGAUGAUAUUAUCAUCACUAGUUCCAGUCCAACACUAAUUCAGCAAGUUAUUAAGAUUAUGAAUUUGCUUUAAAAGACAUGGGGGAACUUAGCUAUUUUCUGGGGAUUGAAGUCAGCAAGUCUUCACAAGGGGUUUCCUUGACACAAGCAAAGUAUAUUACUGACAUUCUGGAUAAACAUGGCAUGACAGAUUGCAGUCCUGUGCCUACUCCAAUGUCUACUGGUUAUUAUCUCACAAAAGAAUCAGGAGAGCUAAUUGAUAAUGUUUCUCAAUAUAGGAGUGUUAUAGGAGCUCUUCAAUAUGUUACUCUUACCAGACCUGACAUUGCUUUCUCUGUAAACAACCUAAGUCAAUUCCUUUCAAGUCCUAGAACACAACAUUGGGAAACAUGCAAAAGGUUAUUGAGGUACUUAAAAGGCACUAUACAUCUUGGGCUGCAAUUUAAUAACAAAGGAGCUUUGCAACUACAUUGUUUUUCAAAUUCUGACUGGGCUUGUGAUCGUGAUGAUAAGAAGUCAGUGGCUGGCUUUGCUGUUUACCUAGGCCCUAAUCUAGUCUCAUGGUCAUCAAAGAAACAAGCUGUUGUUUCCAGGUCCAGCACAGAGGCUGAGUAUAGAUCUCUUGCUCAUGCUGAUUCAGAGGUUCCCUGGUUACAAUCUUUACUUGGUGAACUUAACAUCAAAUUGAGCUCUACUCCUAUGAUGUGGUGUGAUAAUCAAGAAGCAAUUGCUUUAGCUUACAAUCCAGUCUAUCAUGCUAAAACUAAGCAUGUCGAAUUGGAUAUACAUUUUAUCCGAGAUAAAGUUACUGCUAAAGAGAUUGAAGUAUGUUUUGUGCCCAGUCAAGAUCAAACAGCAGAUGUGUUGACUAAGGCUUACUUUCAAACAGUUUAGUUACUUAAGAAGCAAGCUGAAUGUUCAUCCUAAACAUUUCAGCUUGAGGGGGGAUGUUAGUGAAUUGAAUGAAGUUGGAGCAGAGCAUGAUGUUGCUGUGUAGCUGACUGUAGCAGAUCAACUCACUAGGCUGACCUGGCAAAGUUAGUUAGCUGGUUGAGCUGAUGUGUCAAAUUAGUUAUGCAGCAAAUGGUUAUGUGAUGUAACAAACUUGUGUGUGUGUUGAGCAAAUUGUAGCUUAAUAGAAAUAUCAGUCUGUAUUCAUUCAGUUGUAAUGCUAGAGUAAUAAAGGUUCUACAAACUUCUUUACAGCGCUUUCUUUUAUUUUCUUUCAUUUUCUAGCUUGCCAAACAAUACAAAACUAAGUUUCUUUCAGAAAAGGAAAAAUAAAAAGAAAAGAAUAGUUACUGUUGAAAAUAAAGAUUCAAAGUUAUGAUUUCUUUGUAAUCUAGGCUAUUUUAGGAAUAAGUUAAAUUAUAAUGGGAAGAUUCAUUAGGAUUUUUUCCAGAUUUUGUUUCCUAUUAUUUAGGAAAGGAUAGAUGUAGUCUCCUAUUUUCUCUCCUAUUUUGCUGUAUAUAUUCCCUGUACAUACUGUUCUGGAAAGUAAGAAAAAGAGGAACCAAUUCACAUUUUUCUUCAUGGUAUCAGAGCCUGGCUCUAAACCCUAGUUCUCCUAUCAGCCGCCAUUUCCUUCUUCUCUCAUAAAUUGAACAAUCUACCUUCCUUCCUCUCCCAUCAAUUGUAUUCUCUGUGGCAAAAUACGGGAUGGCUUCCUCAUCAACCUCUGUUACAGUAUCACAGUCUAAAGGAAACGUGGAGACUGCAACUCAUGGUGGAAUUGAUUCUUCACCGAUCUUAAUUACCAGUCAUAAAUUGAACGGCCACAAUUAUCUCCAGUGGUCACAAUCUGUCAUGAUGUUCAUCUGUGGCAAGGGUAAGGAUGAUUAUCUCACGGGUGAGGCGGCCAUGCCAAAGGUAUCAGACCCUAGUUUCAAAAGGUGGAAGUCAGAGAACAACAUGAUCAUGUCAUGGCUUAUCAAUUCCAUGAACAAUGAUAUUGGUGAGAAUUUUCUUCUGUUUGGGACUGCAAAGGACAUAUGGGAUGCUGCAAAGGAAACCUAUUCUAGCUCUGAGAACACAUCAGAGUUAUUCCAGAUUGAAACCAUCCUCCAUGACUUCCGCCAAGGAGAACAAUCUGUCACUCAGUACUUUAAUACUCUGACUAGGCAUUGGCAACACCUUGAUCUAUUUGAAACAUACCCUUGGAAGUGCACCGACGAUACAACCUUGUACAAGAAGAUUGUGGAACAGAAGAGAACGUUUAAAUUUCUCCUCGGACUCAAUAAAGAUCUUGAUCAGGUUAGGAGCCGUGUACUCGGGACAAAGCCUCUACCACGCCCUCGUGAAGCCUUUUCUGAAGUUAGGCAUGAAGAAAGUAGGAAAAAGGUGAUGAUGGGGUCAUCAGAACCAACACUGGACGCCUCUGCACUUGCUGCCCGUGCAUCCAACUCUGUAGGGGUUAGUGAAAAUCGUACAAAGAAAGAAAGACCAUGGUGCGAUCACUGUCGUAAGGCAGGCCACUAUAAGGAGAGUUGCUGGAAAAUUUAUGGCAAGCCUGCUGAUUGGAAACCUCGUUCCAAAGGUGACCGUGAAUCUCGUGCUCAUGCAGCAUCCACCACGGACAAUCAGGCCCUACCCGAGCCAAAUCCAUUCAGCAAGGAGCAAAUGGAGAUUCUUCAAAAGCUUUUCGAUCAAGCCACUUUGAACUCCAAUGCAGGGACAAGUCUAGUGGCUCAGAAAGAGACUCAUUCAGCAUUUGCAGCCACUAAUGGAGCAAGCAAACCUUGGAUAAUUGACACUGGUGCUUCUGAUCACAUGACUGGAGAUGCCUCAAUGUUGCAGGAUUAUAAAGCUAGCAUCAACAGCACUUCAGUCUGGAUCGCAGAUGGCUCUCACACAAAAAUAGCAGGGACAGGUUCCAUCAGACUCACUAAGGAGUUACACCUUAAUUCUGUACUUUAUGUGCCUAAUUUGGCUUGCAAUUUACUUUCAAUCAGUAAAUUCACUCGUGAUCAGAAUUGUGUAACUAAAUUCUAUCCAAAUAUGUGCGUUUUUCAGGACUUGGAUUCGCGAAGACGAUUGGCAGUGCUGAGCUAUGUUCUGGACUCUAUCUACUCAAAAGCGAUCAAUCCUCCUUCAUACAAGAUUCGAGAGCAAACUGUGCCAAGUCCAAUAGUCUGUCAACUAGUUAUCCUCAUUCUAUUGUUAGUCCAAAUGUCAAUAACGAUAGUGAAAUUGUUCUGUUACACUAUCGAUUAGGUCAUUCUAGUUUCAUGUAUCUCGCAAAAAUUUUUCCCAAUCUAUUCAUCAAUAAAAACCCUUUAUCAUUUCAUUGUGAAAUUUGUCAAUUUGCAAAACAUACUCGAAAUGUUUAUUCAAGUGUUAAGUAUAAGCCUUCUCGUCCAUUUGCUUUAAUUCACAGUGAUGUGUGGGGUCCCUCAAGAAUUAAAAAUGUUUCUGGGGCUCGCUGGUUUUUGUCAUUUGUGGAUGAUCAUACUCGUCUCACUUGGGUGUUUCUCAUGAAAAACAAAUCCGAAGUUAGUCAAAUCUUCCAAAACUUUAACGCCAUGAUUCAAACCCAAUUCAAUACCAAAAUCCAAGUCCUUAAAACCGACAAUGCCAAGGAAUAUUUCAAAGACUCCCUCAGCUCAUAUCUUCUCCAUCAAGGCAUUCUUCACAUCAGUUCUUGUGUUGACACCCCGCAACAAAAUGGGGUCGCUGAACGCAAAAACAGACACCUUCUUGAAGUGGCUCGCUGUCUUUUGUUCUCAUCUCAUGUUCCUAAUUUUUUCUGGGGUGAAGCUGUUCUCACUGCAGCCUACUUAAUCAACCGAAUGCCUUCUAGAGUCUUGGGGUUUCAUUGCCCAAGAAAAGUUCUUCUCAAUUUCUUUCCACACACUAGGAUUGUUUCAGCAGAUUUACCACAAAAAAUAUUCGGUUGCACAGCAUAUGUCCAUGUUCACUCUCAACACAGGACUAAACUUGAUCCCCGAUCUCUCAAGUGUAUAUUUUUAGGCUAUUCUCCACAUAAAAAAGGAUACAAAUGCUAUUCUCCUCAUACCAGAAAAAUAUACAUUUCCAGAGAUGUAACAUUUGUUGAAAACCUGCCUUUAUAUUCCAAAACUGUUGUUCAGGGAGAGAGUAUGAGCGAACAUCAGCCUUGGGAAUCUUCUUGGCAAUCUUGGCUGGAAACCCCUCAUGAAAACCCUCAUAACUCAACCACCACACAUGAUCAAUCUAUCCAACAGCCACAAUCAGCAAUCCUCCCAACAUCUUCACAACCUUUUGAGUCAUCUGAGUCCUCCCAACCACAAUCAGCCGAGUCACCCCGUCAUCCAUCAGCCCAUCAACUACAGCCUCUAAUCUCACCUCUUCCACAGCUUGCUGUUGAUAAUCUUAAUGUUUAUAGGAGGAGAAGAACUGGAGAGCAGAUAGAGCACAGAACUCAGCCACAUGUCCAAGAAACUGAACCAAAUCCAAGCUCUUAUGAAGACAACACAGGUAUGGAUAGUCUUGCCUCGGUUGAGUUCAUGGUUCCAAGUGUGGAUGAUUCUAAUAAAUCAAUUGCAGAAAGAAAGGGGGUUCAAAGUUGUACCACUCAUCCAAUUGCCAAAUAUGUCUCAUAUGAUGGUUUGUCCCCAUCAUACCGAGCCUUUGUUUCUUCUUUAGAUAAUCUACAUGUUCCCAACAAUAUACAAGAGGCUCUCGGUCAUCCUGAGUGGAAGAGAGCUGUUCAUGAAGAAAUAAAUGCUCUUGAGAAAAAUGAUACAUGGGUUAUAACAGAUCUUCCUGCAGGGAAACGACCAGUUGGAUGUAAGUGGAUUUUUACUGUUAAAUACAAGGCAGAUGGAAGUGUUGAGAGCCUCAAAGCUCGUCUUGUAGCUAAAGGGUUCACACAGUCAUAUGGGAUUGAUUAUCUUGAAACCUUUGCUCCGGUUGCGAAGCUCAACACCAUUAGAAUCUUGCUCUCCUUAGCAGUAAAUCUAGAUUGGUACUUAUACCAACUAGAUAUAAAAAAUGCGUUUCUCAAUGGCGAUCUUGAAGAAGAAGUGUUUAUGGAAGUUCCCCAGGGUCUUGAUCUGAAUCUUACUAGAAAUAAAGUGUGCAAGCUCAAGAAAUCUUUGUAUGGGCUUAAACAAUCCCCUCGAGCAUGGUUUGAUAGAUUUGCGAAGGCAGUUGUGAGACUUGGUUACACUCAGUGUCAGGCAGAUCACACUUUAUUCCUCCGAACAUCACAAGCAAAGAAGAUCUCUCUCCUAAUCGUAUAUGUUGAUGACAUCAUUCUCUCAGGAAAUGAUGAGGAAGAACUGCAGAAGUUGAAGAAACAGCUAGCUCAGGAAUUCGAAGUUAAAGAUCUAGGGAAUCUGAAAUAUUUUCUUGGGAUGGAGGUGGCAAGAUCUAGGAAGGGAAUUGUUGUCUCCCAAAGGAAAUACACCCUGGACUUACUAAAGGAGACUGGUAUGAUUGGGUGCAAACCAGUAGAUACUCCUAUGGAUCCCUACAAGAAACUAGGCUCAGUUGAGAAUAGUGUUCCAGUCAAUAGAGGGAGAUAUCAAAGACUGGUUGGUCGUUUAAUUUAUCUCUCACAUACCCGUCCGGACAUAGGCUUUGUUGUUAGUGUUGUGAGCCAAUUCAUGCACAAUCCUACAGAGGAACACAUGGAUGCAGUCUUUAGAAUUUUGAAGUAUCUAAAGAUGACACCUGGAAAAGGAUUGUUUUUCAAGAAAUCAGAAUAUAGGAAUAUUGAGAUCUACUCUGAUGCAGACUGGGCUGGAGACAUCACAAAUAGAAGAUCAACAUCUGCUUACUGUUCCUAUGUCUGGGGAAAUCUAGUAACCUGGAGGAGUAAGAAACAAUCAGUUGUAGCUAGGAGUAGUGCAGAAGCAGAGUUCAGAGCUUUGGCAAAUGGAAUCUGUGAAGGAAUUUGGAUAAAGCGUGUACUCAAGGAACUCGGUGUGUGCAGCCCUUCAUCCAUUCUAAUGAGGUGUGACAAUCAAGCAGCAAUCAGCAUCGCAAAAAACCCAGUGCAUCAUGAUCGAACCAAACAUGUCGAGAUUGAUAGGCACUUCAUCUCAGAGAAGGUCACUAGUGGAAGUGUGGAACUAAAGUACAUUCCAACUAGACAACAAAUUGCAGACAUCCUUACUAAAGCACUGCCAAGACCUAACUUUGAAGACUUAAGUAACAAGCUGGGUUUGUAUGAUAUACACACACCAGCUUGAGGGGGAGUGUUGAAAAUAAAGAUUCAAAGUUAUGAUUUAUUUGUAAUCUAGGCUAUUUUAGGAAUAAGUUAAAUUAUAAUGGGAAGAUUCAUUAGGAUUCUUUCUAGAUUUUGUUUCCUAUUAUUUAGGAAAGGAUAGAUGUAGUCUCCUAUUUUCUCUCCUAUUUUGCUGUAUAUAUUCCCUGUACAUACUGUUCUGGAAAGUAAGAAAAAGAGGAACCAAUUCACAUUUUUCUUCAGUUACUUGUGCAGUACAGCCUUGACGCCUAGCUACAUGGUCCAUUCUCUUUGUGUCUUUGAACCAAUCAACAGCAACAAGAUCCAUUAAAUGUUUUCCCGCAGGUGUCUGCAGUUACAAAUUGCACAAAGCACAAGAGCCAACCAAACUACAUCAUAACAUGUCGACCUAGCAUAUGCAGGAUAUAUAAAUACCAUAACAAACAACCAAAAUAUGGGGGAACCUUUGUUUUGUCAUAACAAAAAUGCUUGCUACGAACUCUAAAGUUAUUUCCACCAGAAAGUUUCCAGCAGUCACGAGCAUUAUCACAGUCAUCGUGUCGCAGAUUGCCGGAAAAAUAAGACAAAUCAAUUUGAUCAGCCUGCUCUUCCUCUAGGGUAACAACUAAUUGAAAAUUAUAAACCAAAAAAAAAAAAUCAAUACCAUAAAAAUCCACUAAUGAGGACAUUAGCCAAAUAUACAAAAAUGAAUACUUAUCAUCCACCUGUCCUCUUGAAAUCAUUCUCAAUCUUUUUUUCAUUUGCCUGAAAUCCCAAGGAAAAAUAUGGAACUAAUACUUCCCAUUCAUGACUAUUGUCUGUCAUAUAAACAUGACAUUUAAUUGAAAUAGUAAAAUUAUUUAAUUAUUUUAAUUAAAUGUUAAUCCUAUAAAUUAUUUUUGUUAAAUCUAGCAAGAAUAACUAACAUUUCUUUAAGAUAUAUUUUGGCGGUAAAUUAAAAAAAAUUAAUUAUUUGGCGGGAAUUAUUGAAAUUGGAGCCAUUUUUUUGUGGGAAUUGAAAUAUAUUCUUUAAAUUAUUAUAUAAAAAGAAAAAUGUACAUACACACACAUAUAUAUAAUUUAUAUAUAAAAAUUCUCUAAUUUGUUCACAAGUAUCAUAGAUUAUAAUUCAGUUAUGAAAUAAAAUAACUACAAGGAAAAAUAUGUAACUAAUACUUCCCAUUCAUGACUAUUGUCUGUCAUAUAAACAUGACAUUUAAUUGAAAUAGUAAAAUUAUUUAAUUAUUUUAAUUAAAUGUUAAUCCUAUAAAUUAUUUUUGUUAAAUCUAGCAAGAAUAACUAACAUUUCUUUAAGAUAUAUUUUGGCGGUAAAUUAAAAAAAAUUAAUUAUUUGGCAGGAAUUAUUGAAAUUGGAGCCAUUUUUUUGUGGGAAUUGAAAUAUAUUCUUUAAAUUAUUAUAUAAAAAGCAAAAUGUACAUACACACACAUAUAUAUAAUUUAUAUAUAAAAAUUCUCUAAUUUGUUCACAAGUAUCAUAGAUUAUAAUUCAGUUAUGAAAUAAAAUAACUACAAUAAUUAUAGUUAAAUGAAUACUUCAUUAAUUCUUAAUUUGCUUCCUAACAUUAAAUGAACAACUUGAGCCAACCACCUGAAUCAACCAGUAACAACGCCUGAGUCAACCAUCUGAAAAAACCAGCAACCCUAGCUGAUUCAAGCACCUGCAAUUAACAUCAACACAUCAGGAACAAUCGUAAAUCAGCACCAAGAACAGACCAAACUGCCAUCAAAUGCCACAAAACCAAACAGUCUGCUACUGCCAUCAAAUGCAAGCAAACAUAUGCAACAAAACCAGAUGCAAGUGAAAAUCUGGAGAAUAUCGGAUAAACCAAACCAAAUGCCACACUUCUAGUAAUUAGACUAGAUGCAGUGUUCAAUUAAACUAAAUGUAGUCUCAUAUUACAUUCAAAGGUGAAAACACUGUAAAAAAAAAUACAGCCAAAACAAUUGUUUACUUUUAAGUUCUAACAAAGCGUAACAGUCCAAAACCAAAACAUCUUAACUACCAAGCAAACAUCUAACAUAAUUAUUAAAAUUAAAAAGGAAAAAACAUAGGAAUCUCAGUUCUUAUACAUUUUGUAUGCAUUUAGUAAGCACACGCACAUAGACCAUCUAUGCAUAACCUUCUUCUAGCCCACCUGCAGAUGUCACAGAGAAGAGACAUUUUUUGCAGCUUGAAGUGCUCCAAUUGCUUUGUGAAGGUCCAAUUGUAAGCCUAAAUAUUGAAUCCAUGAGUCCAUAUAAUUGAAGGCUGGUGGCGACUUUUGAGUACAAAUCAAGAGAGAGUGAAGUGUGAAUUUCUGCAUGGCCCAUAACUUCAUCCACGUAGCUAUUCACUUCUUUGCAGUGAAAAGUUCCUUAAUCCUGGCACUAAUGUUGGGCAUCAUUUUGAUUUUUCAAGCCCUUUUAGAACACUUAUUGAUUUAGGAAAUUAAGGGAGCCAUUGAAAGGUGACUAAAACGGAGUGAGUUAGGGGUCCUACCUCUCUGUAGGGCUCUCGAAUCGCGGGAAAUGAGCUCCAUUGUGACCUUCAUUUCCUCCUUUUCGGAAAAAUUAGUUCAUGGCGCUUACGAUGUGAGCAAUUACUCUUUCUGGUGUCCUGAUGGUUGAUAACAGAGACUUUCAGCCUCGCUGCCUCAGGUAAGCUUGAUGGGAGGACCAGAUGUCAUACAAAAAAUAAAAGCUUUCUUUUCUCGGUAAAAGCAUGCGCAUUUUUCUGUAAGUGGGGAAGAGGCCGCGCCGUCAACACUGCAUCGGUGAAGAUGGGUGGUGGUUGUUGGUGGAGAAACGGAGGGAGGUGGCGAUUCUGAGACUUGUUGCGAUUUAGGGUUGGCCGGUUGGGUUUGGGGGAAAUUGGGUAAAGCAAAAUGCAUUUUUGUUGUUAUAUAUAUAUAUAUAUAGAUAUAUAUAUAGUAGUUGGAUUAGCUAAAAGACAAAAAAAUUUAAAUUUUACUACACUACAUGAUAAAAUACAGUGCAUUGGAGUAUGUGUUUAUUUUGUCUUUUAACUAAUCCCUGAUUGGAAAACUACUAUAUAUAUAUAUAUAUAUAUUUUUUUUUUACUUAAUAAAAAAGUGGGCACGGGUCCGGGUUCCGGAUUCUUGGUGCUGUGACCGGACCCGUGCCCGGAUCCGCUUUUUCCAUGCAUCCGAUCCGGGUUUUACCCGGACCGUAUGCACCAGGUCCAGUCCGGAUCCGGUCUGAGCGGGCUUUUCUGCCAUCUCUACAGUGGAGAGAGGGAUUAAUUCAACGCUUAGCCAAAAUUUGGCUGCGAGUGUUAAUGGGUUUUAAGUUAUACAAAACGGUGUCGUUAAUUUAAACGGCAUUGUUUUACAAUCUUAUAAGUUCACAAAACUUAAGCAUGACUUAUAUGUAUAAUUUAUUUACGAUGGUUAAGUUAUAAGUCAUGAAUAUGUCAUAUACUCUGGACAUGAAUAUAUAUCACGAAUCUAUCAUAUUUUCAUGACACAUUCGUGACAUAACGAUAUAUGUUAUAAAAUUUCUGUCAUUAUUUAGUAUUUUUCUAGUAAUGUCAGGUCUUUAAAACCUUUCUAUUAAUAACAAAAACUCUAAUCCUUUAGCAAAAGACUAAAAAUUUUAAAAAAAUCUGUUUAAAUAUCAGUUGGCUCAUAAUCAACACUUCAAUAUUGUUUGUUGUAUUUUCUUUCUUUCUUUUUUUGUCAUUUUAUUAGAUUUGCUUUGUAUCAUGGUUUGUUUUGCUUAAGUAAUUGUUCAUUAUUUACGUCUGUGUUCUUACUAGCUUUUGAUAAUUUAUGGUUGGUUUUUUAUUCAGACCCUCGAAGUACCUUUUUGUUAAUAGCAAAACCUCUGAUCCUCAAGAAAGAAAAAGAAAUUCUCUAUUUAAUUAUUAGUUAGUUCAAGAUCAAUAUCGCAAUAUUGUUUGCAGUCUUUUCAUUCUCUGUCUUUCCCACUAGUUCAUUUUAAUUUAUCUGUAUUCCUUUCUUUGACACUUGUAUUUAUUUAUAUAGAUUGUUAAGCAACAGGCAAUGGCUGCAGAAGGGUGUCUCCCUACUUUUUCUAGCAUUGUAUCACAAGGUUCAAAAGCAUUAUUCAAACCGAUUAUGUGGCACAUAUCUUAUGUGUUCCGAGUACCAGAGCUACAUAGAUGGGCUAAAAGAUUGAGUGAAGGAGCUGGAAUAUAUAAGAGAAAGGGUGCAAAUGCUGGUUAGAGAGGCUACUCUACAAGGAGAUGAGAUUUAUAAGGGUGUCAGAGACUGGCUAAAUAGAGUUGCUGAAUUCAGUGAAGGGGUUGCAAAAUCAAUCAUUGAUGAUAAAGAUAGAGCUAAGAUGUUCUGCUUCAAAAGGUUGUGCCCAAAUUUGAUUUCUUGUUACAAGCUUGGUAAACAAGCAGCAGAGGCCGCAAACGAAGCUGAUAAACUUGUGAAGAAAGGCGAAUUUAACAUUUGUAAUCAUGUUUCCUACCGUCCUGCUCCAGAGAGUACAGAAUAUGUGCAAGUGAAAGAUUACGUAGCCUUUUAUUAUAAUAUCUUUUCACUCUAUUAACUUAAAAAAGAUUGACUUCAAUAUUAAAAAUGUAACAGUAUAUACAUUUUAUAAUAAUUUCAAUAUUUAAAAAAUAUUUGAAUACUUUACAAUCUUAUAUUAUAUUAAACUACAUUUUAUAAUAAAUAGAAACAUAAUAUUAAAAUAAAUAUAUAAAAUUUUAAGUUAGGCUUAAUAUUAUUUAAAAUAAUUUAAAUAUCAUUAAUACAUGAGAUAUAUUAUAUUAAUUAUAAAUUCUAUUUAAUCUAAAUAUAUAUUUAAAGUUUUAUACUAAAAAUAGAUAUAUUAUUAAAAUAAAUAUAACAACUAACAUUUUAAAGAUUAAUACUGAAAUUAAAAUUAUAAAUUAUAUUAAUCUACUAAAAAGAUUCAUCUAUUUGACACUAGCAGCGGACAAUGAGGUCACGGCAUAGGACAAGCAGUUAUCGUGACCCAUGGACUUUUCUACUUCUUUUGAAAAAAAAAAAAAUAUCAAAGUCAUUGAAGUGCGUUUGAUGAUAUGCUGUGUAGCUUCUCUCUCAAAUGCUUUUCGAGUGCCUCCAGUAUCUGCUUUUAUAUAAGCUUUUGUCUUUAAUCAUUCAUUCAAGCUUUCGCUAAGAGUGAUGCAGCACAGCACGUAAAUAUAGAAGCAUUGACAGCCGUAGUCAGGAGCUCUUCGGUAUUUGAAGCAAGAAUGGUUGUUUGGCUUUGUGCAUUGAAAGAGAAAAGAAAAAAGAAAGACUAAUUUCAAUAAUACAAUUUAAUUAAUUAAUUUAAAAUAAUAAGCAAAUAAUAAUGAUGAAAUUAAUUAAUAAAAAGAAGAAAAUGAAAAUUGCACGUGCUACUAGCAUAAACCAAUUGCCGGAAUGAGGUCACUUUGUAGACAAAUGAUUCUGGAAUCAGAACUUGGGCCAGCUUUGGGUUAUGGAUCCAAAAUAAAAAUAAGGUGGGCCACAUGGUCUCUUAUGAUCAAUAAAAAUCGAUUGAAAAGGAUGGUAUAGUGAGUGGAAGAGAAAUGCCGAUGGCAGAUCAAGGGAUGAAGAUACGAGCUCACUUGCAACGUGGUAUAGUUCAUCAUGGCUGGCUUUCCUAUAAGUUCAGGUCCUUUGAAUACUUUCAAUGACCUUAUUAGUCAGGAAUUUAACAAUAAUUUUUAUUUUUUACAUCCAGGAACGGUUUUAAGCAUAGGCAAAUUAGGCCUAUAAUAGCAAAUCCUCUUUUUUAACAAUUAAACAAUUAGGAAGUCUCCCUUUUUUAUUUUUGGUAUUACUUAUAAUAGCAAAUCUUCUUUUUUAGGCCUCUUUUUAGUUAGUAAUUAUCUUAUAAUUAAGAAUUUUUAUACACAUUCUAUCUUUGAUAACCUUAAUAUUAAAGAUCUCUAAUUAAUAGUAUUAUCUAAUUGUUAAUUUAUUAUUAGUUUUUCCAAGAAAAAAAUUAAAAUCUUUAUCUAUUUAAUACUUCAGUUUUUUUUUCGUCAGUGGCAGAUAAAAGAGUCGGUUUUUCCGUUACUAAGCUUUUUAUGGAUGAAUUUUUUUUUAUAAUUUCUUUGUUUUAUAGGUUCUCUGUGAAUGCCAUUAGAAAUGAGAUUGACUAAUUCAAACUUCCUUUUUCCCCUUAGCAUCCAAACGUGUGAGGCAAGGGCAACUAAUGAGUCCAUUGUGAUGAGAACCUUUGUCUAAGCAAAAGCAGAGGUCAAUUGCUAAUACCGUACUGUUAUUAGUUUCAGUGCUUAAAUUGCUCCAUAAGUUUGCAUUUUAAAGUCUCUGUCUUAAUUUCUGAGGUAUACUGCUAAUGAGACCUCCUGCCAAGUUCAAGUUUGUUGUGAUGGCUACUUUGUCAUAUAACUGACUGUGAGAGGCCAUCAAUCAGCUCUGUUUUGUAAUUUUGUACCUUUUUUUUUCAUAUAAUGAUCAAUCAAAUGUUAGCCCUUAGAUUGCAACCAAUAUUUACUGAUUGUCUUAUAUAGGAUAUAAACUAAAUUCAUAAGACAUUCCCUUAUUGAUAUUCAUUCCGACACGUCCUAGUCUUUUGCCUUGUAGAAAUGCUUGUGGUUGAAGAGCUUUACAGAGAAGCUGUCGUCAGUACUGCGCGGAAAUUGAUUAUAUUGAAUCAGAAAACUUGACCAGAUAAGGUCUGUGUGCAUGAGAAUACUUGAGGAAAGCUUCACAAUACUGAGGGCCGGAUCUGCACUCUUUCCUCUAUAUGUGUCUUCAAUAUCAAUGGCUCAAAUACAUGUGUUAUGGUCUUUUAAUAUAUAUAAAAUACCAUUAUCUCAUGCGUUAUGGUCUUAUCCUUGUAUUCUUAAAAACUACAUAAAAUACCGUUAUCUCUGCUUUUGUAGCUAUUGAAUUCGACUUUCACAACAUAAAUAUUUAUUAGCAACAACUUAAAAUCCAAACAAAUCUAACAUGCAAUGUAUCAAUUACAUAUUAUGAUUAAACAGAUUUUGAUUAUUUAUUAUUAAAAUAUAUUCUCAUUAAUAUCUUAAGGAUAGGUAAUACUCACAUAAUUUUUUUAAAAAUCAAACCCAAAUUAUAUGCAUUGUUAAUGUGUAUUAUUGUCUAAUAUUUGGAUUUUACUAAUUUACAACUGCUAUAAUGUACGGCCUCUUCAAACAUAAUGUGGGUCCCACCACGUGUUAAAUUUUUUACAUUAUUUUUGAAGGAAUUGUAAGUUACAGCAGCUGUAAAUUAGCAGCACCUCCAAUAUUUUACUUUACUUCCCCUAAUAUUUUACUUGUACUUUUAUAUCUUUACAAAACAAUACCAACAAGACAAUAAUGUAUGAAAUAAAUAAAAUAAAUAAAUAAAGAACUGACAACGAAAUUAGGCCUAUCAUUAAUUUCUCUUGGUGUGAACUCUUGACAAUUCUCCCAUAUCCCACCUAAAGCUCUCGCAUGGUGUGAACGCUUGACGAUUCUCCCAUAUCCCUCCAAAAAUUUGUCAUAUUGCGAAAAACAAUGUCAAUUCAAUAUCGUCUCCAUUAGUCAUAGUGGCAGAUAGGACUAGAAUUUGUUGAAACCCUUGGACUUAUUUUUCCUUUUGAAAAUAAUUUUGUAGAAUCUCAUAUCGUGAAUAACGGACAAUGAGACUCUUUUUUUUAACUAUAAUAUUUUUUUAAAAUUAUUAACUAAAAAAAUUAAUUUUAAUAUUUUAUAAUAAAUAUAAGUAGGAUAUUAAAAUAAAUAUAAUAAUAUAUACAUAUUAAAAUAAUUUCAAUACCAAAAAAUAUUUUAAUAGUUUACAAUCUCGUAUUCUAUUAAACCAAAUUAUAAUAAAUAGAGACAUAAUAUUAAAAUAAAUAUAUAAAAUUUUAAAUUAUUUUCAAUAUCAUAUAAAAUAACUUUAAUAUUAUUAAAACGUGAGAAAUAUUAUAUUAAUUAUAAAAACUAUUUAACCCAAGGAUUUGUUUAAAAUUUUUAUAAUAAAUAUAUUAAAUUACAUUUUAAAAAUUAAGUAUUUAAAUUAUACAUACUAGUCUACUAGAAAAUUUAAACUAUUUAAAUCAUAUUUACAUUUAGUAAAAAAUUUUGAAGUCAUUUUUUUUUUUGUGAAUACCAUAAGAGUGCUAUAGUCAAAAAGGGUAUUGGUGUUCUUUAUUAAAAGUUUGGGGUCUACAUGACUAUUUUCUAAAAUUUUAAGGGUGUCAUUUUAUUUUUGAAAAAAAUAAAAAUUUCAUUUAAACAGCUAAAAUGGUGAAUAGUACAAUGCUACAGUGGGCGUAAAUGGAAGGUAAAAAGCAAUCAGAUUUUGAUUAAACAUGCAAUGUAUGAAAUAUAUAUUAUAAUUAUACAGAUUUUGAUUAUUUAAUAUUAAAUUAUAUUCACAUUAAUAUCUUAAGGAUAGUUAAUACUCAAAUAAUUUUUCAAAAAAUCAAACCCAAAUUAUAUGCAUUGUUAAUGUGCGUUAUUGUCUAAUAUUUGGAUUUUGCUAUGUCACAACUACUGUAACUUAAAGCCUCUUCAAACAUAUGUCGAUCCCACCACGUGUUAAAUUUUUUACAUUAUUUUUUAAGGGAUUGUAAGUUACAACAGCUUAACUUAGCAGCACCCUAAUAGUUUAUUUUACUUUUAUAUCUUUACAAAACAAUGCCAACAAGACAACAAUGUAUGAAAUAAAUAAAAUAAAUAAACAAAGAUCUGACAGCAAAAUUAUGGCUAUCAUUGGUUUCUUGUGGUGUGAACUCUUGACAAUCCUCCCCAAUCCCAUCCAAAACUCCCGCGUAGUGUGAACAUUUGACGAUUCUCCCAUAUCCCUCCAAAAAUUUGUCAUAUUGCGAAAAGUAAUGUCAAUUGCAAUGUCGUUUUCAUUAGUCAUAGUGGCAAAUAGGACUAGAAUUUAUUGAAACCCCUCGACUUAUUUUUCCUUUUGAAAAUAAUUUUGUAGAACCUCAUAUCGUGAAUAAAAGACAAUAAGACUCUUUUUUUUAAUUAUAAUAUUUUUUAAAUUUAUUAACUAAAAAAAUUAAUUUUAAUAUUUUAUAAUAAAUAUAAGUAGGAUAUUAAAAUAAAUAUAAUAAUAUGUACAUAUUAAAAUAAUUUCAAUACCUAAAAAUAUUUUAAUAUUUUACAAUCUCGUAUUCUAUUAAACCAAAUUAUAAUAAAUAGAGACAUAAUAUUCAAAUAAAUAUAUAAAAUUUUUAAUUAUUUUCAAUAUCAUAUAAAAUAAUUUUAAUAUUAUUAAAACAUGAGAAAUAUUAUAUUAAUUAUAAAAUCCAUUUAACCCAAGGAUUUGUUUAAAAUUUUUAUAAUAAAUAUAUUAUUAAAAUAAAUAUAUUAAAUUACAUUUUAAAAAUUAAUUAUUUAAAUUAUACAUACUAGUCUACUAGAAAAUUUAAACUAUUUAAAUCAUAUAUACAUUUAGUAAAAAAUUUUGAAGUCAUUUUUUUUUUGUGGCUACCAUAAGAGUACUAUAGUCAAAAAGGGUAUUGGUGUUCUUUAUUAAAAUUUUGGGGUCUACAUGAUUAUUUUCUAAAAUUUUAAGGGUGUCAUUUUAUUUUUGGAAAAAAAAAUUCAUUUAAACAGCUAAAAUGGUAAAUAGUACAAUGCUACAAUGGCGUAAAUGGAAUGUAAAAAGCAAUCAAAAUGACCAACAGUCUAACGCCUCAUCAGGGACAUAAAGUCAAAGUUUGUUGCAUGUGGUCAGGGCCAUUUAGUCUGUGAGUGGGUCCUGCAUGUCAUUUUUGGGCAUUUCAUCUUCUUUAGCAUUGAAGAUUAAAUGUUGACGACAUUUUCAAAAUUUUGGAAGACCCAUUAUACUUUUGGAUGGCUGUCAUUACUUGAUAUUAUCAUUAUAUGAUGAAAUAAAAUUGGAUGUAACACUUGUUUCGCGUUGUGGGAACUUUUGACAAUUCCCCAUAUCUCCUAAAAAUCUUUCGCCAUUUUGGGAAGAUGCCAUUUAUUUUCAUUUUCAUCAUUGAUAUUGGCAGAUAAUGGGGUCCGAGGACAGACCAUAAAUUAUUGCGACCCAUGGACUUUUCUAAUUUUUUUUUUUCCUUUGGAUAGUUUUCGUUAUUUGAUAGAAGGAGAUAGAGAUAAAGUUUUUUAAUCAAAUGCCCAUUUUAUUUAACAUGGAAGAAGAUCUUUAAACUCUAAGCGAGGCUAUCACUUCAACAGAUGCAGCUUCAAAAAAGAGGUAACAAGUGAUGAGAUAGACUCAUUAUUGUCUAAUCAAACAAGGACAUCGGUAGAUGUAUCAGGAUCUUAAGUUAGAUUGGAAUUUGAUACAUUGUUGUUCGUAACGUUGGUUCAAACCUUUAAAGCAAGGUUGGAUGCAAAAUGGUUUACACCAAAGACGUGAUUUAGGAAGUUAAUUAACGUUAUUUUAGAUAAUUUAUAAUUCUAAAAUAUUUAUUAUUUUAUGGUUUUCUAUUUUUGUUUGAGUCAAUUAUGGUAUGUAUCUUAAUCUUUUAUUUCCAUUAUAAUUAUAAUUUAAAUUUUCUUUUUAGGUUAACUUAGGAAAGUGGAUUUCUUUUAUUAUAAAUAAAGAUGUCUGUAAUAAAAAAAAUAAAGAUGUCUUGUCAUUGUUUUCAGGACUUCAAAUUCAAUUAUUAAAUAAAACUCUUUUUUUUAUAAUUUCCUCUAGUAUUAUUUAUCAAAAUCUCUCUUAUAGAGUUAUUUAAAUUAGAGUGUCAUCUAAUCUCGUAUUACGCGUUAUUAAAAAUCUCAUUGAAUCAUUUAGAUUAAAACAAUAUCUAAUCACGCUUUGAUUAAAGCGUAAGUUAAUUGUGUUGGCUUGAUCCAGUACUAGAAUGAUAUUUAGUAUUUCUUACCUUAUCAAUUCCACUUCCGCUACGCUCGCUCCAUCAAUUGGUAUCAAAGCAAUUCUGUGCGAAUCACACAUCUUUCCUAGAUACACCAUACCCAUCCAAACCAAAUCCAUCAAAAAAAAAAAUUACAAAUUUGAAAACCCUACCCGUCAGACCAACCCCCACCGCCGCCCACCACCGCCAAUCAGCCAGCCAACACCACCACAAACCUCACUAGCCACCGUCGACCAAGCCUCAGUCAUCGCUGCCUCAACCGCCGCUUGAACAGCCGCAAAUCACCAACCCAAACCUGCGGCUCCACCAAGCAACCCACCACCAUUCAGCCACUUUCUCCACCAGCCACCUCCACCAACAAACUCGCCGGCCUUCGUUGACCAAAAACUGACCGACUUCGGCCCUUGAUCGCCGCCCUCUGUCACCACACGAAACGACAACCCACGAGUGCUUCCUACACGCGCCGCCACCAAAACACCUUCUUUUUCCGUCAAUUUACACCACCACCAUAAUCCCUAGCAGUCGGCAACCGUAAAUCCAGUCUUCCGCCACUGUAAAGCCGCCAUAAACCAAAAGCCACAUCACCAAAAUCAACCGCCAAUUCAAGUCGGAUUUUCCCCAAUUCAGGUUGCUGAAUAUAAAAAGGACUCAUGAAAAUUACCUAAAGUUUCAAAUAUUGUUAUUCAGCAACCACUUUUAUGGUACAUUAGUUUCAACCCAAAUUUUAUAUAAAUAAUUUAUAACUCCCAUUAUUAUUAUAAAAAAAAAUUGUAGCAAUUGUGGUUAUAUCACAUGAAAAAAAAAAUCUAAUUAAAGAAAUUAACAUUAUAAUUUAAGGGAUAGUUGCUCUUUUAAUCAUUAGAAUUUAUGUCAAUUAUCCAGCUUAUCCUUGCAUUCUUAAAAACUAUAUACAAUACCAUUAUCUCUGCUUUUGUAGCUAUUGAAUUUGACUUUGACAACAUAAAUAUUUAUUAGCAACAACUUAAAAUUCAAACAAAUCUAAUAUGUAAUGUAUGAAAUACAAAUAAUAAUUAAACAAAUUUUGAUUAUUUAAUAUUAAGAUAUAAUCACAUUAAUAUCAUAAGGAUAGGUGGUACUCAAAUAAUCUUUUAAAAAUCAAACCCAAAUUAUAUGCAUUAUUAAUAUGCAUUAUUGUAUAAUAUUUAGAUUUUGUUAAGUUACAACUACUAUAACUUAAGUCUCUUAAAAAAUAUGUGAGUCCCACCACCUAUUAAAUUUUUUACAUUAUUUUUGAAAAAAUUACAAGUUACAUCAGUUGUAACUUAACAGCACCCCUAGUAUUUUACUUUACUUUUAUACCUUUACAAGAACAAUAAUGUAUGAAAUAAAAAAAAUAAAUAAAUAAAGAACUGACAACGAAAUUAGACCUAUCAUUAGUUUCUUGUGGUGUGAACUCUUGACAAUCCUCCCCUAUCCCACCUAAAGCUCUCGCGUGGUGUGAAUGUUUGACAAUUCUCCCAUAUCCCUCCAUAAUAUGUCAUAUUGCGAAAAGCAAUGUCAAUUGCAAUGCCGUUUCCCAUUAGUCAUAGUGAUAGAUAGGACCAGAAUUUUUUGAAACCCCCGAGGCCCUAAACUUGUUUUUCCUUUUGAAAAUAAGAAAAUGGCACCUGUCUAGAGAAAUAAUUUAUUAGAACCUUAUAUCAUGAAUAACGGCCAAUAAGACUUUUUUUAAAUUAUAAUAUUUUUAAAUUUAUUAACUAAAAAAAUUAACUCUAAUAAUUUAUGAUAAAUAUAAAUAGGAUAUUAAAAUAAAUAUAAUAAUAUAUAGAUAUUAAAAUAAUUUCAAUAUCUAAAAUAUUAAUAUUUUACAAUCUCGUAUUCUAUUAAACCAAAUUAUAAUAAAUAGAGACAUAAUAUUCAAAUAAAUAUAUAAAAAUUUAGGUUAUUUUCAAUGUCAUAUAAAAUAGUUUUAAUAUUAUUAAUACCUGAGAAAUAUUAUAUUAAUUGUAAAAUCUAUUUAACCUAAGGAUUUAGUUAAAAUUUUAAAAUAAUUACAAAUAUUUUAUAAGUACAAAUAAAUUAAUUUACAUUUUAAAAAUUAAUAUUGAAAUUAAUUAUUUAAAUUAUAUAUAUUAGUCUUCUGGAAAAUUUAAAUUAUUUAAAUCAUAUUUACAUUUCGUAAAAAAUUUUAAGUCAAUUUGUUUGAUUACCACCUGCUAAGGGUAUUGUAGUCAAGGGGAAUAUUGGUAUUCUUUAUUAAAAAUUUGGGAUCUACAUGAUUAUUUUUCUAAAUUUUAAUGGUGUCAUUUUAUUUUUGACAAAAAUAAAAUUUCAUUUAAACAACUAAAAUGAUGAAUAAUACAGUGCUACAGUGGCGCAAGUGGAAGGUAGGAAACAAUCAAAAUGAACAGUCUAACGUCACAGCAGGCAUAUAAGGCCAAAGUUUGUUACAUCCCAAUACAAAAAGUUUGAAACUUUGCACCUUCUGAAAUGAAACAAACUUACUUGGAUAUUGGUGAUCAGUGAGAAAAGCCCUUUUUCAAAAGCAACCUUAGGGUACCGAGUGUUACAGAUUCAAUGAACCACAAAUACUUAUUUACAUUGUAGUAUCUCAAAGGCACCGAUUUCUUCUGAUCCGUUAAGGAAAACAAGAAAAAUAAAAAGAAAAGAAAAAGGGUACUUGUGCCACACAACCUUGACGCCUAGCUACAUGGUACAUUCUCUUUGUGUGUUUGAACCAAUUAACAAUAAUGGUGCCUUUACUUCUUGGACUGGAGAAUCGAAAUCCGAAAUCGAAAUCAUUAAUGAUGUUUACUUCAUAAAAUGGAGGCUGGGAUCCGAAUCAGAACUAUGGGGACCACCCAAAUUAGGAGUGAGGAAUGGAAGAUUGAUUCCUAAGGAAGGUGGUGGGAAUCAAUCCCCCAUUCCCAAGAUUGAUCAUUUUGCCCCCUCUCACAAACUAUAAAAUAUCUAUUUUGUCCUCAAUUAAAAAAUUAUUAUGAUUAAUUAAUAUAUGUUUAUAAUUUAUUAAUAUAACUAUUCUAAUCAAUUUAUAUAUAUUUUAAAUAUAUUAUUAUUAAAUAAUUAAUAUAUUAUUAUAAUUAAUUAAUAUAUUUUGAAUUUUUAUUAUUAUCGUCAUCAUCAUCAUUAUUAUUGUUAUGAAUGAUAAAUUUUUUUACAAUUAAUUAGUAUAUUAAUAUAUUAUUGACAAUAAUUAAUAAUAAUAAUAAUUUUUGAAUAAAUAAAUAAAUAAAAUUAAUUACUGAAUUUGAACAUUUUACAAUUAUUCUAUUAUUUGGACUUAUCGAGAACUUACAUGCAGCGUAGCUAGUUUGCUAGCAUAUGUAAGGUUUAAUUUGAAUGCAUGCAGCAUUGAGAAGAGACAACGCAGAAACAAAAUUUCCGCUUGCAAUCUUUUCAUUUCCCUUUUUAAUAACAAGCAAAAUAGAGGAUAAACAGGGACUUUGUUUUAAUUCUCCUGUUUUUCUGUUUGGUGAUUUUAAAAUUUUAUGUCUAUAUUUAUCAAAAAAAGUUAUCCAAAAUUAUUAUCUAUUUUUGAUACACGUUGAUUUAUUAAAAAAAAAUUAAAAACUUCAUUUCUAAAUUUAUCGUUGUGCUUUGACCUUGGGGUGGUUUUUUUCUGUUUUUUUACGUAGGCCAGAACCUUAAUGAAGAAAGUUUUCAUCGUUAAUUGCUUUUGACCUAGGAGAAUUUAUUCUUGGACAAAUUAACACCUUUGUCUUUUGAUGCGGCUCCUAGAUAUCUAUGCAAUUUGUGUCAUUUACUUUUGCUUUGUAUUCUUUUUUAAAUGAGUCCCGAUUGGUUCAUUUGCAGAUAAAUGAGUCAGUUUUUCUGUUUUUAUUUUUUGAAAGACGGUUUUUCUGUUACGAAGCUUUUCAUGGAUGAAUAUUUUUUUUUUAAUUUUAUAGAUUCUCUGCGAGUUUUGUUAGGUAGAAGGGUAUUUAAGUAUUUUCAUUUCAUAUUUUGACAUUUCCUUGACCUUUGAAGUAUUGAAUCAUUGUGCAGGUAUUUAAGUAAAUCUGCCCACAAUGAAGAAUAGUUCAGAACAGUUGCGGAAGAUAAAUGGCUCAAAUAUAUGCGUUAUGAUCUUUUAAUAUUUCGCCUCUGAUAUUGUCCACAUUGCUUACUGCAAUAGAUAAAGCACUUCGUUUACCCCAAAUCCUGAUAGGGAAGUAUAAAUAUGUGCUUCCGAAAUAGUGCAACUCUCCAUAAUUAUUUAAUAUGCCUCUCAAUGAAGCAAUCACCUUCAUUUACAAUUCUUCGAUUAUUAAUCCUACAUACACGUGUUUCUUUUGUCUCUAAAAGUAUCCUCAAUUAAUUUACAUAAUUUAAUAUAAUAAGUACCUAAGACUAGACAAAUUAUCAUUAUAAUAGUAUUGACACAAUAAUGUCAAUAAUAAAUGCCUUAACAAACCUAUAAAUUUUAGAAUAUGGCUCAGAGUGCUACAAUGAACCACAACAAGUUAUUAUAUUGUCUAUAAUCAAUAUUCCAAUGGUAAUAGAGUUUUUUUAUUUUCAAUCCGCUGCUUUUCUGUUUAGCGAUUGCCAAAUUUUAUAUCUAAAAUUCUUCUAAUUUUAUAUCUAAAAUUCUUCUAAUUUUACACUAAGGUUUAUUUUUUCAAAAAAGGGGGGGGGGGGGGGGGGGGGGGGGGGCAGGAGAGAGAGACUUAGAGAGUAUUAAAAAAUGUAAUUCUAAAUUUUUACUUGAGUGUUGUGUGAUUUUGAUCAUUUUUUUAAAGUUGGCCAUUUAUAUUGAAUAAAUAAAAUAACGAAUAGACGUUUGGACCACUUCUUUUCUGUUAUAAUAAAACAUGAGAUGUCUUCUCUUGAUGUUUUCGUCACAAAAGAAUAUGUUUAAUUAUGUCAUCAUAGGCUUAAAUGGGAUGCCUUUUCUGUUAUAAGAUCGAGAACAAGUUUGUUUAAGCACUAGAGCCGCUAAAUAAAAGAAAGGCUCAUAUAAAAAUUACCUAAAGCACCAAAUAUUGUUAUUCAGCUACUUCUUUUAUGUUACAUUAGUUUCUACGCAAAUUUAUAUAAAUAAUUUAUAACUCCCAUCAUUAUUUAAAAAAUAAAAACCAUAGCAAUUGUGGUUAUAUCAUGUGGUGUGAUCUUUUGACAAUCCUCCCACAUCCCACCAAAAACUCUCACAUGGCGUGAACUUUUGACAAUUCUUCCAUAUCCCACCAAAAAUUUGUCAUGUUGCGAAAGGCAAUGUCAAUUGUAUUGUCAUUUCCAUUAGUUAUAGUGGCAGACAAUGUAGUCCCGGGAUAAGACUAGAAGUUUUUGAAACCCAUGGACUUAUUCUUACUUUAUUUUUUCUUUUGAAAAUGAGAAAAGGACACCCGUUUCGGGAAAUAAUUUUGUAGAAUCUCAUAUCGUGAAUAAGAGAUAAUAAGACUUUUCUUUUUUACUUUACUGCAAUACUCUUUAAUUUUAUUAAUUUUAUAUUUUAUAAUAAAUAUAAAUAUGAUACUAAAAUAAAUGUAAUGAUAUAUACAUAUUAAAAUAAUUGGAUAUUGAAAAAUAUUUUAAUAUUUUACAAUCCCGUAUAAUAUUAAACCAUAUUAUAAUAAAUAGACAUAAUAUUAAUAUAUAUAUAAGUUUAAAUUAUUUUGAAUAUCAUAUAAAAUAAUUUUAAUAUUAUUAAUAAAUCAGAAGUAUUACAUUAAUUGUAAAAUCUAUUUAAUCCAAGGAUUUAUUUAAAAUUUUUAUAAUAAAUUAAAAAUAUAUUGGUUAACAUUUUAACAAUUAAUAAUGAAAUUAAUUAUUUAAGUUAUAUAUAUUAGUCUACUAGAAAAAUUUAAACUACUUCAAUCAGAUUUACAUUUAAUGAAAAAAUUUGAAGUUAAUUUUCUUUUUAUCAUCUACUACGAAUCUUGUAGUUAAAAGAGGUAUUGACAUUCUUUAUUAAAAAUUUGAGGUCUACAUAACUAUUUUUUUUUUUAUUUUAAGGGUGUCAUUUUAUUUUUGACAAAAAUAAAAUUUCAUUUAAAUGGCUAAAAUGGUGAAUAAUACAAUGUUACAGCUGGCGUAAAUGGAAGGUAGGAAACAAUCAAAAUGACCAACAGUCUAAUGCCACAGCAAGGACAUGAGGUCAAAAAAUUCCCUUAUUAAUUAGUAAAAGAGAGUCACUUGGGCUUAUGGCGGGCAAAAUCGGAUAUAGAUCAGAUUCAAAUUAAUCCGAUAAAUUUGAUAUUGUUUGCAUUGAUAAAAAAAGUCACCCAAAUGCAAUCUAAACAUGUGUGUGUGUGUAUACAUAUUUGUUAUAAAUUAAAGUUACAAAAGUCUUUAACCAAGGCCAUUCAUAGUAAGUUUCAAAUUUUUAGGUUAAUAUCUGUAACUUCAUCAUGCUGGCCAUAAAUAAAGCUUGCAGGUCUAGGCGGGAUUGACUCGAGUUUUUUUGCCAAUCCUACGCAUGACGGGCGGUGUUAGGAAUAAUAUCCUGCAUCAAUUGAGUAUUGAACUUGGGUUCAGCAUAUAAGAUUUGGACAACUCUUAACUCUUGAGCUAACUUACUAAGUUUUGGAUUGAGUUAAGCAUGUAUGCUUCAAUAUCACAAAUUAGUCUUUCGUUACCAUUACUUAUUUUUUCUAUUGUUUAAUCCUAACACAAUAAAUGACCUUUCAUCCCAAAAGAACUAAAGUAAUCAUUUUAGACGAAUUAAGACACCAUAAAGUAAAUCUGCACACUAUGAAAAAUACUUUGGAACAGUUAAGGAAGCGUGAGAAUACUUGGGGAAAGCUUCAUAAUUGUUACGGCCGGAUCUACACUCUUUCCUCUAUAUGCAAUAAAUAUAUGCGUUAAUGAUCUCUCAAUAUUUUGCAUCCGAUAUUGCCCACAUCGCUUACCACAAUAUAUUCACUUUAUAAACAAAGUUUACAACCCAAAUACUAAUAGAGAAUAUAAAUAUGUACUUGUCAAUGAAGCAAUCACCUUUAUUUAGAAAUUUUUUAUUAUUAAUCCUACGUACACACACCUCUUUUGUCUCCAAAAAUAUUCUUAAUUAAUCCACACAAUUUAAUACAAUAAAUACCUAAGAUUACACAAAUUUUCAUUACAAUAGAAUAUAUAAUUUAUAAUAUUAUUGAUACAAUGAUGCCAAUAAUAAAAAUCCUAUAAACCUUACAAAUUUUAGAAAAUGGCUUAGAGUGUGACAGGUUGAAUGAACCACAACAAAUCAUUUACAUUAUAGUAUCUAUGAUCAAUAUUCUAAUGAUAAUAGGGCUCCUCCAUUUUCAUUUCCCUACAUUUUCUGUUUGGUGAUUGUCAAAUUUUAUGUCUAAAAUUUUUCUAAUUUUACAGUGAGGUUUAUUUUUUAAAGAGAGAGAGAGAGAGACUCAAAGAGAAUUAAAAAAAAUGUAAUUCUAAAAUUUUACUUGUGCAUUUUGUGAUUUUUACCAUUUUUUAAGUUGGCAAUUUGUAUUGAAUAAAUAAAAUAAUAAAUAGACUUAUGGACCACUUUUUUCUGUUAUAAUAAAAAUCAGAGGUCCUUUCUUGAUGUUUUCUUUCCAUAUGAAUAAAUUAGAAUUUUAUUGGUACAGUAAUGUCAAUAAUAAAAUUCCUAACAAACAUACAAAUUUUAGAAUAUGGAUUAAAGUGUUACAAGUUGAGUGGAUCACAACAAGUUAUUUAUAUUGUAGUGUCUAUGAUCAGUAUUUCAAUGAUAUCAAGGGUCCUCUAUUUUCUUUCCCUUGCAAUUUUUGUUUGGUCAUCGCCAAAGUUUAUAUCUAAAAUUUUUCUAAUUUUACACUGACAUUUAUUUUUUUUUUAAAAAAAAGAGAAAGAGAGACACGGAGAGAACUAAAAAAUGUAAAUCUAAAUUUUUGCUUGUGCGUUAUGUGAUUUUUAUCAUUUUUUAAGUUGGCCAUUUGUAUUGAAUAAAAAAAGUAAUAAAUAGACUUAUGGACCACUUGUUUUUUUAUUAUAAUAAAACAUUUUCUUCUCCUGAUGUUUUUCAUCUCACAGGAAUAUAUUUAUCUCAUCGUGGGCCCAAAUGGGGUAAAUAAAUUGGGAUCAAGGACAAGUCUGUUUAAGUGUUGAAAUUGCAAGAAGACCUCAUAAAAAAAAUUGCCUAAAGCCCCAUUAUUGUUAUUCAACUAUUACUUUCAUGACACUUACACAAAUAAUUUAUAACUCCAUCUUUAUUUAGGGAAAAAACUGUAGCAAUUGUUGUUAUAUCACAGGAACAAAUUCCAAUUAAAAAUAUAAUAAGAAUUAAUUGCAAAUUUUGUAAUAAAUAUCAAUAUAAUUUAAUAGUUUAAUUUUUUUUGGUAGAGUAAUAUAAUUUAAAAAAUUAAUAUUUAAAAAAAUAAUAUCAGUAUUACUUUUUAAAAUGCAAAUUAUUAAAAUUAUAUUAAUAAUGUAUUUUUAUUUAUUAUAAAAUUUAUUUUAAUAAAAUCUUAAAUUUUUUUAAAUAUUUGUAUAUAUUGUUAUAUGUUAUUAUAAUAUUAUAUUUAUAUUUAUUAAAAUAUAAGAGUUAAUAUUUUUAAAUUAAUAAAGACAAAAAGUAUUAUAAUAAAAAAGAAUUCUUUUAUUAAAAAUAUAAUCAUUCUCCCAAACUUAUCCUUGUCCCUUUUUGAAAGGAAAAAAUAAAUUAGAAAAGUCUAUGGUCAUGAUAACUUCUAGCCUUGUCCCGUGGGACAUGGCUACGGUGCAGAAGCUGAAAGUAACAGCUUCGAACUUUCCCAUUUCCAUCACCUUGUUGAUGGUUGUUGAAGCCAAUAAAAAUAAAUUCCUACUCUAAAUAAAUUGUGUAUAGUGAUUGAGCAGGGUCGUGUCCACAGAGAUCGGUAAUUAUUUAAAUUCUUUUGAAACGUAAAACGUAAAAUGGGAGAAUUGUUGACAAUAAUAAAAAAUCAAAUUAAAAUAACAAAAAUGCAAAUUAAAGUUGUAAUUCAAAUUGGAGAAAGCUUUGGUUGAAGGAAUUAACUCAGUUUGAUUCGACUACUGAUCAUUGAUUCAAAAAUAGAUUAUUAUUACUUAUGAAUAAACUGGUUAUAGCUAUUGAGACCCUCUAAUAGCCAAUCUCUCCUUAACUAGUCGAUAACCAAGGUACGACUAUUGGAUAUUUCCCUAAUCAAUAGACAACCCUAGAUACGAUCAUAGGAUUUAAUCAAUUGACAGCCUGAAAAACCAGAGCGACCCAAAUCCUAAUCAACACAUAUGAUGAUUCAUUUAAAUUAGAUUGUUUAUUCCCAUAACACAACUCACUGCUAUGUUAUUUGUCACAAACAUUAAACUCGUCAUACGAUGAAUUCUUUAAUUGACAAUAGAUUAAGUUGAUAAUUAAAUAGUGGCCAAUUACCUAAUUAACAAACAUAAUCAUGAAACUAAUUCAGAGAAUAAACAAAUACCCAAAAAGUAAUAAAACAAUUAAAGCAUAAGAAAGAUCUCACAGUAGUGAUGAAUCAAAAAUUCAUUAACCUUCAACUAGAAAAAAUAAGUUUAGUUUUUCAUAGAGAGAAGAGAAAAAUUAGAUCUAGGGUUUCUUUCUUUUUCUCCAAUUAAAAUCCCCCCUUUUUCACAAUAGAUUCCUCCCUUAAAUACUCUCUCUCUCUUCUCUUUUAAAGUUCUAUUUAAAAUAAAAUAAUAAUAUUUGAAAUAUUAAAUUCGUAAUUACAAAAAUAGCCAAAAAUACAAAACACAUUAAACUAAAAACUGCAGGUCCGCAGUUGACAGCACGCGCCCACGCCUUAUCUAUAAAGUUCUUCUGACGCUCUAAAUUUCUCCAAGAGAACAAUCAUCUUUAAACAUCAUCUUAUACCUCAAUUCUAUCACAAAUCAAUAGAAUUGCACUUACAAAAGUAAAACACAAGUAAAUCAUUAUUAUUAAAUGCAAAACAUCGAUAUUAAGGGAAGUAAACAAUGCAAAACUAGUGUAUAAAUUGUACUCUAACACUUGUAUUGGGACCUCUUUCUCUCUCCUAUAGCCCCCAUGGAAGUUCCCCAUUGGCUGCUGUUACUUACAGAAGCCGUAACAUAGACUUCUAGCCAUGUCCCGUGAUGUCCAUUGUCUGCCACUAUGAAUAAUGGCAAUGACAUUGCAAUUGAAACAUUGAAAAGGUAUUUUCGCAAUAUGACAAAGCUUUUGUUAGGAUAUGGGAGGAUUGUCAAAAGUUCACACCACUUGAAACUAGAAUUAGAUCUAAUUUCAUUUAUUUCAUAAAUUAGAAAAGUCUAUGGUCGUGAUAACUUCUAGCCGUGUCCCGUGAUGUCCAUUGUCUGCCACUAUGAAUAAUGGAAAUGACAUUACUAUAAUAAAAUGACAUUGCAAUUCCAAUAUGCAAUUGAAAAGUCUAUGGUCGUGAUAACUUUUGUAAUAUGACAAAGUUUUUGUUGGGGUAUGAGAGGAUUGUCAAAAGUUCACACACCACAUGAAACUAGUGUUAGAUCUAAUUUUAUUUCGUCCGUUCCUUAUAUAUUUAUUUCAUACAUAUAUGUCUUAGGGUGAUAUUGUUUUGUAAAGAUAUAAUAGUAAGGUACUAUAAAAAGAAAAGAACUGUGUGUAUACUUCCCAGUGUAAUAAUUAUAUGUAGAAGAAAACUAACAAGAGGAAAAAUGACAAAGAGCAAGGCGCUGGUUGUUGGGAGAAGAGGACAUGUCGGCAGAGGAUAGAGAAGCCAAUCUUAGCCUUGUUGAUUGAGGGCUCAUCUUCUGAUCAUCGUAGCCUUGUUGGAGCUGUCAAACAAGUCGAUGUUGUCAUUUAAGGAGCCACAACAUUUUGAUGCUGCUUAAACUUGUUGGGGCCAUCAAAUAAGCUGUAAAUAUUAAGGUACGUAAGCCUUAAUUUUUAUGUAAUUUUAAUUUCAGAUCCAAAAUUGCAUGCAAGCCAUUAAUUUCUUUCCUUUUUUAUUUUUGAUUUGAUGAGGUGCUUGAUUUGGUCGGGUGUGUAUUUUUUCUUUGUUCUUUUUUUUUUUAAAACAUAAAUCUCCAAAUCGGGUUGGAGCGGGGAUUCUAACCCUACGAUGGCCAUAUUAAAAUUUAAAAUUUUUUAAUUUAUUUUUCUACAUCUCAAUAUUUGAAAAAAUGAUUAUAUAGAUCUAUAUAUUUUCAAUAAGAGAUACUAAGAUACUCUUUUUUACUAUAACACCUACUAGCUCUAUUAACUCAAAAAAUUAGCUUCAAUGUUAAUAUAUAUAUUUUAAAAUAAUUUUAAUAUUUUAAAAAAAAUGAAAAAAAUAUUUUAAUACUUUACAAGCUUAUACUAUAUUAAACUAAAUUUUGUAAUAAAUAGAAACUUAAUAUAAAAUAAAUGUCUAAAAAUUUAAAUUAUUUUCAAUAGCAUAUAGAAUAAUUAUAAUAUUAUUAAUACCUAAGAUAUAUUAAAUUAAUUAUAAAUUCUAUUUAACACAAAUAUUUAACUAAAUUUUUUAUAAUAAAUAUAAAUAUAUUAUUAAAAUAAAUCUAAUAAUUAACAUUUUAAAAAAUAAUACUGAAAUUAAUUUUUUAAAUUAUACUAACACUAGUUUCACGCUGUGCGAACUUUUGACAAAAACUGUUAAUUGCAAUUUCUUUUGAAAACAAUAGAUCAAAUCAUUAAAGUGCAUGUGAUGAUUUGCUGUUUAAUUAUUUCUUUAGAAUAUAUCCAAACGUAAGGUUGUGAACUAGUGCUUUCUUCAACUUAAUUGGGUCCAACAAUACACUGCAGCUUCCUCUUUUGGUCAUUCCAAGUUUAAUUCUUCAUGAAAAUCUUAGACACUAAUACAAGGAUAUCGAAUCCAAAAUUAUAAUAAUACAUGUAAUUAUUCUAUACAUGCGUCAACAAGGCAACAGUAACCAAAUACAUGAUAUGCAAAGGGGGUGCAUGAUUAAGUCCUUUUUUUAUUCAAUUCAUUGUUAUUAUUCUCAUCAACUCUUUUCUCACUUAUUUUUCAGCAGUUACCAGUGAUCUUUUUGCUCUUUAAAAUUAUUCUUAAAUAUUCAAGGCUAAAUAGAGAAGCUCAUCAACUAUCUGAUCCCGGAUAAUUAAAGAGGUGAACUUGUUCUAAAUCCUUUGAUAAUUUCUAUUAAUAGCAUAAUCUCCUUGAUCUUGACCGCAGUUAUUUCUUAAUGUCCAAGAAAAAAAUAUCUCCUGUUUGUCUUAAUCUUGUCAUUUAAUUUUCUUGAUUUAAGUUACUGUUCAUUGUUAACUUCUGUGUUCUUGUUAUUAGCAUUUGUUAAUUUGCAUCUCUCCUCUAAAAUAGUUUCUAAAAAAGAAUGUUGCUUUUCAUUCAUACCCUUGAAACCUUUCAGUUAAUAGUCAAAACUCUAAUCUUUCAGUUAAUUUAUUUGAAUCCAAUUUUUUCAACAGCAAAUACACACACACAUUGUUAAGCAACAGCCAAAAAAGUGCAGAAAAACCAGUCAAAUUUAUACAUGCGUCAACAGGGAAACAGUAACCAAAUAGGUGAUACAAAAAGGGGUGAAUGAUUCUGUCUUUUCCUUUUGCAAGUCGCUGUUAUUACUCUCAUCAACUUCUUUCUCGCACAUUUCUCAGCAGUUACCAGUAAUAUUUAAAAUCGCUGUGUAGAUAUGCAAAAGUUCCGUAAGUGCAUUAAUAAUUAUUUGCCAGAAAAAAAUAGUUGCGUCAAUAUUAAAGGAAUUGACAUCCAGGGGACCCAAUUUAGUUGCUUAAUGAUUAUUUAAUUAAUUAAUUUAUAAUAUAUUAAUCUUUUAAGUUGAAUAAUUAAAAUCUUAGACCCGAAACAAUAAAUCAUCUGAGGCAUAUAAAAGAGAAAUUAUCAUCCUAUUUUUUCUUUUUUCUUUUUAACUUCUUGUAGCUUAUAAAAGAGAAAUUAUCAGUCAUUUACUCAAAGUUUAUUCAAUUAUUAAAAUUAUUAUAAAAAUUUAAAUUUAUUUAAUUUUACAUCCAAUGUAUGCAAUUUGUAUGAAACAUCUGUUAAAAAUAUAAAGUUAUUCGUUCAAAGUGACAAAAUAGAACCGAACACAAAAUUGUAGUGGUGAUUAUGUUUUAGGAGUAACUUUAUUUUUUUAGUAAACAGUUGAUACACAUUGUAAUAAUGGGUAUAAAAUUAAAUAUUUUUAAAUUUUUAUAACUUUUUGGAUAAUAAGAUAAUUCUUAGAUGGAUAAUUGAAAAUUUUUCUUUUCAAAAUAUUUUGAAAACAAUACCAAAUGUACCAAAACAUUGUUUACUUUCACUCUCUCUCUCUCUCUCUCUCUCUCUCUAUCUAUCUAUCUAUAUAUAUAUAUAUAUAUAUAUAUAUAUAUAUAUAUUAUUUCUUAACUCAUUCUUAUCCUUAUUCUUUCUAACAUAUCCACAAUCUGUCAAUGAAAUUUACUUUUAUAAAUUUGAAGAUUUUUUCAUGCAAUUUUAUACGAUGAUGAGUUCUCAUGUUUCUGUUAAAAAAUAAUUCGUAAAUAAUACAAAUGAAAAAAACAAAAAGUAGCAGGGCUGGCAAUACAAAACCAUAACUUUUUUUCUUUGAAUUUUGCAUAAACAAAGUCAAUAGUGAUUUGUCAGCACGAUCUUGAGAGCACGGCUUGGAGUCUCAAUAAUUAUUGACACUCAUAUUUGAAAACUUUCGAAAAGAUAAAAUCCAAUAUGAAAGGUGAAACGUUAUAAUCAUAGUAACUAGAAAAUGGAUUGAUUUACAAAUAUCAAUUUAAACAAUUUUCAUGUUGAUCGACAAUUUAAGUAGAUUGACAAAGAUUGAAGUAAUUACUGUUGGUGAUUGAUUGACUUUGUCCUUAUCCUUGCCUUCUUCUUAUCAAAAAUCGAGUGUCAAUUAAAUUGGGCCAGGGUUUCUGAUUGCAACUAAUGGACUUCAUAUACGCAUAAUGGUCCCUACGUACAUACGUACCAAUAUUUGAUUGAUAAAGGGGGUGCAUGCUUAAUGCUCAAGUCGUCUUCUUUUGGAAAUUCAUUGUUAUUACUCUCAUCAACUCGUUCCUCACAUUCCUCUUUAGUCAAAACCUGUAAUAUUUCUUCUAUAUUCAAGGUGAAUACAGCAGCUCAUCGACUCUGAUCCCAGACAGGUAAAGAGGUGCACUUGUUCUAAAACCUGUAAUAUUCUUUUAGUAGCAGAAUCUCUGAUACUUGAUCUUCAUAGCGGUUCUUUCUUAAUUUCCAUCAACUUUCCUAGGAAAAAAUUCUCUGGUUUUUCUUAAUCAUAUCAUUUACUUUUCUUAAGUCAUAUCAUUUAUUUUUAGUAGCAGAAUACUUGAUCUUGAUAGCCAUUCUUUCUUAAUUUCCAUCAACUUUCCUUAAAGGAUACCUUUCUGUUAAUAGCGAAACCUCUGAUCCUUAAGAUAGAAAAAGAAAUUCUCUACUUAUGUAUCAGUUGGUUCAAAAUCAAUAUCGCGAUGUUGUUUGCGGUCUUUUCUUUCUCUGUCUUUCCCUCUAGUUCAUUUUAAUUUAUUUGUAUUCCUUUCUUUGACAUUUUUAUUCAUUUUAUUCAUAUAUAUACAUAUAUUGUUAAGCAACAGGCAAUGGUUGCAGAAGUGGGUCUGGCUGCUUUUUCCAGCAUCGUAUCAGAAGAUGCAAAGUCACUGUUCAAACCGAUUAUACGGCAGAUCUCUUAUGUGUUCAAGUACCAGAGCUACAUAGAUGGCCUAAAAGAUCAAGUGAAACAGUUGGGAUAUAAAAGAGAAAGGGUGGAAAUACCCGUUCAUCAGGCUACUCAACAAGGAGAUGAGAUUUAUAAGGAUGUUGCAGACUGGCUUAAUAGCGUCAAGGAAUUCACUCAGGGAGCUGCGAAAUCCAUCACUGAUGAUGAAGAUAGAGCUAAGAAGUUCUGUUUCAAAGGAUUGUGCCCAAACUUGAUUUCUCGUUACAAGCUCAGUAGACAAGCAGCAAAGGCCGCAGAAGCUGCUGCUAGUCUCAUGGGAAAAUGUAACUUCUCUAAUGUUUCCUACCGUCCUGCUCCAAAGCGGGCAGAACAUAUGCAAGUGAAAGAUUUCGAGGCCUUUGAUUCAAGAAUGAAAGUAUUUGAAGAUGUUGUGGAGGCGUUGAAGGAUGAUAAGCUCAAGAUAAUUGGGGUCUACGGGAUGGGCGGCGUGGGUAAAACCACGCUAGUCAAGCAAGUUGCAAGGCAAGUUAUGGAAGAUAAGGUGUUCGACAAGGUCGUUAUGGCUGAGGUAACACAGACCCCAGAUCAUCAGGAAAUUCAAAAGAAACUUGCUUUUGACUUAGGCAUGAAAUUUGGCUCGGAUGAGAAUAAAUUCGAAAGAGCAGAUCGAUUACGUGAAAGAUUGAAGAACGAGAAGCAGGUCCUCGUUAUAUUGGAUAAUAUUUGGAAAAAACUCGAGUUCGAAAAAGUUGGAAUUCCUUGUGGGGAUGUUGAUGAGAAAGAUACAAAGGAUGAUCAGAGACGAUGCACAAUAAUAUUGACGUCUAGAAGUCGAGAUUUAUUGCGCAUUGAUAUGAAUUCUCAGAAAAAUUUCCCGAUCGAUGCUUUGCCACCAAAAGAAGCAUUGCAGUUAUUUGAAAAGAUAGUGGGUGAUUCAACUAAAAUAUCUGCUUUUCAAAGUAUAGCAAAUGAGAUCGUUGAAAGAUGCGGAGGUUUGCCUGUUGCACUGAGUACAGUUGCAAAUGCUCUGAAAACUAAGGAUAGUUACUUUUGGAAAGAUGCAUUGAAUCAGCUAAGAAGAUCGGAUGCUAGAGAAAUUCAUGGCAUGCAAGCAAAUGUGUACACCUCCAUAAAAUUGAGUUAUGACUUCUUGGAAAGUGAGGAGGCAAAAUCUCUGUUCCGUCUUUGUAGUCUAUACAGUGAAGGUAAUGUCAUACAAGUUUCUGACUUAUUGAGAUGUGGUGUGGGUUGGGGUUUGUUUGAAAAUGUUUACACAUUGGAAGAAGCAAGGAGUAGAGUGCAUCGGUUGAUCGACAACCUCAAAUCUUCAUGCUUAUUGUUGGACGGUGAUGCUGAAGAUGAAGUUAAAAUGCAUGACGUCAUUCAUGUUGUUGCCGUAUCAAUUGCCAGAGAGGAGCGCAUGUUUAAUGUUCCAAAUGUUGCUGACUUGGAGAAAAAGAUGGAAGAGACAAUACAGAAAGAUCCAAUUGCUAUUUCAUUACCUCAUAGAGAUAUUCAAGAGCUCCCUGAAAGGUUGCAAUGUCCCAAUCUCCAGUUAUUUUUGUUGUAUACGGAGGGUAAUGGCCCUAUGCAAGUUUCAGACCACUUUUUUGAAGGGAUGGAAGGACUCAAAGUUUUACAGUUUCCUGGAAUUGGCUCUUCUUCAUUACCUUCAUCACUUGGUCGCCUCAUUAACCUUCAAACAUUGUGUUUAGACUGGUGCGAACUAGCAGAUAUAGCGGCAAUUGGACAACUAAAGAAAUUAGAGAUUCUCAGCCUCGCAUAUUCCAAUAUCAACCAGCUACCAGUUGAAAUUGGACAAUUGACGCGGUUACAAUUGCUAGAUUUGAGCAAUUGUUGGUGGCUUGAGGUGAUAGCACCGAAUGUCAUAUCAAAAUUAUCUCAAUUAGAAGAAUUGUAUAUGGGUAACGGUUUUUCAGGGUGGGAGAAGGUUGAAGGAGGAAGUAAUGCCAGUCUUGUCGAAUUGGAGAGGUUGACAGAGCUAACUACUUUGGAGAUAGAAGUUCCGGAUGCCGAAAUUCUGCCGCCGGAUUUUGUCUCUGUGGAAUUGCAAAGAUAUAAGAUACGUAUAGGAGAUGGGCCCGAAGAUGAGUUUGACCCAUUGCUCGUCAAAUCUGAAGCAUCAAGAUUGAUGAUGCUCAAGGGGAUAAAAAAAGUUAGCAUUCUUCAGGAGAAUGAUGGGACAAAAAUGUUGCUGCAGAGAACUGAAGAUCUCUGGCUAGAAACAUUGGAGGGUGUUCAAAGUGUUGUUCAUGAAUUAGACGAUGGGGAAGGUUUUCCACGAUUGAAGCGUCUUCUCGUAACAGACUGUUCUGAGAUUUUACAUAUUGUCGGUUCAGUUAGGGUUCGUUGCGAAGUCUUUCCCUUGCUGGAGGCAUUGUCUCUUAUGUUUUUAACUAAUUUGGAGACGAUAUGCUACAGCCAACUCAGAGAAGAUCAAUCCUUCAGCAACUUAAGGAUUAUAAACGUAGAUUCCUGUCGAAAAUUGAAGUAUCUCUUCUCAUUCUCUAUGGCCAAAAACCUAUUGCGGCUUCAAAAAGUAAAAGUGGAAGACUGCGAUGAUUUGAAAAUGAUUAUUGGUAAGUGUUGAAAUUAAUUAUUGGUAGGAUUAUUGACAUUGACUCUUUCUUUUUUUCUUUUUCUUUUUUUGGGGAAAAAAACAACGGAUGUUUAUUAUAUAUUGUUUUGGUUCAUUUAUAGGGCCCGACAUGGAGAAACCAACAACAACUCAGGGAUUCAUAGAAAUCAAUGCAGAGGAUGAUCCUGUUCACCAGGUAAUAAUUUUCUGUUUAAUAAUUAAUUAAUUAAUAUAUUAUCACGAUUGAGCUUCAAUCAUCGAAAGAAUAUUAUAUUAGAAGUUGUAGUUGAAGGAACAAAAAUGUAUGGUUUUUCUUUGCAGGUUACUUUUCCACGCUUGGAGGAACUGGAACUUGUCAGUUUAACAAAUAUCAAAAAAUUAUGGUCCGAUCAAUUUCAGGGAAUAUAUUGUUGUCAAAAUUUAACAAAAGUGACCGUGUGGAGUUGUCAUCGUCUGAAGUAUUUGUUUUCAUAUUCUAUGGUUAAUAGUCUUGGGCAACUCCAACAUCUUGAGAUUCGUAAUUGCCGGUCAAUUGAAGGGGUAGUCAACACCACGACGUUAGGAGGAAGAGAUGAAUUUAAGGUUUUUCCCAAACUACACUACCUGUCGCUCCAUUGGCUUCCAAAACUAAGUAGCUUUGCCUCACCAGAAGACGUCAUUCACACUGAAAUGCAACCUCAAUCCCUCUUUGAUGAAAAGGUUUUUUUUCAUUGAAUUUUUAAAUUCUCUUUUCGUUGAGUCUUCAAAUUUAAUUAAUAUACAUCUCUAAUUGCAUUGAAUUUUUAACUUCAGGUACGACUCCCAAGUCUGGAGGUAUUAAAUAUUAGUGAGGCGGAUAAGUUGAGAAAAAUAUGGCACCACCAGCUUGCUUCGAAGUCUUUUAGCAAAUUGAAAAAAUUGAAGAUAUCUGGGUGUAAUAAUCUACUGAAUAUUUUUCCUCCAUUGGUAAGAUUGCUAUAUUCAUUUUGAAUUUUUAUUUCAAGUAACAUUCAACAAUUAUUUUAAUCAUUUUUGUGUUUACAAAUAAUUUUCAUUCACAAAUUAUUUAUUGCAAGUAUUUUACUUCAAACUUCAGGAGGGCAAAAAAGUAGUGUACUUCAAAUCACCAUUCUGAACUCUGCAUUGUCAAUCUAAUUUAUAGGUUCACCCGCAUUAAAGUCAACGAUAUAAUUGUUUUAAACACGAUUUAACAGCAUAAUAUAAUUCAAUUUAAUUGUUUUUUUCCUUAAAUCCUAAUAAAUAAGAUUUUUAGAAAUUAAAAGAUACUUAGUUACUCAGCUUUUAAGCUCACAAAUUCAUAUAUAUUUCUCUUUUCCUUGGGUCUUCAAAUUUCGAUUUAAAAAAAAAUAAAAGAAAAGUGUUCAAAUGUAGUUAAUAUCUCUAGUUUAGUUAUGAAUUGAUUACGCCAUUGAUUAAGCACAAAUUCAUGAUGGUCAUUUUGAAUCGACCGUUGAUUAAAAAAAUUCCUCAAAUAUUCACUCUAUAACAGUCCCAUGUUGAUGGCGUUGGGAAGUGUUUUCCAGAAAUGUUUUUCCAUUUUUAAAAGCAUGAAUAUCGGGAAAAAAAAAAGGGAAAUACAGCGUUUUAGUUUAGUUAUUUUAAAAAUAGGCAUGUUUGAAAAUUAAAAAUUUUAAAAAACUAGCAUCAAGAUGAAAAAUGAAUUUAGAAUAUUUAAAAAUUACCUGAAAUUCUUUCUCCGUUCCUAAUACUAAAUAGUGUAAAUGCAUUUUCAUUAUCUUUGUUUUUCUGGACUUCUAUUUAUUUAUUUUUAUUUUUUCUUUUUUUUCUUUAACAAAAAAUAUCUAGUAGACAUUCAUGGUUUGUUAUUUUUCAUAAAACAAUUGUAUGAUUUUGACAUACUUUGAAUCUAGUUGAAUGCUACUCUUUAUUUUCAGGUUGGAAUUCCCAAUAGUCUAGUGAAUCUUGAUGUAUCAGACUGUGCAAAAAUAGAAGAAAUCAUAGGACAUGUUGGAGAAGAAGCGAAGGAGAAUCGUAUUGCUUUCAACGAAUUAAAACUUUUGGAACUUGAUGAUUUACCAAGGCUUACCAGCUUUUGUUUGGAGAAUUACACUCUUGAAUUCCCAUCAUUGGAACAAGUUUCUAUGACACAUUGUCCGAACAUGAAGACUUUUUCUCGGGGAAUCUCAUCCACACCAAAGCUAUACGUAGUGCAAGUGACUGAAAGGGAAGAGGGUGAACACCAUUGGGAAGGCAAUAAGCUUAAUUCCACUAUACAAAAGUGUUACGAAGUAAUGGUAUGUGUUAAUCGAUUCACUUUACGAAGUAAUGGUGUUACGAACACCAUUACGAAGUAAUGGCAAUAAGCUUAAUUCCACUAUACCACAUUUAAACAUAUACACCUGCGUUGUAAAUAUAUUUUUAGAAGUUAAAGCACAAAACAUGUAAGUUUAAUGUAUAUAUAUAUCUAAUGCCUUUCAAAAAAAGAAAUUUAUAUAUAUCCAGUGCAAUUGUUUUGGUUUAUGCAGAUUGGAUUCCGUGACAUAGAGCAUUUGCAACUCUCACAUUUUCCACGCUUGAGAGAAAUAUGGCACGGCCAAGCAGUGCCUGUCAGCUUCUUCAACAAUUUACGACAACUGGCUGUGGAUGACUGCACGAAUAUGUCGAGUGCUAUUCCUACCAAUCUGCUACGUUGCUUGAACAAUUUGAGAUGCCUGGAAGUGAGGAAUUGUGAUUUAAUAGAAGAGGUGCUUCAUUUAGAAGAGCUAAAUGCUAAGGAAGAACAUAUAGGCCCCCGGUUUCCUAGGCUUAACAGACUAAGGCUCAUUGAUCUUCCAAAACUCAAAAGAUUCUGCAACUUCACUGGGAAUAUAAUUGAACUGUCUGAGUUGGAGAAUCUAACUAUUGAGAAUUGCCCUGAUAUGGAAACAUUCAUAUCCAACUCUGUAGUGCAUGUGACAACAAAUAACAAGGAACCUCAAAAAUUAACAUCAGAAGAGAACUUUUUGCUGGCUCAUCAAGUACAACCCCUCUUCGAUGAAAAGGUGAUUAUUAUUAUUAUUAUUAUUAUUAUUAUUAUUUUCCCCUUCACUUUUGUUCGCACAGAUGUAAUUUCAUUAGAAUCAAAUCAAAUUUUAUGACUCAUCUUUUUGCAUGUCAUCUUGAUUCAUAUAUGAAUUAACAAUACAACUACAGUUAUGAACUAACUUUAUAGUAUGAAUUAAAAAAAUGUCUUAAAUUAUUUCGAUGACUGGUAACAUGAGGUGAUGAACUAUAUCAAUUAUGCUUGUCGCAUCUCUGUUUUCCUAGCUAAUUCAUAUUGGAUUUAGUAUCAGAUUUCAUUUAUGUGUUUCAAAGGGUAAUCGAUUUGAUACUUAUAUUUGGGAUCCUACUGCAAAGCAUACUAAUUUGGAAAUAAAAUAUAAAAUGCCGUGAUUAAUCUUGUCCAUAAAAUAUGCAGGGGAAGACUGCAGAGAUUGGAUACAUACUUUCAUUUACAACUUAAUUUUGUUGAUUUUCAGCUUACAUUCCCUCAAUUGAAGGAGUUAAAGCUAUCUAGAUUACACAAAGUGCAGCAUCUCUGGAAGGAAAAUGACGAAUCCAACAAAGCGUUUGCAAACUUGAAAAGUCUAGAAAUAUUUGAAUGUAGUAAGUUACAGAAAUUAGUACCAGCUUCGUGGCAUUUGGAAAAUCUUGAGGCUUUGAAAGUAUCGAAGUGUCACAGGUUGAUAAAUUUGUUGACGCUCUCAACAUCUAGAAGUCUGAUAAUUCUUCAAAGUAUGACGAUAGCUGAUUGCAAAAGGAUAGAAGAAAUCAUACAGUCGCCGGUUGCAGAAGAAGCGAAAGAUUGCAUUGUUUUCAAGGAAUUAAAGUACUUGGGACUUGAUUGUUUGCCAAGCCUAACAAGCUUUUGUUUAGGUAAUUACGCUCUUGAAUUCCCGUCCUUGAAACAAGUAGUUGUGAGAGAGUGUCCAAAAAUGAUGAUCUUCUCUCAAGGAGUCUUAGACACACCAAUGCUAAACAAAGUGAACGUCACCGAAGAAGAAAAAGAUGAUGAUGAUGAAGGAUGUUGGGAAGGCAACCUCAAUGACACCAUAAAAAAAUUGUUCAAUGAAAUGGUGAGUAUCAAUUAAGUUUUGGUGCUAUUUAGAAAAUUAUUUUAUAGAAACUAAUGUAAUAUAAUAUGAUUGGUUGACUGAAAAUAUAUAAUAAUAAAUAAAUAAAUAAAUUAUGAGGGCUAUGUAAUGUUUUUGUUUAACCAAUCAUAUUAUGUCGCAUUAGUUUAUACAAUAUUGUUUGUGUACAAGAGUUGUAAUGUAUGCUUGCUUACACGAGUAAUUACAAAAUGUGCAUAAUUCUAAAGAAAAGAUUGAGCCAACCCUUCAGGUACAGUGAAGAAGCUAUCUCGAACCAGGCCAAUCUCGUGUACAUGAUUCAACUUGCUCGUUCUCCUGUACUUGAAUAAUUUGGUUCUAAACGCAUUUACAACUUUUUUGUCAUGCUAUAGACAUGCAAGACACUUUGGAUUUGUUUGAUGCAUUCUUUGUUUAAGGAAGGACUUGAAUUGAUGUUUCAUGUUUCAUGCAAUUUUCAAUUAGAUACUGUUUAAACUUCUGCAUUAUUCAUUCAAUCGGUGUUUUAAGCAUUUGAUUUCUAACUAGUCCUGAUAGAAGAUCAUUAGCUGAAGAAAACAUCAUAACAUUUGUGGCAUUAUCAGAAUAAGAAUAGUUUUAUGAGUAUAGUAAAAUUAACUAGACCAUUAUUAAAAGGAAUUAAUCCGUCAACUUUAAGUAAACUUUAGAUGAUGGUUCUGACCUAAACCAUUUUAAUGCUUGGCAAAAUCACAUCCUGAGCAUAGAGUAAAGAAAGUGGCAUACAUGGUAAUCAACUUCAAGAAGCUCUUCGAAAUGCAUAAUACUGUUGGGGAGAAAAGAAAAAGAAAGAAUACAAAUAAAAAGAAGUCACACAUCAUCAGCAGUUUUUCGGGAACACAAAAAUGUUAUAAUAACUUUUCUUGAUUGCCACCCACAUGCUAAACUGAUCAAAUACAAAACAGGAUACAGAAAAUCUCUAACCUUUUUGGCACUGAAGAAGACGCCAGUGCUUUCAAAAGAAAAUGCUUGAUUGUUGGCAUUCUGGUUUGAAAAAUAUGAGUCCAAUUCCUGUGUCCAGUCAUGUACCAAAUCAGGACGACGUGCAAGUCAUACAAAGAUGACAAAAAUACAGUAUAAAUUGCGUCAAACCAAUUCAAGUCAAUUGGAGAAGUAAAUCAAGGACCAUUUGCAAUAGUUGUUCUCCACAUCAAAUUUGGGUGUCCAUCGUCUUCAUCCUCUUGUGCACUGAACCUGAGAGUCCACGAGAAAUACAUAUAAAAAUUAGGCAUGAUUGAAAUUGAUAGUAGUACAAAAUGGAUAUAAACAUCACGAUGAACAAAUUAAAUUGUUCCCUGUCAGACAAAUCCAACCUGCAAGCUUAAGCUCUUAAGCUAGACCAAAUCACACUGCAAAUAACAAGACAUAAGGCCAAAAAAAGAUAAUAUGUAUCAUUCAUAUGCUUCGCCCUAUAGAAAUGAUUUGGGCCAUAGGUCAAUUAUGUUAAAAGCAGCGAUACUAAACCCAAAAGAAGAGAGGUGAGGCGAGGGAGUGGUGGGUUUUUUUUUUUUUUUUUUCAUUUAUAUAUUUUUACCUUAAACCAAAUGACCGGUUUUACAGGUUUCUGGUUGUUUCAAAUUUUUUUAUUGCUUAAUAAUGAAACAAAUCUCAGCCAUUAGAUCACUCCAUUUAAUCCAAUGGUCAGUUUUUGUGCAUGUAUCAGAUGCACGCAUGUAUUGUAGCCGCCCCAUUUUCCUUUUUAGUUGCAAAACCUCGUUCGAAAGCAACAAUGACUUUCACUCAAAGUAAAUGAGAAAUUACAAUGAAAAUGGGAUCAGAAAAAGGUUGAGGUGAAAUAAAACCAAAGGGAUGAUGUUUCUGCUUUCCAGCUUUGGGAAACGGCGUGGAUGGAGCACGUUCAAUACGAAAAACUUCAUUAGCUCACGCGCUGCUCAGCUGAUUCUUAACAGAAAAUGAUUUAGUGGAAACGGCGUGGAUGGAGCACGUUUAACAUAUCAGUUUAAGUAACCACGUGAGAAAGCAUGUGAUGAAGGUUGUUCCGAGUUCGUUGAAGGUUGUUAACCACGUGUCAAAACAAAGUGUUCAUACUGGAAAGAAACAAAAUAUUAAUAAAUAAACCAUUAAAAAGAUUAUCUGAAAAUUAUGUUUAACUAGGCCAAUUCAAUUAUCGAGCAGUUUGAUAUAUUAAAUGAGCUAGAACAGUAGCCUUUUAAUUAUUUCACUUACUAUUAUCGAACAGUUUUAUAUCAUUCCCUAUCUUAUAGUAAAGGUAAAAGAACAGAAAAGGUAUAUUGCAUUAGAGUUCGUGUACUUCUACCUUUUAGUUUAUUCUUCAUUUUAUUAAAAUGACAGAUUCCUCAUUAAAAAAGGUCACUCUACAUAGUAUGUGGGUGUAUGUUCUUUUAAAAAGGACUGAGAGAAAAAUAAAUGUGAAAAACAAGUAACAUCUGAAGAAGAAAGUGAUGCUGACACAUUAACGACCACUUGAUUUUGUAGGGACUGCACAUAAUUGAUAAUUUCAUCCAACAUGAGACCUUUCCAAUUACCUAAUUUUAUACCAAACAACAUGAAGUUUAUAAGAAAUAUUAAAAACACAAAAACUCGUUAUUUGUUUUAAGACAGGAAAAAGUGAAUAAAAAACAAUAACAAAAAAAAGAACUCAAAUUACUUAAUUACCAUAGCUAUGAACAAGUUUUUGCAAAAUUUUCAUCCUCUCACUAACUUUCUCUCUUCUUACCUAAAACCAAAUAAUGACAAGACAACUGCCCAUUAGACUAUGACAAAAGUUGGAAAUUAAAAUAAUAUAGUAGGUUAUUUUGGAUAAAAUUAGAAAAAGAAAGUUUGAAUUUGUAUUAAUAUACUCACCCUUUCUGUUAACCCCUAUUUGAAGGGCCGAAAGAGUAGUAACAGUAGCAAAAAAUUCAAAUAAUAGAAAUCAGAGUGCCCACUACAUAUAAAUGGAUCUAAAGAAUAGAUUAUAUAAUAGCUUGUUUCUUAUGAAUGAUACAUGUGAUUCCACAGAUAAAAAGAAAAUAAAAAUCAAGUAUGUGAAUUAAAAAAAACACCUAACCAAUAGGGGUUAGUGAGAUAUUUUAGCUAAAUAUCAGUUGACAGAAUCUGACCCACAAUAAAAAUUGCUAUCUUUUCACAAUGGGAAUCUGAAUUAUAAAAUUACUGAACAAAACUUUUAACACCUACAAGUCCAAAUAACAUCAAAUAAAAUGCCUAACCAGCUGUUAAAUAUAAAAUGUCCAUGUAGGACUAAAGCCCUGUGGCUAAUCCUUCAAAGUUCCAAGCAACAAUAUGAUAAAAACAUAAUGCAUAAUAUAUAAGGAGCUUAUCUGUAAAACUUCCAUACAAUACUUAUCAUAUUAAACAAUGUACAUAAUGAAAUAUUGGCUUAUUUCUACAGAAUAUUACGAUCUAAGUACACCAAUUUCUCAAGCAAUGCCAUAUAGAAAGAUACCGAAGAAAAAAGGAAAAUAAAAAAUCGAAGUAUGUUAGUUAUGAUUUCAACUUUUGAACUAAAAGUCUGUGACAAAUUUUGCUUCGGGAAAUACUAACAAACACUUGAGAAAAACUAAAGUGUAUCACACUUGAACCGUAUAUAAAGCACAAGAAUAAAAACAACAAGGGGCAAAAAGAGGCUAGAUGUAUCAUCUUCAUUAGUUAAACAACAUAAAUAGAAUCAAAAUAUUAAUGCAUACACCAAAACCUUCAAAAUUCUCUAAACAUUCAAUUUUUUUCAGAGUAAGAAAAUAAAUUUAUAAGAAAUCGAGAAUGCGUAUUUGUUGCGGUAUUUUAUCAAGCAAUUAGCAUGCAGCAAUGUAAAUGACAAUUAAAACAUGUAAAUCUCUGUACUUUGAAAGCUCACCUUCGUUAUUCAUCCAAAGAGAAUAUAUAGGGCAUGUAAGCUCCUUCUUUGAUAUUUAUCCCUAUCGUUCAAUUAUUUUGUUUUCAUCAAAUUCCGUUAGCUCAAGUGGAGACAAAGCAAUACAAAUGGUGCAUUUAGAAGGUACAACUUUAGAAACCGAAUUUGUGCUUGCAACAUAGGAGAAACAGGGGCUCUCCUUCCAUUUUCCUGGUUUUGUGUUUGGUGAUUUUAAAAUUUUAUAUCUAUAUUUACGAAAAAAGAAAAGAAGUUUUCAAAACUAUUUUUUUUAUACAAGUUCUGUGUCAACUCAAAAAUUGCUCAUGACCAAAAAACAUCUAUGGUUCUUCAGUUACUCAAAAAUUCCUCGUUUUUGAGUUACUUUUUUUUUUUUUUUUAAUUUUUAUUCUCAAGUAAUUUUAUCAUGGAAUUGUUAAUUUUUAUUGAAUGUUGAACAAGCCUUUAUUUCUUUUCUUUCCCUUUUAAUGAAAUUAAAUAAAUGGUGGGGAUAUACCCUACAAAUUAUUGUCUCCACCCCAUAUUUAGUAUUGCUUUUACCACAUGAAAAAUUAAUUUUAUACGAUAAAUUUAUUUACUUGAAUAUUAAACCAUAUCAUGAACCAAUUGACAGGUUGAAGAAUUAACUUUCAAGUUUCAACAUUAUAAGAUUAAUAAAUAGCAUAAACAAAUUUUUAUUUUCAUUUAAAUUAAUCUAAUCCUACCAACUUCAUUUGGAUUUCAUAGUUGUUGGUUUCAUGUAUCACACGAAUUGUUAGGCACCAACUAACACAAGUAUAUGUUACUCAAGCAUCUCACUUGAAUAAUAGUCUAAGGAACUUUGAUUCGGAUGGUAGAUAUUUAACUAACUAAAACUAACAUUCUUAACUCAAAGCUCAUUUACUAGUAAAAGUAGAACCUUCUCCGUCAGCUUAUCUUGUUCAUUAUAUAACAAAAGAUAUUUAGUGAAAAAAAAAAAUUGGAGGGGGGGGGGGGAGGGGGAGACUAUGAUAAUAAUUAUGUUCAAGAUCUAGCCGCUAGGGAUAGAUUUGGCUAUGACUAUUUGUUGAUCCAGUAAUUAAUUUGAACAAUAUUGUUAAUUUUAGUUGAAACUGGAAUGAAUUUUGUGAAAGAUGCUUUCUCAUAACUAACCAACUAAAACUAACAAUCAAAUUAUCAAAAUCAGAGCUCAACUACUAGUAAAACUAUAAAAGUAAAACACUUGCUUCUCCAUCAAGUCAUCUCUUUAUAUAUAACAAAGAAUGUUUUAUGAAAGAUGGCAAAAGCAGUCAAUAACAAUUAAGUCUCAAAUAAUUCAUAAAAGAUGUCAAGCUCUGUUGCGAAUGCUGCUGAGGCUGAGAUUUGGAUUGUCCCAUUCUUCGGUAAGGGACAUAUGUUUCCAUGCAUUGAAUUAUGCAAGCAAAUCACUUCUCGUAAUUACAAAUCUACCCUCAUUAUUCCCUCUCACGUUUCCGCCACCAGCAUCACCCCUUCUUUUGUUCACCAAUACCCUCUAUUUGAAAUUACUGAAAUACCCUCCUCAUCUCCACUACUACCAUCGCCUCCUUCUUACCUCCAUGUUGUCAUGCACAACCAAAUGCUUCAGGGUCUUCGAAACCUCCUUUCAACCCGGAACCCGAAAGCCGACCUGUUUGCGUAGUCAUCGGCGUUAUGAUGGGCUGGACGGCUGAUGUUUUCAAGAAUUUUGAAGUUCCCAUUGUUGGGUUCUUCACUUCUGAUGCUUGCUCAGCAGCUGUGGAGUGUGCCAUGUGGCAGGCUCGCAUCCAGGAUGUCAAACCGGGAGAGGCCCAUUUACUUCUUGGGUUACCCAAGGAUGUUGCUUUAUUCCAAUCAGAUCUUAAACGCAGGCCUCACGGGUCCCUUCCUGGUGGCCCACAACCUUUGUGAGGUGCACCCGGUUCAGAGAAAAUAGGUCCAUCAGAACCGAGUGAUCAACCACACUGGAUGAAGCAAGUGGAGGGAUCGAUGGUGUUGAUGCUAGUGUGGGGAGUGGGCCCAUUGUUACCUGAACAAUUUUACAAAUCGACCGGUUCAGUGCUUCGUGAUUGUGAGAUGAGAACCAACCGGCGGAGUUCUAACAUGACCAAAGAUGAGAUCAUUCAAUGGUUAGAUUUGAAAUCAUGUGGAUCAGUGUUAUACAUGUCAUUUGGUACCGAAAUGGGUCCCACCUUAAAUGAUUAUUCAACAUUAGCCAAUGAUUUAGAAGCAUCAAAUCCACCGAUUAUUUAGGUAAUUCAAACUGAUGUAAAUAGAUUGGAUCCUCCACGUCAUUUAACCAGCUUAUUUUCAUAGUGGUUUAGAUAGUAAAGCCGGUAAAAAGGGUUUGAUAAUAGAUGGAAUGGCACCACAAUUAUUGAUGCCGAGUUAUCAAUUAAUAGGUGGAUUUUUAUCUCACUGUGGAUAAAAUUCAACUGUAGAAGCAAUUGGCUGUGGGGUCUCAAUUUUAGCAUGGGCAAUUAGAGGUGAUCAACGUUACAAUGCCAAAUUGGUGAUCAAUCAUCUCAAGGUGGGGUGCAUGAUCUCUGAUGAUCAGUCGAAAUUGACUUAAAAGGAUGAUAUAGUGAGUGGUAUAGAAAAGCUUAUGAGUAGGGUUGGGCAAAAUAUCCGACCCGAUCCGAUCCGAUCUGACCCAAAAAAUAUCGGGUUCAGAUCGGAUCGGAUUGUUAACAAAAUCCAAUCGGAUGUAACUUUGCCAACCCGAUCGGAUCAUGAUCGGAUCGGAUGAAACCCGAUCCGAUCCGAAAACCCGAUCGGGUUGGCUUAAAAAAAAAACUGUGUAACAAACUAACAAAGUGGCAAACACAACAAAAUCGGAUUCACACCACACAAAAAGCAAAUCUUAGAUCUAAAUUAAAAUAAUCUGUAAGUGCACACACACACACUCACAUCACACACGGUCACACACAAAUAGAGGUUUGGCCUCGGAGAUCGGAAAUGUUGAGAUGCCAAACAACGAAGCAGCAGCCAACAGAUUGGAGAUACAACCGCAAGAAGCAGCAACCAGCAGACCGGAGAUGCGGCCGCGCGAAGCCGCGAACCAGCAGCCAGCAAUCACCGACGUGAUCGUGCGAAGCCAAACCAUCGGAGAUCGGAGAUGUCAGCGAAGCAGCGGUGAGCAGAUCGGAGAUGCAACCGCAAGAAGCAGCAGCCAGCAAAUCGGAGAUGCAACUGCGUGAACCAGCAGCCAUCAGUCACCGACGCGAUCGUUCAAAGCUAAGCCAUCGCUGCAACCGCAACGUGCCGAUGGAAUCUACUACACCUCGACUGCUACCGCUUGCUGCCACUAGCUUCACCGGUUACCACAACUGCUACAACUAAAUUCACCUCCACAUUCACUGUCACCAAGUUUUUGGUGGUAUUGACUAUAUUGUUUUAAAUAAUUUAAUUUAAAAAGCUUAAAACAAAACUAUAUCUUGAGAAAAGGUUGAUUGUUUUACUUGAUUGCUUCUGAAAUUAACCCAGAAAUAUAGAAUGGAUAUAUAACCCGAAUGCUUUUAAAUCUGAAUCUAAUCCGAAUUAAUCCGAAUUUUCGAUCCAAUCCGAUCCGAAUUAUAUUCGGAUCGGAUUGGAUCGGGUUAAUAAUUCGGAUUGAGUUCGGAUGAUUUUUUCCCCAACCCGAUUGAUCCGAAAUUGAUCAAAUCAACCCGAACCCAAUCCGAAUCCGAUUUUGCCCACCCCUACUUAUGAGUGAUCAAAGAAAUUGAAAAACGAGCUCACAUGCUUCGCCGUGUAUUUAAUCAUGGCUUUCUUAUAAGUCAAUGACUUCUUUAAUAUAGUGUUUACUUUUUGGAGUGAGAGUGAGGAGUGUGGAUUCCUCUUACUCCAGUGUUUACUUACAAUUUUCAAAGGGGAAGUGAGAAUUCCACUCCGUGGAUCCCACCUAAUUUUGGAGUGGGGGAGUGAGAUUCCCACUCCCAUGGAGGAAGGUGGGAGUGGAAAUUCACUCGCCUCUCUUCCUUUUUCACCCUUAUAUUUAAUAAAAUAAAAUAAAUAAUAUCAUAUUUAUUUAACUUAUAUUAUUAUUUUAUUUUAUAAAUUACAUUUAUUAAAAAUAAUAAUAUUAAACAUAUUUAUUUUAUUAAAUUUAAUAAAAUAAGUAAAAUCAUAUUUAUUUAAAUAAUAAUAUUUUAUUAUUUUAUAAAUUAAAUUUAUUAAAAAUAAUAAUAUUAAACAUAUUUAAAAUAAUAUUAAUUUUUUGGUUAAAAAUAAUAAUUUACAUUGAUUCUAAGUUAAAAUUACUUAAAAAUAAUAUCAUUAUAUUCAUAAAGAAUUAAUAAUAUUACUAUAUUCUAUUUUUAUUUGAAAAUAUAAUAUUAUUAUACUUAUUUAAAAAUAAUACUAUUAUAUUUAUUUAAUAUUAGUAAUUAAUAAUAAUAAAUAUUUUAUUCUAAAAAAAUUAAUUUUGUACUAUAUUAUCAAUAAUAAUGUUUCAUUUGUAUUGUUGUUAUUAAUAAUUUUUUAUUUAUAUAAUUAAAAUUAAAAUUAAUAAAAUAAUUGUGAUUUACAUAGUUAAGAAUAUUAAUAAUUAUUAUUAAUUUAAAAAUAUAAUUUUUAUUAAUUUUGUAAUUAAUAACUAUAAUUCUUUAAGAGUAAAGCUGUAAUUUAAAAUCAUUACUCACAAUCUAAGACAAUGUAAACAAAUAAAUUGGAUUCUGAUUUCAAUUCCAUACUUCCAUUUCAGUGUAAGUAAACAACAUACUUCGACUCCCACUCCACACUCCUAAUCCCAGGAUUCUCACUUCUCACGAUUCUCACUCCAACGCAAAAUGUAAACGCUACCUAAAUGCUUUCAAAUAUCUUGUUAACCAGAAAUCAAUUUAACAAAAACAAUUACCGUGUAUAUUAUUAACGAAAAGGCUUUGAUUCCGUUGGCUUGGGUGUAAAUAAAUCGACUUUAUCAAGAACAGACAUCUCAGCAACUACAUAAUAAUAUAUGUAAGCUUUUGUUAAUUGACUGCAUUAAAUCAUUAAAUCAAAAGCCUUACAAAGCAUCUACAAUAAAAAGAUGGCACAUCCUCCAUCCAAACGACAAAAACAUGGACUCGCAACGCAAUUCUUGCUAAUUAAUUAAUAGGUAGUCAUAUUCCUCCGAGCAACAAAAUGAACAUCAAAUUGUUGAUGAGGCACCAUAUGCACAAAAUGUUGAUAUUGUUUAAUGUUUAAUAUUAUGGGAAAGUUUUAAUAGAUCUUCAUUUCCCUUACAUAUUGUGAGCUUAUAACCAAAAAUGGGACUAUAUGGUUGUGUGACAAACAAAAAGGGAAAUUUUUUACUAUUCGGCUAAAUUUUAAUGUCAAUAAUAUAGGAUCUGAAUUCACUUUAAUAUGAUAUCGACAUGUGUAGAAAAUUCCUUAAGUAAAUAGAUUUUGCAUAAAAGGUAUCGACCCAGAGUCAGAGGAAAAUUAAAUAGAAUGUCUUUUAAUACAACAAUCACUGGUGACCCUGUUUGGGCAUAGUUUGAGAGUACUAAAAUAUCUACUGCCAACUCUAUUCUAGUUGAAAGGCUAUCAAGGCAAAUUGGUCGCAUUGUUGAUGAUGAGGAAAUAGAGGUUGGAUUCAAGAAGAAGAAGAUUAUGGUAGUAAUGUUCUUGAAGGUCGAGAGAUGGAGAGAUUGAGAAAUAAUAGUGCAGCAAGUUUAAUGAGUGGAUAAUAUUAUGGUCAUAUGUUUUUUUUUUUUACACACAUGUAUAUAAUAUUAUAUUUCUAUGAACUAGUUUGAUUACAAUGAUUUUAUGUACAUAAAAGUUUAUAUAAAGAUUAAAUUUUUGCAUUUUCUUUUUUGCACUUAAUUUAUUAAUCAAACUAAUGAUAUGUUAGUAUUUGUUAUAUCACGAACUACAUAACAAAUUUUUUAGUUAAAAAGAUAUUGAAGUUAAUUUUAUUGCAAAUUAAAAUAGUUAAUAAAAAAUUAUUUAAAUAUGUAAUAAAGAAAAUAGAAUAUGCUCUUAAAAAAUCUUGUAAAUAAAAAAAGAUUUAAAUAAUAAUAUUCUAAAUAAAUUACAAACAAGUAAACAAGUACAUUUUUGUCAUUGUACAUGAACAUUUUACACUUUUAAUUUUCAUUUACCAGAUUUGUAUAGUAAACCGUUUAAAAAUUGAUUGUCAAAUAAUCAUCAUUUACCAAACACCCUAAUAGAUUAUUUGUAAAAUUAUUUUUUUGUUCAGAAUCAAGGUAGAAAUUAAUUCUUGGAAAGUAAAGGAAAUCUCAAACAUACCCUCAAUCAACCAUGGGAAGUUAUUUAAGUUGUAGUAUCUAAUAAGUUCUAUUAAUAGUGAGCGCACAUAUCAAAUAUAUAAAAAUAAGUAUUUUAGUUAUUAUCCACCUGUUCCCUUGAAAUCAAUCUCAGUUUUUUUUUUCUUUUACCUAAAAUUCCAAGAAAAAUAUAUAAAAGAAGAAGAACUUUUUUUUGGGGGGGGGGGGGGGGGGGGGGGGGCGGGGAUUGGGGUGGGGGAGGGGGGAGCUCCUCUGUUUUCAUUCCAUUGUUUUGAAAUUAUCUAUCAUCAGUAUAAAGUUAUACUUUUGAAUCAAUAUGCUUUGUGACUCGAUAAUUUAGCAUAAUAAAAAAAGAAAAACACACUUACUCACAUCCCGAUUGAAUCUUAUCUCUAAGGAUAAGUAAAAAAUUAUUGUUCCUCUUUUUCUUUUACGGUUUGUUUACGAAAAGAAAACACUCACACCUUCAAGAUAUUUAUAAGUAGAACACUUAAGUUUUAAGAAUAAUACACCCUAAUUUGAAAAAAAAUGAAUACAUGUAUCAUAUUUUAUGUUUUUUUUUUAAAAAAAUUAUUUGAUGACAUUAUGAGACUCUAUAUGCCAAGAUCUAUGUGAUGGUGAGAAUGGUUUCAUAAAAGAAGCAAUAGUAUAACCGCACACAUGGCAUUGUUUGUAAUGACUAAAAUUAGAAGAGAGUCUAUGUAUCUACUCCUGAAACAUUAAGAAUUUAACUAUUUAUUAAUUAAAUCAAAAUUUCAAGAUCAUAGUGUCGUUUUACAUAAAGAACCCAAAUACUAAAUCUAGCUAAUAAAGGAGAACGGUUUAGAUUAGUUGCUUGGACUUCCUUGUCUCGGGGCUGUGUGGUCAAGCCUGUCCAUCAGGCGGAUUCAGAUUUUGAAAGUUAUCUGAAUCUUCUUCUCUAUGUAAGCCUAUACAAUGAUUUUGUGAAAGACAUAUGCAAAAACAGUACCAGUAAGCAUAUUUAUUUAUCAAAGAUGUCAAGCUCUGAUGCUCAGAUAUGGAUAUCAAAGAGAGAGAUUGAAAAAGAGAGAGAGAGAGAGAGGAUAAUCAGGGACUCGUCUGUUAUCAUUCCCCUGUUUUUCAGUUUGGUGAUUGGAAGUAACAUUAUUUGCGUGUACUCUUUAUUUAAUUUAUUUUUCAAUUUUUUAAAAAUUAAUUAUUGUUCUUCUCAAAGCGUUUAGUAAAUUAUAUGAUAAUCUGAUCAAAUCUCUAACAUUAAUGUCCGCAUAAUCUAGUAAUGAAACUUAUAAUUUUAUAAUAAUCAAAUUGAAGAUUUCUUCACGCUGUUUUGUAUGAUGACGAGUUUUUAUUUUUCUGUUAAACAUAAGAUCAUUUUCUAAUAAUGUCCAUCUGGAAUUAGUAAUAACGAAGCAUCAUUUGUGGACAGAACAAUUGAAAUAUCAAGUCACUAUUGAUCCCACUUUGAUGAUUGCACUUUAGUUUCUUUCUAAAAUGUCAUUCUUCAUUCAAGCUUUUACUUUAUCUUUUAUCAGGUAUCUUACAAAGCUUUUCCCUCCUAAUAAGCUCUAAUAAACCAAUGUGCUUUUCAAUUUCGCAGGAUACAAGUAACGUAUAUGCCAAAAUUAUUCAAGCACAACAAGUAUUUAUUCGUCGAAAACUUCAACUUAAUUAUUUCAUUAGAAAAUAUGAAACGCAGAGCCAUAAACUAGUGUUUUCUUCAACUUACUUGGGUUAAAUAAAAUUUUUUCAGUAUUUUUCCCGAUCCAUUUCUUGUAUCUCACUGCAUGCUUUAUUAAAGCUUCGUCUUUGUUCUUGAUUGUGAACUUCAAGAUUAAAUCUUAAAAAUCGGGUAUAAAAGGGGUGCUUGAUUAAGUCUUCUUCUUUUGCAAUUCAUUGUUACGGCUCUUUUCAGCUUUUUACUCACAAAUUCCUCUGACGUUAACAGUGAUCUAUCGCUCACUAAAAUUGUUCUUCAUAAUUUCUUUCAAUACCAGUUCUUAAUAUUCAAGGCGAAUAGAGAGCUCAUCAACUCUCUGAUCCCAAAUAAUUAAAGAGGUACACAUGCUCCUAAAUCCUCUAAUAAUUUCUUUUAACAGCAGUUCUUAUUUAAUUUAAUUUCCGUCUAUUUUCCAAGAAAAAUUUCUCCGGUUUGUCUUAAUCUUAUCAUUUAUUUUGCUUGAGUUGUAAGUUAUUGUUCAUUUGUAAGGUCUGUGUUCUUAUUACUAGCUUUGGUUAAUUUGAAUCUAUCUUCCCCAAUAAAAAAAAAAAAGAAGUUUUUAAAAAAAGCGCGGGUUUUUAUUCGGACCCUUAAAACCUCUCUGUUAAUAGCAAAGAAAGACUCUAAUCCUCGAGCCAGGGGGAGUAAAAAAAGAACAAAGAAUUCUCUGUUUAAGUAUCAAUUGUCUCAAGAUCAACAUUGUUUUUUUUCUUUUUCUUUUUUUUGUUAAUUUGUUUGUUAUUUUAUUAGAUUUGCUUUUAAUCUAAUUGUGCUUGAGGAUUGAAGAUGAGUGAGAAAUACCCUUUUUUUCUGAAGCAACCUACAAAUUUUAGAAUAGGGUAAGAGUAUUAGAGAUUCAAUUAAUCAAAAAAAGUUAUUUACAUUCGUCAUUUGCAAAAAUGUUUGCAUUAGAAUUUUUCUAGCAUUCAAGAGCAUUACAUAUCAUCAUGUCACAAAAUAGCCUGAAAAACAAGAUAAAUCAAUUAGAGCAACUUGCUCUUUAUUGAAUUUUUUUUUUUUUUGUUUGGUUUGCCCGAAAUCCCAGGGAAAAUAUUAUAUAAGAACAAGAGUUAAGAUCAAAAAAAUGUAAAACAAGUUUCCUCUGUUUUCGUCCCCCCCCCCCCCCCCCCCCGGUUUGAUGAUUGAAAUUUUUUUUAUCUAAAUUUUAUGAUUUUCCGUUGGGGUUUUAUUAAAUAAAAAAUAAUUAGAAAAUGUAAUUCUAGAUUUACCCUUGUGCAUCGAGUGAUUAUUAUUAUGUUCUCUUAAGAUUUGAUAGUGCAAUUUUGUGUGAUGUGAAUUUCAUGUUUCUGUUAAUCAAUACAAACACAAUUUGUAAGUAAUGGCCAUGUGGAACUUAAUUAUAACCAAGCAUCAUUUGUGGAAAGAACAAAUGAAAUAACAAAAAAGCAGCGUUGGCAAUACAAUAUCAAACUUUAUUUAUUUAUUUAUUUUUGUUUUUGUUCUUGAAUAUGCAUUAAUCAAAUCAUAUAUUGUUGAUCUUACUUUGAUGAUUUGCUGUUCAGUUUCUCUCUCAAAUGAUUUUUGUGUGUUUCCGGUAUCUGCUUUUAUGAAAGAAGCCCUAAAGUGCAUGUGGAUUUUUAAAAAAAGAUUGCAUAUAAUUAUCCUAUACGUGCGUAAACAGGGCAACAAUAACCAAAUACAUGAUAUAAAAAAGGGGUGCUUGAUUAAUGCUUUUUCUUCUGCAAGUCAAUGUUAUUAUUCUCAUCAACCCUUUUCUUACACAUUCCUCGGCAGUUACCGGUGAUCUUUUUGCUCUUUGAGGUUGUUCUUAAAUAUUCAAGGCCAAAUAGAGAAUCUCACCAACUCUCUAAUCCCAGAUAAUUAAAGAGGUGCACAUUUUCCAAAUCCUCUAAUGUGUGUGUUUGUGUAUAGUAGAUCUUUGAUCUUGACAUCUGUUCUUUCAUAAUUUCCAUCUAUUUUCCAAGAAAAAAAAUUUCUCUGGUUUGUUUUAAUAUUGAAUUUACUUUGCAUGAGUUUUAAGUUAUUGUUCAUUGUUAAAGCCUGUGCUCUUAUUAUUUCGUUUGGUUAACUUGCAUUCUUCCCCCCCCCCCCCCCCCCCCCCCCCCCCCCCCCCCCCCCCCCAAAAAAAGAAAAAAGAAAAAAGAAAAAGAAAGUUUUUAAAAAGAUUAUAGGUUUCUACUCAGACCCUUGAAACCUUUUAGCUUUCCGGUAAUACCAAAAUCUCUAAUCCUCCAACAAAUGAAAGCUAGGAAAAAAAUGUCCUAAAGUUUAAUAUCUGUUGCCUUUGUAUCAAUAUUGCCAGUUUGUUGUCUUUUAUUAUAUUGCUUGUUUGUCAUUUUAUUUGAUUUACUUUAUAUCUAAGUUUACUUGAAGAUUAAAUAUCAGUAGGAAAAGCCCUUUUUCUAAAGCAACAUACAGAUUUUAGAAUAGGGCUCAGCCACAUGAAAAUGUUUACAUUGUAGUAUCUCAUAUCAAUAAUCUAAAAACAGCCAAUCCAACAAGUUCAAAUUCAGUCAAAUCUAAAAAUGAUUGCUUUUAAGGAGUACAUGAUAGCUAUUAAAAAGAUCUUUUAGGCAGAAUUGAAAUGCAGUCAAUCGUAAAUCAACCAAUCCAACGAGUUCAAGUACAGAGUCAAUUGAACAAAUUCAUCACUUGCAGAAUUAAGCUUAUCUUCCGAAAUUGAGUUGUUUCCAUUAGAAAUUUUCCCAUAGUCACGAGCACUAUCAUCAAAACAAGAUUAUUUGUAUAGGAACAAGAGUUAAGGAAAAAAAAAAAAAGGUAAAACAAGAUUCCUCUGUUUUCAUUCCCAUUUUUUUUCCUUGGUGAUUGAAAAAUUUUAUCUCUAAAUUUUUAUAAUUUUCCAUUAAGAUUUAUAUUUAAAUAAAGAAUUAAAAAAAUCUAAUUUUAAAUUUAUGCAUUGAAUGAUUAUUAUUAAAUUCCCUUAAAAUUGGUUACAAUAUCAAUUAAAUAACGCAUAGAGUUAUUGAUCACUUUGUUAAAAAUGAUCAUGUGUUCUAUUUAUAUAAUAAAACAAAAGAUGGGGUCACACUUAAGUCUUGUUCUUUUACAAUUCAUUUGUAUUACUCACUCUCAUGAACUCUUUACUUACAUUCGUCUGCAGUUAAUAUUCAUCUUCUGGUCGUUCUUAUAUAUUCAAGGCCAGCAGUGAAGGUCAUUAACUCUUUAAUAAUUAAAUAGGUACAAUUGUCCAAGAAAAAAUAGCCCUUGUUUGUUUUAAUCUUGUCAUUUAAUUUUCUACGUACUGUUCAUUGUUAACUUCUGUGUUCUUAUGUAAUAUUAGCAAUGGUUAAUCUGCAUCCAUCUUACAAUUUUUUUUUUAAAUUGUUGGUUUUCCAUUCAGGCCCUUGAAACCUUUUUUUAAAAAGUUGUUGGUUGUCAUUUCUUUCUCCGUCUUUCCCCUAGUUCAUUUUAAUUUAUUUGAAUCUAAUUUUUCCAACAGCUAAUAUAUAUAUAUAUAUAUGUAUGUAUGUAUGUAUGAAAGCAACAGGCUAGGCAAUGGCUGCAGACCUGGUUUCCACUACUUUUUCCGGCAUUGUAACAGAAGGUGCAAAGGCAUUGUUCGAACCGAUUAUGCGGCAGAUCUCUUAUGUGUUCAAGUACCAGAGCUACAUAGCUGAGCUAAAAGUUCAAGUGAAGGAGCUAGAAUAUAAAAGAGAAAGGGUGGGAAUACCCGUUCGUGAGGCUACUCAACAAAGAGAUGAGAUUUACAAGGAUGUUGCAGACUGGCUUAAUAACGUUGAUGAAUUCAUCAGUGAAGGGGUUGCAAAAUCCAUCAUUGAUGAUGAAGAUAGAGCUAAGAAGUCCUGCUUCAAAGGAUUUUGCCCCAACUUGAUUUCUCGUUAUAAACUUAGUAAACAAGCAGCAAAGGCCGCAGAAGCUGCCGCUAGUCUCGUGGGAAAAGGCAACUUCUCUAGUGUUUCCCACCGUCCUGCUCCAGAGAGUACAGAACAUAUGCAAGCGAAAGAUUUCGAGGCCUUUGAUUCAAGAAUGAAAUUAUUUCAAGAUGUUGUGGAGGCAUUGAGGAAUGAUAAGCUCAACAUAAUUGGGGUCCACGGUAUGGGCGGCGUGGGUAAAACCACGCUAGUCAAGCAAAUUGCAAAGCAAGUUAUGGAAGAUAAGGUGUUCGAUAAGGUCGUUAUGGCUGAGGUAACAGAGAACCCAGAUGUUCAGAAAAUUCAAGACAAGCUCGCUUCCGAUUUAGACUUGAACUUUGACUUGAAUGAUAGCAAACCCCACAGAGCAAAACAACUUUGUCAAAGAUUGACGAAAGAGAAGCGAGUCCUCAUUAUAUUAGAUAAUAUUUGGAAAAAACUUGGGUUGGAAGAAAUUGGAAUUCCUUUUGGGGAUGUUGAUGAGAAAGAUAGAAAGCAAGAUCUAAGGAGACGCAUGAUAAUAUUGACGUCUAGAAGUAAACAUUUAUUGACCAAUGACAUGAAUUCUCAGAAGAUUUUCCUAAUUGAAGUUUUAUCAAAGGAAGAAGCAUUGCAAUUUUUUGAAAAGAUCGUGGGCAAUUCCGCAAAAGCAUCUGCUUUUCAACCUUUAGCAGAUGAGAUUGUUGGAAAAUGUGGAGGAUUGCCUGUUGCACUGAGUACAGUUGCAAAUGCUCUGAAAAAUAAGAAGCUUCCCGUUUGGAAGGAUGCGUUGACUCAGCUGCGAAAUUCUAAUCCAAGAGAAAUUCAUGGAAUGGAUGCAAAUGUCUGCUCUUCCAUAGAAUUGAGUUACAACUUCUUGGAAAGUGAUGAAGCAAAAUCUUUGUUCCUUCUUUGUACUCUAUUUGGUGAAGGUACUCCUAUACAAGUUGCUUCCUUGUUGAGAUAUGGUAAGGGUUUGUUUAAAAAUGUUCGCACAUUGGAAAAUGCAAGGAAUAGAGUGGACGCAUUGAUCGACAAUCUCAAAGCUUCAUGCUUAUUGUUGGACGGCGAUGCUGAAGAUGAAGUUAAAAUGCAUGACGUCAUUCAUGUUGUUGCCGUAUCAAUUGCCUCAGAGAAGCUCAUGUUUAGUAUCCCAAAUGUUACCAACUUGAAGGAAGAGAUAGAAAAGAUCAUACAGAAAGGUGCAAUUGCUAUUUCUAUACCUUAUGGAGAUAUUCAAGAGCUUCCCGAAAGGUUGGAAUGUCCCCAACUCAAGUUAUUACUGUUGCUUGCAAAUGGUGAUAGCUAUUUGGAAAUUUCACACCUCUUUUUUGAAGGGACGGAAGAUCUCAAAGUUUUAAGUCUUAGCGGAAUUCAUUUCUCUUCAUUAUCUUCAUCACUUGGUCACCUCAUUAACCUUCAAACAUUGUGUUUAGACUGGUGCCAACUAGAAGAUGUAGCGGCAAUUGGACAGCUAAAGAAAUUAGAGAUUCUUAGCUUUCGAUAUUCCGACAUUAAGCAGUUGCCACUUGAAAUUGGUCAAUUGGCGCAGUUACAAUUGCUAGAUUUGAGCAAUUGUAGCAGCCUUGUAGUGAUAGCACCAAAUGUCAUAUCAAAAUUUUCUCGAUUGGAAGAACUAUAUAUGGGUGACAGCUUUCCGCAGUGGGAUAAGGUUGAAGGAGGAAGUAACGCCAGUCUUGCUGAAUUGAAGGGGCUGUCAAAGCUAACUACUUUGGAGAUACAAGUUCAGGAUGCCCAAAUGCUGCCGCAGGAUUUGGUCUUUGUCGAAUUGCCAAGAUAUAGGAUAUGUAUAGGAGAAGCGUGGGGCAUCUGGCGCGCUAAUUCUGAAACAUCAAGAUUGGUGCAGCUCCAUGGGUUAGAAAAUGUUAGCACUCUUUUGGAGAAUUAUGGGAUGAAAAUGUUGCUGAAGUUAACUGAAGAUAUCCGUCUAGAGGAACUGACGGGUGUUCAGAAUGUUGUUCAUGAAUUAGAUGAUGGGGAAGGUUUUCCACGAUUGAAGCAUCUUUGGGUAGAAAGGUGUUCUGAGAUUUUACACAUUGUCGGUUCAGUUGGACGGGUUCAUCGCAAAGUCUUCCCCUUGCUGGAGUCAUUGUCUCUCUAUAAAUUGAUCAAUUUGGAGGCCAUAUGCCACAGCCAACUCAGAGAAGAUCAAUUUUUCAGCAACUUAAAGAUUAUAGAAGUAGAAUCCUGUGAUAAAUUGAAGCAUCUUUUCUCAUUUUCCAUAGCCAGAAACCUACUGCGGCUUCAAAAGGUCAAAGUGGCUUCCUGCAAUAAACUGGAAAUGACUGUUGGUAAGUGUUGAAAUUAAGUGUUGGUGGAUUUAUGGACUUCGCCUCAAUUAUUUUGAAAAAAAAAAGACAACGACAAAGAUUAAUUAUGUAUAUUGUUUUUGUUUGUUUACAGGACCCGACAGGGAGAAACCAACAACUUCUUUGGGAUUCAACGAAAUCAUUGCUGAUGAUGAUACUGCUCCAAAGGUGAUAAUUUUCUGUUCAAUAAUUAAUUGAUUAAUUUAUUAUCACGAUUAAUCUUCGAUCAUCAACAGAAUAUUAUACUAGACGGUUGUACUUGAAGGAACAAAAAUGUACGGCUUUUCUUUGCAGGUUCUUCUUCCGAGCUUAGAGGAAUUGAAUCUCACGGAAUUAAGAAACAUCAAAAAAUUAUGGGCCGAUCAUAAUCAAGGAAUGUACUGUUGUCAAAAUUUAACAAAGCUGUACGUGAGAAGUUGUGAUCGUAUGAAGUAUCUGUUUUCGUAUUCUAUGGUUAAUAGUCUUUUGCAACUCCAACAUCUUGAAAUAUGGUCUUGUGAGUCAAUGGAAGGGGUAGUCGACACCACGGGGUGGUCAGAAAGAGAUGAAGGAAAGUUGAUUGAAUUAAAGGUUUUUCCUAAACUACACUCCCUGCAGCUCUAUUGGCUUACAGAACUGACAAGCUUCGCCAAUACAGGACAUAUUCAUUCAGAUUUAGUUGUUGAAUUCCCUUCUUUGCUAAACCUCGAGAUUGGUAAUUGCAGUAAUAUGUUAAGAUUCAUCUCUACGAGCUCACCAGAAGACACCAAUCAUUCUGAAAUGCAACCUCCUCCUCUCUUUGACGAAAAGGUUUUUUUUUUAAUAAAUAAAAUUAAUUUUAGUCACAAUACUUAAUUUGUCUUUUCCUUGAGUCUUCAAAUUUAGUUAAUAUCCGCCUCUAAUUUAGUUAUCAAUUGAUUAUGCCAUUAAUUGAUUAAUUAGUUAUUUAAUCUUUAACUUCCAGGUACGACUUCCUAGGUUGGAGGUAUUAGAUAUUAGCUGGAUGAAUAAUUUGAGAAAAAUAUGGCACCACCAGCUUCCUUCGGAGUCUUUCAGCAAAUUGAAGAAUUUGGAGAUAUAUAAGUGUCAUAACCUAAUGAAUAUUUUUCCUCCAUUGGUAAGGUCGUUGUAUUCAUUUCGAAUCUUUUUUUUUUUAAAUUACAUCCAACAAUAUUUUAACCAUUUUUGGGUUUACAAAUGAUAUUCAGCCACUGAUUAUUUAUUUCAAGUAUUGUAUUUCGAACCACCACUCUCAAAUCUACAUUUUAAGUCCAUUUUUUAGGUUCGCCAGCAUUAGAAUCAACAAUAUAAUUUUUUUAAUCACGAUUCAACAUCAUAAUAUAAUUCAAUUUAAUUGUUUCUGCUCAUAUCUUAAUAAGUACAAUUUUCAAAAAUUAAAGGAUAGUCACUCAUCUUAUAGGUUCACAAAUUCAUCUAUAUAUUUCUCUUUUCCUUAAUUCUUCACAUUUCGAUUGGAAAAAGAAAAAAAGAAAAGAAAAGUCUUCAAAUUUAAUUAAUAUCUCUUGUUUAGUUACGAACUGAUUAUGCCAUUAAUUAACCACAAAUUCACGAUUAUUUACAACUGAUCCUUGAUUGUAAAGAAAUUUCCUCGAGUCUGGAAGUACUUAAUAAAGAUCCACUUUAAUUUUGUUUCCAAAAUUAAAUAUACAUAAAAAAAAGGGACCAAGGGAAAAGGGAAAAAGCGGCAUUUUGGUUGAUUUUUUUUUCCCAAAAGGAAUAGUUGAAAUUUGCAAAUUUUGUUUAAAAACUGGCAUCAAGAUGCAAAAUAAGUCUAAAAUAUUUAGAAAUUGCCUUAAAUUCUUCGUACGUUCCUAAUACUAAAUAGUGUAAAUGCAUUUAAUAUCUUUGUUUAUCUGGCUUUUAUUUAUUUAUUUAUCUUGUUGCUUUUUUUGUUUAACAAAAAAUUAUCUUGUAGACAUUUCAUGGUUUGUUAUCUUUAUAAAACGUAUAAUUGUAUGAUUAAACAUACUUUGAACCUAGUUGAAUGAUAUUCUUACAUUUUUACUUUUUUAAUAUACACACACUUUUGCUUAUUUUCAGGUUGGAAUUCCUAGUAGUUUGGUGAAUCUUAAAGUAUCGAAGUGCCAAAAAAUAGAAGAAAUCGUAGGACAUGUUGGAGAAGAAGUGAAGGAGAAUCGUAUUGCUUUCAGCGAAUUAAAAGUUUUGAUACUUAAUUAUUUAUCAAGGCUUACCAGCUUUUGUUUGGAGAAUUACACUCUUGAAUUCCCAUCACUGGAACGAGUUUCUAUGAUACGUUGUCCAAAUAUGAAGACUUUUUCUCAGGGAAUCUUAUCCAUUCCAAAGCCAUGCAAAGUGCAAGUGACUGAAAAGGAAGAGGGUGAACUGCACCAUUGGGAAGGCAAUAACCUUAAUUCCAUUAUGCAAAAGUAUUACAAAGAAAUGGUAUGUGUUAAUCGAUUCACCCAAAUUGUUUAUGCAUCUCCCCUGCAAUUGCACAUUUAAGCAUAUACCCCGGUCUUGUAUAUAUAUUUUUAGAAGUUAAAACACAAAACAUGUAAGUUUAAUGUGUAUAUAUAUAAUGCCUUUCAAAAAAAAAAUUGUAUAUAUCCGGUGCAAUUGUUUUGGUUUGUGCAGAUUGGAUUCCGUGACAUAUGGUAUUUGCAACUCUCACAUUUUCCACGUUUGAAAGAAAUAUGGCAUGGCCAAGCACUGCCUGUCAGCUUCUUCAACAAUUUAGCACGGCUGGUGGUGGAUGACUGCACGAAUAUGUCGAGUGCUAUUCCUGCCAAUCUGCUACGAUGCUUGAACAAUUUGCGACGGCUGGAAGUGAGGAAUUGUGAUUCACUAGAAGAGGUGCUUCGUUUGGAAGAGCUAAAUGCUGACAAAGAACAUAUAGGCCCCAUGUUUCCUAAGCUUUCCAAUCUAAGGCUCAUUGAUCUUCCAAAACUCAAAAGAUUCUGCAACUUCACUGGGAAUAUAAUUGAACUGCCUGAGUUGAGAUAUCUAACUAUUGAGAAUUGCCCUGACAUGGAAACAUUCAUAUCCAAUUCUACAUCUGUAUUGCACAUGACAGCAGAUAAUAAGGAAGCUCAAAAAUUAAAAUCAGAAGAGAACCUCUUGGUAGCUAAUCAAAUACAACAUCUCUUCGAUAAAAAGGUAAUCAUUAUUAUUAUUUUUCCCUUCACUUUCAUUCGCAUAGAUGUAAUUUCAUUAGAAUCAAAUCAAAUUUAAUGACUUAUCUUUUUGCACGUCGUCUUAAUUUAUAUCUGAUUUAACAAUAUAAUUGUAGUUAUUAACUAACUUUAUAGUAUGAAUUAAAAAAAUGUCUCAAAUUAAUUAGAUGCCUAGUGACAGGAGGUGAUGAACUAUAUCGCAUAAAUUAUGCGUGUUAGAUCUUUGUUUUCCUAGCUAAUUCAUAUUGGAUUUAUGAUCAGAUUUCAUUUAUGUGUUUCAAAGGGUAAUCGAUUUGAUACUUAUAUUUGGGAUCCUACUGCAAAGCAUACUAAUUUGGAAAUAAAAUAUAAAAUGCCGUGAUUAAUCUUGUCCAUAAAAUAUGUAGGGGAAGACUGUAGAGAUUGGAUACAUAUUUUCAUUUACAACUUAAUUUUGUUGAUUUUCAGGUUGCAUUCCCUCAAUUGAUGAAGUUAAAGCUAUCUGGAUUACACAAAGUGCAGCAUCUCUGGAAGGAAAAUGCCGAAUCCAACAAAGUGUUUGCAAACUUGAAAAGUCUAGAAAUAUUUGAAUGUAGUAAGUUGCAGAAAUUAGUACCAGCUUUGUGGCAUUUGGAAAAUCUUGCGACUCUGGAAGUAUCGAAGUGUCAUGGGUUGAUAAAUUUAUUGACACUCUCAACAUCUGAAAGUCUAGUGAAUCUUGAAAGAAUGAAGAUAACUGAUUGCAAAAUGAUGGAAGAAAUUAUACAGUCGCAGGUUGGAGAAGAAGCGGAAGAUUGCAUUGUUUUCAGGAAAUUGGAGUACUUGGGAAUUGAUUGUUUGCCAAGCCUAACAAGCUUUAGUUUGGGUAAUUACGCUCUUGAGUUCCCGUCCUUGGCACACGUAGUUGUGAGACAAUGCCCAACGAUGAAGAUUUUCUCUCCAGGAGUCGUAGACGCACCAAAGCUAAACAAAGUGAAACCCACCGAAGAUGAAGAUGGUGAUGAUGAAGGAUGUUGGGAAGGCAACCUCAAUGACACUAUAAAAAAAUUGUUCAAUGAAAUGGUGAGUAUCAAUGAAGUGUUGGCACUAUCUAGUAAAUUAUUUCUAUUUAAUGUGGCAUAAUAUGAUUGCUUGACUGAAAAUAUAAAAUAAUAAUAAAUAAAUUAUGAGGGUCAUGUUAUGUUUUUGUUUAAUCAAUCAUAUUAUGUCAUAUUAGUUUGUACAAUAUUAUUUGUGCACAAGAGGCUGUGGUCGUAUCAUUACUCUUGCCUUAUUAUUAUUAUGGUUGUAAUGUAUGCUUGCUUACACGAGUAAUUACAAAAUGUGCAGAAUUCUAAAGAAAAGAUUGAGCCAACCCUUCAGGUACUGUGAAGAAGCUAUCUCGAACCAGGCCAACCUCUUGUACAUGAUUCAACUUGCUUGUUCUCCUGUACUUGAAUAAUCUAAACGCAUUUACAAUUAUUUACAGACAUGCAAGACACUUUGGAUUUGUUUGAUGCAUUCUCUGUUUAAGGAAGGACUUGAAUUGAUGUUUCAUGCUUCAUGCAAUUUUCAAUUAGAUACUGUUUAAACUUCUGCAUUAUUCAUUCAAUUGGUGUUUUAAGCAUUUGAUUUCUAACUAGUCCUAAUAGAAGAUUAUUGGCUGAAGAAAACAUCAUAACAUUUGUGGCAUUAUCAGAAUAAUAAUAGUUUUACGAGUAUAGUAAAAUUAACUCGACCAUUAUUAAAAGGAAUUAAUCCGUCAAAUUAACUUUCUCAGACCAGAACCCUUUAAGUUAAAAGAAUUUCGUGAAGUCAAGACCAUGUUAUAGAUCUUGUGGAAAUAAGUGAACCCAUAAAUGUUUUCACAGCAUCAUAAGAAAAUCAUUUUUUUAGUUGUUGAGUUUUAAAAGUAGUAGGCUAUUAAACAAUGACAAUUAGUGCGGUCGCAGUUGGGGAUCGAGUAGUUCACUUGAUUGCGAGUAGAAACCAACUUCAAUACUAUUACACUCAUUCCAAAAAUAGUAACUAAAGAAUUAUUAAGUUUCCUAUUAAGUAUUCUUUAUUUUUUAAUGCAAAAUUCCUAUUCGAAAACACCAGUGACUUUCUUUCAAAGUAAAUGAGAAAUUACAAUGAAAACGGGAUCAAAAUACAUGUAUGCAUACCUAAAACAAAUGAUUUUUUUUUUCAAUUAAAAAAAAAACAGUUGAGGUGAAAUGAAACCAGAGUCAUGAUGUCUCUGGUUCCAACUUUGGGACAAUAGCAGACUUGAGUUCUAUAUAAGAAACACGUACAGCUCCAAUCAGCCGCUCCGGUAAUUCAUCUGUAGUAUUUGCCUGCAUACACGAAGCAUUAUACCAUUCUGAAAAUGAUUCUUGAGUUACUAUUCAAGUAUGCAAAUAUGCAAAUUGCAGUACAAUAUCUCAAAAUCAUGUCUCUUCCCUCGUGUCAUUUAGAAGUGGGGGAAAAAAACAAUCAUACAUACCUGCACAAGGAAAGCCAUGUCAACCACCAAUGCCGUAAUUACACCAAUUACAAGGCCCAAAACUCCAUUAGCAACUCUAGAAGAACACGUCAACAUCAAUCUACAGAAAGAUGAACAAUGUUAAACCAUGUUAAUGGUAUUGAACAAGCUAUUUGAAAGGGAACACAUCCCAUGUACUAUAGGAAUUCGAAGAGCAUUUAUUUCUAACUACUUAGGACCGCGGAUAUAGUUACAAUCAACUGCUUUUCCUAAUAAACAAGGGGUGCUUCCAUCACUCUGGUGCAUGAUCCAUGACUAAGCCCUAUAUUUAAGUCAUAUUGAGGAAACAUAAGAAAAAAAUUCCAGAAAAAGUAUCAGCUAAGAAUUAAAAUUAAAUUCAUCAAAAUGAUCUCAAUCACUAGAUUUUUUACUGUCACAGUAUGUUUAAAAACUUGCAGAAGGCCCAAAGAGAACUUAGGACUGAACCGAGGGAAAAACAAGACGGUGUAUUUAUUUUAUUUCUGAAUGCCAACAAUUACAUUGGGAUACAGAAAUUUUAGGUAAUUUCCUCACAUAUUACAUCAGAAGAGAGGAAAGGGGAAAGAAGAACAAUAAAUGUUCUAUUCUGACCAAAGCAUAAAUGAGAUGAUUGAAUCAAGAGACUAUUACAUUGGAAGCCAGUCCAGCUGAAGCCUAUGAUAGAGAAUAGCCGUAUGACCAUCUACCUCUUCAACUAAGCUGCGAUACAGAAGACUACAAUCCCACCUGCACAAAACAUGAAAAACGGUGUACGUGCGGCAAGAACUUUGAGAAAGGUACAUAAAAAAGAUCUGAUGGCCAAGAAAUACAACAAUUGUACAACCAAAAGAGGUAGAAAUCCAUGUCUAGUACACUGCCCUCUUCAAGACCUCUAAAUACUGAGUCAAAUUGAUAGGAAUUUCAUGGAAAUAACUAUUCGACAAAUGAUCAGCCUUGCUGGCCUUUAUAAGCCAACGCACAGAGAUUAUGGAACAAUGCAAUGGUGCAAACCAAGAAUUAUUAGGGUACAGACAGUAAAAUUAAAUAGAAUAAUUUGAACACAUUACUAGCAAACCUUGCCAAGAGACUUGUUAAAAUCUAAUUCGCAAACCAGCUAGAUUUGCUAGGAAACAGGUAAUUUCAGGCAGCACGCCUUCUCCUGUUUUAGAACACUCUUUUAUGUAAUAGUGACUUCAAAAGUGUAACAUGUUUCGAAAAAAAAAAAAAAAGAGGAAAGAACGUAUUUGACACUUCAUGAAAUGGCUAAGAUACAAGCUUUAAUCUAGUACAACAAAUUAAUAUAACUAACUUCAACCAUCAAUUGAUCUAUAGUUCAGCAACAAAAAAUAUAGAUAGCUACAUCUAUUUUGUCUUCAUCAAAUACCAUUAGCUAAGUGGAGAAAAGUUAUAAAAAUGAGUCCUAGUCUUUCUUUAUUAAUGAAGCAAUCCAUCAAACUUCAAAAGCUAUUUUCAUUUCCACAUUCUUCAUAUACUUAAGCAACAAAAGUUUGUAAUAAUCUUUAGAAAGCACCAUGCAGAUUAAUUAAAUAUAUUCAAAAAGGCACAUACAGAAUCGGGACUGGAGACAAUGUGAAUUUCACAGCAUACAAGAGGAAAUAUAAUACUCAGCUUACACAGACAGCCAAUAUAGUCUUGAUUAUGUUAAAGUAACUAAAAAUAAAAAAUAGAAAAGAAGCAUACUCGUAUCGUGUCCCAUCCAUGCUCAUUACAAGUUCAAAUAUUUCUUCACAGCUGGCCUUCAUAACACCAACAGCCUUCAUUGCUCUACUACAGCUUCUCGGCAGCAUUAAGUAAACUUUAGAUGAUGGUUCUGACCUAAACAAAAUCACAUCCUGAGCAUAGAGUAAAGAAAGUGGCAUACAUGGUAAUCAACUUCAAGAAGCUCUUCAGAAAUACAUAAUUCUGUUGGGGAGAAAAGAAAAAAGAAAGAAUACAAAUAAAAAGAAGUCACAAACAAUUCAUUUCCUGCACUACACAUCAGCAGCAGUUUUUCGGGAACACAAAAAUGUUAUAAUAACUUUUCUUGAUUGCCACCCACAUGCUAAACUGAUCAAAUACAAAACAGGAUACAGAAAAUCUCUAACCUUUUUGGCACUGAAGAAGACGCCAGUGCUUUCAAAAGAAAAUGCUUGAUUGUUGGCAUUCUGGUUUGAAAAAUAUGAGUCCAAUUCCUGUGUCCAGUCAUGUACCAAAUCAGGACGACCUGCCAGUCAUACAAAGAUGACAAAAAUACACUAUAAAUUGCGUCAAACCAAUUCAAGUCAAUUGGAGAAGUAAAUCAAGGACCAUUUGCAAUAGUUGUUCUCCACAUCAAAUUUGGGUGUCCAUCGUCUUCAUCCUCUUGUGCACUGAACCUGAGAGUCCACGAGAAAUACAUAUAAAAAUUAGCCAUGAUUGAAAUUGAUAGUAGUACAAAAUGGAUAUAAACAUCACGAUGAACAAAUUAAAUUGUUCCAUGUCAGACAAAUCCAGCCUGCAAGCUUAAGCUCUUAAGCUAGACCAAAUCACACUGCAAAUAACAAUACAUAAGGCCAAAAAAAGAUAAUAUGUAUCAUUCAUAUGCUUCGCCCUAUAGAAAUGAUUUGAGUCUACAUAAGAAAAUUUUUUGAGCUUCCCGAUCCACGAAUAAUAAUAAAUCUCCUUAAAAUAAUCUUUUGUAAAUAAUUUUAUUUUUCUUGACACAUGACAAGCACCUUCAUAUAGAGAAGAAAGGAGAAUCUCAAAUUCCACCCGCUCUCAGAACACCACAUCAAAGCUUCGUAUCAGUGAACAUGGAAGAAGAAUAAAAGAAGUAGCUCAAAUCCUGUAAAAAAGAACCUUGGACUUCGACUCUUGUCAAACAGUUGACUCCGACUGAAUAUAGGAAGAGUAAUUGAGCAAGCAUAGAUCGGCCAAGCUUAAGCAAGCGCAUAGAUCGGCCAAAUUUGAGCAAAGCCGAGAGAGAGAGAUGAUUGUGGUCAAUUUACAGCCGCAGUUGAUCGUUGCCGACUCGUGCCGCCGUUGAUGGCCGUGGAACAAGAAGAGAGGUGAGGUGAGGCGAGGGAGUGGUAAGGCGCGUGACGCGAGGGCGUGGGAGUGGGAGUGGGAGUGGGAGUGGGAGUGGUGGUUUUUGUGCAUGUAUCAGAUGCACGCAUGUAUUAUAGCAGAGUUGAGUUCAAUACGAAAAACACGUACAGCACCAAUCAGCCACUUCGAUAAUUCAUCUGUAGUUGUGAGAUGAUGAAUCAAGUUUGGUUCCCAGAAACGGCUGCGUUUUGAAGCCGUAAAAGCUUCAUUAGCUCACGUGCUGUUCAGCUGAUUCUUAACAAAAAAACGAUUUAGUGGAAACGACAUGGAUGGAGCACGUUUUACAUAUCAAUUUAAGUAACCACGUGAGGAAGCAUGUGAUGAAGGUUGUUCCGAGUUCGUUGAAGGUUGUUAAGCACGUGUCAAAACAAAGUGUUCAUGCUGGAAAGAAACAAAAUAUUAAUAAAUAAACCCUUAAAAAGAUUCUCUGAAAAUUAUGUUUAACUAGAACAAUUAUCUAGCAGUUUGAUAUAUUAAAUGAGCCUGUUAAUUAUUUCACUUACUAUCUUAUAAAUCCUCUCAAAAUUACACCGCUGCUCUGACCCCAAGUUCCAUUAUCAAUUAUAUCAUUCCCUAUCUUAUAGUAAAGGUAAAAGAAAAGAAAAGGUAUAUUGCAUUAGAGUUCGUGUACUUCUACCUUUUAGUUUAUUCUUCAUUUUAUUAAAAUGACAGAUUCCUCAUUAAAAAAGGUCACUCUACAUAGUAUGUGGGUGUAUGUUCUUUUAAAAAGGACUGAGAGAAAAUACAGUAGCACGUAAAAAUGUGCACCCAGCAGCAGAACCAUAUUAAUCCACAACAGCGCAAAAUAAAUGUGAAAAACAAGUAACAUCUGAAGAAGACAGUGAUGCCGAAACAUUGACGACCAAUAUAGUGUCUUGAUUUGGUUAAUUAAAUAUAUUUUUGUUAUCAUCCACCUGUUUGCUUUAAAUAAUUUUCAAUAUUUUUUCGUAUGCCUGAAAUUCCAAGGAAAAAUAUUUGUAUAAGGACAAGAGUUAAGGGGGACAAAAAUGGAAAAAAUAGGGCUCCUUUGUUUUCAUUCCCCUGUUUCUCCGUUUGGUAAUUGCAAAAAUUUAAAUCUAAACUUAUGAUGCAGGCUACAAGGUAGCUGGUGGACGAUUAAUAGGGUCUAUCUUUUGUUGUUAAUUAGGAAUUUAAUUUGGAAUUUGUAGUGUGCGCCUUAUCUAAGCAGACUUCCUAACAGUAAUUAAAUAAUCUAAAUUUAUGAUGCAUUAGGAUAUGAUUGUGAUAAAUUAGCUUUUUUCUCUGUAUUCUAUGAGGCUGAUUAUUAUUUUAAUUUAAGCCACACCUUUAAAUUCAGUUUUCGCAAAACUGACAGGUAGCUUGGGUGUAAAUGAAUAUACAUUAAUGAAGAACGGACAUGUGGAGUACCGAUAUACUAGCAUAAGUAAUGUUUAAUUUUAAUGUAUAAAACAAUGGUGCAUUUAGAAGGUACUACUGUAGAAAUAAAAUUUGUGCUUGCAACUCAUUUUUUAAUUCCCCUUUUUAAUAAUAAUCAAAAGAAAGCAGAGGAGAAACAGGGGAUUUUCCAGUUUUUUAUUCGGUGAUUUUUAACUUUAUCAUGGAAUUGUCAAUUUUUAGUUGAAACUUAUCUAAAUCGUCCUCUCUAUAUAAGCGAAUACAAUAAUUUUGUGAAAGAUAUAUGCAAAAACAAUACUAAUAAGUAUAUUUAUUUAUCUAAGACGUAGAGCUCUAAUGCUCAGAUAUGGAUAGUCCCAUUUUUUGUUAGAGGCAUCUCUUUCCAUGCAUUGAAUUAUUGCAAGCAAAUCGCUUCUCGCAAUUACAAACCUACCCUCAUCAUUGUCUCUCACGUAUCCAGCACCACAGUUACCCAUUCCUCUCCUCACCAAGGCACACAGAUUACAGGACAAUGCAGCGAUGCCAACCAAGAAUGCUUAGGGUAAAGACGGAAACAUAAAACAGAAUAAUAAAAAAAAAUCUAUUCCGUAAACAUAAUAAUUAAACAGAAAGUGGUACGUUCAGACAAAACACCUGCUCCUGUUUUAGAAAAGAGCUCCUCCGUUUUUAUUUCUCUGUUUUACUGUUUGGUGAUUGCAAAAAUUUUUGUCUAAAUAAUGCAUAGUAGAGUCAAGAAUAAAUUUAUGUUAAAACAAAGAAACAUCAAAGAUCCCCUGAUAUUAUUAUCCAGAACAAUAUGUUUAUUGGGCCGAAAUGGGCUAACAUACAUGGGUUCAAGCUUGCAAAAUCCACAUUUAUGUAUAAUUAUAUAGUAAUUAAAUACUGAACUUGAACUCAUACAACUCUUCAAUCAUUUGGAUUUCGAAUCUGUGUUAAUUGAACUAAAUACUGUCAGGCAUUCGAGUAAACACAUAAAGAAUUCAUGAUUUAAUGUCGUUCUGAAUUUUGACUUCAUAAUAUUCCAGCUACCGUUGCAGUUUCUAUUAUUGUGUGAUAAAUAUGAAUGAUGUCUUAGUAUAAAGACAUGUCUCAUUAAUUAUACCUUAUAGAAGAGAUAUCUUUUUAUACUAAAACUAUAUAGUGAAAAGGGGUCCGCCUAAGUUACGUUAAACGUAACUUACGGCCUGGCUGUAAAACUUCAUCCAGCCCCCUAUAUUCGAUAUUAUUUAUAUUAUAUUUGUGAAUAUUAUAAAAAUUUUUGAUUUGAAAAAUUUCGUUUAACCCCUUACACUCAAUUUUAUUUUAUUAAAAUCCUAGAGUACGAAUUUGCCUCCUAUAAUUUUAAAUUCUCAAAAUAACCUCAUUUAAUUAAAAAAUAUAAUUAUUAUUAAUUGAAUUAUAAUUAUAACUAUUAUUUUAUUAUAAUUAUAAAUAUAUUUAUAUUUUUUAAAUAGAUUAUUGUUAUUAUUAAUAACAAGAAUAAAAAGUAUUACAAUUAAUUAAUCUAUUAACAAUAAUUAAUAAUUUUUUAUUAAAUUGUUAAUAAUAAUUAAUGAUAAUUAUUAUUAAUAAUUAAGUUUUGAAUAAUAAUAAUAAUUAACAAUUAUCAUUAAUAGAUUGUGACUGACUCUGAACAAGUUGUCCGAUAUUUUAUAUCAUAUUGUAUGCAUUCACUUCUGGCUACAAAAAAAAUUAAAGAAAUAGCUUUCUCUUUAACCAAACAAGAGAUUUAACAAAAUCAUAAACACACGUUUCUCAAAACUAACAAGGACUUGGACAAUUAUGGCACUAAGUAGUACUGCAAUUAAUAUCAGUGAUGAGAGUAUGUUGCUACUUUGCUAGCUAAGCCUAGGUGGGCAUUGGCAUUCCUAGGACUCUGAACAAUUAUCGUUAAUUUUUAAAAAUCAAUUAUUAAUAAUAAUUAUCGUUAAUUACUACUAUUAUUAAUUUAAUAAAAACUAUUAUUAAUUAUUGUUAAUAGAUUAAUUAAUUGUAAUACUUUUUAUUCUUGUUAUUAAUAAUAAUAAUCUAUUUAAAAAAUAUAAAUAUAUUUAUUAUUAUAAUAAAAUAAUAAUUAUAAUUAUAAUUCAAUUAAUAAUAAUUAAAAUUUUAAUUAAAUGAGAUUAUUUUGAGAAUUUAAAAUUAUAGGGGGCGAAUUCGUACUCUAGGGUUUUAAUAAAAUAAAACUAAGUGUAAGGGGUUAAAUGAAAUUUUCUAAAUAAAAAAGUUUUAUAAUAUUCAUGAAUAUAAUAUAAAUAACAUUGAAUAUAGGGGGCUGGAUGAAAUUUUAAAGCCAGGCCGUAAGUUACGUUUAACGUAACUUAGGCGGACCCAGUGAAAAGAUAUCUCUUCUAUCAGGUACAAUUAAGUAUGGUUGCUUGCAAAGAAAUGUAAAUAUAAGUCAUAAAACAAAGUCUCUAUUAUUUGAAGUACAAUUUCAUUCACAUGUUGCACAUGAGACUUGAGCAACCACGAUGUGCAGAAGACACUUUACAAUGAUUUUGCUUGUUUUUUUCCUAAUCAUUUCUGUAAUUGAUUUUGUUAGAAAAUGUUAGUAAUGAUUAAAUUACUUUAAAAAACACACUCACACAUCUUAACUGUAAAGGUUCAGAAAAUAUAUCGAUAAAGGUCAGAAGUAUCUAAUAAAAGUUGGCCAUAAACUUCAAUAUCCAAAAUUGCUUUAAUAAAGUAGCUGCAGUAAACAAAAGUCAGUAACCAUAGGCGACAAUAAAUCACAAUCAGCAACUAGGUCUCCAAAUCAAAAUAUAAUGGAUUUGGUUAAGUCUUCUUUCGAAAAGCUCUCUCUCCUUUAGAGAGGCUUGAAUGGAAGUAUUGAGGGGUCGUAAGGACUCAUGUGUUCACUCCCUGUGAGUGGAAGGUAAUCCAAAAAAAGUCAGCUUUUGGGGUUGGUGAGCUGGUUGAGAAAGCUUCGAAAGCAAAGUUCGUGUAGAGCGUUGGGGCACGAUUUAAAGCUAGUGAGCCUAAAUAACUUACUACCUAUCCAAGCAUUAACUACCAUGGAUACUGAAGAGCUAAUUCGUAAGUGUCAAGCAAUAACUAUCACAGAGGAAGACAAAGCCAAAAUAACGCUGGAGGUGAAUUUGGAAAAAAAGAAAGAACAAAUGAUGGCAGGAUGCUUAGUGGGCAAAGUACUUCUCACAAAGGGAGUAAAAAAAGAUGGACUUAAGGUUGCGUUACAGCAGGUGUGGAGGACUUUCAAAGAAGUCAAGAUCGAAAGCGUGGGAAACAACAUCUUCAUGUUCAAAUUUGCUGAAGAAGCAGACAAAAAACGAGUUCUCAAAGGGGGACUAUGGCACUUCGACAGGGCCUUGAUUGUUCUCGCUGAGCCAAGGGGGAUUGGGGAAGUCGCAAAACAAUCUUUUAUUCACACAUCCUUUUGGGUGCAUAUUCGUAAUAUCCCACUGGCGUGUAUGGAUAAAGAUUUUCUCCGAGACUUGGGCGGGAAGAUUGGAUCAGUAUAGGAGGUUCAAACGGAUGAUAAUGGAGACUGUAUUGGGGAAUUUUCCAGAAUAAGAGUCUCAAUUAACAUAACACAGCUGCUAGAGAAGAUUUUAUUUCUAAAGCAAGAAGGUGAAACUGAUAUCCCAAUGCCGGUGGUAUAUGAACGCUUGCCAGAUUUCUUUUAUUGCUGCGGAAUUAUUAGACAUCAAUACAAAGAGUGUGGCAAGUACCAAGACCAACCAAGAGAAGAUCUACCAUUUAGGAGUUGGAUGAAAGUGAUUACGGUAGGGGGUUUUACAAAGAGGAAUUGGAACAAGGAAAGGUGGAACUAUGGGGCUGGUAAAUCGGAUGAAAAAUCAACAAGCUCAGGAACUCACAACUUCCCGCAACAGCAAGGGCAAAACCAAGAAAACUCGAUAGGGGCAAACGGGUCAGUACCCAUUGAGAAAGAAAUGGGGCAAACCAUGAAGCAUGCCAAGAAGGAUGUUAUAGGAGGAGUAGCUGAGCAACAAUUAAUGCGAAGAGUGAUACAAUCAGCGGAAAAAAAGUAAAAUGAUGGCAACAAGCAAGCUGGGGAAACUGGCAAUGCAACAACCCCAAGGAAAAUGGGCACACAAGCGGGAAAUGGCAUUCCAAAAGAGAGGGAAAAAAUGCAGAUAAGUCAUGAAGAGGAAGCUGAAAUAAACAAUGGGCCGGAAGUAUCUCAACUACAGCCCAAUAAAAGGAAAUUGAAGUAAUUAACUAGAGAUCUAAGCGAGGGGGGGGGGGGAAAUUAAGUUACGAGUUCAAAAAAGGCCUAGGGGGAAAAAAUUUGGGCAAAGCCCAAGGAAAAAAACAAAGCUCUCUAGCCCCAAUAAGCUUGAGACUAAAAACCUGGAGCAUGUCUCUCCAACAGCAACGCUUCAGCUGGGUUAGGAACUGUUGGUACUGGAAGAAGUGGUAGUCAUGGAAGCAAACAAUAUGGAGAUAUCGGCGGAGGCUGGUGGUCAGCCCCCCCGGAAGCUAUGAAUAUUCUCAGUUGGAAUGUUCGGGGUCUGGGGAAUCCCCGAGCAUUUCAAGCCUUAAGAAAAAUCCUCCAAUUGCAUGGUGCUCAGCUAGUGUUUUUGUGUGAAACAAAGGUAUCAACCAUGCAAAUGAAUGUGAUUGCAAAUAAGCUGAGUUUUGAGAAUUGCCUCGCGGUGAACUGUAAAGGAAGAUGAGGCGGAAUAGCAAUGCUCUGGAAGUCAGAUAUUGGUGCAAAUCAAUUCAUACAGUCAGCACCACAUUGAUGCCGAAACUCAAAUGCCAAAUGGAAAUCGAAUGCGAGUUACAGGAGUGUACGGACAUCCGGAAACAAGACAGAAAAAACACACUUGGAUGCUCCUCAGGCGGCUGGCAGUUUUAUCUUCUAGCCCUUGGUUGUGUUGUAGAGACUUUAAUGAAAUUUUACAUCCAGAUGAGAAGAGUGGCGGCAAUGACAGGAAUGUGAAUUUAAUUAAUGAUUUCAGAGAAGUUUUGAGAGAUUGUGGCUUAAAGGAUGUUGGGUAUCGGGGGUACGCUUUUACUUGGAAUAAUGGAAGAUAUGGGUAGGGAUUCGUGGAAGAAAGGUUGGAUAGAUUUGUUUGCAAUAAAGCUUGGAGUGAUAGAUUUGUGGAUUAUGCAGCAAGCAACCUUGACACAUGGACUUCGGAUCAUUGUCCCAUGCUGAUGGCUGUUUAGGAGAGAAGUGGGGGCAUGAACCAAAGGGGUAGACAUUCCUCACGAAUCCAUUAUGAGGAUAUGUGGAGCUCGUAUGACUUGUACAAAGAGAUAAUCAAGGAGGAAUAUAAUUUGUAUAGAAAUUAGAAUAGUGAAAAUCCAGCCCAAUCCUUUCGAAAAGCAACAAAAGAUUCGAUGGGUAGGCUGUUGGGGAGGAGCAAGUUGGUGAGGAAAUUCGGAAGGUGGAGAAGCAAAUCCAAAAUAUCCUCAUGGAUGAAGAAAUCUACUGGAAGCAGCGCUCAAGAGCAGAUUGGCUCAAGGAGGGGGACAAAAACACAAAAUUCUUUCACGGCAAGGCAUCGACUAGAAGGAAAAAAAAAAACAAAAUUUUGGGGAUUGAAGAUAAUUUCGGGAGAUGGAUUGAAAAGCCAAAAGAAGUGGAGCAUGAGUUUUGCAAUUAUUUCACCAACCUUUUUACAUCAACCCAGCCGAGACAGGAUCAAAUUGCAGCAGCCUUGAAAGGAAUAACUCCGAGAGUUUCAGCCAGCAUGAAUGAGAGUUUGGAGGAACCGUUUACAGCCGAGGAAGUCUUGGAAGCUUUGAGUCAAAUAAAGGCUUCGGGGCCGGAUGGUUUUCCAGCAGUGUUUUACCAAAAGCAUUGGCAUACGGUUAAGGAGGGAGUGCUCACCACUUGUCUGCAUAUCGUCAAUUCACAAGGUACCAUAGGCCCUCUAAAUCACACUUACAUUGCUUUGAUACCAAAAAUCGGGAAGCCUAGGAAAGUGACAAACUUUAGGCCUAUUAGUUUGUGCAAUGUUAUCUAUAGAAUUGUAGGUAAGUCAGUUGCUAAUAUAUUUAAGCAAAUUCUGCACAAAAUCAUCUCUCUAUCGCAAAGUGCCUUCAUCCCCAAUAGGUUGAUCACUGACAACAUCAUAGUUGGCUACGAAUGUUUGCACAAGAUAAGGCAUUGUAAAGGAAAGCGAAAUGGAUUAAUUGCAUUAAAGCUUUAUAUUAGUAAAGCUUAUGAUAGAUUGUAAUGGAACUUCCUAGAGCAAACUUUAAAACAACUAGGCUUCUCGCAUCAAUGGAUUAGCUUGAUCAUGGGGUGCAUUAGUUCAGUUUCCUUCUAUGUGUUAAUAAAUGGCUCAGUGAAAGGCUUAAUUAAACACCAAAGGGGCAUAAGACAAGGUUGCCCCCUCUCUUCGUAUUUGUUUAUUACAUGUGCAGAGGCUUUUUCUUCCUUGCUGUAGCAGGCUGAGCAACAACGGCUUAUUCAUAGGCUAUCAUUUGGAAACGAUUUGAAGAUUUCGCACCUUCUAUUUGCUGAUGACAGCCUUAUCUUCAGCAGAGCUUCCAUGGCUGACUGUCGAAAUCUGAAGAUGAUCCUUGAGUGCUACUCCACAACUUUCGGUCAAAUAUUUAAUUUCGAGAAAUCUUCUCUUUUUCUUAGUGGCAAUGUACAACAAGAUCAAGCUGAGGCAAUUGGGAAUCUCUUUUAGCUCAAUAUUGUGUAAAGACAUAAAAAAUAUUUAGGCUUGCCGUCUAUGAUCGGGAGAAAGAGAAGCAGCUUCUUCAAUGACAUCAAGCUGAAGGUUUUCAACAAGAUCUCAAGCUGGCAGCAUAAAUUUUUUUCUUGUGGAGGGAAAGAAGUCUUAAUCAAAGCUGUUGUGCAAGUCAUCUCAGCCUACGCAAUGAGCGUUUUUAAAAUUCCGAUGGGAGUUUGUGAUGAUAUUUAAAAAAUGGUGGCAAAGUUCUAGUGGGGCUCCAAGAGGGAAGGGAGGAAUAUUCAUUGGGCGAAGUGUGAAAAGAUGAGUCAAGCUAAGUGUAAUGGAGGGAUGGGAUUUCGUGAUUUUUCAAGCUUCAACAGAUCCCUUCUAGCAAAGCAAGGCUGGAGGAUUCAGCAAUGUCCAAACUCGUUGGUGGCUAGGGUCUUGAAAGCCAAGUAUUUCUAGUCAAAAAAUUUCUUGGAUGCAAAGCUCAACUCAAACCCUUCAUAUAUUUGGAGAAGCAUUCUUUGGCGAAGGAAAAUUAUUUGCUCGGGCUCUAGGUGGAGAGUUGGCAAUGGUCAGAAAAUUCAUAUUCAUAAGGCUAACUAGAUUCCACAACCUUCAACAUUCCAGCCAAUGGUUAAGCCAACUUUUCCUUCGAAUGCUAUGGUCUCUGAAUUAAUCAAUGAGGCAAACUACUGGGAUGAGAAGAGGAUUUAUGAGCACUUCGAAAAAAUGGAUGCUGAUUUAAUUACUAAGAUUCCUCUGCCUAGAAGACCAAGGAAGGAUGAGCUAAUUUGGCAUUAUGGAAAAAAUGGCCAGUUCUAGGUUAAAAGUGGGUACCAGACAACUCUCCAAAUAAAGUUUCUAGCCAUGCCUUCAAGCUCAGUGGCUUCAAAAAAUGAAUGGAAUAUUAUUUAGUCUCUUGCUUUGCCUCAAAAGAUCAGAAUUUUUGCAUGGAGGGCAGCCAAAAACCUACUCCCCUCAGCUGAGAAUUUGUGGAAGAAAAAGAUAAUCCAGGAACCUACUUGCCAAGUGUGUAAAAUGGGAAUGGAAAAUGUAUUUCAUGCUCUAGUGGCCUGCAAAUCGGCUAAGAAAGUAUGGAGGCUAAUCUAUUUUGAAGAUGAUAUUAAUGCUGCUCACAGUCAAGAUAUCUUCAGUUUGCCGCAUGCUAUGAAAAGAAUGAGAAGCAAAGUUGACCUGGAGCUGUUGGUAACGAUUUUUUGGGUUAAAUGGAAUGCUCGGAAUCAGUUGCUAUUCAAAGGAAAAAUGGAGACCCCCCAUGUAACACCCUAGGCGAAUCCCAUAUCGGCAAAGCACAGGAGAGAUGCUGGGUUUAUAAGAAGUGAUCCACACCUUAAUUGGCAAGACGCGUUUUGGGGUCUAUGGGCGCCCCAAGAACAAAUCCGUGCAGGCCUUGUUAAGGCCCAAAGCGGACAAUAUCUUGCCAGGUCAUGACCCAACCCAGACCUGGCAAGAUAUUGUCCGCUUUGGGCCUUAACAAGGCCCGCACGGAUUUGUUCUUGGCGUGCCCAUACACCCCAAAACGCGUCUCAUGCUCCUUCUUACUCUUAGAGUAAAUUAAUAUGUCAUCAAUAAAGACAAUGACAAACUGGUCAAGAUAAGGUUGGAAGAUCCUAUUCAUCAAAUCCAUGAACGCUGCAGGAGCAUUAGUUAAUCCAAAAGGCAUAACUAAGAACUCAUAGUGUCCAUAACGAGUUCAAAAAGCUGUCUUCGAUACAUCCUCACUUCUUAUUUUCAAUUGAUGGUAGCCAGAUCGUAAAUCAAUUUUAGAGAAUACCGCUGCACCUCGUAAUUGGUCAAAGAGGUCAUCAAUUCGAGGAAGAGGGUAUUUAUUCUUGACAGUAACCAUAUUCAACUGCCGGUAGUCAAUACACAACCUCAUUGAACCAUCUUUCUUCUUUACGAACAAAACGGGAGCACCCCAAGGCGACACACUAGGACGGAUGAAACCCUUAUCUAGUAACUCUUGUAGCUGGACCUUUAGUUCUUUUAAUUCAAUGGGUGCCAUCCGAUAUGGCGCCUUGGAUGUAAGUGUAGUACUAGGAACUAACUCUAUAGUAAACUCAACCUCUCUAUCUGGGGGUAGACCAGGAAGAUCCUCAGGAAAUACAUCAAUAAACUCCCUUACAAUAGGUAUGUCUUCAAGGCACGCCCCAUCAGGAUGGUCAGCAAUUAUAUACGCUAAAAAUCCUUCACACCCCUUCUUUAGCAUUUUCACUGCCGUCACCAUAGAAAUCAAAGCUUUAUAACUCUUAUGAUUCCCUUGAAAAUGAAAUUCUUCCUCGCCAGGUAGGCGAAAAAUAAUUUCCUUAGCAAAACAAUCUAUUGAAACAUGGUAAGGUCCUAACCAAUCCAUCCUCAAAAUCAAAUCAAAAUCAUGCAUCUCUAAUGGUAGGAGAUCCACAAGGAAUUCUCUAUCACACAAUCUGAUCACACAUGACUUAUAGACAUGAUCUAUUAACUGGCAAUCCCCCAUAGGGGUACUAAUUGUCACGUGAACACCGAGUGGCGUGAUAGGCACAUCAGCAUAACGGGCAAACACACAAGAUACAAAUGAAUGUGUAGCACCAGGAUAAAAAGGAACUUUGGCUUCUCUAGAGAAUAAGGACAAUGUACCUGAUACUACAUCAUUGGACACCUCAGCAUCUUUCUCCGUUAGCGCAAAAACACGCCCUUGCACCUUCGGUUUCUUCCUCUGCCCUUCGUUAGUCGGAGUAUUUGUAGUCUCGCCACGUCUCUUUGGGCAAUCCAUAAUCCUAUGCCCAGAUUCUCCACAAGCAAAACAAGCUCCAGUUUUCCAAUGGCAUUCACCAGGGUGCCUCCUUUCACAAUGUCGACAAAUGGGGUAAUUUCUCCGAGCAGUGUCACUAGUAACACCCUUGUUAUCCCAUUUGUUACCUCCACCAUUAUACUUCUGGGAGUGAGUGCCUUGCCUAUAGGAACUUCCAUUUCGCGGUCCACCUUGUUGAUUCUUCUUAUUUCUCUGAUACCAUAAUGUCAUGACCCAACCCAGACCUGGCAAGAUAUUGUCCGCUUUGGGCCUUAACAAGGCCCGCACGGAUUUGUUCUUGGGGUGCCCAUACACCCCAAAACGCGUCUUGCCAAUUAAGGUGUGGAUCACUUCUUAUAAACCCAGCAUCUCUCCCGUGCUUUGCCGAUGUGGGAUUCGCCCAAGAACAAAUUCGUGCGGGCCUUGUUAAGGCCCAAAGCGAACAAUAUCUUGCCAGGUCUGGGUUGGGUCAUGACAUUAUGGUAUCAGAGCGGCUCCGCGUGUCCUCUUGAGCGAUGGUGGGGCAAACCUCAGCGAGGACGCUGAGUCCCCAAGGGGGGGUGUAUGUAACACCCUAGGCGAAUCCCACAUCGGCAAAGCACGAGAGAGAUGCUGGGUUUAUAAGAAGUGAUCCACACCUUAAUUGGCAAGACGCAUUUUGGGGUGUAUGGGCACCCCAAGAACAAAUCCGUGCGGGCCUUGUUAAGGCCCAAAGCGGACAAUAUCUUGCCAGGUCUGGGUUGGGUCAUGACACCCCAUAUUAUGGUAGCUAAAGUUGAAGCUAUGAUUGCAGCUUAUAAGAGGGUGCAUUCUUCAGUUGAGGCUUCCAGUGAAACAGAGCAGAGGGUACCUCUUCAGACAUGGAAUCCCCCUCAAGAUGGUUUUGUAAAAGUCAACAUUGAUGCAGCUAUCAACUUCAAAAAGAACCUUGUAGGGCUGGGGGCAGUGAUUAGAGAUGAUUCGGGGCAUGUUACAGCAGCUGCAAUCAAGAUUUCCAAGUUUCAUGGAGAUGUUUCUUAUGCUGAGGCAGCAGCUAUGGAAUGGGGUAUGUUGGUGGAGAGAGAAGCUAAAGUGAAAGUUGUAAUCGUGGAAUCAGAUUCUCAAGGUGUGGUCAGUUUAGUUAACAACAAGCAGGGCUGCAGAUCUGAGAUCUAUUGGGUUGUUUCGGAAAUUCAGAAGUUAGCGGAAAACUUCGAGUGUGUUAGUAUUAAGUAUACAGCCUAGAUCUUGUAAUGUUAUUGCCCAGUCUUUAGCUAAGUUAGCUCUAGAAAAACGCGAGACUGUUGUGUGGAGGGUUCAUACCCUUCACAAGUGAUGUAUUUCCUUUCAUCGUUGUUUUAAUUGAAAUCUAUUUUCAAAAAAAAAAAAUCACAAUCAGCAACUACAAUGAUCCAAAACCAACAUAGAAAGACCUAGAAAUAGUAAAAAAUAUUGCAAUAUAUUAAAGAAGAUUAAUUCAUCAGAGUGCCCACAACAUAUAAAUGGAUCUAAAGAAUAGAUUAUAUAAUAGCUUGUUUCUUAUGAAUGAUACAUGGGAUUCCACAGAUAAAAAGAAAAUAAGAAUCAAGUACGUGAAUUAAAAAAAUACCUAACCAAUAGGGGUUAGUGAGAUAUUUUAGCUAAAUAUCAGUUGACAGAAUCUGACCCACAAUAAAAAUUGCUAUCUUAUCACAAUGGGAAUCUGAAUUAUAAAAUUACUGAACAAAACUUUUAACACCUACAAGUCCAAAUAAUAUCAAAUAAAAUGCCUAACCAGCUAUUAAAUAUAAAAUGUCCUUGUAGGACUAAAACCUUGUGGCCAAUCCUUCAAAGUUCCAAGCAACAAUAUGAUAAAAACAUAAUGCAUAAUAUAUAAGGAGCUUAUCUGUAAAACUUCCAUACAGUACUUAUCAUAUUAAACAAUGUACCUAAUGAAAUAUUGGCUUAUUUCUACAGAAUAUUACAAUAUAAGUACACCAAUUUCUCAAGCAAUGCCAUAUAGAAAGAUACCGAAGAAAAAAGGAAAAUAAAAAAUCGAAGCAUGUUAGUUAUGAUUUCAACUUUUGAACUCAAAGUCUGUGACAAAUUUUGCUUCGGGAAAUACUAACAAACACUUGAGAAAAACUAAAGUGUAUCACACUUGAACCGUAUAUAAAGCACAAGAAUAAAAACAACAAUGGGCAAAAAGAGGCUAGAUGUAUCAUCUUCAUUAGUUAAACAACAUAAAUAGAAUCAAAAUAUUAAUGCAUACACCAAAACCUUCAAAAUUCUCUAAACAUUCAAUUUUUUUCAGAUUAAGAAAAUAAAUUUAUAAGAAAAUCGAGAACGCGUAUUUGUUGCGGUAUUUUAUCAAGCAAUUGGCAUGCAGCAAUGUAAAUGACAAUUAAAACAUGUAAAUCUCUGUACAUUGAAAGCUCACCUUCGUUAUUCAUCCAAAGAGAGAUAUAUAGGGCAUGUAAGCUCCUUCUUUGAUAUUUAUAUAUUUUGUCAUAAAAGAUUAUAUAUUGUCCGAAAAGAGCUAACUUUGGACAGGCUUUUUAUGCCAAAAAAAAAAAAAAAAUUCUUUUGUGACUAUUAUAAAGUUCGUCAAAAAGAAAUUGAAACAGGGACCAAGUAAUGUCUCAAAAAGAAAAAAAAAUGGUUAUCAAAUAUAAAAUUAUUCAAGACAAAACAUUCAAUGACUAUUGUUUAAUUUUGUCACUGUAGGUAAUUAUAUAUGAUAAAAAAAAAUGGUCUUAAAAUUAGCCAAAAGAACAAUAAUUUUGGCUACUAAUAUUUUGUGUCAUAGAUUGUGUAGUCAAUUUUACACCCCUCUUUUAGUUACCAAAUAAUUUGGUCGCCUAUAAUUAUAUUUCGUGACUAUUUAUUUUGUCAUAAAUAGUGAAAUAUUGUCUCAAAAUAAUCACUUUUGGAGGGAAGAUUUUGCGCCAAAAAAAUAUCUUUUGGUGACUAAAAUAAUUUUUGUCAUAAAAAAAAUUAAUUAAUGACCAAUGAACAAGUCUCAAAAUAAAAAUAAUUGGUUACAAAAAACAAUAUAAGUUAGGACAAGACUAUUAGCUACGAUUUUAAAAAUUUGUCACAAUAAAUACCAUUUUGUGACCAAAUUUAAAGUUGUAAAAAAUAUCAUCUUAAAAAAUCAAAUUUCUUAUAGUGGCCGAGGCCUAUGAUAGAGCAUAGCUCUAUGCCCAUUUACCUCUUCAACUGCCAUAGAGAACUAGAAUCCCACUUGCACCCAAAACAUAAAAACAAUGUACACUUGGCAUGAACUCUGAGAAAGCUACGUAAAAAUGAUUUGAUGGCCAAGGAUUACAACAAUUGUACAACCAAAAGAGGUAGAAAUCCAUGUCUAGUAUAGUGCCCUCGUUAACACCUCUAAAUACUGAGUCAAAUCAAUAGGAAUUUCAUUGUGGGAAAAAAAAAACUAUGCUACGAAUGGUCAGCCUUGCUAGCCUUUAUAAGCAACGCACACAGAUUAUAGAACGAUGCAGUGAUGCAAACCAAGAACUAUUAGGGUAUAGACAGUAAGAUUAAAUAGAAUAAUUUGAUUCCAUUUCUAGCAAACUUUGCCUAGAGACUUGUUAAAAUCUAAUCAGUAAACCUGCUAGAUUUGACAGGAAACAGGUAAUGUCAGGCAAAUCGCCUUCUCCUAUUUUAGGGCACUCAUGUAUAAUAGUGACUUUAAAAGUGUAAACAUAUUUUGAACAAUUUUAAGGAAAUUAAAACUAUAUUUGACACAUCACGAAAUGGCUAAGAUACAAGCUUCAAUUCCAGUACAACAAAUAUAACUUCAACUGUCAAUUGAAGGAGCGAGAUAAAGAGGAGAGACACGAAGCAAUAUACCAUUAUGAGAACAUUGCAGCAUACAAAAGUGUAAACGGCAGAGCAAUAUCUCAAAAUCAUGUCGUUUCCGAUGUGUGCUCAUUUGAAAGUGCAGAAAAACCACUCAAACAUGCCUGUACAAGGAAAGCCAUGUCAGCCACCAAUGUCGUAAUUACACCAAUUACGAGGCCCAAAACUCCAUCAGCAACAGUAGAAGAACCGAUGUCAACAUCAAUCUACAGAAAGUUUCUAGCAGUCACGAGCAUUAUCACGAUCAUCGUGCCGCAGAUUGCCCUAAAAACAAGACAAAUCAAUUUGAUCAGCUUGUUCUUCCUCUAGAGCUGCGAAUAAUUGAAAAAAAAAAGAUUAAUUCCAUAGAAAUCCAUUAAUGAGGACAUUAAUCCAAUAUAUAAAAAUGAAUAUUUAAGUUUGAAGCUCCUAGCUUGAAGCUUUCCAAAUAUAAAGUUACAUAGUGAAGGACAACAUUUGUCCAUGAGGUUUCUAAAAUGGCAACUUUUGCACAGUAAAAUUAAAACGGACGGCGGAAGCUCUAGAAACCUCGGAUCGGCUUCAUUCAAAAACGAAAAUCACGAGGAAAGAUUUAAGUUUAAUUAAAUCACUUUUAGUUUCAAAAACGGCUUCGUGAAGUAGAAGAAAAAGACUGAAAACAGCACGCUACGAACACUGUCCAGAAAAUAGAGCUCUGCACGAACAGCUUCUGUUUUGCCACGAUUUGAGAUCCUUAAAGCACCCCAAUUGUGAUGCCUCUAAUUAUUCCACACUUAGAAAUGUUCUAGGAGUUCAUAGGAUUUGGAAUCUCGAAAUUUCGUUUAGAAAUGAAAGAGAUAAUGAAAAAACAUGAAUGCUAGUUCAUGAUGAUUCAUUCCAUCAAAUAAAGCUACCAUUAUCUCUAAUAAUGGCACCAAACAUUAUCAUGUGCUAGACCCACCCACUUAGUUAUUAUUUAUUGAAAGUGAUCUUAUCACUUAAAUAAAUUAUUUAAUCAAAUAAAUAAAUAGCUAAAUUAAUUAAUUUCGUAAUUAAUUAAUUAACCCCAUUUUGAUCAAAUCAAAUGGUUAAAUGUGGGCUCAUUUUGUGACAUGUUCUAAUGCUUUCUCUUAAUCCAUAUUAGAUCUAAUAAAAGCCCAAAAUUCUAAACCCAAAAUUGGUCUAGAAGUCCAUAAUCAUAUAUGAACCGGAACAUGUCCAAAAUGGUCAUUUUACGUGCUUGAUAUUGCAUAAUGUUUAAUGGGGAUUUAUGAAAUUUAUUUUGUUCCUUAAACUAUUUAUGGAACAUCUAAAUUUCUAUCUUAAAUCAUAUUUAAGAUAUAUUUAUAUAUAUAUUCAUUCUUAAUGAAUUAUAAUAUAAAUAUUGAUUUUCCUAAAAUUAGGAAAUUUAACUUCUCAUUUUCUAGUAACUCCUUUUUCAUUUCUAUUUAGUGUGUGACCUUUCAGGUUCUUAGUUAUAAGGUAGUAGAACUAUUUUAAUGAUAACUCUUUAUUCAUUAAAUGAUGCUAAACUCUUUAGUAAUCAAUUAGAACUUUUCUAAUGACCUUAAGAUGCAUAGCUAAUAGGCUUUACCAAUAUUGAUCUUAAGGUUUCUAUAAGUCAUGAGUGACACCUAGCAGUAUAUCACAACUAUCCAAAUAACAAGAAUUGUUGGAUCUAUAAAACCUAUUUUAUUGUAUCUCUAUGUCUUGGUCUCUUCAUCAUCCAUGUCUAGAGAAAAGCACGGCUUAUGGUUUAUUAUGUUAAGCAGUUAUGAUUUAUCUCAAAAUAAAUCUAAAUGAACUUAACAUGAAAAUAUAAUUUGAACUCCUUCAAAUAUAUUUCACCUUGGCCAAGGAUUUCUCAUGCCAAUUCAUAUUAUCUCAUAGGGACAUCCUUUUUGUAUAUUACAAAGUGAUUAAUUCCAUAUUAGCCAUACACUUGUCUUCAUACAUAACCAACCAUGACAGCUAUUGCUAGAUCUCUUCCGUGAUUAGGAAUCCAUGAUUAUGCUUUCACAUAUCAGAGAUGUCUAUGUAUAAGACAUCUGUUAUGCCUCAAGUCUAAAGACCAUUAUUAAACAUAGUGUCUAUUACAAUGUAUAAUAAGCCAUUAACACUCAAAACCAUAUGACUUACUAUAUUUGGUCAUGUUCAGUAAACUCGUUCUCUCAACAAGUACCUAUGUGUUUGACUUGACAUGUCAUGUCAAUGAUAUGAAACUCACCAUCCAUUUUAGUAUCACAUACCAUAAGGAGUCAUAACACAUACUAGUGUUUAUAGGAAUUUAUAAUGUCCAAUCAUAAAUCCACCACUAGGAACUAUUUUAGAAGUAUAGUACAAAGGAUGCACGUUUCAUACUCUCGACAAACUCGAGAAUGUGUUCCUUAACUAUUUUACUUCUUGGACUAUAUUCAUUAAAUUAAUUUAUGAAUGUUGAUAACUUUGCCAUUUUAUAAAUAUCAAAAUGCUAUUCAAAUACAAUAAUUCCCUAAACAAACAAACACCAUUUGAUUGGCCUUUAGGGCAUAUUACUAACACAUAGCCCUUAGAAGGCCGAUUGCAAACAUCACCUUUCCCGGGGAUGGAGAGGAGGACGUCCUCAAGGAUAUUAUAAAGGGUUCUUAGUUUGAGUAGGUCAGUAUGGGUAGUGGCACACUUGAGGUAGUCAAUGGGAUAAGAAUCGGCCUCCAUCCUAUAGCCGAGGUUUCUUUUCUUAGAGGGUCGGCUCGGCUCAGAACUAUUCUCCUUGUUAUCACUUUCUUUUUCAGGGAUCCCAGCCCCCUCAGAACUGUGAUUCUCACCAGAAGCCGAUGCUUGUCCACCGCGAUUUCCCAUAGGUUCACAAUCAGAAGGAGGCAAAAUGGCCUUUGGACGGGGGUACUCAAGGGUAUCUCUAUUAUAAGAGGGACCUAUGUUACUGGAAGGAUUUUGGGGAUCAGUGGGUCUUAAUAAAUUGGGGUAUGAAUCUAUCUCUUCAUCACUCUCAUUUACAAUUAUUUUUCCCCUUCGUCUUGACAUAGUGAAGUCUUAAGAGAAAAAUAUAACAAAUUUAAGUAUAUGGGUACAAAAGUGUUGAGUGCGGAAUGCAGAAUCAAGCACACCAAAUAAUUAUAGAAAAAUAAUUGACACAAAAUUUAUGUGGUUCAGUAAUUAAACCUACAUCCACCGGAGCAAGAGAAAAAUAAUUGUAUUAUUAACAAUUAUUUGAGUACAAAUUUGAGUAAAGAAAUCUUACUUUCCCAUAACCCAAAUACACCCAGUACUCUCACACACACACUCUCCAAUUGCUCACACUUUCAGAACUCUCAAAAGCUUAAAAACUAAUAAGCUUAACAAAUUUUUUGGGAUACUUUAGAAUGAAGAAAUGACUUUAAUUUAUAGGCUUCAAGCUUGCACUAUUCCACUUAAUCCCUCUGCAAUUUGUCAAUCUUCAUCUCCAUCAAUUUGACAAAUUUUGCUAAAUUUUCCAUUUUUCUUCAUUUAGUGCAGGAUUGUCAAAUGCCAAAUAUUUUACAGCUUGCAGUUUUGGUGCCGACUUUGAAAAAACAAAAGCAAUGCAUGUGGCUCACUUUUCUUUUUCAACCAAUUUGAAAACACUCAUUGACUUUUCAACAAUUUUCCACCUCGGCGAAGAUUUGUUCAAAUAUGAGCCGACUCCCAACCAAUCAUCAUCCCCAAAGUGGCUGCAUCUCUGUGACUGCUACGUACACAAAAUUUGGGAUCAAGCCAACCGUAGUUCAAAAUUCCUGAAGGACAUAACUUAACAUAAUCGAAGGAUUUGAAUUAGUCUCAAGCAUUGUUGAAACUUAACUCCAGAAAUCACCUUUGUCAACAUAUCUGCUGGGUUAUCCUUGGUAUUGAUCUUUUUCAACAACACAUCACCACCCUCGAUAAUCUCUCUCACAUAAUGAUAUUUCACAUCUAUGUGCUUCGACCGAGCGUGAUAUGUUUGAUUUUUCGCGAGGAAUAUCGCACUUUGGUUAUCACAAAAGACCGCAAUGUUCUCUUGGAUUACUCCCAAAUCACAAAAUAAGCCUUUCAACCAGAUAGCUUCCUUUACAGCUUCAGUUACUACCAUAUACUCUGCUUCCAUAGUGGAUAGAGCAAUUGUCGAUUGUAGAAUCGACCUCCAGCUAACUGAUCCUCUACCCAAUGUGAAUACGUAGCCAGUUGUUGAUCUUUGCUUUUUAAGGUCUCCGGCGAAAUCAGAAUCACAAUACCCAACACAUUGUUGACCACAAUCCUUUUUUAACAAUAACCCAACAUCAACUGUCCCAUAUAGAUAUCGGAGAAUCCACUUUACCGCAAGCCAUUAAUUUUUACUCGGAUUGUGCAUGUACCUACUAACCAUUCUCACUGCUUGAGAUAUAUUGGGCCUUGUGCAUACCAUAACAUACAUAAGACUACCCACAACACUAGCAUAUGGAACACGAGCCAUGUAAUCGCGCUCCUCUUGAGAUUUAGGACAUGAAGAAGAGCUUAAUUUGAAAUGAGGAGUUAGAAGUGUACAUACCAGUUUAGUUUUGUCAUCCAUACCGAAUCUUUUUAGCACUUUCUUCAAAUAAGACUUUUGAGUCAACCAUAUGCUCCCAUUCUUCUUGUCUCUAUGAAUUUCCAUCUCAAGUAUUAUAUGUGCAUCACCCAAGUCUUUCAUCUCGAACUCAGAAGCCAGCUGCUUCUUUAAUCUUUCGAUCUCAUCUCUAUUCUUCAAAACUAUAAGCAUAUCGUUGACAUAGAGUAACAAAUAGAUGAAAGCUCCAUCUAUUAGUCUUCUAAAGUAAACACAAUGAUCGUGUUCACUUUUGGUGAAUUUCUGCCCUUGUAUAAAUUAAUCAAAUCUUUUAUACUACUGCCUUGGCGAUUGCUUCAGUCCGUAUAAAGAUUUAAUCAACCUACACACAUGAUUCUCCUUUCCAGUAACUUUGAAACCACAAGGCUGAAUCAUAUAGAUUUCCUCCUUCAAAUCUUCAUGUAAGAACGCCGUCUUAACAUCCAACUGAGCCAACUCUAACUCAUAUUCUGCAACUAAGGCAAGUAGGAUACGAAUGGAAGUAUGUUUUACAACUGGAGAGAAAACUUCAUUAUAGUCAAUACUUUCCUUUUGAGCAAAACCUUUUGCCACGAGUCUUGCCUUGUAUCGAGGAGUUGAUUGAUUUGGAGAUCCUUGCUUUUUGGUGUAGACUCAUUUAUUGCCAAUAGUCCUUUUCCCUUUUGGUAACUUUACAAGUUCCCAAGUCUGGUUUUGAUGGAGAGAUUUCAUCUCUUCCUCCAUGACUAACUUCCACUGAUCACUUUCACUGCUGCGUAAUGCUUCACCGAAAGUGUUGGGGAUGUCAUCAUCAAUAACUGAAAGUGCAUAGACUACCACCAUAUCUUUAGUAAGCCAUCCGGGUUUCUUUAUCUCUCUUCUUGGUCUCCUUGUUACUAUAAAAUCAUCAUUAUCUACAGCAUCAAUUGUUUCUUCAUUUUGUGGGACAUCAGAAGAAAUAACAUAUUCUUCAACUCUAGGUAUCACCUCCAUAGUUGAACCCUUAUUUGAUGUAGAACUAACUGGUACAUAUGGAGUUGUAUCAAACUUCACCAGCUGCAAUACCUCUUUGGUUUUGUUUUCCAUUUGCUGAGAACUUGAAGUUUUCAUCAUUGAAACUUCAUCAAAUGUGACAUCUCUGCUACACACAAACUUUUUGUCUUUGAGAUCCCAAAACUUAAAGCCAUUUACUCUACCUUUGUAUCCCACAAAAAUAGCUUUUCUAGCACGAGGAUCCAGUUUACCAUCUUUGACAUAAUAAUAAGCUAGACACCCGAAUAUACGAAGGGAAUUAUAGUCUUGUGCAUGCUUUCCAGACCACAUUUCUAUAGGAGUUUUACCUCCAAUUAUAGCAUAAGGCAACUAGUUUACCAAGUGACUUACGUAGUUCACAGUUUCAGCCCAAAACUUUUUAUCUAAACCAGUAUUAGAUAACAUACACCGUACUUUCUCCAGUAAAGUACGAUUCAUACGCUCAGCUACACCGUUCUAUUGCGGAGUAUGUCUCACUGUGAAAUGUCUUUUAAUACCGUCGUUCUGGCAUACUUACAAGAAUGGAUCAGAAGUAUAUUCACCCCCAUUAUCAGGUCGUAAUACUUUGAUUUUUCUGUCAGUUUAAGUCUCCACCAAUUUCUUCCAUUUCACGAAAAUCUCUAGAACCUCAACCUUUGCUCGCAUGGUGUACACCCACACACGUCUAGAGAAAUCAUCAACAAAUGUAACAAAAUAAUGGCUUCCACCAAUUGAUGUAGUCUUGGUUGGUCCCCAUACAUCACUAUGAACAUAUUCAAGGAUUUCACGAGUAUCGUGAUUAGCUGUACCAAACUUGACCCUUGUUUUCUUGCCUACUACACAAUGCUCACAGAAAUUUAAUUUAUAGGUUUUGGUACCUUUUAAGAGUUCGUGCCUCAUCAGAGUUUGCAAAGACUUUUUGCUAGCAUGUCCUAGUCGUACAUGCCAUAGCUUGGUGGUGUCACUAUGCGCCUCAAUAAUAUUUGCUUCAUCAGUUGUACCUCCCUUCAAAUAGUACAGAUUGUGACGCCGAACCCCUUGUAGAAUCACCAUAGCCCCAUGUGUAAACUUCAUUAUACUAUUUUCAAUGGUAGCCUUGUAGCCUUUAGCUUCUAGAGCACCCACAGAAAUUAGAUUUUUCUUUAAAACUAGAACAAAUCUAACCUCUUUGAGUUCUCUGACCAUUCCAUUAAACAUUUUGAGCCGAAUUGUUCUUAUCCCCAUUGUGCGACAAUGUUGAUCAUUCCCUAUCACAACUGCACCGGAUUUUAGAUUACGAGUAUUCGUAAACUAUUCCUUAAUAGGACACAAAUGAUAGGUUGCUCCAGUAUCAAGUAUCCACUUACUCGAACUAGCCACGUAUGCUGCAAGAGUAAUACUUAGUGAAUAAUCAGAAUCUUCAUCUUUCGUGCCAUGUUUGCUGCUGUUGGUUUUUUCCCAUCUCUGUUUUGAGCUUUUAGACAAUCUUUCCUCCUAUGAACCUUUUCAUGACAAAAGGCACACUCGUCUCGAGCUAUAUCUCUGCUUCUCGAUUUGGAUCGAGAAUUCUUUCCACCACCCUUUUUCUUUUUCUCCAUCGCCCAAUCUUUACUCACCAAAACUUCAGACGAUACUCGUUCAGAAUUUUUAUUAUUAUUCUGAAUCUCCAAGUUAGUCAAUGCUGUGCAAACAUCUUUGAAGAUGAUCACGCUUUUCCCAUAUAUCAAGGUAGUCACAAAAUGGCUAUCUUCCUCUGGUAGUGAGUGUAACAGAAUCAUAGCCUUGACUUCAUCCUUAAUAUCUUCAUCAAGAUUCUUCAAAUCAGCAAGUAACUUUUCAAAUCUCGAGACAUGAUCGUGCAUUGAUACCCCAGGCUUCAUUCGAAAGCCAUAUACUUGGCUCAUUGCAUGAAGACGAUUUUCAGGACUUUUCAGCCUAUACUUCUUCUCUAAUGUAUGCCACAAAGUCACCGCACACUCCUCAACUUUCACCAAGUAUUUUACCUCCUUGGUCAAAUAAGAUCUGACCUGACCACAAACUUUCUCGUUCAUACGAUCUCAAAUUUCUUCAUCAUACAAGUGUAUUUUAUUUUUCAAAACAAUAUCGAGAUCGAUUUGAAUAAGGGCAUCCAUAACUUCGCGCAUCCACAUGCCGAAAUUGAUUUUCCCAUCAAACUUUUCAACAUCGAUCUUCUGGCCUCCUAUAACAGGUGCUGAAUAGCGAUUUUACAAGUCUCGUCUCCCACUUGAAGUGUCUUCUAAAAUAGUCUCGAUAGAUCUCUCCUUAAUUCUGGAAGUUUCACCUUAUACCAUUUUCUCAACGAACUAUUUCCACUUGAAAAACAGCCUCUAUGAUGUUAAUUUCGCGUGAAUAAAUGUCCCAGGAAAGUUCCCUAAAGACUAGACGGGAACUCGGUCCUAAUUAAAAAUCGGAAUCCUUAGACUCUUAUCGCCUUUGUUGACAGAACUUUCAUAGACAUGUAAAAAUACACACUACUUACAAUAGACUGUCUCCCAAGUACAAAUGGCCGCCUCCACCGUAUUCGUGAAUAGUACUGUAUAUGUGAACAAUACAGUAUACUGGAAUAGUACUGUAUAUGUGAAUAGUACUGUAUCCCCCCAAGUACGAACCGUCGGCUCUGAUACCAGUUGUUGAGUGCGGAAUGCGGAAUCAAGCGCACCAAAUAAUUAUAGAAAAAUAAUGGGCACAAAAUUUACAUGGUUCGGUAAUUAAACCUAUAUUCACCGGAGCAAGAGAAAAAUAAUUGUAUUAUUAAUAAUUAUUUGAGUACCAAUUUGAGUAAAAAAAUCUUAUUUUUCCAGAACCCAAAUACACCAAGUACUCUCACACACACUCUUGGUAGUGUGUCUUUUAUGGGCACGAUCUGACUAGAAAAGAUACCGACCAGAAGUUCAUACUGACCAGGUACUUGUCACUCAAAGAGAGGACGUGAUCUCACAAACACGCGACAAUUUCACCACGCCCCAAACCGCUGGGAAAACACGACGCCCCACGAUUACCCACGUUCGGUUGUUGAAGACCCAUUAAGGCCCUUAACCACCCAAAUAUGACGAGCAUGGAAAAUACCCUGAAAAAGUGGGAUGAUUGCCUAUAAAAAGCGGAGAAAUCAAUGAAGAGGGGGAGAGACAAAAAGAGAGAGAGGGGAAACUCUGUCAAAUUGACUCCAGGCAUUGUUACAUAGCCACCUUAAAUACAUUUUAUCUUAAGAACAUCGCAAUGAAUGUGUGUGAGCAUAAAUCAUAUAGUUUUCCCGUAAAUUCCAUUUCCUGACUUAAGUAUCGGAGGGUUUAUGCCGGAAAAACCAUCAGCGUCUCUGAUUUGUUUUUGUGAAUGCAGGUUUAGAAAGAAAAGGGAGAGUGAUUCGGUUCCCAGGAGCUCGGGCAAUUACUAUAGCUGGUGGAGCGCAACCUCUUCUUCAUUGUCAACACACUUGUUGAUGAUCCCAUCUGGUCGGGCAAAAGGCGACUAGAUUUCAGCAUCAACAGUACGUUCAGACAAAACACCUACUCCUGUUUUAGAAACGGCCUCCUCUAUUUUACUGUUUGGUGAUUGCAAAAAUUUGUCUAAAUAAUGCAUAGUUGUAGAGUUAAGAAAAAAAGUUAUGUUAAAAUAAAGAAGCAUCAGAGAUCCCCCGAUAUUAUUAUCAUCCAGAACAAUAUGUUUAUUGGGCCAAAGUGGGCUAACAUACAUGGGUUCAAGCUUGCAAAAUCCACAUUUAUGUAUAAUUAUAUAGUAAUUAAAUACUGAAUUUGAACUCAUACAACUAUUCAAUCAUUUGGAUUUCAAAUCUGUGUUCAUUGAACUAAAUACUGUCAUGUAUUCGAGUGAACAGAUAAAGAAUUCACAAUCUGUUCUCAAUUUUGACUUCAUAAUAUUCCAGCUAUGGUCGCAUUUCUAUUACUGUAUGGUAAAUAUGACUUUUAAAUAAUUUUUUUGACAAAAUUAGUCAAGGUGCCAUAUGUGUAUCAAAUAAUAGUUGAUAAAAUCAUCUUAUAUUUUGAACUACAGAAGUAAGUAUUCAUCAAACACUUUAUAAUUGUCAGUCAAUGUUUAUGUGAACGUGACCGAAAAUGGUUACUAAGUGCAUGUUUGGGAGUUAGGAUUAAGUAUGGGAUUAGAAUAACUUUGGUAUUAAAUAUUUUAUCCCAUGUUUGGCUACUUUGCUUGGAUUGGAUUAAGGAGGACUAAAUUUAAAUUUAGGGCUUAAAUCAUGGGAUUAACAAUCGCAAUUUAUAAGUGGAUUUAGAUGGGAUUAGAAUAAGAGAAAAAAAUUUUGUUCAUGUUUCUUUCAUAAAUAACACUAUUUUUUAUUUGAAACCUAAAAUUUAAUUACUUAAUUUAUUAUUUUAUUCAUGAUUUACAUGAAUUUAUUUUUUAUUUUAUUUUUAUAGUCUAAUUACAUUGGUACUUUACUCCAACAAAAUUAACUAUUUAAUAAUUUGUUACAAUAAUUGAUUGUAUUAAAUUCAAUAAUCAACUAUGUAAUAUUAAAAAUAAUCAUAGAAAUUAAUAAUACAAAUAAAUAAUUGAUUUUGUAUAUACAUUAUUUGCUAACUUUUUGAUAAAAUAAAAUAUAUCUAAAAUAUCCGAUAAAAAUUAAUUAAAUAAUUAAAUAGUUUUAUUAAUUUAUAUUUGUUUAUUAUGAAUAUGACUACCCAAUAACUAAUUUACUACAUAUUUAAUGCUAUUGUUAAUUAUCUUUAAAUUAAUUUUAAUUAUUACUUUUAAAUAUUCUUAACUUUUUUUUUGUAUUUAAAUAUGAUUUAACAUUGUCUAAUUCGAUAUUGUACCAAACAUAGUACAAUAUAUAAUAUAAUCUAGCUUAAUCUAAUCUAACUUAAUCCAGUCCAAUCUUAAAAAUUAGCCCAAUUCAAUUCUACGUGUCAAGCACAACCUAAGAGUUCCUAGUGUUAAAAAUUUAACAUACCCACGAUCCAUUAAUGGGAUAAUUUAUUUUAUAAUAAUCAAAUUGAAGAUCAAUUUGUACGAUGAUGAGCUUUCAUGUUUCUGUCAAACAUGAAAUAAUUUUGUAAACAAUGGCCACGUGGAACUUAUAACCAAUCAUCAUUUGUUGAUAGACAAGUGAAAUAACAAAAAAGCAGCGGGUUUGGGCUUUCUCCAGGAAUCGGCUUAACACAAACAAUGUGGGGUUUCUUGAUCUUCUUAAAGAUCAAGCAUAUACGUAUACAUGUUCUAUACCUAUCAAUCAUUCCCCUAUUCUUCGGUUUGGUGAUUGCAAAUAACAUUCUUUGCAUCUACUCUUUAUUUAUUUAUUUAUUUUUAACUCAUUAAUUCUUGUUCUUCUUAAAGCGUUUAGUAAAUAUAUCAUCACCGGGUCAAAUCCCUAACAUUAACGUACACAUAAUCUAUUAAUGAAAUUUAUUAUUUUAUCAUAAUCAAAUUGAAGAUUAGUUCAUGCAGUUUUCUAUGAUGAGGAGUAUUCACUUUUCUGUUAAAUACAAGAACGAUUCGUAAAUAAUGUCCAUUUGGAACUAGUAAUAACGAAGCAUCAUUUGUGGACCGAAUAAAUGAAAUAACAUUUUAGUUUCUCUCUAAAAUGUCAUUCUUCAUUCAAGCUUUUGCUGCAUCUUUUAUCAGGCAUCUUAUAAAGCUUUUCCCUACUAAUACUAAUAAACUUUGUAAAUCAAUAUUCUUUUCAAUUUCACAGGACACAAGUAAUGCAUAUUCAAGCACAACAGGUAUUUAUUCGUUAGAAACUCCAACUUAAUUAUUUCAUUGGAAAAUAUGAAACGCAGAGCCAUAAACUAGUGCUUUCUUCAAUUUAAUUGGGUUGAACAAACUUUUUAAUGUAUUUUCCCCAAUCCAUUUCUUUUAUCUCACUGCAUGCUUUAUUAAAGCUUUGUCUUUGUUCUUGAUUGAUGACCUUCAAAAUUAAAUCUUAAAAAUCGGGUAUAAAAGGGGUGCUUGAUUUAAGUCUUCUUCUUUUGCAAUUCAUUGUUAUUGCUCUUUUCAGCUUUUUACUCGCAAAACUUCUUACUCACAAAUUCCUCUGCAGUUAACCGUGAUCUUUUACUCAUUAAAAUUGUUCUUAUUAAUUCUUUUUUAUAGAGAGAGAGAGAGAGACUCAAAGAGAAUUAAAAAAAAAGUAAUUCUAAAUUUUUGCUUGUGCAUUGUGUGAUUUUUACCAUUUUUAAAGUUGGUGAUUUGUAUUGAAUAAAUAAAAUAAUAAAUAGAUUUAUGGACUACUCUUUUUUGUUAUAAUAAACAUCAGAGGUCCUUUCCUGAUGUUUCAUUCCAUAAGAAUAAAUUAUAAUUUUAUUGAUAUAGUAACGUCAAUAAUAGAAAUCCUAACAAACAUACAAACUUUAGAUUAUGGAUUAAAGCACUACAAGGUGAAUGGAUCACAACAAAUUAUUUAUACUACAAGGUGAAUGGAUCACAACAAAUUAUUCUGACGAAAGCAUAAACAAGAUGAUUGAAUCAAGAGACUAUUACAUGGGAAACCAAUCCAGAUGAAGCCUGUGAUAAAGAAUAGCCGUACGCCCAUUUACCUCUUUAGCUAAGCUGCCAUACUGAAGGAGGCAAUCCCACCCGCACAAAACAUGAAAAACGAUGUACACGUGGCAUGAACUUUGAGAAAGCUACAUAAAAAUGAUCUGAUGGCCAAGGGAUACAACAGUUGUACGACCAAAAAGGGUAGAAAUCCAUGUCUAGUACACUGCCCUCUUCAAUACCUCUAAAUACUGAGUCAAAUUGAUAUGAAUUUCAUGGAUGAAACUAUGCAACAAUCGAUAAACCUUGCUGGCCAUUAUAAGCCUAUGCACACAGAUUAUAGAACGAUGCAGCGAUGCAAACCAAGAAUUACUAGGGUAUAGACAGUAAGAUUAAAUAGAAUAAUUUGACUACAUUACAAGCAAACUGUCACGGACCGCAAUCGUGGCACCCAAGAUAUGCGCUUGUACGCUAGUGUCGAUGAUGGUUGUUGAUGCUGAAAUCUGCUCGCCUUUUGACCGACCAGAUUCUUUCACCAACGUUUGUGUUAUCUACUGUUGCUCGUUCACUGGGAUUGGAUUCGUCCUCCUUUCUCUCAAUAGACCUGCGCUCACUAAAAACGGAUCAGAGACGCCGGUGGUUUUGCCGGCGUAAACCCUCCGAUGUCUAAGUUAGCUCAAGGUGUUUACGGGAAAACAGUGCAAUUUAGAUCUCAAAACGGUUUCUAAAUUAUUCGGAGUUUAUAAGAAAAUGGCCUGAUUGUAAUUUGGCAGCGUUUUCCCUCUCUCAAUUUUUUCUAUCCCCAUCUUCAUCGAUUUCUUCCUCUUUUAUAGCCGUUGUCCCCACGUUCCCAUUUGCCUUUCACCCUACCUUUUUCGGGUAGUGGCAGCCUCUCAUGGAACUCUAACCGCUGCAUUACGGGCAAACGUGGGAUCUCGCAUCCUCCGCAACGGUUCUGGGAACAGCGCAACUACCGCGAUUCUGUGGGAUCUGUUCCCGCUUUUUGGGGGACGGGUACCGGCUCGGUAUAUACCUCUGGUCGGUAUAUUUCCCUGGUUGGUAAUCGCCUCUGGUCGGUUCAUGCUUGUCCCCGUGUUCUGCUCGCACCAUUUGGCUAAGAUGAUCCAUGCCGGGGUGGAGAUUAGUAGCAUGGCCGACCUGGUGCUUUUAUUUACUUAACAAUGGUUGUGCUGAUUGUUGGAGACGUGCUUCAGGGGCGUGCGUGUUGGGAAUACAAUGCCCUAGACUCUUUGGAGUUCAGGCAGGCCGACCCGGUUGAGUUUGGGGAGCUUGUCGCUAGUCAAGGACUUAACGCUGAAGAGGGGUCUAGGAAAAUCCUGACGCACACUGGUUGGGAAUUGAAGCCGUUCUCCUGAUGAGCCCAAGGCAGGGCGAAACCAGUUGACAUUGUGUCACUUCCUCUAGGCUUACUCUCGUAGUAUGGGAUGCGGGAGUGCCGCACGGGCUCGAAACCUCUCGUCCCGUGACAAAUGGUAUCAGAGCCGCGCUUGUCAUCUCUCGAAGCCCUCGUCGCGAGCUCGCCAAGCGCUCCAAUGCCGCACCACGCGGGUCCCCACCCUUUCAGAUACAAGAGUUGACAAGCGGGACGAACAGGCGGGUUCUCACACCCCCAAGCGUUCGCACCAAGUGGAUGGUGUCUCCAUGCGGGUCCUCUCCAUGGAUUGAGGACGUGCAUGUAGGCAGGGAGUUCAUGGGUUGAGUUUGGCAAGUCGAUCUUCACAUUUUUGCGUGGAAGUGCACACUUGCGAGGCGUACUCCUCAUGCACGAGGACGUGCAUGGUUAUGGCGGUGGGAGAAUGUCACGGACCGCAAUCGUGGCACCUAAGAUAUGCGCUUGUACGCUAGUGUCGAUGAUGGUUGUGCUGAUUGUUGGAGACGUGCUUCAGGGGCAUGCGUGUUGGGAAUACAAUGCCCUAAACUCUUUGGAGUUCAGGCAGGCCGACCCGAUUGAGUUUGGGGAGCUUGUCGCUAGUCAAGGACUUAACGCUGAAGAGGGGUCUAGGAAAAUCCUGACGCACACUGGUUGGGAACUGAAGCCGUUCUCCUGAUGAGCCCAAGGCAGAGCGAAACCAGUCGACAUUGUGCCACUUCCUCUAGGCUUACUCUCGUAGUAUGGGAUGCGGGAGUGCCGCACGGGCUCGAAACCUCUCGUCCCGUGACAAAACGCUGCCUACAGACUUGUUAUAAUCUAAUCAGUAAACCUAUUCGACUUGCUAGGAAAAAAAUAGGGCUUUUUUGUUUUCAUUCCCCUUUGGUGAUUGCAAAAAUUUAAAUCUAAAUUUAUGGUGCAGGCUACAUGGCACCUAGUGGAUGAUUGUUAGGGUUUGUCUUUUGCUCUUAGUUAGGAAUUUAAUUAAGAAUUUAUAGUGUGCGCCUUAUCGAAGUAGGUUUCCUAAUAGUAAUUAAAUAAUCCAAAUUUAUGAUGCAUUAGCAUAUGAUUGUGAUAAAUAAGCUUUUUAUGUAUCCUGUAAGGCUAAUUACUGUUUUAUUAGAUUCUCUUGUUAGUCUUGUGAAUCAACGAGAUUUAAUUAGUAGUAGAUAAUACUUUAGGCUUCACAGGCGCACUAUUUUAUCCGCUAAAUCAAUUUUUUUUUUAAAUUAAAAACAAUUCAUCAAACACUUUAUAGUUCUAACUUUUAAGCUGGUAAACACUUUAAGCCACAACUUUAAAUUCAGUUUACGAGAAUUCCUAAUAGUCACAGUGGCUUGGGUGGAAAUGAAUAUAAAUAAUGAAAUACUAUCUAAGCAACUCAAGGGCGGUGAAUUGAGUUUCUAAAAAUUUUGUAAAACUUAAUUCAAAUAUGAAACGAAUUAAAACAACAGUAAGUAAAUCAACCAAAAUAUAAAAAGAUAGGGGAAGAGAGAUUCAAACACAGAGAUUUUUAUGUGGUUCGGCCAACCUCGCCUACAUCCACGCCUCCAAGCACACCGAGCUUGAGGAUUCCACUAGUCAUGCCUUUAAGGCUUCAAGAACACCUACAAUUGACUUCAAAGAUGUCAAUCAACCUUUACACCAAGAAAUUAUCCUCAAUCUCUUAACCCAAGUGUAUCCUAACACUUACAAUUUCUCAAUUUGAUUUAAAAAUAAAUACAAAAUAAAUCUCUCUCACACAAUGUGUUUGAUUACAAAUGAAAUUCUAAAGUGUGAAUAAAUGAGAUGUAUACAAGAAUUUAAAACUCAAUGAAAGUUGUAUGCUCAAUAAUUUGCUCAAUGAUAAUGGUUGGAAUCGUUGUUAUUUGAAUUUGAUUGAACUUAUUUAUAGUUGGAGCUGAAAUAUAGUCGUUAUUGACUUUUUGCUCAAUGUUGGAUUGCCGUUUUGACUAUGAGCAAGUUACCGUCGGACAAAAUUUUAAAUUCUCGGACCGUCGAUUUCAAGAUGUCGAAUCGCCGUUAAUGUCCAGAGGCUGCUCUUCAAUUCUGUUCAAUGUCGGCUAGCCGUUAUCAAGAGAUCGGUUAGCCAUUUGCUACAAUGACUGCUACAGUGAACUAUUUCUAAAAUUAUAAUUUGGCCCCAAAACUUUAUAAAAUUUACUAUGACCGAUAACUUUAUAAAAUUUUGUCAAAUAAGUCCAUUUCCAAAAUUUUAAGCAAUAUUUGCUAAUUUCAAAGUUCUCAAAACUUUUUCAAUUUAAAUCAUUAACAUGAAAAUAACUAAUAUCAUAAAAUUACUUUUCAUUGAAUAUAAAGCCUUAAUAUGAAAAAAAAAUAAUUUGAGCUUUUAAAUCAAGCUUAACCAAGUUUGUUAUCAUCAAAAUCAAUAUUAAAGAAAUAUUUAUGUUGACAAAUAAUGUUUAAUUUUAAUGUACAAAGCACUGGUGCAUUUAGAAGGUACUACUGUGUAAACAAAAUUUGUGCUUGCAACUCAUCUUUUCAUUCAACUUUCUAAUAAUAAUAAAAUAAUACAGAGGAGAAAUAGGGGCUCUCUUUCCGUUUCCCAGUGUUUGUGUUUGGUGAUUUUAACUUUAUCAUGGAAUUGUCAAUUUUUAGUUGAAAGUUAUCUAAAUCUUCUUCUCUAUAUAAGCGUUUACAAUGAUUUUGUGAAACACAGCAAAAACAAUAAUAAUAAGUAUAUUUAUUCAUCUAAGAGGUCAAACUCUCAUGCUCAGAUAUGGAUAGUCCCAUUUUUUGAUCAGGGACAUCUCUUUACAAGCGUUGAAUUAUGCAAGCAAAUCGCUCCUCAAAAUUACCAAUCUACCCUCAUCGUUACCUCUCAAGUACCCAUAACUAUAGUUACCCAUUACUCUCUUCGCCAAGGCACACAGAUUAAAGAAUGCUUAGGGUGAAGGCAGUAACUGUCCUGAAAUAUGACUUUUAAAUUUUUAUUUUUUUUUUACGAAAUUAGUUAAAAUGCCAUAUGUGUGAUCAAAGUUGUUAAAUAUCUUAUCUUUCAAAUUAUAGGAGUAAAUAUUCACCAAACACUUUAUAAUUUUUAGUCAAUGUUUAUGAAAACACGGCCGCAAAAUGGUUACUAAUGCUAGGGAUCAAUAAUCAAACUGAAGUUUGUACGAUGAUGGGCUUUCGUGUUUCAGUCAAAGAUGAAAUAAUUUGUCAAUAGUGGCCAUGUGGAACUUAAAACCAAGCAUCAAUUGUUGACAUAACAAAUGAAAUAACAAAAUGGCAGCGGGGUUGGCGAUACAAAAUCAAAUCUUUUUUAUUCUUUUGAUUUUUGAUUUUUUCUAUUGCAUUCUGCUUUCUUAAAAGUUUGGUCCAAUUAAAGAGAAUACGGAGCAAUGACUUGUAUCAUCUGUGGAAUAAUCCAUAGAAAUAUAUAUGUGAAGCACGCCAAAGAAAAUGGCGCUGAUGACAUACUCCUAAGAAUUGUUCAUACUGAGUCAUCCAUCAAUCAACGGGUGGAUUAUUAUCUCACUGUAGAUGAAAUUCAACUGCAGAAGUAAUCGGAUGUGGGAUCCCAAUUUUGGCGUGACCAAUUAGAGGUUAUCAAUAUUAUAAUGCGAAAUUGAUGAUCAAUCAUCUUAAUGUGGGGUACAUGAUUUCUGAUGAUCCAUCAAAAAUACAAAGUUGAUUCAAAAGGAUGAUACGGUGAGUGGAACAGACAGGCUGAUGGGAAAUCAAGCUAUUAAAAAACGAGCUCACAUGCUUCAUAUUGCAUUUGAUCAUGGCUGUCCUAGAAGUUCAGUGGCUGCUUCGGAUGCUUUCAAAGUUCUUAUUAACCAGAAAGCAGUUUAACAAAAACAAGUAUUGUGCAUAUUAUUAACCAUAUGCUUUCAAAGAUCAUGUAUAAGCAUAUCAGAGAUCUUGUUGGCUUGAAGAUCUUCUUUGGAUGCUUUCAAUACCUACACUUAUACUACCAUAUGUAAAGCCUUUGUUACUGAUUGCAUUCAAUUAUUCAAUUAAAAGUCUUACAAAGCAUCUAAAAUGGAAGAUGGAACAUCCUCCAUCCAAAAAACAAAACGGAAGUCAAAACGUUGAUAUUGUUUUAUGUUUAAUAUCAUGAUACUAGAACUUUUUAGGCUAAAGCACCUACCUGCUGUGAGCUUUACUACAAAAAAAUGAGACUAUUUAGUUGUGAGACAAAUAGAGAGGGAAAGUUUUUACCAUUUAGCUAAAUUUCGAUCUUAUGCAAAAUAAUAUAAUUCAUUUGUUAUUAUGACCUAACCAACUCAAAACAAAAAGGAUUAUUAUGGCCUAACACAGUUCAAAAUGCAUGCAACAAUGGUGUAUUUAAAAUGGAACUAAUGUACAAAUAAAAUUUAUGCAUCUCUUGGAGGAAGGCCUUUAGGCCAACAAAUGAAAAUAGUGAGCUCGCAUUUUCUAUUAUCAUUUUCACCACUUGAAAAAGAGAGGGAAAAAAAUUGAGAGGAAAAACAGGGCUCCCCUGUUUUCAUUUCCCAUUUUUUCAGUUUGGUAAUUGUAAAUAACAUUCUUUACUUCCCUCUUUAUUUUAUUUUUUUUUUAUUUUUAACUCAUUAAUUCUUUUUCUUAUUCUUGCUAAAGCGUUUAGUAAAUCUUAUGAUCAUCUGAUCAAAUCCCUAACAUUAACAUACCCAUAAUCUAUUAAUGAAAUUUAUUUAUUUUAUAAUCAUCAAAUUGAAGAUUUGUUCAAUUUUGUAUGGCGACCAAUUUUCAUUUUUCUAUUAAACAUAAGAAGAAUUUGUACAUAAUGUUCAGGUCGAAACUCGUAAUAACGACGCAUCAUUUUUCGACAGAACAAAUGAAAUAACAAAAAAGUAUAAAUCAAGUCAUUAUUGAUCCUACUUUGAUGAUCGAACUUUGGUUUCUUUCUAAGAUGCCAUUCCUCAUUCAAGCUCUUGCUUUUCUCUUUUAUCCGACAUCUUACAAAGCCUUGUCCCUACUAAUAAGCUCUGCAUAUCAAUAUUCUUUUCAAUUUCGCAGGAUACAAGUAAUGUAUAUGCCAAAAUUAUUCAAGCACAACAGGUAUUUAUUCGUUGAAAACUUUUAACUUGAUUAUUUCGUUAGAACAUAUGAAACGUAGAGCUAUAACUUAGUGCUCUCUUCAAAUUAACUGGGUUGAACAAAAAAUUUUAAAGUAUUUUACCCGAUCCAUUUCUUGUAUCUCACUGCAUGCUUUGUUAAAAGCUUCGUCUUUUGGUCUUGAUUCUGAACUUCAAAAAUUAAAUCUUAAGACUCGGGUAUAAAAUGGGUGCAUGAUUAAGUCUUCUUCUUUUCCAAUUCAUUGCUAUAACUCACACCAACAUUUUACUCAGACAUUCCUCUGCAGUUAACAGUGGUCUUUUACUCAUUAAAAUUUUUCUUAAUAAUUUCUUUGGAUACCCGUUCUCACUUAAUAUUCAAGGCGAAUAGAGAAGCUCAUCAACUCUUUGAUCCCAGACAAUUAAAGAAGUACACAUGUUCUAAAUCAUCUAAUAAUUUCUUUUAAUAGCUGUUCUUAAUUUCCAUCUACUUUGCAAGAAAAAAUUUAUCUUGUUUGUUUUCAUCUUGUCAUCUAUUUUGCUUGAGUUUUAAGUUAUUGUUCAUUUGUAAUGUCUGUGUUCUUAUUAUUAGCUUUGGAUAAUUUGCAUCCAUGUCUUUUCUUUGUUUGUGGGCUUUUAUUCAGACCCCCUGAAACCUUUCUGUUAAUAUAAAAACUCUAAUCCUUGAGCAAAAGGUUAAAAAAAGAAAAAGAAAGAAUUCUCUGUUUAGAUAUCAGUUGGGUUAAGAACAAUGUUGUUUGUCUCCUGUCUUUUCUUUGUUUGUUUGUUUGUUUAUUUUGUCAUUUUAUUAGAUUUGCUUUGUAUCUAAUUUUACUUGAAGAUUAAAGCUGAGCGAGAAAUGCCUUUUUUUUUUUUCUGAAGCAACCUACAAAUUUUAGAAUAGGGCCAAGAGUAUUAAAGAUUCAAUUAACCGCAAAAAGUUAUUUACAUGCAUCGCUUGCAAACUUAAGCUUAUCAUCCCAAAUUGAGUUGCUUGCAUUAGAAAUUUUCAUGCAUUCACGAGCAUUAUCAUCAUAUCACAAGAUAGCCUGAAAAACAAGAUAAAUCAAUUUGAGCAACAAGUUUCCUCUGUUUUCGUUCCUCUGUUUUCAUUCCCUGUUUAUUGAUAUUUUUUUUUUUUUUUGGCCUGAAAUUAAGAAGAAAAAAGUGGUAAAACAAGUCACCACUGUUUUUAUUCCCCUGUUUUUCGUGGAAAGAAUAAAUGAAAUUGAAAAAAAAAAAAGCAGCGUUGGCAAUACAACAUGAAACUUUAAAUUUUUAUUUUAUUUUUAUUUUUGAUUUUGAAUGUGCAUAAGUCAAAUCAUAUAUUAUUGAUCUUACUUCGAUUAUUUGCUGUUUAGUUUCUCUCUUAAAUGCUUUUUGUUUGUUUCCGGUAUUUGCUUUUAUAAAAGUUUUAGUCCUCAAUCAUUCGUUCAAGGAUUUGCUUUCUCUUUUAUUAGGCAUUUACAUUGCUCUGUCGAUCAAUAUUCAUUUGAAUUUCACAGUACACAAGCAAUGUAUAUACCAAAACUUAAUUAUUUCUUUAGAAUAUAUGAAAACGUAAGAGUUGUGAACUACUGCUUUCUUCUUCAACAUGCGUCAACAGGGCAACAAUAACCAAAUACAUGAUAUACAAAAGCGGUGCAUGACUAAUUCUUUUUCUUUUGCAGGUCAUUGUUAUUGCUCUCGUCAACUUCUUUUCUCACACAUUUCCCAGCAGUUACCAGUGAUCUUUUUUCUCCUUCAACUUGUUCUUACAUAUUAAAGGCGAAAUAGAAAAGCUCACCAACUCUCUAAUCCCAGAUAAUUAAAGAGGUGCACGUUUUCUAAAUCCUUUAACUUUUUUUUUUUUUUUUUUUAUAGUAGAACCCCUGAUCCUUGAUCUUGACAUUUGUUCCUUCAUAAUUUCCAUCUACUUUCCAAGAAAAAUUUCUCUGGUUUGUUUUAAUAUUAUAACUUAUUUUGCAUGAGUUUUAAGUUACUAUUCAUUGUUAAAGCUUGUGCUCUUAUUAUUUCCUUUGGUUAACUUGCAUGCUUUUCCCCAAAAAAAAGAAAAAAGUUUAUAAAAAGAUUAUAGGUUUUUACUCAGACCCUUGAAACCUUUCUGAUAAUACCAAAAACACUAAUCCUUUAACAAAAGAAAGCAAGAAAAAAAAAGGUCCUAUAUUUUAAUAUCUGUUGGCUUUGUAUUGAUAUUGCUUGUUUGUUGUCUUUUAUUUCAUUGUUUGUAUCUAAGUUUACUUGAAGAUUAAAGAUCAGUAGGAAAAGCCCUUUUUAUAAAGCUAACAUACACAUUUUAGAAUAGGGCUCAACCGCAUGAAAAUAUUUACAUUGUAGUAUCUCAUAUUAAUAAUCUAAAAAAAACCAAUCCAACAAGUUCAAAUUCACUGAAAUCUAAAAAAGAUUGCUUUUAAGGAGUACAUGAUAGCUAUUGAAUUUUGGUUAAAGAUCUUUUAGGCAGAAUUGAAAUUCACUCAGUCAUAAAUCAACCAAUCCAACGAGUUCAAGUGCAGAGUCAAUUGAACAAAUUCAUCACUUGCAGAAUUAAGCUUAUCUUCCGCAAUUGAGUUGUUUCCAUUAGAAAUUUUCCCGCAGUCACGAGACUAUCAUCAGAACAUGAUUAUUUAUAUAAGAACAAGAGUUAAGAGGAGAAAAAUAAGGCAAAACAAGAUUCUUCUGUUUUCAUUCCCUUUUUUUUUUUUUUGUUUGGUGGUUGAAAAAUUUUAUCUCUAAAUUUUUAUAAUUUUUCGUUAAAGUUUAUAUUUAAAUAAAGGGUUAAAAAAAUCUAGUUCUAAAUUUAUGCAUUGAAUGAUUAUUAUUAUUGGUUACGAUAUCAAUUAAAUAACAAAUAGAGCUACUAAUCACUUUGUUAAAAAUGAACAUGCGUUCUGUUUAUAUGACAGAGCAAAACACGGGGUGCACGCUUAAGUCUUGUUCUUUUACAGUUCAAUUGUAUUACUUACUCUCAUAAACUCUUUACUCACAUUCCUCUGCAGUUAACCGUGAUCUUUUGCUCAUUAAAAUUUUUCUUAUAUAUUCAAUGCCAAUAGUGAAGCUCAUAAACUCUGUGAUCCUGAAUAAUAAAAGAGGUGAACUUGUUCUAAAUGAUAGCUAUUCAACUUGGUUAAAGAUCUUUUAGAAAGAGUUCAAAUUCAGUCAAUCAUAACUCAACCUAUCCAACAACUCCAAGUCUAGAGUCGAUUGAGCAAGAUUCAUCACAUGCAAAAUUAAGCUUAUCAUACCCAAAUUGAGUUGUUUCGGUUAGAAAUUUUCCAGCAGCCAUAAGCAUCAUCAUUGUGUUUCCGUUAGGAAAUUGAGUUGCUUAUCAUACCCAAAAUAUUUAUAUAAGGACAAGAGUUAAGGAAAAGAUCCCUCAAGGAAAAGGUCCCUCUGUUUUCAUUCCCCUGUUCUUUCGUUUAGUGAUUGAAAAAUUUUAUAUCUAAAUUUUAUUAUUUUCCAUUGAGGUUCAUUUAAAACAGAAAAGAAUUAAAAAUGUAAUUCUAAAUUUACCCUAAUUCACGGAGUGAUUAUUAUUAUGUUAUCUCAAAAUUGGCCAUACGAAUUAAAUGACUAAUAGAGUUAUUGACAAUUUUGUUAAAAAUGAACAACCGAUAAGUCAUUAUCUUUUGCACUUCAUUCUUAUUACUCUCAUAAACAUUUUAAUCACAUUUCUCUGUAGUUAACAAUGAUCUUUACCCAUUAAAAUUGUUCUUACAUAUUCAUGGCAAAUGAAGAAGCUCAUCAACUCUGUGAUCCCAGAUUAUUAAAGAGGUGCACAUGUUCUAAACCCUUUAAUAGUUUCUUUUGAUACCAUAAUCUAAUCCUUGAUCUUGAUAAUAGUGCUUUCGCAACAUCCAAGUAAAAAUUUCUCUUGUUUGUCUUAAUCUUGUCAUUUAGGUUUCUCGACUUUUAAUUUAUUAUUCAUUGUUGACUUCUGUGUUCUUAAUAUUAGCAUUCGUUAACUUACUUAAAUCCAUCCUUUUCAACAGCCAGAAAAAUAUAUAUUGUUAAGCAACAGGAGAUGGCAGAAGUAUGUCUUGCUAUUUUUUCCUGCGUAUCAGAAGGUACAAAGACAUUGUCUGAACCGAUUAUAGGGCAGAUGUCUUAUGUGCUCAAGUGCCAGAGCUACAUAGAUGGGCUAAAAGACCGAGUAGAGGAGCUGGGACAAAGAAGAAAAAGGGUGGAAAUACUGGUUGAUCAGGCUCCUGGACAAGGAUAUAAGAUUUUUGGGGAUGUCACAGAGUGGCUAGGGAAAGUUGAGCAAUUCACUCAAGGGUAUGCAAAACACAUCAUUAAUGAUGAAGAUGAAGUUAGGAAGCCCUGCUUUAAAGGAUUGUCCCCAAAUUUGAUGUCUCGUUAUAAACUCAGUAAACGAGCAGUGAAGGCUGCAAAAUAUGCUGAAACUCUCUUGGCAACAGGCAACUUAUGGAUCAUGAGUAAUGUUUCCCACCCUCCUUCCCCAAAGAUGAGAGAAUUUGGCAACAUGAAAGAUUACGAUAUCUUUAAUUCGAGAAAGAAAAUAUUUCAAGAUGUUAUAGAGGCGUUGAAAGAUGAUAAGCUCAACAUAAUUGGGGUCUGCGGAAUGGGCGGCGUGGGUAAAACCACGCUAGUCAAGCAAAUUGCAAAGCAAGUUAUGGAAGAUAACGUGUUCGAUAAGGUCGUUAUGGCUGAGAUAACAAAGAACCCAGAUGCUCAAAAAAUUCAAGGAGAACUCGCUUCCGAUCUAGGCAUGAACUUUGACUCGAAUGAUCACAUAUACCACAGAGCAAAACAACUAUGUCAAAGAUUGAAGAAAGAGAAGCGAGUCCUCAUUAUAUUAGAUAAUAUUUGGACAAAACUUGAGUUGGACAAAAUUGGAAUUCCUUAUGGGGAUGUUGAUGAGAAAGAUAAAAAUGAUGAUCCGAGAAGAUGACGAUAAUAUUGACGUCUAGAAGUCGAGAUUUAUUGUGCAUUGAUAUGAAUUCUCAGAAAAUGUUCUGGAUCGAUGCUUUAUCAAAAGAAGAAGCAUUGCAGUUAUUUGAGAAGAUAGUGGGUGAUUCCACAAAAGCAUCUGAUUUUCGACCUUUAGCAGAAGAGAUUGUUGGAAAAUGCGGAGGAUUGCCUGUUGCACUGAGUACAGUUGCAAAUGCUCUGAAAAAUAAGAGUCUUGCCAUUUGGAAGGAUGCGUUGAAUAAGCUGACAAGUUCCAAUCUAAGAGAAAUUCAUGGUAUGGAUGCAGAUGUGUAUUCUUCUAUAAAAUUGAGUUACGACUUCUUGGAUGAUGAAGCAAAAUCUUUGUUCCUUCUUUGUGGUCUGCACCGUGAAGGUCGUCCUAUACACGUACAUUACUUACUGAGAUAUGUUAUGGGAUUGAGAUACGAUAAGGGUUUGGGUCUAUUUAGAAAUGUUUACACAUUGGAAGCAGCAAGGAAUAGAGUGGAUGCAUUGAUCGACAAUCUAAAAGCUUCAUGCUUAUUGUUGGACGGUGAUGCUGAAGAUGAAGCUAAACUGCAUGACGUCAUUCAUGUUGUUGCUGCAUCAAUUGCAGAAGAAAAGCUUAUGUUUAAUAUUCCAAAUGUUGCUGACUUUGAGAGAGAGAUGGAAGAGACAAUACAGAAAGGUCCAAUUGCUAUUUCUUUACCUUAUAGAGAUAUUCAAGAGCUCCCUGAAAGGUUGGAAUGUCCCCAACUCAAGUUAUUUUUGUUGUUUGCAAAGUACGAUAGCACUUUGCAAAUUUCAGACCACUUUUUUGAAGGGACGGAAGAACUCAAAGUCUUAGAUUUUACUGGAAUUCGUUUCUCUCCAUUACCUUCAUCACUCGGUCGCCUCAUUAACCUUCAAACAUUGUGUUUAGAUGGUUGGCGACUAGAAGAUAUAGCAAUAGUUGGACAGCUAAAGAAAUUAGAGAUUCUCAGCCUUCGAGGUGCCGAAAUUAAGCAGUUGCCACUUCAGAUUGGACAAUUGACAAGGUUACAGUUGCUAGAUUUGAGCAAUUGUAGCAGCCUUGUGGUGAUAGCACCAAAUGUCAUAUCGAAAUUAUCUCGAUUGGAAGAACUAUAUAUGGGUGACAGCUUUUCACAGUGGGACAAGGUUGAAGGAGGAAGUAACGCCAGUCUUGCUGAAUUGAAGGGGCUGUCAAAGCUAACUACUUUGGAGAUAGAUGUUCGGGAUGCUGAAAUGCUGCCGCAGGAUUUGGUCCUUGGGGAAUCGCUAAGAUAUAGGAUAUGAAUAGGAGAAGUGUGGGGCCGCUGGUCUGUUAAAUCUGAAACAUCAAGAUUGAUGAAGCUUCAGGGGCUAGAAAAUAUUAGCAUUCUUUUGAGGAAUCAUGGAAUGAAAAUGUUGCUGAAGAAAACUGAAGAUCUCUAUCUACAGGAACUGAAGGGUGUAAAGAAUGUUGUUCCUGAAUUAGAUGAUGGGGAAGGUUUUCCACGAUUAAAGCAUCUUCAUGUAGGAAAUUUUGCGGAGCUUUUACAUAUUGUCGGUUCAAUUCAUUGCAAAGUCUUUCCCCAGCUAGAGUCAUUGUCUCUUUUUGGUUUGCUUAAUUUGGAGAAGAUAUGUUACAGCCAAAUCACAGAUCAAUCUUUUAUCAACUUAAGAAUCUUUAGCGUACGUAAUUGUAACAAAUUGAAGCAUCUCUUCUCAUUCUCUAUGGCCAAAAGCCUAUUGCGGCUUCAACAAAUAAAAGUGGGUCUUUGCAACAACCUGGAAAUGAUUAUUGGUAAGUGUUGGAAGUAUUUUGAGGAAUUAUAAAAAGCUACUAUUACUUAAUGACAGAAGUUAAUUAUUAAUUUUGUUUCUAGGACUCAACAAGGAGACAAGUAAUUUCGGUUUUAAAGAAAUCAUUGCAGAGGAUGAUCCUGUUCAGAAGGUGAUAAUUUAUGAUCCUGUUCAGAAGGUGAUAAUUUUCUCUUUAAUAAUUAAUUAAUAUAUUAUCAUGAUUUAUUUCAAUCAUCAAAAGAAUAUUAGAGAGAUAGGGAGGGGGAAAAAAAAAAAAGCUUACGGUUUUGCUUUGCAGGUCAUUCUUCCAGGCUUAGAGGAGUUGGAACUUGAUAGAUUAGCAACCAUUGAAAAAGUAUGGCCGGAUCAGUUUGAGGGAAUGUCUUGUUGUCAAAAUUUAACAAAAGUGACCGUGGAGAGGUGUCAUCGCCUGAAGUAUCUAAUAAAUUUGUUGACAUUCUCAAUGCCUGAAAGUUUUGUGAAUCUUGAAAUAAUGAAGAUAGUUGAUUGCAAAAUGAUAGAAGAAAUCAUAAAAUCACAGGUUGGAAUAGAAGCGAAACAUUGUAUUGUUUUUAGGAAAUUGAAGUACUUGAGGCUUGAUUGUUUGCCAAGCCUGACAAGCUUUUCUUCGAGUAAUUACACUCUUGAAUUCCCCUUCUUGAAACAAGUAGUUGUGAGACAGUGCCCAAAGAUGAAGAUUUUCUCUCAAGGAGGACUCUUACACACACCAAUGUUGAACAAAGUGCAACUCACUGAAGAAGACGAUGAUGAAGGGUACUGGGAAGGCGACCUCAAUAAUACCAUACAAAAGUUGUACUACAAAGAAGUGGUGAGUAUUAAUUAAGCAUUGGUGCUAGGCCACUAGCUUUAUUUUAUGAAUAACACAGGAGCCCUAACCACAUAAAAAUUAUCUUAUAUAAAGUGGUGAAAUAAUAUGGUAGGUUGACAUAUAUAUACAUGUAUGUAUGUAUGUAUGUAUCCACGUAUAUGGCCCAUGUUUUGUUUUACAUUUAACCAGUCAUAUUAUGUUACAUCAAUUUUUAUAACAUUAUUUAGAUAAUAGUGUCUGAAACUGUAUCAUUAUUCUUGAUUUAAUUUUGUUAUUAGUUUUUUUUUCUAUUAUUAGUAUUAUCAUUAAAAGGUAAACGUUUUCUUACCCACCUCAUAAAUUAGCAUGCUUUAUUUUGUCUUUAACUUAUUGAAAACAUUAACCCACGCCCAUUUAGCGUUAAAAGUACAAAAUGUUUGCCGAAGAAUAUCAUCAACACAGGCCCCUAUUCACGCUAUUCUUUUGGAUAGUAAAUGGGGGUGCGUUGAUGUUAUCAUUAAUUUGGUAGACAUCGGGAAACUGUAAUAAUAUAAAAAACAAUUGUGUGUGUCUAGUGAAUUUUUUUUUGGUUUGUGCAGGAUAGAGUUCGUGAAAUGACGAAGUUGGAACUCUCAAACUUUCCACGUUUCAGAGAAAUGUGGCAUGCCCAAGCACUGCCUGUUAGCUUCUUCAGCAAUUUAGUAAAGCUAGUGAUGGAUGACUUCAAGAAUAUGACUACUGCUAUUCCAGCCAAUCUUCUACGGUGCUUGAACAAAUUAAAAAUUCUGGAAGUGAGGAAUUGUGAUUCAUUAGAAGAGGUGCUCCAUUUAGAAGAGCUAAAUGUUGAUGAACAUUUUGGCCCUCUGUUUCCUGUUCUUGUCCAGCUAGAGCUCAUUAAUCUUCCAAAACUCAAAAGAUUCUGCAGCUUCAUUGGGAAUGUUAUUGAACUGCCUGAGUUGUUGAAUCUGAACAUUGAGAAUUGCCCUAAUAUGGAAAUAUUCACUUGCAAUUCUAUAUCUAUAUUGCACAGGACAACAAAUAAAGAACCUCUGGAAAUAACACCAAAGGAGAACUUCCCGCUAGCUGACAUACAGCCUCUCUUUGAUGAAAAGGUGAUUGUUAUUAAGUUUUUUUUUUUUUUUUCCUUCGCUUUCAUUCACAUAGAUGUAAUUCUCAUUAGAAUUAAAAUUAAUUUUAUUUAAUGAUCUUUCUGUUGUCUUUACUCUUUAUAUCUAAUCUAACGGUUCUAAUGCAGUUAUUAACUAAAAUUUCAGUAUACACUCAUAAAAAUGUCAUCAAAUUAGUUAAAUGAUUGGUAACAAGGGGUGAACUCUAUCCAUAUUAUCUCUAUUCAGAUUUGAUUUAUGUGCUUCAAGGGUAACUAUUUGAAUUUUAUUUUUUGGUUCCUCCGCAACUAAAUACAAUUUGGAUAUAAAAUGCUGUCGUCAAUCUUUUCCAUGAAACUGCUUACGAAGACUGCCGACGUUAGAUAUAUGUUCUCAUUUACAACUUUUUUUUUUCCAGGUUGCAUUCCCCAAGUUACAUAUGUUGAACCUGUCUAGAAUACCCAAGGUGUCGCAUCUAUGGAAGAAAAUUUCCGAAUCCAACGAAGUUUCCAAGUUUUUGAAUACUCUAGUAAUAUCAGAAUGUAGUAAGUUACGAAAAUUAGUACCAUCUUUGUUGCAUUUGGAAUAUCUGGCGACUCUAGAAGUGUCGAAGUGUCACGGGUUGACAAAUUUGUUGACGAUCUCAACAACUAAAAGUUUAGAACAUCUUUUAGUAAAUCUUGAAAUAAUGAAGAUAGCUGAUUGCAAAAUGAUAGAAGAAAUCCUACAAUCACAGGUUGAAAAAGAAGAAGAAAUCCUACAAUCACAGGUUAAAAAAGAGGAAGAUUGCAUUGUUUUUGGGAAAUUGAGGUACUUAGGACUUGAUUGUUUGCCAAGCCUAACAAGCUUUUAUUCGGGUAAUUACACUCUUGCAUUCCCAUCCUUAGAAGAAGUAGUUGUGAGACAGUGCCACAAGAUGAAGAUUUUCUCUCAAAAAGGGCGCUUACACACACCAAUGUUGAACAAAGUGCAAUUCACUGAAGAAGAUGAGGAUGAAGGAUGCUGGGAAGCCAACCUCAAUGAUACUAUAAAAAAAUGGUACUACAAAGAAGUGGUCAGUAUUAAUUAAGCAUUGGUGCUAGCUUUAUUUUAUCAAUAAUACUAGAGUCUCAACCUCUUAAAAAUUAUUUUAUACAAAAUGAUGUGAUAUAAUAUGGUAGGUUGUGUGUGUGUAGCCCGCGUUUUGUUUUUUGUUUAACCAAUCAUAUUAUUUUAUAUCAGCUUUAUAACAUUAUUUAGACAAUAGUGUUUGUAACUAUAUCUUUACUCAUUAUUUAAUUUUGUUAUUAGUUUUGUUACUGUUAUUAGUAUUAUUAGUAGUAUUAUUAUUAAAUGGUAAAUGUUUUUACCCAGUACCCACCUCAUAAAUUAACAUUCCUUAUUUUUGUCUUUAACUUAUUGAAAACAUUAACCCAUGCACAUUUAGCUUUAAAAGUACAAAAUGUUUGAUUAAGAAUAUCAUCAACACAGGCUCCUAUUCACUAUAUUCUUUGAAUAGUAAACGGGGUGCGUUGAUGUUAUCAUAAAUUUGAUGGACAUCUGGAAACUGUAGUAAUCUAGAAAACAAUUGUGUCCAUAUAUAUAUCCACUACAGUUUUCCUCUUUUUUUGUGGCUUUUGCAGGAUAGAGUUCGUGAAAUGAUGAAGUUGGAACUCUCAAGCUUUCCACGUUUGAGAGAAAUGUGGCAUGCCCAAGCACUGCCUGUUCGCUUCUUCAACAAUUUAGUAAAGCUAGUGAUGGAUGACUUCACGAAUAUGACUACUGCUAUUCCAGCCAAUCUUCUACGGUGCUUGAACAAAUUAAAAAUUCUGGAAGUGAGGAAUUGUGCUUCAUUAGAAGAGGUGCUCCAUUUAGAAGAGCUAAAUGUUGAUGAACAUUUUGGCCCUCUGUUUCCUGUUCUUGACCAGCUAGAGCUCAUUAAACUUCCAAAACUCAAAAGAUUCUGCAGCUUCAUUGGGAACGUUAUUGAGCUGCCUGAGUUGUUGAAUCUGAACAUUGAGGAUUGCCCUAAUAUGGAAAUAUUCACUUGCAAUUCUAUAUCUAUGUUGCACAGGACAACAAAUAAAGAACCUCUGGAAAUAACACCAAAGGAGAACUUCCCGCUAGCUGACAUACAGCCUCUCUUUGAUGAAAAGGUGAUUGUUAUUAAGUUUUUUUUUUUUCCCUUUGCUUUCAUUCACGUAGAUGUAAUUCUCAUUAGAAUCAAAAUCAAUUUUGUUUAAUCAUCUUUCUGUUGUCUUUACUCUUUAUAUCUAAUUUAACGGUUCUAAUGCUCUUAUUAACUAAAUUUUCACUAUACACUUAUGAAAAUGUCAUCAAAUUAGUUAGAUGAUUGGUAACAAGGGGGAGAACUCCAUCCAUAUUGUCUCUAUUUAGAUCGGAUUUAUGUGUUUCGAGGGUAACUAUUUGAUUUUUAUUUUUUGCUUCCUCUGCAAAUAAAUAGAAUUUGGAUAUAAAAAGUUGUGAUCAAUCUUUUCCAUGAAACAUGCUUGUGAAGACUGCCGAUGUUAGAUAUAUAUUCUUAUCUACAACUUUUUUUUUUAUUUAAUUUUCAGGUUGCAUUCCCCAAGUUAUAUAAGUUAAAACUGACUAGAAUACCCAAGGUGUCGCAUCUAUGGAAGGAAAUUUCCGAAUCCAACAAAGUUUCCAUGGUUUUGAAUACUCUAGUAAUAUCAGAAUGUAGUGAGUUACGAAAAUUAGUACCAUCUUUGUUGCAUUUGGAAUAUCUGAUGACUCUAGAAGUGUCGAAGUGUCACCGGUUGACAAAUUUGUUGACGACCUCAACAACUAAAAGUUUGGUGAAUCUUGAAAUAAUGAAGAUAGCUGAUUGCAAAAUGAUAGAAGAAAUCCUACAAUCACAUGUUCAAGAAGAAGGGAAAGAUUGCAUUGUUUUUCGGAAAUUGAGGUACGUGGGACUUGAUUGUUUGCCAAGCCUAACAAAAGCUCAUGCCUUGUUGAUGGAUGCUGUAGAAGAAGGACUAUAUUGUUGUAGCAACAAGCCUGCAGAAAAUCACAGAAUACUUAUCUGUAUAUGAACAAAAACAAGUCUGAACCAGAGAGAAUGUUGUAGUAACUAUUGCAAAAAUCUAGAUCAAAUACAAACAAAACUGUCUAGAUUGUUCAUGUGCUAACUAAUAAAGUCUACUGCAGUCGAUACUGAACUACCACUAUCAUGUGCAGACAACAGAGUGGCAGGCAGCACAAAAGGGAAUGUGCUCCUAGGAUGCCAAAAAACACAAGUGUCCUAAUGCUUUUUAGUUGCCCAAAUCCCAAGAUAUAAAAGACCAUAUUUUAAGGAAAUACAUCAUCCACGACCGACACAUGCAAAGAGAACAGAAAGAGAGAUUUCAGAGUUGCAAUAGAGGCAUUUUUCGUGUUGAAAAAUGAGAGAUAAUAGAAGAUCAAAGCAUGACGUUUUGGGUCUUUUGUAUCUCAACGUUUUUUCUUGUAUUUGUUUAUUUUGUUCUCUCUCUGAUAAUGUAUUUAAUGGCAGACACUUGUGUUGUUACUGUUUCAAAGCUCAUCAUGAGCUAAACCUUAAUUUAGUUGGGUUUUGAAUAUGCUUAAUGGUUAUUUAAUUUACAUGUGUAUGUUGCUCAGAACCUGUUAUAGCAUUUUGUUUUAACUUUACUUAUUGUAAUUGCCUACCUCGGUUGACUACCUAUUUAGUGGAUAUUAGAUAAGAAGGAGCCUAAAAGGUUUGACUUAGUGGAAUAAAUUAAGAAAUACAUGGUUCUAGAUUAGGAUUCCCAAGUUGAGUUAAUCUCGAUUUGAAUAGGGCCAUGCUUAAUCUAAGAUUAGUGAAGAACUAGAUUUAGGGAUUCACCUUGUAGGGCAAAUAGAGUCUAAAACAUAAAAUGCUAUGUCUAAUGUUAGUUUAAUAACUAAUCACUAUUAGAUUACAUAUAGAUAUAAGAUAUCCAAAAAACGACAGUUGAAGACGCUAUAACAACUGUGUCUCAAUUGAAAGAUAUUCAAUAACCAAUAAGUGAGUUUAGAACCCGACUACCCUUUUGCCAUUUAGUAUAUUUUUUUGUUUGACUUUAGAUUCUCUUUAUUGCAUUCUAUUUGUUGCAUUGUUAAUUUCAUUAGAUCAUUAAUAUCAUCAUUUAUUUUCUUUUAUUUAGUUUAUUAAAAUUGCACUGUUAAGAUUGCUAUAGUAAGUCCUAUAACAUCAAUCCAUGUGGAGACGGUUUUGAUACUCAUCAUUAUAUUAUUUCUUGUGUACACUUGUAUAUUGACACUUUACCAAGUUUUUGGCGCCGUUGCUGGGGAUUGAGUGUAACACCCCAGUCUGAAAUCCAAGGGCAAAUAUGUCCAUAACUCACAUAUGAAUUUAAAUAACCCUUUACAAUCGAAAAAAAUUCAAACCUCCAAUAUAAUAGGCAGCGGAAUAAUUUGAAAAUUUUGUCAAACCAUCUAUCAUCCUCAAUUCAAGUCUACCUUCUCACUCAUUACGAAUCAUUCCUGACUUUUGGAAACUGAAUCACAAUAAACUAUAAUGAGUACAAAACUCAGUAAGCAAAUUAGUUUUCUUAUACUAAAAUACAUCCAUACUUAUACAUAAUGCAAAUGGAUGAUAUGUCAUGAUCUUUUGGAAAUACUAUAAAACAAAUUCAUAAAAGUCUCUUUCUGUCGCUUUCAAACUUUCUCAUUUUCUUUCAAUAAAAUACGUAUCCUACAAUGUGGCACUUUGUGCUGUGCGUGGCACUUUGCACCAUGCGUGGUACUUUGCGGCGCUCUGGCCCUCAAGAGGUGGCCCCCGCAUAGUCUCAAGAGGUGGCCCCCAAUGUAAAAUCUCAUAAAACAAAAAUUCUGUUUGCUAAAAUUCACUUGUUCAUUCAUAGAAAACUCAAUGCAUUUUCGUGCUCAUGCUAAUGAACCAUCACACAUACAUAUGCCCAUGUACAUAAUCAUGCCCAUUACAUAACAACACAUCACAUAAACACAUGAGCAGAGACAUAUAAAUCCAUAUUCGUACAUAUCAAAAUAGGUUUUUCAUACAAGUCAAACAUAUAUAUUAUUUAUUGUGAUUCGUUUUAAAGUCUAGUUUACUUACCUCUUGGUAUCCUCAUGCAACAAAUGCAUAUUGAUAUCAUCAACCUUAAAUCAUCAAUAAAUUUCUCAUAAGAUAUAAUCAAGUCUCAAUCAUAAACUCUAAUGUCCUGAAGUAUCUCAAUUUAAAUGUCCUCAAUAAUCGGCCCUCAAAACAUAACAGUCCAUAUUUCUCCGAUUUUUAAUAAACUAUUCUCUUAUUGGAAGAAUCUAAAAUUUUACCGACCAUAUGCUGACACAUUGAAAGUUCAUUGAUAAAUAUUUCGUAACAUAAUUCCUUCAAAAACUAUUGAAAAUAACUGACGUUUCAGACAUCAUCAAUACUGUCAAACAGUUUUCUAUUUUGAACACACUUGCUUUAAAAAUACAAAACAAUUUAUUGCUUUAUCAUAAAAUCAUGAACAUUUUUAGAAUCAUACUAUACAUAUAUAUAAAUCAUUGGUCCAAAUUUCGUAAUUGUUGAAGAAGUCUAGCUAUGGUAAAAAUAAUUUCGUAAUUUACGUUAUUCACUGAAAUCAUAAAUUUCCAGGUUUUCAGGCUUGAAUUUGAAAAAUCGUAAUUAAUUGAAAUCUUAUCUGAUUAACUUGAAACAAGUUUCAAAACAUUCUAAACGAUAUCUAGUUUAACAUACCCAAAAAUCAGAAUCAAAAUCAACUUGUACAAAUUACUAUGAUUUCCGUAAUAAUUCACUGUCAGCAUAUUUCUGCAAAAUCUUAGAUUUCUACUUCUAUUGCAAUAAUGCUUCUCCACAACAAUUUAAUAGAGACCAAUAAUUAAAACUUACCUCCAAAACUUCUCCCAACAAUAAAAACUUAAUUCCAUGUGUUGCCUAUGGCAGAACUAAGAAGAAGAAGAAGACUUCUUCUUUUUUUCUUUUCUUGAUUUUCUCUCUUGUCUCUCCAUCUCUCUCUCUCUCUCUCUCUCUCUCUUUUCUGUCGUUUUUUUUUUGCAACCGAUCCCUCUUUUCCUCUCUCUCUUAUAAUAAAAAAGACAUCUUGUUCUAUUUAUACUAGGGCAAAAAAGGAUCACUAAAAAUUAAAAAGAGUUAAAUACCCUUAGGAGAUUUGGAAUAUUACAUUGAGUGCAUAUUGUGAGUUUUUAAGUUAAUUUUUUUUCUUUUAAUUUGUUUGUUGUGUUAACAUAAUGCUUUAGCAACCCUUGCAUGCUCAAGUAUAAACCUGUUGAAUUUUAGUUUGAUCCAAAAAUUGAAAGAACUGCAAGGAGGCUAAGAAAAGAGCAUAGAGGUUUAGGAUCUGUUGCAGACAUGGAUGGUUUGUAAAAUGUGGGAGAUUUGAAUCCCCAAGGAGGAAUGAAUCCAAUUAAUGUUCAAAGAGAUAAUCCUCUUCCCAUUUUAGAUCUAGUUAAUGCACAAAGAGUUCAAGAAUGUCAGUACGGGUAGAUUGGUCAAGGGCAACUAGAGAAUAACAACAUUUUCUGCAUGACAGUUGAUAAAGAAAAUGUUGUUAGGGACUAUAUAGUGUUAACCCCUCAAACUAUAAAUCCUGGAAUAGUCAAACCCAAAGUUCAGGCUGCUCAUUUUGAGCUCAAACCAGUAAUGUUUCAGAUGUUACAGAAAGUAGGAUAGUUCAAUAGACUACCAUCAGAAGAUCUUCAUCUUCACCUUAAACUAUUUUUGAGGUGAGUGAUGCUUUCAAGAUUGCUGGAGCAUCACAUGAGGCAUUGAGGCUAAUACUCUUAAUUUUCUUUGAAGGAUCGAGUAAGAGAAUAGUUGAACUCUUUACUACAUGAUUCAAUCUCUACAUGGAAUACCUUAGCUGACAAAUUUUUGAUAAAGUAACCUACCAAGAAUGCAAAGUUGAGGAUGAGAUCACAUUUUUCCAUUAACUUAACGAUGAAAGCUUCUAUGAUGCUUGAGAAAGAUUCAAGGAGUUGUUUAGGAAAUAUUCUCAUGAUGGUAUCCCUUGUUGUAUACAGUUGAAAACUUUCUAUAAUUGUCUAAAUUCAAGCACUAGAUUGAUGGUAAACACUUCAGGAAGUGGGGCCUUGUUAUCUAAGUCUUACAAUGAGGCUUAUGAUAUUUUGAAAAGGAUAGCCAAUAACAACUAUUAGUGGCCAUCUACCAAACAAACUACAAUAAGAAGAAUAAUAGGAGUUUACAGUGCAGAUGCCUUGAUAGCAUUAUCAGCCUAAGUAACCUUAUUGAUAAAUAUGGUAAAGGAUAUAUCCACUGUUCCAGCAACUAUCAACAAAGUUGUUAAGGCAUCAUGUAUUUAUUGUGGAGAAGGAAAUUUAUUUGAUAGUUUUCUUAGAAAUCAUGCCUCAGUCAACUAUAUGGGCAAUUAUAACAGACAGAACCACAUCAACCCUUAUUCAAACACUUACAACCCUGGAUGGAGGCAGCACCCAAACUUUUCAUGGAGCAAUCAGAAUCAGAAUCAAUAUGUUGUAGAAUCUAGUGGACAAAAUAGACUUGCUCAACCAUUUAGAUUUCAUCAGCAAAAUCAAGGGCGAAGAGACACCAACAAUGAUCAACCCAACUCCCUUGAAGCCUUAAUUAAGGAGUACAUUGUGAAGAAUGAAACAUUUAUCUAAAGUCAAGCUAUUUCCUUAAGAGACCUAGAAAAUCAGAUGGGACAAGUUACUAUAGUAUUAGGUAACAGACCUCAAGAUAAUUUACCAGGCAAUACAGAGGACCCAAGAAGAGAAUGGAAAGAGCAUUGCAAAGUAAUUAACUUAAGAUCUAGAAAGGAUGUUCACAUUCUAGUUGGUGUACUAAAAAAAAGAGUUGAGCCCACUUCAAUCUAAGAAAAAACUCAAGUUGAAGAAGAUCCAUAACCCUCUACUUCACAGUACACAGGUGAAAACAGCAAAGCACACCAAUCCAAUACUUUACAAAAAAUGAUUAUCGAAUACCUAUUGAUGAAGAUCUUGCACACUAACCACACCAAUCCAGAACAUGGCAAAAGUGAAGCAGUUUGCACAACCUUCUACAACUCAGCCGUUUAGGCACCCACCACCCUUUUCUUAAAGGUUCAAGUGACAGAAACAUGACAAGCAGUUCAGUAAAUUCUUUGAAGUGUUGAAGCAAUUGUAUAUCAACAUCCUUUUUAUGGAAGGUCUAGAGCAAAUGCCAAAUUAUGUGAAGUUCUUGAAGGAUAUUUUGACAAAGAAAAAAAGGCUAGAAGAACUUGAAAUAGUUUCUCUAACACAAAAGUACAACCACAUGCAUCAGAAUAAGAUACCUCAGAAAUUGAAGGAUUCAGAAAGCUUCACAAUUUCAUGCUCUAUAGGCAAUAAAUACAGUGACAAGACACUUUGUGAUUUAGGAGCCAGCAUUAAUCUCGUGUCCUUAUCUAUAUUUAAGCAAUUGGGUGUUGGAAAGGUCAGACCAAUAAUAGUUACCUUACUACUUGCUGAUAGAUCUCAUGCCUAUCUAGAUUGAAGAUGUACUGGUGAAAGUAGAUGAGUUUAUUUUUGCAGUUGACUUCAUAGUAUUGGAUUUUGAAGCAGAUAAAGAAGUGUUUAUCAUUUUAGGUAGACCUUUCUUGUCUGCUGGUAAGACUCUAAUUAAUGUGUAAAAAGGAGAACCAACCGUGAGGGUUAAUGAUCAGUAAGUUACAUUCAAUGUGCUAAAUGCCAUGAAGAGUCCUGAUGAUGUUGAAGAUUGUAAUUUUGUUAAUGUUGUGGAUUUUACUAUAGUAGAAAGAUUAAACAGUUGCUGCAGCAGAAAGAUUAAACAGUUGCUGCAGCAAAGAAGAAAUCAAGGUUGCAAGAUUUAAAGAACUUGAUGAUAAACCUCAAGGCCUUGAAACAACUGACAUAACAUGGCUAGAAGAAAAACAACCCUUCAAAACUGAGAAGCAAAUUAAAUAUCUUGACCUUCAAAUAGGGAUAUAAAAUAUUCUAUUUCUUUUAUUAAGUCCUCAUAUUUUAGAAUUAAAACUUUUACCUUUACACUUGAAAUAUGCUUAUCUUAGUGACCGUGAUCAACGUCAUGUAAUCAUUUCAUCAUCUUUGAAUGCAGAACAAGAAAAUAGCUUAGUUUUUGUAUUAGGGAAACAGAAGAAGGCCAUUUGAUGGACCAUGACAGAUAUCAAAGGAAUCAGCCUCUCAAUAUGCAUGCACAAGAUUCUACUGGAGGAUAGUUAUGGCAAUUCUCUAAGCAAUUGAAAAGAUUAAAUCCUAUCAUGAAGGAAGUUGUAAAGAAAGAGAUCAUCAAAUGGCUUGAUGUUGGAAUCAUCCACCUAAUAUCAAACACCUCAUGAGUGAGCCCAAUACAAUAUGUUCCAAAGAAAAUUGGAGUGACAGUUGCAGAAAAUAAAAAGAACGAGUUUAUUCUUAUAAGAACUGUAAAUGGAUGAAGAGUCUGUAUAGACUACAUAAAGCUAAAUAAGACCACAAGGAAGGAUCGCUUUCCACUGCCUUUCAUAGAUCAGAUACUGGAUAGACUCGCUAGAAAGGAGUAUUAUUAUUUCUUAGAUGGAUACUCAGGAUACAACCAUAUUGACGUAGCACUAGAAGACCAGGAGAAGACAAAAUUCAUUUUUCCUUAUGGAACCUUUGCCUUUAGAAAGAUGCCAUUUGGCAUGUGCAAUGCUUCACCAACUUUCCAAAUGUGUAUAAUGUCCAUCGUUUCAGAUAUGAUUGAGCAAAUACUUGAGGUAUUUAUGAAUGAUUUGUUUCAGUUUUUGGGGAAUCAUAUGAUGACUAUUUGUAUAAUUUAAAAAAUAGACUUAGAAGAUGUAAAGAGACAAACUUAGUAUUGAAUUCGGAAAAAUGUCAUUUCAUUGUACAAGACGAGGAUAGUCCUAGGCUAUAAACUCUCUAAAAAAAUGAUAGAAGUGGAUAAGGUAAAAAUAGAGGUGAUUAAUAAACGUCUAUUAUCCACUUCAGUUAAAGGCAUAAGGAGUUUCUUGAGGCAUGCUGGAUUUUAUAGAAGGUUUAUUAAGGAUUUCUCCAAAAUAUCAAAACCUUUAUACAUGUUGUUGGAGUGUAACAAACCUUUUAAUUUUGAUGAUGAUUGCUUGAAGGCCUUCGUUGAGUUAAAGAGAGCUUUUGUUACAACACAAGUUGUUGUAACACCUAAUUAGAGUAUGCCUUUUGAGUUGAUGUGUGAUGCUAAUGAUCAUUCGGUUGGAGCAGUGUUAGGGCAAAGAAAAGGCAAGACUUUCCAUUCCAUUUAUUAUGCCAGUAUGACUCUAGCUAAUGCAAAUUCAACUAUACCACAACUGAAAAUGAGAUGCUGACAAUUGUAUUUGUAUUUGAUAAAUUUAGAGCCUAUUUGGUUGGCAGCAAAGUGACUGUUUACAUAGAUCACUCAGCCAUAAAAUAUUUGACUCCAAAGAAAGAUGUCAAACUAAGGCUAAUCAAGUGGAUUCUCUUCCUACAAGAGUUUGACUUAUAGAUCAAGGAUAGAAAAUGAACGGAGAAUUAAGUAGCAAAAUAUCUUUCAAGGCUUGAAGUAGAUGCAAGCACUUUGACCAAGCAGGAUAUCAUAGAAAUAUUUCCUUAUGAGCAAUUGUUCAUAUUGCAGCAUGCACAGAUGCUGCAGUAAUCUGAAUUUCCAUGGUUCACGGAUUUUGUUAAUUUUCUAGAAAGUGGAUUGCCACCACCUAACUUGAGCUACCAGCAAAAGAAGAUAUUAAUUUAUCCAUGAUGUCAGAAGCUAUUAGUGGGAUGAGCCCUACUUGUACAAGAUGUGUUUGUUAACAUAUAUGUUUCCAUAAUAUUGAUUUUGAUGAUAACAAACAAGAUUAAGAAUGAUUAAUCUUUUAAGCUCAAAUUAUUUUUAUACUUUUUAAAUAAAUCAUUAUUUUUACAUUAUAAAAGUUUUAUAUUUAAUGGAAAAAUGAUUUUAUGAAAUUGAUUGUUUUUAUUCUUUUUAAAUAAAUCAUUAUUUUCACAUUAUAAAUGUUUCAUAUUUAAUGGAAAAAAGAUUUUAUGAAAUUGGUUGUUUUUCAAAGUUUAUGGUUUAAUUGAAAGAAUUUUGAAAACUUUGAAAUAAACAAGUAUUGCUUGAAAUUUUGGAGAAGGACUUAUUUGAAAAGUGUCAUAGCUUUUUGGGCUAUAUCAUAAUUUCAAAAAGUUUUGGGAUUAACAAAGCAUUACUUAGAAAUUCUGAAAUUGGACCUAUUUGCAAAGUUUCAUGACGUUUUGGGCCAUAGUAUAGUUUUAUAAAGUUUUGGGGUCAAACCAUAAUUUCAGAAAAUAGUGCACUGUGAAGGUUACUGUAGCAUCCGGCUUAUCGGAUAUAAAAACCAAAAAACUGGAUACGGGGCAGAAUGUAUCCAGAACGUAAACGGCUUACCGGAUUUCGUAACCGGCAAGCCGGAUAGGCAAAAUUCAAAUUUUUGCCUUAAUGGUAACAUAAAUCCGGCUUACCGGAUUCCAAAAACGGCAAACCCGAUACGUCCAGAAUGUGCAUAACGGCUAGUUUUUGAGUUCAAACUAUAUAAACUCAAAACCAAUUCAUUUUUCGUAAUCCAAGCAAGCAAGAACAAGUGCACACAACAUAUAUUAAGCUUCAAUUUCGUAACUCAUCAUUUAUUAAAUCAUCUUUGUUCUUCAAUUUGUAUAUCCACUCUUAAAGAGAGAUUCAUUGUUGUAUUUUUCAUUUCUCAUUAAAUUGUGAGUGUACAAGUGUGAGAAACACUUGGAGUGAAGAGAUUGGAGAGAUAAUCUCUUGUUGUAAAGGUUCAUUGACACCUUAAAGUCAAUUGUAAACGUUUGAAGCCUUGGAAAGGCUUGGAUAGUGAAAUCCUCAAGCCCGGUGUGCUUGGAGGCGUGGACGUAGGCGGGGAUUGCCGAACUACGUAAAAAUCCUUGAGUUUGCUUUCUCUUCCCUUGCUCAUUUAUUAUUGUGCUUUCAUUGAAUUUAUUGUUUUCGAAUUUAUUAAGGAAUUAGAUUGGAUUUGUGUGUGGUUUGCUUAGCUUAAUUUUUAAAAAUCCAAUUCACCCCCCCUCUUGGAUUGCCUAGUUAGUAUUUCAUUUGGUAUUAGAGCGAGGUGCUCUUGUGUAAACUUAACCGUCUAGAGUUAAAGAUCCAUGGAAACCCAUAAUGACUCAAUCUUUAGGGAAGGACAAUCCACAAUUAGACCACCGUUCUUUGACGGUAAUGACUACCCAUAUUGGAAAACUAGGAUGAGAAUUUAUUUACAAGCUUUAGAUUAUGAAAUUUGGGAAAUUGUUUGUGAUGGUCCAUUUAUGCCUUUGACUAAAAAUGAAGUCGGGGACGAUAUUCCAAAACCUUCACAGGAAUGGAAUGAAUUGGAAAAGAAAAAAUCUACUCUAAAUUCCAAAGGUAUGAAUGCCUUGUUUUGUGCACUAGAUAAGAAAGAAUUUCAUAGAGUUUCUAGUUGUGAGAGUGCUAAUGAAAUUUGGCACAAACUUGAAGUUGUUUAUAAAGGCACAAAUCAAGUGAAAAGAGUCUAAAAUUAGUAGGUACACUCGGCAAUAUGAAUUAUUCCAAAUGGAACAAAAUGAGAGUGUGUAUUCUAUGUAUACUAGAUUUACGGACAUAGUGAACACUCUAGGAGCCCUAGGAAAGACUUUUUCAAAUAGCGAUAAGGUUACGAAAACUAUUAGGUCGCUACCUAAGGAAUGGAGACCAAAAAGGACUGCUAUUGAGGAAGCUAAGGAUUUAAAUAUCUUACCUAUUGAUGAUUUAAUUAGUUCUCUUAUUUCUUAUGAGGAAGACUUGGCAGCCGAAAGAGGCAAUAAGGAGAAGAAGAAAAACAUUGCUCUCAAAGCCUCGAAACAAGAGAGUGAUGAGGAAAGCGAGCUGGAUGAGGAGGAGAUGAAUAUGUUGGCUAGGAGGUUCAGAAAACUCUUUAAGAAAUCCGGUGAGCGAAGAAAAUUUAAAGACCUCAAGAACUGAAAGGAGAAGAAGGAAUUAAUCAAAUGUUAUGAGUGCAAGAAGCUUGGCCAUAUAAGAACGGAAUGUCCUCUUCUCAACAAGCUCAAGAAGAAAGCAAUGGUUGCCACAUGGGAUGAUAGCGAUGAGGAAACAAGUGAUGAUGAAGAGAAUCAAGAAAUGACAAAUCUAGCUCUCAUGGCAAUUGGAGAUGAAUCGGAUGAUGAACUUGAUGAGGUAAAUGAUCUUUUUACUUAUGAUGAAUUAUAUGAUGCUUUUAAAGAAUUGCAUGAUAAUUGGAUAAAAAUUGGUAAAAAGAAUGCAUGUCUUAAAAAGAAAAUGGUAGAGCUCAAAAAUGAAAAUGAAUCUCUAUGUGCAAAGAUUACAUGCCUAGAAUUAGAGAAUAAAACAUUGCAUGAUAGAGUUGCAUUAUUUGAGAAUUCUAGCACUUUACAUGAGCACUUAGAGUCACACAUGAAUGACUUGAAAAAUGAGAAUGAAAUGCUUAGAAAGAAGAGCAAUGAGUUAAAUGAGAUUGUUUUAAAAUUUACAGAUGGACAAAAGAUGUUGGAUAACUUGAUUAAUUCUCAAAAAUGUGUGUUUGAUAAAGGAGGUAUUGGUUAUAAGCCAAAUUUGAAACAAAAAUAUUAUAAAAGUUAUUUUGUUAAAACUACCUCCAUUAAUAAUCAAAUUGUAUGUCAUUAUUGCAAUCAAAAUGGUCAUAUGAAGAAUAGAUGUCCAAUUAAAAGAAAUGUGUAUUAUGGAGUAAAAUGUGUUUGGGUUCCAAAAGGAACCAUUGCUAACACUCAAGGACCCAAGAGCAUUUGGGUACCAAAGGGCACAACUUGAAUAUUCUUUUGUAUGUACCACAAACAAGGAAUGGUGGAGAGUUCCUUGAUGAAGCUUGUGAGGAUAAUCAUUUGAGCAUGAUCUAGGAGAAAAAGAUGAGGCAAGAUGAUUUAAUUGUUUUGGUAAUAAUUCUUGCCAUAUUAAUUUUGUUGAAUGGAUCAUGAUAAAUGGAUAAUAGCUUGAAUUUGUGAAAGUAUACUUGUAUGUUUACAUGAUAGAAUUAUCAUUGUGUUUAACAUUGAGUGCUUUAUCAUAAUGCAUGGUUAUAUAUAUAAGAUGAUAGCUUGUCAACUCAUCAUGAUAGCUUUGUUUGAUUUUGAUGAUUAUGUAAUGCCUAAGCUUGAUAAAUGAAUGAUAUGCUUGAAUUAUUAAUCUUUGAAUGCUUAUAUGUUUCAUGAUUGUGUAAAAUAUAUACAUGAUGAAUGAAUUAUAUGUGUAAAUUCUUGUGUCGUUAAUUGUGUUAUAUCAUCAUUCACUUAUAAAAUUGACAUCAUUGGUUGAUAUGAUUUCAUAUGUUUGGUCUUGUAUGCAUUUAUGUCUCAUGUAUUAAAUGACUUAUUGAAAAGUUUUAAAUCUCGAAAUGAUUUAAAAUUAAUCAAUUUUUAAAGCCAAAAAUAAAAUGGUGAGUGUAAUACAAGUAUAAGAGCUAGCCAAUAUUCAAUUAGAGCCAAAUAGAUUUCCAAGUCCAAACCGGUAAGCCAAAUCAUCUUUUGUUGCUCUCGGGUUAUCAUUCGGAUAACCGGAUUUUCAAUCCGGAAAACCGGAUUUGCUAAGCCUUCUCUCUGCCUCAAAACCGGAUAACCGGUUCUUAAAAUCCGGAAAACCGAAUUCAAGAGGAAACUUUUUGCCUCAAACCGGACUACCGGUUAGCAAAACCGGAAAGCCGGAUUCGCUUGAAAAGCUUACUGGAACAAAACCGGAUUUCCGGUUAUGCAUAUCCGGCACGUCGGUUUCGGGUUUCAUCUUUCUGCUCACAACCGGCUAGCCGGUUAGUGAAAUCCGGCAAGCCGGAUUCGUGAGCUUUUAGCUUUGUUCUUCCUCUUCCUCUCAUUCGGCUUUCCGUUUCUCUCUCUCUCACUAAAAGCUGAUUACUCCUCACUUGAUUUCAUUCCAAAAUCCAUCAAUCUCAUCCUUUUUCACUUCAAAUCCUUUAUGCUUGUAUUUGAACACACCAACAUUUACUAUUUUUUUUGGAUUAUAUGGAUGUUUGCUAUGAUUUUGGAUUAUAUGUCUAUUUUGAAUUAUAUGGAUUUGAUAUAGUUAUAUGUUAUGUUCUUUACUUAUGUUUUGGAUAAUAUGCAUUUUGAAUUUUUUUGUUGUCCAAAGGGGGAGACAAAAUAGUAUAUCAUUUCGAUGUUAUCAAAAGGAGGAGAAUAAUAUGCUUUUUGAGUAAUUGUUUUGAUAAUUGGUAUUUGAUUAUGAUGAUGAUUUUGAUGAAUUUGAGAUAAUGAUGAUUUGAUUACAUGGGUGUUUUAUAUGAUAAUUUCAUGUUAUGAGUUGUUGAUUUGGUAAUUAAUGGAAUAAUGGUUCAUGAUAUUUUAGUGUGAUUAUUUGUGUAUGGAGUUGGCUUUUAUCAUGAUUUAUAAUAAUUUGGAUGUGAUAUUACUAAUCUUGUAUUUGAGGUGAUGCUUGUUGUUAGGGAGAGAUUUUGUUGAAAUUUCUAUUCGGACAACAUUGGUAACAAAUUUGCUACUCUUAUUCUUUUCCUUUAAGUUUUAUUUUUGAUGAUGAAGGGGGAGAAGAAUACAUGUUUUUAAAUUUAUAAAAAUUUACUACUCUUUUUUCUUUGCCAAUUAAGUUUUCUUUUUGAUGAUGAAGGGGGAGAAAAAUCCAUGUAUUUAAAUCGUUAAUUUAGCUAAUUGGCAAAUUGUAAAAGAGGAUUAUAUUUAGGGGGAGCAAUUGUGGAAUCAUUCUUUAAAUACAUGAAAUGUUUGUCAUCAUCAAAAAGGGGGAGAUUGUUAACAUAUAUGUUAACAUAAUAUUGAUUUUGAUGAUAACAAACAAGAUUAAGAAUGAUUAAUCUUUUAAACUCAAAUUAUUUUUUAUACAUUUUAAAUAAAUCAUUAUUUUUACAUUAUAAAUGUUUUAUAUUUAAUGAAAAAAUGAUUUUGUAAAAAAUGAUUGUUUAAAUACAUGAAAUGUUUGUCAUCAUCAAAAAGGGGGAGAUUGUUAACAUAUAUGUUUCCAUAAUAUUGAUUUUGAUGAUAACAAACAAGAUUAAUAAUGAUUAAUCUUUUAAGCUCAAAUUAUUUUUAUACUUUUUAAAUAAAUCAUUAUUUUUACAUUAUAAAGGUUUUAUAUUUAAUGGAAAAAUGAUUUUAUGAAAUUGAUUGUUUUUAUUCUUUUUAAAUAAAUCAUUAUUUUCACAUUAUAAAUGUUUCAUAUUUAAUGGAAAAAUGAUUUUAUGAAAUUCGUUGUUUUUCAAAGUUUAUGGUUUAAUUGAAAGAAUUUUGAAAACUUUGAAAUAAACAAGUAUUGCUUGAAAUUUUAGAGGACUUAUUUGAAAAGUGUCAUAGCUAUUUGGGCUAUAUCAUAAUUUCAGAAAGUUUUGGGAUUAACAAAGCAUUACUUAGAAAUUCUAAAAUUGGACCUAUUUGUAAAGUUUCAUGACGUUUUGGGCCAUAGUAUAGUUUUAUAAAGUUUUAGGGUCAAACUAUAAUUUCAGAAAAUAGUGCACUGUGCAGGUGACUGUAGCAUCCGGCUUACCGGAUAUAAAAACCAGAAAACUGAAUAUGGGGCAGAAUGUAUCUAGAACGUAAACGGCUUACCAGAUUUCGUAACCGGCAAGCCGGAUAGGCAAAAUUCAAAUUUUUUCCUAACGGUAACAUAAAUCCGGCUUACCGGAUUCCAAAAACGGCAAACCCGAUACGCCCAGAAUGUGCAUAACGGCUAGUUUUUGAGUUGCAUAACGGCUAAUUUUUGAGUUCAAACUAUAUAAACUCAAAACCAAAUCAUUUUUAGUAAUCAAAGCAAGCAAGAACAAGUGCACACAACAUAUAUUGAGCUUCAAUUUCGUAACUCAUCAUUUAUUAAAUCAUCUUUGUUCUUCAAUUUGUAUAUCCACUCUUAAAGAGAGAUUCAUUGUUGUAUUUUUCAUUUCUCAUCAAAUUGUGAGUGUACAAGUGUGAGAAACACUUGGAGUGAAGAGAUUGGAGAGAUAAUCUCUUGUUGUAAAGGUUCAUUGACACCUUGAAGUCAAUUGUAAACGUUUGAAGCCUUGGAAAGGCUUGGAUAGUGAAAUCCUCAAGCCUGGUGUGCUUGGAGGCGUGGAUGUAGGCGGGGAUUGCCGAACCACGUAAAAAUCCUUGAGUUUGCUUUCUCUUCCCUUGCUAAUUUAUUAUUGUGCUUUCAUUGAAUUUAUUGUUUUCGAAUUUAUUAAGGAAUUAGAUUGGAUUUGUGUAUGGUUUGCUUAGCUUAAUUUUUAAAAAUCCAAUUCACCCCCCCCCCUCUUGGAUUGCCUAGUUAGUAUUUCAGUGUUCAGACUAGAUAAUUAGAAGAUAUGUCCCUGACGAAGAGAUUUCAAGCAUUUUAUAGUCUUAUCUUGCUGCAGUAUAUGGUAGACACUUUGGAGGACACUAAAUAGCAGUAAAAGUUUUUCAAUCAGGUUAUUACUAGCCCUCCAGCUUUAGAGAUGCUUACAAGUUUGUUAGUGCUGUGAUAGUUGUCAAAGAGCAUGAACCAUUUCUAAAAAACAUGAAAUGCCACUGACCAAUAUUUUAAAAGUUGAGCUUUUUGAUAUAUAAGGGAUAGACUUUAUGAAGUCGUUCUCACAAUCUUUUAGAAACUUAUAUAUCUUAGUUGUUGUGGACUAUAUGUUGAAAUGGGUAGAAGCUACAGCAUUGCCAACAAAUGAUGCCAAGGCAAUGGCAAAUCCUUUAUAGGAAUAUUUUCACAAGAUUUGACACCCCAGAGUUGUCAUCAGUGAUGAAAGAAGCCAUUUUUGCAACAGGAUAUUUGCUGUAGCAUUGGCUAAGUAUAAGAUCAAGCUUAAAGUUGCUACAUCAUAUCAUCCACAAACGAGUAGUCAGGUAACAUUGUCCAAUAGGGAGAUCAAAAAGAUUUUAGAAAAAGAAGCGAAUCUUAGUAGAAGGGAUUGGUUUACUAGACUAAAUGAUUCUCUAUGGGGUUACAGAACUACUUACAAGACAUCACUUGGCAUGUCUCCAUACAAACUUGUUUAUGGCAAAGCUUGCUAUUUGUUGUUAGAACUGGAGCAUAAAGUAUAUUAGGCAGUUAAACAACUGAACAUGGGUAUGCAUGCUGUAACAGAGCAAAGGAGGCUACAACUUUUUGAGCUAGAUGAGUUGAGGUUAUUCUUCUAUGAAAAGGCAAGAAUCUAUAAGGAGAGAACCAAGCAAUGGUAUGACAAGAAAAUCCAGUAAAGAGAACUCAUUACAGGCCAACAAUUAUUGCUUUACAACUCUAGACUGAAGCUUUUCCAUGAAAAUUUAAAGUCUAGAUGGUUAGGAUGCUUCAAACUCGUCAAGGUUUAUCUUUAUGGAGUUGUUAAUCUUAAAGAUGAAAGAACUGGUUAAGAAUUCAAGGUUAAUGGGCAUAGAGUGAAGCAUUAUAUGGGAGCUAAGGUGAACAACCUAAACGAGGAUCCGGUUUGAGUAAACAAGGAAGGUGAGAAUGAAGAACCUAAAACCAAGUGCUAAUUAGAAGGGAACUAAAUGAGGGGAAGUUUAUUUUGAAUUUUUAAUCACUUUAAUUUCACUUUUGUUGUUAUUAAGUUUAUUUCUCUAUUUUGUUUUAAUUUAUGCGACUAAUUUCUAUGUUUUUUUUGUCCUUCUCCCUCUCUUUUUGAAUGUUUAAAAUUUUUAAAAUCUUUAAAUUAAUUUUAUCUCUUUCUCUCUCUAUUAUCUUUCUUUAUAAAUUUAAGCUUUUCACUGUUUCACUUUUCACUACCAAUCUCUCUUCCUCUACUGUAAUUUUUAAAAUUAUGCUCUCUAUUUCUCUCUCUCUCUCUCUCUCUCUCUCUCUCUCUCUCUCUCUCUCUCUCUUACACACACUCAAAGUCCCAAUCUCUCAUUCUAACGAAACUCCUUUAAGUGUUGCAGCAAUACUGAGAGUCAAGGCACCUACUAAAAGGUUGAAGGACUAAAAAAGAUUCCAAAAUCACAAAGUUGAAGAGAAGUAUAAUAAGUCCAUAAGAUCUCGUAUAAUUUUAGAAGAGAAUGGUUUUGAAAUUUGUUGAACAACCCACUGGCCUUAUCAGCAUCAUUCUCAUAACUGCUAUAAAAAGGGGGUGGAUCAAAUGAUCCAAGUUGUAAAGGAAUUUUAUUCUAACUUGCUGGAGCAAAUCCAAAUUCCUUAAGACUCUAGGGUGAUAAAUGUCUUUUAUGGUUUGCCCCUACUAUUAAUUGUGAAUACGCUGAAUUUAUUAAGAGCAUAACUAUUAAGAAAUAGAGGGAGAUGUUUAAAGCAUUAAUUGUGGAAGGAAGUGAGUAGGUUAAUGAAGAAGCUGGGAUUGUUAAUAGGAUUGGCCUUAAAUUGAUUAUAAAGGUUUGGGUGAACUUUAUAAAGUCUAGGCUUAUGCCCACCACGGCACACCACAACAAUGUCAAUGCUAGAGUGAAAGGAUGGACAAUUGAUGUUGGGAAAGUGAUUGAGCAAGAAAUUAGAGACUGUGCUACAAAAAAAAAAAAAAAAUCAGCUGUCUUUUUAUUCCCCUCACUCAUCAUUGGGAUUUAUGAGGCCUUUGGUGUCAAAAUUUGUUGACAAUGAUGAGAGGGUUAAAAAUGAAAUGGCCCUCACAGUAAGAAGAAUAGAGAAGAUUGUAGGAGAAUCAACUGGUACAACAACCCAAAGCAUCCAGUUGUAAGAAAAUUAAUAAAAGCCACUACAUUUGGGAAGAUUCUGAAAGAUUUGAGUGACAACUUAAAUGCAUGGAGAGAAGAUCCAAAAGAGUUAAAUCAGAGGCUUUAGGCUUACUUGCUGCAUCAAGAAGCUCAAAAACACCAGUUUGUAGUUUAUAUACAGAGCAAGAAUGUAAACUUCCCAGAGUCUCUAUUGUAGCAGUACAAUUUCCACAAAGCAACAGAGACUGUUCCAGCAAAUGAUGAAAAGGAUGAAAGUGAAAAAGAGGAAAAAGAUGAAAAAGGAGAAAAAAGUGAAAAAGAUGAAGAUGAAGAAGAGACUGAUGAGAAGUAGGAAGAGGAGCUACCAGCAAUAACUCCUAAAAGCUAUGGCAAACAGAAGAUCUUGCUUGAUGAAAAUCAAAAUGAUAAUGAUGCGGCCAUUUAAGAGACCAUUAACAAGUCUGCAAUGACAGAAGGAGAAAAGAAAAGGUUAAAGGAGCUCAAUGUCUACAUAACUGCUAAGGAACUUGCAACAACACCUCGUUCAGCAUUAGCAACAAAGAAGUCUCCCAAGAAAUCUCUAGUCAAAAUUCCCACAAUCUCCAAUAAAAGAAAAAGAGCACAAAUCACUAAAGUAGAGAUAGUUUAUGGAUAAGGGUUGAAAUUCUAUCAUAACACUUAGAUUUGGAUUAAGUUUAAUGAAUAUGUUGUAGCAAACCAAGCUGGGUAGUUUAGAAAAAUUUUCAAGAAUCUAAGGAUAAAAAUAGCUCUAGUUUGGGGGAAAUUAGGAAAAUUUUCAAAGUUAUUGCAAAUUGUACUGGAAGUAGAAUAAUUUUUUCUUCAAUGACUUAGUUGCUGAGUAACCAGGGCUGUGUUUGUAACCCAUAUCCAAACUUGAGUAAAAAGACAGUAAGAGUUAUGAGCAUUGCUGUAGCAACCCAAAAAGAAGAAAAAUCCUCUAUUUAGGAAUCUGAAUAGCUAGGUCUGUUCAUGAACCUCAUAUUCAGCCUUGAGUUAAAGAUAUAUAAAGAUAAGACCAUGGUUGUAGCAUCUUAGAUGCUUUUGUUGUAGCAGCUCUGAUUUGUGUAUUGAUUAAGUAAUUGGGUUCCAUCAUUACAAGUGAUAGGCAUUCGCAUAAAAAGAUUGAUUUUACUCUGAUGGGCCUCAUAAUAAAAAAAAAUUGAUGAAUGUUGUAGCACAAUUUGUAGUUCUUUAUGACCCUUGUCCCUUAUAAAUAAAAAUGUUUUUAUUGUUGUUAUGUUUGAGAUGCAUUUGAUGCUUGAGUGAUUCUGAAGCAACUCUGAAACUUGAUCAAAGUGACACAGACACACACACUGGAUAGAAUGAAGCCUAAGUCUAGAACUAGAACUGUUGAUGGUAAUGUUUAAGAAUGAAGUCUGAGGGUUAAUGAAUUAGAGUAAUCUAAAUAGCAGAGCUAAGUAUCCUCAUGCUUUUUGGUCCUUAAUCCCAAGAUAUAAAAGAGCACAUUUUAAAUAAAUGCAUCAUCCAUGACCGUCACAUGCAAAGAGAAUAAAAAGAGAGAUUUCGGAGUUGUAAUAGAGGUAUUUUUCGUGUAGAAGAAAAAGAGAUGACUAAAGAUUAAAGCGUGACAUUUUCAGUCCUUAGUAUUUUAACUUUUCUUUUAUUUGCUUGCUUUGUUCUUUCUUUGAUAAUUUAUUUAAUGGUAAACACUUGUGUUGUUACUAUUUCAAAGCUCAUCAUGAGCUAAACCUUAAUUUAGUAGUUAUUUAAUUUACAUGUUUAUGUUGCUUAGAAUCUGCUGUAGUAAUUUGUUUUAACUUUACUUAUUGUAAUUCCAUAUUUCACGUUGACUAUGCAUUUAUUAGAUACUAGCUAAGAAGGAGCCCCAAAAUAACUUGACUUAGUGGAACAAAUUACGACAAUACAUGGUUUUCGAUUGAGUUUUCCAAGUUGAGUUAAUCUCGAUUUGAAUAGAGUCAUGCUUGAUUUAAAAUUAUGAAGAACUAGAUAUAAGGAUUCAUCGUAUACAACAAUAGAGUCUAAAAUGUAUAAUGCAAUGUCUAAUGUUAAUUUACCAAAUAGUCACUGUUAGAUUGCAUAUAGAUAUAAGAUAUCCAAAAUGCGACCGCUGAGGAUACAUUAUAGAUUCUGUCCAAUUGUGUAGUAGAUGUUGUAGCAACUGUGCCUCAAUUAAAAGAUAAUCAAUAACCAAUAAGUGAGUUUAGAUCCCAACUACCCCUUUGCCAUUGAGUAUAUCUUUGUGUUUGACUUUAGAUUCUCUUUAUUGCAUUUUGUUUAUUGCUUUAUUAGUUUCGUUAGAUCAUUAAUUUCAUCAUUAAUUUUUUUAUUUAAUGUAGUAAAAUUACACUGUUAAAUUUACUAUAGCAAGUAAUAUAACAUUAAUCUCUAUGGAGACGAUCUUGAUACUCAUUAAUGUGCUCCAAAGUUUUAUUUGUGCGUUUGAAAUGCAAGAAACCAAAGUCUCAACAGUUUAAGCCUGCCAACUUUUGAAAUAUGCAUUUUUAUCAAUAGUACGUCAAGAAACUAAAGCAUGCCAACAUUUGAAAGAUGCAUUUCCACAGUUAAGGUUGCCAGUAGUUCGACAAAUUGUCCGCUGGGCAAAUUAUUAACCAUUGUGUUAACUCCACAAAAUUCUUGUUGGACUAGAUAUGACGCCAGUCCUUUUGUUGACUCUUUCAAUGCAAUGUUGGGUCCUUUAGAAAAAAGCUAUUUCUACUUGUUAACGCAACUGUAGAAAGAAGUUUUUUGUUCCUGGUCUUGAGGUCCCAACAGCAGACAUUAAAUUAUUGCCUUUUCAAUUCUGAGUUGUCUUCAAUUAGAUGCAUUAUGCUAGACUAGUAAUUGUUUUAAAAAAGAAAGCUUCAUAGUGAGAAGCUGAUUUUUUAAGGAAGGAUAAGUUUAUUCUUACCUGAAAGUGAAUGUUCCACUGAAGAAAACACGGCUGGUGCCUGGAAGGAGAGCUAGUUCAGGAUGAAAGACAGGCAAUGAUUAUAUAUUUGAAAAGAGAGAUGAUAAAAUCAAGUUUGCAUGGGGCAGGUAAAGCAUGGCAUUAAUCAGGCUCUCUGCACUUUAGGAGUGUAGAUAAUCAAUCAAAGGCCAUCAAUCAACUCUAUUUUGUUUUUUUUAAUAUUAUAAUCAAACAAAUGUUAGCCUUUAAUUGGCAUCCAAUUGUUCAUUGUCUUAUAUUAGGAUAUAAGCUAAAUUCAUAAGAGGAUCCCUCUACAUAUAUAUUUCAUGUGCAUAAGGUGUAUGAAUAAUGUUUUCUGUAUGCUUUUGCUACUCUGUUAGUAGUCUGUUUAAGGCCCAUUUCUGAUUAUCUAAUAUCUAUGUUCAUGAUUUGUUUCGUGAUGUUGGUCUGUCAUUUGGUUUUUAGUUUUUCCCAGAGGCAAAUGAAGUCAAAUUUGCAAGAACAUCGGUCUUUGAAGGAGCAUCAUUUAAGUUGGACUCUCUAACAAAACCUUCAUUCUUUGAGAAUUUUGGAUUCACUGAGAAGGUCAAAAUGGCAGGCCGUGUGAAGCCGGAAGAUGAAUUGUUUCUAGUGGCCUAUCCAUAUUUUAAUGUCAAUGGUAGUCUUACACCUUGUCUUCUCAUUGAUAUUCAUUCCUUAAGGUCAUUAAUUUUGCUUUUCUUUUGUCUUGUAGAAAUGCUUGUGGUUGAAGAGCUUUACAAAGAAGCUAUAUUCAAUACUGCCCGGAAACUGAUUAUAUUCAAUGGAGAACUUGACCAGAUAAUGUCUGGGUGUAUUAUUCACCAUUCUUUCAUUCUUAUUGUACUUUCUGUAAAUUUAGUAUGAUUUUGAUGCUAUAUAAUAGUUUCUAGAUGCCCGCCCAUUGAAUUGCUUAUUUACAACUUUUUGGUAUAUUAUAGCAGAUUUGUUUUAUAGCUUAUAGCAGAUUUUUUUUAUAGCUUAUAAAAGAUCAACUUAUGUGCUGAGUUCAAUCAUUAUUCCAUAAACUUUUUCUGUACCUAUUUUCACAUGGUAUCAAAGCUAGACUCCCUUUCUUUUUGAUCUCUUUCCCACCAUGUCUGACUAAUCUUCUAAAACCACAGUCACCUAAAAAAGACUAGAACAAAAAAUUUUUGAUUCUGAAUCUCAUUCUGUCCAUAUUACAACUAUCCGGCUGAAUGAAGGAAAUUUUCAAAGAUGGUCUCAGUCAGUUAGAAUGCAUAUUAGGGGAAGAAGGAAGAUUGGUUAUCUUACUAGAGAUGUUAAGGCUCCUGAAAUAUCUGAUCCCUCUUAUGGUGUAUGGGAUGACGAAAAAUCCAUGAUUAUGGCAUGGUUAGUCAACUCCAUGGAUGAAGACAUUUGUGCAAAUUAUAUGUGCUACUCUACUGCAAAGAACUCUGGGAUAAUGUGAGUCAGAUGUACUCUGACAAUGGAAAUUAGUCUUAAAUCUAUUAGUUGCAGCUUGCUCUUGGAGAUAACCAUCAAAGAGAUUAUAGGAUAACAAAAUACUUCAAUACUCUAAAGAGAUUGUGGCAAGAUCUGGACUUAUUCAACAACUACGAGUGGAAGAGCACGGAAGAUUUUAAACACCAAAAACAAACUAUCAAUAAUGAGCGAAUCUUGAAGUUCCUAGCUAGGCUCAAUGUUGAAUUGGUAAGAGGAAGAAUUAUUGGGAGAAAGCCACUUCCUACUCUUGAGGAUGUUUUCUCUGAAGUAAGGAGAAAAAAAAUUCGUCGAGGUGUUAUAUUGGGAAAAAGGAACUCCAUUGUCUUUGUGGAAAAAUCUGCCCUUGUUACAGCAGAUGCUAAUGCUACCUGCUCCUUCACUCAACAGCAACAAAAACCUCGAGUAUGGUGUGAUUACUGUAAUAAACCAUGUCAUACUCGGGAGGCUUGCUGGAAACUCCACGGAAAGCCUACAUAAUGGAAAAACAGCAAGCAUAGCCGUGCGUCUACCAAUAAAGUGGAGGAUAUAGAAAAAAAUCUUAACGAGGAGCAAAUUGAUCAUCUCAUAAAGCUGCUGACUUCUAAUCCUCCACCUGGUACUCCUAGUGGUUCACUAGCCUAAACAUGUAGUAUUAUUAAUGCUCUAUUUAGCCACUCAUCUACUGCACCAUGGAUUAUUGAUUCGGGUGCUUCUGAUCAUAUGACCAUCAUUUCUAGUUUAUUUGAUUCCUAUUAUCCUUGUCCUAGUAACAAAAAGGUAAGAGUUGCUUAUGGAAACUUAUCUUCCAUAACUGGAAAAGGAUCAAUAAAAAUCUUUGAAACCAUUGAGCUUAAUAAAUGUGCUACAUGUCCCUAAACUUUCUUGCAAUCUGUUACUUGUCAAUCAAUUAGCCAAAGAUUCUAAUUGUUGUGCUGUCGUUUUUUACUCCCAUUGUGAAUUUCAAGACAGGGAUUUGGGGACGAUGAUUGGCAGUGCUAGUUUGCGAGAAGUUCUUUACUAUUUUGAUGACUACUUAUCAAGGAAUAAACAAGCUCAAGGUUUGAGCAAUAGGAUUAGUUCAAACUCUGCUAGGGAUCAAAUAAUGCUUUGGCACCUUAGACUAGGACACCCUACCUUUCCUUAUUUGAAAUAUUUGUCUCCAGAUUUAUUUAAAAAUGUUGAUUGUACUACUUUUCAGUGUGAAAGUUGUUUUUAAUCUAAAAGUCAUCGAGUUUCAUAUAAAGCACUUACUUAUUGUGCCUCAAAACCAUUUUAUUUAAUUCAUAGUGAUGUUUGGGGACCCUAAAAAAUCAUUACUUUAACUGGCAAAAAAUGGUUUGUAACAUUCAUAGAUGAUCAUACGCGGCUUCAUUGGGUUUAUUUAAUGAGAGAAAAAUCUGAAGUUGAGGGUUAUUCAAAGAUUUUUAUAACAUGGUUGAAAAUUAAUUUCAAACAAAAAUAAGCCUACUCGAUACAGAUAAUGGUCUGAAUAUUUUAAUAAUUAUCUAGAGGUGUUUUGUAAGGAAAAGGGUAUAAUUCACACAUCCACUAGUCGUGAUACUCCACAACAAAAUGGAAUUGCGGAAUGAAAAAACCGCCAUUUACUUGAAGUUAGUCUGGCUAUCAUACUCUCUAUGCAUGUUCCUAAAUAUUUGUGGGGUGAUGUUGUUUUAACAGCAUGUUAUUUGAUUAAUAGGAUGCCUACCCGUGUUUUAAAGUAUCAAUCACCUUUAGAAUACUUUACACUUAUAUAUCCUUCUAGUAGGAUUACCUCGAAUAUUCAGUUAAGAGUCUUUGGGUGCACUGUAUUUGUUCACCUUCCUAACCAUCUUAGAUCUAAAUUGGAUCCUAGAUUUGAAAAUUGUGUUUUCUUGGGCUAUGCUCCUAAUAAAGAGGCUACAAAUAUUUCAAUCCUCAAACAAAGAAAUUCCAUGUCAGUAUGGAUGUUAUAUUUCUCGAAAAUCAACCUUUUUUUGGCCAAAAUUCUCUUCAGGGGGAGAAAGAAAAUAGUGAAGAUCAUUUUUGGCAUACUUAUACACCUAUGCCUAAUUUGUUUUUACCUGAUCUGAGCACUUCAAUUCAAACUCAAAAAACUAAUAUUUCUAAUAAUGAAAACUUAGGAAACUUUGAACUACAAGAACCAAGUGUUAAUGUACCAGAGACAGGGGGAGAAAUAUUACAAGAUAAAAUUCCACCACCAAAGCUUCGUGUUUAUACUCGACUAAGGUAUCAUCACAGCAAUAAAGACCCUCCCAUAAACUUGGUACAACCUCAAUUGUCGCCUCCAAGCACUGAUUCCUCAUAAAAUUUAGGUAACAUUUCUUCUCCUAAAAAUUCCAGCACUUUUUUUUUCCUGAUCUUGACUUACCCAUAGCACAUAGGAACGAAACCCGAACCUGUACUAAGCACCCCAUUGCUGGAUAUGUUUCCUAUGAAAAGUUUUCCAAUAAACGAAGAGCCUUUACCACAAAAAUCUCUCAGAUACCAAUUCCUAAAGCCAUAAAAGAAAAAUUGGACAAUGGUUUGGUCUGCAUGCUGAACAUUCCUACAGAUGAGCAAAUUGCUAAUAUACUCACCAAGGGACUACCUAAGAAACAUUUCGAGAAAUUGGUUUGCAAGCUAGCCUUGAAAGACAUUUUUAUACCAGCUUGAGGGGGAGUGUUGAAAGGUUGACCAAAUCAAAUUGAUUUGGUUUCCUUAUAUAUUUAGGUGUAUAUUAGGCGUAAAUAUAGAGUUAUUGCUUCCUAGAAAUCAGUGUGUAAUAUUCUGCUUUAAUUUUUUCUUUCCUUUCUUAGUCUCUUGUAUCCCUAUAUUAAGACUGUAUACAGUCUCAUGAAGAUAUGAAAAAGAGAAUUAUUCCAUAAACUUUUUCUCUACCUAUUUUCACACUUCCACAUCAUACGGUGAUUAAUAUGUCAUCUCUACUCAAUUUAUUUAGCAUCAAAUUAUCAGAAGAUUUUGUUACUUAAAUAGAUGGUUUUCAUUUCAACUUCAAUGUUUUUUCAGGCCUAAAGCUUCAUAGUGCUUGUUUAUAUUGUUAAUCAAUAUAUAUAAGUUUACUUGCAGGCAAUAUCAGGCAUUUUCGAAAUAUGCGUAAGUAUGACAAGGAAAUCUCAAAAAGAAACAAAAACUUAUUGCUUGGAAAAAUUUAUUUAUUUGGGGGAAGCCAUUAUGAGUUUUGGGCUCCUUAAUAGCUUUAGUAAAUUUUGGACCAUUAUUUUGAACUAUGACCCAGUUUCCCUUGUUUACACCACAGAAAAUUAGCAACACUCUCUUAUGUCUCAACUCUCUCUGUCUCAACCAACAAAAUCAACUCUGUUAGUAGUCUGUUUAAAGCCCAUUUCUGAUUAUCUGAUAUCUGUGUUCAUGAUAUGUUUCGUGAUCUUGGACUGUAAUUUGGUUUUUAGUUUUUCCAGAGGCAAAUGAAGUCAAAUUUGCAAGAACAUCGGUCUUUGAAGGAGCAUCAUUUAAGUUGGACUAUCUAACAAAACCUUCAUUCUUUGAGAAUUUUGGAUUCACUGAGAAGGUCAAAAUGGCAGACCGUGUGAAGCCGGAAGAUGAAUUGUUUCUAGUGGCCUAUCCAUAUUUUAAUGUCAAUGGUAGUCUUACACCUUGUCUUCUCAUUGAUAUUCAUUCCUUAAGGUCAUUAAUUUUGCUUUUCUUUUGUCUUGUAGAAAUGCUUGUGGUUGAAGAGCUUUACAAAGAAGCUGUCUUCAAUACUGCCCGGAAACUGAUUAUAUUCAAUGGAGAACUUGACCGGAUAAGGUCUGGGUGUAUCCUUCACCAUUCUUUCAUUAUUAUUGUACUUUCUGUAAAUUUAGUGUGAUUUUGAUGCUAUAUAACAGUUUCUAGAUGCCCACCCAUUGAAUUGCUUGUUUACAACUUUUUGGUCCUUCAAUUGGUAUCAUUUUGCAAAAAUUGAAAGUAAAGUGGGUUUUUUGCUUUUAUUUUUUAAUACAAUAAUUUGAAAUUCACUCCCAGAAAUCUAAAGGGGAAUUAAUAAGGAUGAUCGUGUUAUAUCUUUCACUAAAAUGUCGCAAGGAAGACUUUUUUUAAAAAAAUAAAUAACAAUGACUUAACCAAACUAAUUAGUGACUUGGUUGUAGUAUAGUUGUUUUGGAAUGUGCAAUAAAAGGAUCAGAGAGGAUUUCCUUAAAUGAGCAGAAGAUUAUCCAUCGUUCUUCUACCCUAAGCUGGCUGCACUAUCCAGAACACUUUUUCCUGUGAUGGAGACCAUAUAUUACAUUCACAACUUUAAGGGUGGCAAUGGAGGAACCCUUUUCAGGUUUGCCAGCUAGUUACCGACGCGUUUCCUGUGGCAACAUAUUAAUGCUUGCCUAGUAUCACUCACUGUUUUCCUGCUGUUUAACUUAUAUUUUACAUGUUUUUCUUUUCCACUUCCUGUUAGGUGCUACCCAGGUUCCUGGAAGGUCCUGAAGAAAGUGAGUAAUAAAUAUAUAUGUUUGCAUCAGCAGGAAGUGAUGCCUUCCCUUAAGGAGGUUGCUUUGGAUAUCCUUCCCUCAGCUUGAGUUUCACCAAAAUAUUUGUCUGGUGAUAAAUCCCACUUUCUUAUGUUAUAGCAGAUUUGUUUUAUAGCUUAUAAAAGAUCAACUUAUGUGCUGAGUUCAAUAAUUGGUUCAUGAUUUCUAGUUUGUAGGUCUUAUGCUGAGUAUUUUGAUACUAAUCUGCCAGUGUUUGAAAGAUCUUAUUCUUAAGAUGAAUAUAAUCAUAACUUCCACAUCAUAGCGUGAUUAAUAUGUCAUCUCUGCUCUAUUUAUUAAGCAUCAAAUUAUCAGAAGAUUUUGUUACUUAAAUAGAUGGUUUUCAUUUCAACCUCAAUGUUUUUUCAGGCCUAAAGCUUCAUAGUGCUUGUUUAUAUUGUUAAUCAAUAUAUAUAAGUUUACUUGCAGGCAAUAUCAGGCAUUUUCGAAAUAUGCGUAAGUAUGACAAGGAAAUCUCAAAAAGAAACAAAAACUUAUUGCUUGGAAAAAUUUAUUUAUUUGGGGGAAGCCAUUAUGAGUUUUGGGCUCCUUAAUAGCUUUAGUAAAUUUUGGACCAUUAUUUUGAACUAUGACCCAGUUUCCCUUGUUUACACCACAGAAAAUUAGCAACACUCUCUUAAGUCUCAACUCUCUCUCUCUCAACCAACAAAAAUCAACUCCCUUUCCAAUCUAUAUCACAAUGCACGCUAUUUCAUCAAACCCAAGACUUACUUCAACUUAGAUUCAUAUAUGUUAUUUGAUUCAUGAUUAAGAAACUGUGUUUUUUUUCUUUUUUCAAAGUACGCUUGGAGAAUAAUAAAUAAAUUUACCAACCAACACAAAAAAAGUUUAUGUGAGGCUUGGUUGACAAUUUUAUUGUGGUAAUAUGUCGUUUAAAGAUAAAUGUUGUUGAUUUAUUGAUUCUUGUGUUGACUUGGAUGGAAGAUAUGUUGAAGAAAAAGAAACCCAAAAAUUACAUAUGCAGUUUUUUUCGUCAUUUCUGACUUUCAUGAUUUUGUACAAGAUAUAAGUUUUGUUUUCUAGACUUUGUUCUAAGUAGUAUUGGAAAACUUUGCAUUGCACAUUGUAGGUGUCCUCAAAUCUAUUAAAUUGGAUUAGGCAGUCUGAACACAUUAUUAGGGUUGUAAAGGGUCCAUGCAGUAUAAUUUUCUCUUGAUGCUUUCAUAUUUUUUGGCUGUACAGAUUUGAUGCAUCAUUGAUUCUUUGAUUCUGAUGUCUAAUGAAAAUGUAUGUUUAUAUUGCAUCGAUGAAUUUUUUAAUCCGGGAAUUGUAGUAAUUGUCUGUUGUAUUUCCAUGCAGUUGAAACCUUCUUGAUUUUUUGAAAAAGGAAAAUUACUUAAUUUGAUAAAGAAGAAUAUAUGAAUUUCUGAACAAUAAAAACUGUAGGAAGCAAAAAGAUAUCCUUGUGGCAUUAAUGAGUUGCUGGAAACAAGGUUUAAGAAUUUUGUAUGCUUUUGUUAAAGCUAUAAAAUGCUAUUUAUUAUCUGUGUUGUUACAAACUAAAGUACUUUUGUGCUUUAUGCAAAUUUAAAAAUGCUAUGCUAUGCGUUAGAGCAAUAAAGUUGUUAAGAAACAGUGAAGGCUUUUGUUGCUUUACUUAAGAUGAGGUUCAAGAAUAUUAUAUAACUUUAGUGAAUGUUUGCAUGGUGGCUUUGAUCUUGUUGCUGCCCCAAACUGACUGAUUGAAGGAGAGAAUUUUACAGCUAGAUCAAGCUUCUUUCCCCAGAUUAACUUCUGACAUGGACCAAUCAAAUGGCUGUCGCAUUCUUAAAAAAAUGGUUCAAGUUUUCCAUAGUUAUGGUCCACUUAUACAGAAUCUGGAGAAAUGAAUAUAUGAAUUGUGACUUAUAUCAUCUGUGAAGGCAAGGAAUAAUCCAUGGAAUUAUAUAAGAAGCAUUGAAACUGCUUUGUUGAUGGCCUGAGGCCAGAGAAAAUGCCGAAAACAUAUUCCUAAGAAAGUUGUUCCUUCUAGUUCAGUCCGGUCCAUUAAUUAAUCCUGGCUACAGCCCUCCAAGUAGUCGGGAUUGAGGGGCUUCUGUACGUGUAAGAAUGCUCUUGUAUUUUUUUUUAAUUCUUUUUAAAUUACUAAUUGUUGAAUUGAUCAAAUUUCGCGCCAUGUUUUCAGUUUAUAACAUGGAAGAGUGCUUGCAAGUUAAGUUGGAAAAAUUAUCACCAUUGCCCUCAAACUGCUGCAUCUACAGAGUUCCGGAGCGAUUACGUCAGAUAAAUGAAAAGGCAUAUACACCUCAGGUAGUCUCAAUUGGCCCUCUUCACCAUGGCAAAGCAAACUUACAGUUCAUGGAAGCUCAUAAACAGCGGUACCUGCGUUACUUACUUCAACGGACCAUAAUAAGCUUUGACGAGUUUGUUCAAUUUAUAAAGCUCAGAGAAGCAGAAUUAAGAGGUUCUUAUGCAGAAAAAGUCGAACUAAGUAGUGAUAAAUUUGUUGAAAUGAUUCUGCUGGAUGCUGCCUUCAUCAUUGAACUCUUAUUGAGGUAUCAUUUUCGUCAACUUCAAAAAAAAGAUGAUCAUAUAUUUCAUAAACCAUAUUUAAUAGAGGAUAUAUGGUAUGAUAUGUAGUUGCUUGAGAAUCAGCUUCCUUUCUUCAUUCUUGAGGAUCUUUUUGCUCUAGCUGCAAUUGAAAUCCCUGAACAACAUGAAAAUCCAACCAUCAUCACAGUCACAUAUGAGUAUUUCAAGGGUUUAGAGGCAGUACAAGGUAAUCGGCAAAAAUUCCCUCCUUACACUGAGGUUAGGGUACAGCAUUUCCUUGAUUUUCUAAGGAUUUGUCAUCUACCAUCAUCGAGGAAUCAGGAAAAACAAGAAGGUCAGCAAUACCACAAAGGUAAAACCGCACCAAGUGUGACUGAGCUCCACCAAGCUGGAGUCCACUUCAGUUUGAGCAAGAGCAAUGAUUUGUUCGCCAUAGAAUUCAAAAACAGGACAUUGCAUAUUCCGAAACUGAAGCUACAGCUGGAAACAGAAUCCUUAUUUCGUAAUCUCAUUGCCUUUGAACAACGGCAUUACUCAGAGAAUUACAUAAAUGAUUAUGUGUUCCUUAUUCAUCAUCUCGUGAACACAGCGAAGGACGUCGAGUUGCUUGUUCAGAACGGAAUCAUUGAGAACUGGUUGCGGGAUAAAGAGACUGCGUCAAUGCUUAUAAAUAACCUUUCUAGAGGUACUACUCUGCUGUCUGAUAGCUUCUAUUUUUCUGGGCUAUGCAAAGGAUUGAAUGAUCACUGCAAAAGAACGUGCUACAAAUGGAGGGCAAACUUGAAACAAAAUUACUUCAAUACUCCAUGGGCUGGCAUUUCGGUGUGUGGCGCCGUUUUCCUUCUUAUUCUCACCGUCAUUCAGUCUGUAUGCUCUGUUAUACAAGUGUUGUCUCAACCCAAAAAUAUCUCGUGACGAAAAACCUCUGUGCGGUAUUUGUAUGUCGUUUUUGAGUUGCUGUUUUCUUUUUUUUAUUUUAAUUCUUAUUCUCAACCAAUUUUAUCAUGGAAUUGUUAAUUUUACUUGAAUGUUGAACCAAGCCUUUAUUUUUUAAUAAUGAAAUGAAAUAAAAGGUGGGGGUAUACCCUUCACAAUACCCUCUUCACUCCUUAUUUAGUGUUGCAUUUACCGCAAUAAAAAAUAAUUUUUAAACGAUAAACAUAUUUACUUGAAAACAAAAAUUAGUUUAUGCUAUUUAUUUAUCUUAUAAUGUUGGAACUUGAAAGUUAAUUUAAAUUAAUGUAAUCCUACCAACUUGAUUUGGUUUUCAUAUUGGUUGGUUUCAUGUAUCAUGCGAAUUGUUAGGCACCGACUAACUCAAGCGUAUGUUACUCAAACAUCACGCUUGAAUAAUAGUUUAAGGAAUGUUGAUUUGGAUGGUAGAUAUUUAAUCAACUAAAACUAACGUUCUCAACUCAAAGCUCAUCUACUAGUAAAAGUAAAACCCUUCUCCGUCAACUUAUCUUCUUCAUUAUAUAACAAAAGAUGUUCAAUGAAAGAAUGAAAUAUAUAUAUAUAUAUAUAUAUAUAUAUAUAUAUAUAUAAUUAAGUCAAAGUAGUCAAGAUCCAGCCACUCGGCUUGAGGGCUUGAGUUCGAACCCACAAGAACUUAUUUCAAUCCUUAUUUUAUAAAUAUGAGAUUAGGGAUAGAUUUAUCUCUAAUUAUUUAUUUAUCGAGUAAUUAAUUUUAACAAUAUUAUUAAUUGUAGUUGAAACUGGAAUGAAUUUUCUGAAAGAUGCUCUCUCAUAACUAACCAACUAAAACUAACAAUCAAAUUAUCAAACUCAGAGCUCACCUACUAGUAAAACUGUAAAACUAAAACACUUGCUUCUCCAUUAAGUCAUCUCUUUAUAUAUAAAAAAGAGUGUUUUUAUGAAAUAAUCAGUAACAAUUAGGUAUCAAAUAAUUCAUAAAAGAUGUCAAGCUCCGUUGCUACUGCUGCUGAGGCCGAGAUUUGGAUUGUCCCAUUCUUCGGUCAGGGACAUCUAUUUCCAUGCAUUGAAUUAUGCAACCAAAUCGCUUCCCGUAAUUACAAAUCUACCCUCAUCAUUCCCUCUCACAUUUCCGCCACCAGCAUUAUCCCAUCCUCGUUUCACCAAUAUCCUCUCUUUGAAGUUACUGAAAUACCCUCCUUCGCCUCCUCACCCCCAUGUUGUCGUGCACAGCCAAAUGCUUCAAGGCCUUCGAAACCUCCUUUCAACCCGGGAACCCAAAAGCCGACCCGUUUGUGCAGUCAUCGACGUUAUGAUGGGCUGGACGGCUGAUGUUUUCAAGAUUUUUGAAGUUCCCAUUGUUGGGUUCUUCACUUCUGGUGCUUGCUCAGCGGCUGUGGAGUGUGCCAUGUGGCAGGCUCACAUCCAAGAUGUCAAACCAGGAGAGGCCCGUUUACUUCCUGGGUUACCCGAGGAUAUGGCUUUAUUUGAAUCGAAUCUUAAACACAGGCCUCAUGAGCCCCCUCCUGGUGGUCCACCACCUCUGAGAGGUGCACCCGGUUCCGAGAAAAUAGGUCCACCAGAAGCCGGUGAUCAACCACACUGGAUGAAGGAAGUGGAGGGAUCAAUGGCGUUGAUGUUCAACACGUGUGAUGGUCUUGAGGGACCAUUUAUUAAUUAUUUAGCCAAUGAAUUGGGAAAGCCGAUGUGGGGAGUGGGCCCACUGUUACCUGAACAAUUUUACAAAUCGGCCGGUUCAGUGCUUCAUGAUCAUGAGAUGAGAAUCAACCGGUGGAGUUCUAACAUGACGGAAGAUGAGAUCAUUCAAUGGUUGAAUUUGAAAUCAUGCGGAUCUGUGUUAUAUGUGUCAUUUGGUACUGAAGUGGAUCCGACCUUAGAUGAGUAUUUAGUACUAGCCAAUGCUUUAGAAGCAUCAAAUCGACCGUUUAUUUGGGUAAUUUAAGGUGAUGCAAGUAGAUUGGAUCCUCUAUGUCAUUUGGACAAAACAGUAGAAGGCAGUUAUUUUCGUUAGAUGAGUUUAGUGUUGUUGACGAGGCACCAUAUGCACAACAUAGUGAUAUUGUUUAGUGUUUAAUAUUAGAGUAAUGAUAUAGCCACAAACUCUUGUACAAAUUUAUUUUGUACAAACUUAUGUGGCAUGAUAAGAUUGGUUGAAUUAAAUAUCACUUGGCCCACAUGAUUUGUUUUCAUUAUUUUAUAUUUUCAUUCAACCAAUGAAUUAGUGCCACGUCAGUUUGUAUAAAAUAAGUUUGUACAAUAGUUUGUGGCUGUAUCAUUACUCUUAAUAUUAUAGGGAAGUUUUUAAUAGAUCUUCAUUUCCGUGCAUAUUGUGAGCUUAUUGCCAAAAAUGAGACUAUAUAGUUGUGGGACAAACAAAAAGGGAAAUUCUUUACCAUUCGGCUAAAUUUUGAUGUCAUGCAAAAUAAUAUAGGAUCUUGAAUUCACUUUAAUUGGAUGUCAGCCGGGUUACCAUUCAGAGAAACGGGUCUGAAUCCGACCCGUUUCAACUCCUCCCCCCAUCUCUCCACUUUCACCUCACCCGUCCUCUUGGGUCCACCAACCGCCACUAUGUUCCUAAUUUCACACCCAAACAACUGCUGCUCCACCGUAUGCCUCUCUAUACUGUCAGCACCCAGUCCGUCCCCCAGCACAGUGACGGAAAAAAAAAAAAAAGAACACUCAGAAUAAUAACAAUAUAUAAAACAAAAAAAUACAUAAAAAUAUUAAGAAAUGGAAAAAGAAGCCAACUUCUCUUGUUCGACGAGAUGGACCCUUUCGAUCAAUAAAUUGCAGUAGCCUUCCAUCAUACCAAAAGCAUCCAACAUAUUUUGCUCCUUCAUCACAUGCUCAACCUGCAAAAACCAAACCAGGUCAUUAGACAAAUGCAAUUGAACUAGUCAAUAAUUAUAACGAAUCAAACAGAAAAAGAGACCAUGCAUGAGCGACUUUGAUUCUUCAUGCAUGUGCAUAUGUCUUACGCGAGGAGAGCACGCUCUUGAAAGCCUUGUUGGAGGAACUGAACGACGUCGGAGCGUGCUUGGGAGCACUUGACUUGGCGUUGGUUUUUGAGAACGGCCAGGCGAGAGAUUGCAAGGUUGACCUGCGGCUUGAAUUUGUAGGUCUUGAAGUUGUUUUCUCUAAGAAGAAAAUCGAGUUUCUUUCCCAUGCCGCCGCCUGCUCUUCUGAUGAGUAACUGAGCUGAUCACGCUUCCAACUCAAUCACCCAACGCACAGUGACGGAGAGAAGGAGAAGAAACAAGCAAACGAAGGCUUGUUUACUCCUUUUAGAGAUGACGAGUGAUUGCGUUGUUAUUUUAUAGUUUCAUUAGCCUGAAACUUGGACUGAAGUUGUUAUUGCUGGACAAAAGGAAAAAGAGUUCAAUCACUUCAGUACCGUUAUUAUUGCUGGAUUCAUCUCCUCUCUCGGCAGCAAAAAUCACUUCCAUAUUUUGGCAACUACUCACUUCAAUGGACUGAAGUUGUUGAAGGCCUCCGCCAAUGACCAAUGGAAAUACAUUUUUCAAUUUAUCACACCCUUCCACCCUUAUGGUCUUUAGUUUGCAAAAAGACUCUGCUGUGAGUGGACCACGACAUAUUUCCUGUAGAUUCCUUAAAUCUCUCAGAAAUAAUGACUCCAAAAGGGGGAAUGCAGGCGUCGGAGCUGGCGUACAAUCCAUUGUGUCAACAACACAAGAAAGGUUGCCAUUAUGUUUGAUUUUGUUAAGGAAGUUAAGGAAGCUCAUAUUUGUAGUCAAGCAGAGGAUCACAGCAGCUUCUAUAAUCAGUUGCAAGUUGAUGACAUGUACUGCCAGCUGGCACCAGGUGGUUAUGUAGCUGCUUGUACUCAUACAUGUGAUAAGUUUGUUAAUCAUUUUUUAAUUAGUUAGUUAGUAUUGUAACCUUCAGCUGAGAAGCAACACUUGUAUAUAUAUGCUUGUAAUCAUUCAGUAGCAUUUUAAGCUUGAGAAAAUAAAAGAAGAAAGUUUUCUAGAUCUCAGUUUAUUUUCUUAUUAGCCAAACACUCAUUUUCUGUUUUCUAACUUGGUAUCAGAGCUAGUCAUGGCGUCUCUGAAUAUUGCCUCAUCAAAUCACACUUCGAAUAUUCAUACAAACUCAACAAACUUCUCAUUCACAUUCAAUACCCCUGUGAAACUGGAUCAGGCAAACUAUCUGAUCUGGAGGUCCCAAGUUCUAGCUUCCAUACACGGCAAUAGGCUAGAAAAGUUCAUUGAUGAAAAUGUCACUCCUCCUCCAUCUCAUAUUGCUCAAAGGAUUGACGAUGAACUUAGAUCUGUUGAGAAUCCAGAUUCAUCAAGCUGGAAAGCACAAGAUCAAGUACUUCUUGGCUGGUUGCUGUCAUCGAUGAGUGAAGGUAUUAUAAGCCUGGUGUUUAAUCUGGAAACUUCUCUUGAGGUAUGGAAAGCUAUUGAAACUCAAUUUGGAUCACAGUCAAAAUCCAGACUCUUACAUUUGAGAUAUUUGAUGAAUUCAACUAGGAAAGAUGAUCUGAAAAUCAAUGAGUAUUUCAUUAAAAUGAAGAAUAUUGCUGAUAACAUGGCUGCGGCAGGAAGUGCCUUAAGCAGUGAUGAUUUAAUUUUGCAUGUACUGUCAGGACUAGGACCAGAUUAUAAUGUUGUUGCUACUUAUAUUACUGGUCAAAUAAGUGGUGAUAAAAUGAAUUUGAAUGAGGCUUAUGCUAUGUUGUUGACUCAAGAAGCUAGAAUUGAGCAACAAGCACAUAUGCUUUCUGGAAUGGAUGUUAAGCAUAAUUUUGAAGCUAAUUUUGCUCAGAACAGAGGUUUCAAGAAAGGAAAUUUCUCAGGUGGUAGAGGAUCUGGUAAUCAUAACUAUUUUACUGGAUUAGAUAAUGCUGGAAAUUUUGGAAAUAAUUACAGAAGUGGCUAUAGAAGAUCUGGUUUCUUUGGCAAUGGUUUUGGAAAUAAUCAUAGUAACCAGUUCAGAGGAUUUCAAAGUGAUAAUCAAAGGGGAUCAGGCUCAGGAAAUUGGAACAAUGAUGGGGGUGGUAACAAUAAUUCUAUCAGGCCUCAAAUGAAUCCAAAACCUCAGUGGAAUGCUUCUAAACCUACUUGUCAAAUCUGCUUCAAAACUGGUCAUACUGCAAAUGUGUGCUGGAAGCUUGAAGAAUUCUUUACCUCUGGUGCUUACAAACCUCCUCCAAACAAAAAUCCCAAAGCUACAUAUCUAGCUGAUAUGGAUGGUGCAGCUGAUCCCAACUGGUAUCUGGAUAGUGGAGCUACACACCAUCUUACCAAUGACAUGAGGAAUAUGACUAUGGCAGAAUCCUUUGCAGGUAACUCUAAACUCAUCAUUGGAAAUGGUACUGGUUUACACAUAACACAUGUUGGAAAUGCUGUGUUAAGAAUGCAUAACUCUUCUGCUCAUCAUACACUCAAAUUAAACAACAUGCUUCUUGUUCCACAAAUAUCCAAGAAUCUUAUUAGCAUAUCUCAGCUUACCAAAGAUAACAACAUUGUUAUUGAAUUUACUGAUAAAUCCUGUUUUGUGAAGGACAAGGUGAGGAAUUUGAUCAUACUGUAGGGCAAAGCUGAAAAAGGUUUAUACAGAUUGCUAUUGUUUCCCUCUAAUAAAGUCUCUUCUCAAUCAUGUCAAAGGUCUCUUGAAGCCACUCAAUCCAAAAUUUCAGAUGUUCCUCUGUUUAUGUUUUCAGUUGUUCAGUCAGUUGUCAAUAAUCAAACAAGUCCCUGCUUGCAUACUGCAGCAGAAUCUUGUAUCGGUCUAAAUUGUAUGCUGAGUGUUUCUGUUUUGCAUCAGAAACUUGGUCAUCCUAAUUCCAAAGUUUUAAGUCAUGUAAUAAACUCUUGUUCAGCUUUCAAGAAUUUAAAUGGAAGUAACUUUCUUGAUUCAUGUGAUGCAUGUAAAAUGGGAAAAAUGCAUAGAUUACACUUUCCAGUUUCUACUACCAAAACAAAGCAUGUAUUAGAAGUUUUGCACACUGAUUUAUGGGGACCUGCCCCUGUGCUUUCAGUUCAAGGUUAUAGAUAUUAUGAGUUUUGUGGAUGAUUUUUCGAGGUUCACAUGGAUAUUCCCAUUAAAAACCAAGGAUGAAACACUAGUUGUGUUUAAAAUCUUUAAGAAACAAAUUGAGAAAUAGCUAGAUAGAUCCAUUAAGUGCAUUCAAUCAGAUUGGGGUGGAGAGUAUAGAUCAUUUGUUAAUUUUCUUCAUGAGGAAGAUAUUCAAUUCAGGCACUCAUGUCCCUAUACUCACAAUCAGAAUGGCUUAGUUGAGAGAAAACAUAGACACAUAACCGACCUAGGUCUCACCUUACUUGCUCAAGCUACUUUGCCUCUCAAAUUUUGGUGGGAUUCCUUCCAUACAGCCACCUAUAUUAUCAAUAGACUUCCCACACCCAUACUAUCUAUGCAGUCACCUUAUGAAUGUGUCUUCAAAACCAAACCUGAUUACAAAUUUCUCAAGGUCUUUGGUUGUUCAUGCUUCCCUUUCUUAAGGGAUUAUAAUACUCACAAAUUUCAUUUUCAUACCUCAAAAUGUGUAUUUCUUGGUUACAGCCCUUUACAUAAGGGUUACAAGUGUAUGCAUUCUUCUGGAAAGAUUUUUAUAGCCAGUCAUGUGUUAUUUGAUGAAACUUCUUUUCCUUACACAUCAAAUUCACAAUUUUUAACUUCAUCAUCCAAACCCUCUGAUUUCCAUUACAGUCUUAUUCAAUCUUAUACUGUUUCACUUCCCAAUAGCAAUCAAGAAACCUGUGAAGCUAGCUCUGCAGAAGAUGAAGCUCCAUAUCAUCAUUUCAGUGAUCAUUCCUCACCUGACAGUCAUAAUACAACCUUUGAUGUUUCACCUUCUCAAAUACAUCUUCAACCCUCUACCAUAGCUACUUCACAAACACAACAGCCAUCAUCAUCUACUAUUCAAUCCACACAACCAUCCCAACAUUCUCUGCCAAAUCAUCCCAUGAUUACUAGAGCAAAAGCUGGUAUAUUCAAGCCUAAAGCAUUCUUAACAUCACAUAACAGCCUGGAACCAUCCACUGUUGAUGAAGCUUUGUCUGAUUCUAAGUGGAAAGCUGCAAUGCAAUUAGAGUUUGAUGCUUUAACCAGAAAUAAUACCUGGACUCUAGUACCUAUGACAUCUCAGCACAAGUUGGUUGGUUGUAAAUGGGUCUUUAGAACCAAGUACAAUACAGAUGGUACAGUUUCUAAACACAAAGCAAGAUUGGUGGCCAAGGGCUUUCACCAGACAGCAGGAGUGGAUUAUAAGGAAACUUUUAGUCCUGUGGUAAAGUCUUCUACAGUCAAAACUAUACUAAGUUUGGCAGUGAUGAAAUGUUGGAAAGUCAGGCAAAUCGAUAUAAAUAAUACUUUUCUUAAUGGAGAUAUUUCAGAGGAUAUAUACAUGACACAACCAGAGGGCUUCAUCACCAAAGAGGGCUAUGUCUGCAAACUUAGCAAGGCUCUUUAUGGCUUGAAGCAAGCUCCUAGAGCUUGGUAUGACAAACUCAAAUGGUGUCUUACAAGCUGGAAUUUCUUCAACUCCAAGGCUGAUACAUCCCUGUUCAUCAGACAUGACACAAGAGGUAUCAUUCUUGUUCUUAUCUAUGUGGAUGAUAUUCUCAUUACAGGACCAAUUCUUCCAUGUUGGAAACAUUCAUCACUAAAUUCAGUAAGGCUUUUGCCUUAAAAGAUUUGGGAUUGGUAUCCUAUUUUCUGGGUGUUGAGGUGUGUUAUACUGAUAGUGGGAUGCAUUUAUCACAAACAAAAUAUAUUAAAGAGCUCUUAAGUAGAGCUUCAAUGCAGAACUGUAAAGGUUUUGAUACACCUCUCAGCACAGGUCAAAAGUUAGAAAAGGUAGCAAAGGGCUGUUUGGGGAAAGAAUUUGAAGAUCCAACUCUCUAUAGAAGUAUUGUUGGAGGGCUCCAAUACUUGAUACUCACCAGACCUGAUAUUGCAUACUCAGUUCAUAAGCUCAUUCAAUAUCAGAGUGCUCCUACACUUCAGCAUUGGCUUGCUUGUAAGAAGGUACUUAGAUAUCUUCAAGCAACUGUCACUCAUGGAAUAUAUAUUCAAAAGGAAGGAGAGCUUGAAGUUACAGGUUUGAAUGGAUACUCAGAUGCAGAUUGGGUUUGUGAUACAGAUGAUAGAAAGCCCAUUGGAGCAUAUUGCAUCUAUCUUGGCAACAAUUUAAUUUCAUGGUCCUCUAAGAAACAAGCUAUAGUGGCCAAAUCCAGCACUGAAAGUGAGUAUAGAGCACUAUCAUCAGCAAGUUCAGAAAUCUCUUGGCUUGAAUCUCUAUUUUCUGAGCUCAACAUUGUAAAGCUGCCAACACCAGUGCUUUGGUGUGAUAAUCAGAGUGCUGGGGAAUUAGCCAAAAAUCCUGUGUUUCACUCCAGGUCUAAGCAUAUCGAGUUGGACAUUCAUUACAUUCGAGAUAAGGUACUUCAAAACCAAUUAGAAGUGAGAUACAUUCCUACAGAUGAACAAGUUGCUGAUGUCCUCACCAAAGCUUUAUCACUUCCAAAAUUCAGCUACUUCAGGUCCAAGCUCAAUGUCAUUAGCAGACCCUUGAGCUUGAGGGGGGAUGUUAAGGAAGUUAAGGAAGCUCAUAUUUGUAGUCAAGCAGAGGAUCACAGCAGCUUCUAUAAUCAGUUGCAAGUUGAUGACAUGUACUGCCAGCUGGCACCAGGUGGUUAUGUAGCUGCUUGUACUCAUACACGUGAUAAGUUUGUUAAUCAUUUUGUAAUUAGUUAGUUAGUUUUGUAACCUUCAGUUGAGAAGAAACACUUGUAUAUAUAUGCUUGUAAUCGUUCAGUAGCAUUUUAAGCUUGAGAAAAUAAAAGAAGAAAGUUUUCUAGAUCUCAGUUUAUUUUCUUAUUAGCCAAACACUCAUUUUCUGUUUUCUAACUGAUUUGGAGACGCUUCAGUUUUGGAAAGCCUUCUCUGUCUGAUCCAAAAAGAACAUUCUUCAUGUCCGGCAAUCCAUCUAAAGUUAGGUCUUCAAUACCCUUCAAUUUCAUGAUAUGCGCCCCGUUCAAGCAAAUGUUGGCACCACUGGCGAGCUUCAGUGUGAACGUUCUAGAAAUCCCAUCCGAUGGGCCAUACCGCCGCCGCCGAUCUCCUAUCAAUAUUCUGUACCUUUGCAGCAUUUUGAAGAACGACAAGUCACUUGGUAGAUUCAUUGCAUCCGGGAUGAGUAUUUCUAAAGAAGUCAAUUUAGAUAAAUGAUUCAACUCAUGAAGGCUGGCAUUUCUUCUUCUACUGUUGUUAGGUCCCAGUCAGAGACAGCCAAUGAUCACGCAUAACACAAGUGAUAUUUUUCUGCUUAUGGCGAGAAAGGACUAAAUAAUUGUUGUUUAGAAUUCUCAAUACUUUUAUUCAUAUUCUGGAGCUUAUUUAUAAUAACAAGACUUUGGUUUCCAUCCUACAAUUACGGCUAAAUAAACGAGUAUAACAACUUAGCUAAAAAUUCGAAACCGAAAGAUAAUCGAAAACAACUUCCGUGUCUUAGCUUCCCUCCUUACUCGCUGCACAAUUGUUGACAAGCGUAUUCCUAGAUCACGGCUCCAGCUCCAGCACGUAUCUUCACGAUCUCAGCACAUGCAUGUUUCAUGCAUGGCUUGCAUGGGACUCAUGCCCUUACGUAGCAAACUUAGGAUUUGGCUUUGGCAUUUCCAGAUCUUCGUGGCUCAUGCAUUUGCUGUCUAUCAUUACCCCAUCCUCGAAGAAUACCCUUGUCCUCAAGGGUCAGAUUGGGAAACUGUUGGUGCAGCAUUAUGGUGUCCUCCCAUGUUGCUUCUUCAGCCAACAUUUUUUUUCCAACGGACUAGAUUCUGCUCGAUCACUUUACCUCCUCUCUUCACCCAACGUGUGUCAAGGAUAGCUUCAGGGUCCAUGAUCACCAAGCCUUCAUCAUCCACAGGUGGUAAAUCGACGCCGUUGCUAAGGAAAUCACCCACAGCUUUCUUAAGCAAAGAGACGUGAAACACUGGGUGAAUUCGAGCAUUCUCUGGUAAUUGUAGUUCGUAGGCAACGGCUCCAACUUUGCGAAGAACUAAAUACGGCCCAAAGUACCUGCAAGUUAAUUUCUGAUGUGCCCUUCUGAACACUGAAGUCUGCCGAUAGGACUGCAACUUUAAUAACACCAUAUCUCCCUGUUUGAACUCAACGUCGCGGCGACCCUUGUCAGCUGUUUGCUUCAUCCUGUUAGCUGUUGUGGCUAAGUUUUUCUUUAAUUGUAAGAGCAGUUCAUCACGCGAAUGUAAGGCUUGAUCAACCUCAUGCACCGGCGAGGAACCAAGUUGAUACAUGGGCAUGGCUGGAGGUGGUCUUCCAUACAAAGCUUGGAAUGCAGUCAUUCCGGUGGAGACGUGGAAUGUGGUGUUGUACCAAAAUUCUGCCCACGGCAAAAAAGAAUGUCACUUUCGCAGCCACUGGUGAACAAAACAUCUCAAGUAUUGUUCCAAGCAUCGAUUAAUUACCUCCGUUUGGCCGUUGGUUUGCGGGUGGUAUGUGUUGAGUGUUAGAAAAUGCAUAUUUAUAAAGGAGAAAACCGUCAUUUUACAUUUCAAGUCUUACUAACAACCCUUACUUUUAUGUAUUUAACCUUCUUGUGAUUUAAUUACAUGUGUUUUAUUUUAAUUAAGUAUUUUAUGUAUUUUAGGGGCAUUAUAGUCAUUUCACAAUAAAGGAGAGAUUAGACGGCAAAACGGACAUCACUUUUGAACUCAGGACGGUCGAAAACCUUAGGAGGAGCAUAAAAGGAAAAAUGGAACUAUUCACAUGUACGGUACUAUUCACGUGUACGGGACUGUCUAUGUUACUGUUCACGACACUGUUCACAUAGACGGAUCGAUGACGUGGCAUUGACCGAUGAUGUGGCAUUGACUGAUGAGGUGUCACGAUCCUGUUGGGCUAAAAUUCUUAUGUACUGUUGAUGCUGACGUGGCAGCAUAUCAGUGGACGAAAAAUCUCGCGUACGGUACAUGCAUCACACAGGAUUAUUUUCAACCAAACUGCGUUACUGUUCAUCCGGGUCAAACCGUAUUACUGUUCAUCCACGUUGUCAAACCGCGUACUGUUGACUGAUGACGUGGUGCAAUCCUGAGCGUCCAAACUGUUUUUAAUCUGAUGGCCAUGAUUUACUCCAUGUAUCUAUAAAAAGGGGGCCUCUCCCCCUUAAUUUGAUAGCUCUGAAUCCAUUUUUGGGAUCCAUUUUCUAUAAUUCCCUCUCCAUCUUGUAUUUUCUACGUAUUUUAAUAAAUUCCCAUUUUGCCCCUAGUUCAAUUAUGAAUAGCUAAUUUUCUUUCAAGCUUGGGUUGAAGGUGAAGUCUCAACAUGUGUCAUGGGCUUAAUUUGGUAAAUUUAUUUUCUCUUCCCCUUUAGUUUUUGUGGAUGUUUUGACUUCUCGUCGACAAAUAAUAAUAAUCUUGUCUAGAUAUCGUCUUGGUUACACCGGCUCUCUAGUAUAAGGUUAUUAUUAUUUGGCACGAUAAGCCCUUAGCACCAUAUUGAUUAGAGUGUGGUUCAUAAGGUGUGGAUUCCCCCCUCAUGAUUUAAUUGGUAUUAAUAAGGAAUAUUUAGCCCAUGGUGCAUGUUGAUACGGAUCCAAAUACCCAAGUACGUCAUUUCAAUAGAUUUCUCUUCAAUUUAUUCUCGCCAUUUAAAUUCCAAUUUUAGAAUUUAUUCUCGCCAUUUUAAUUUAAGUUUUAGCAUAUUCCAAAUCAUUUCCAUCACAAAUCCAAUCACCCAUUUACAAAAUUAAUUCUACACACAAUUAAAAUCCACCUCCUCGUGGGAUCGACACUCGUCACCAUUGAUCUAUACUACAAUAGAUUCGUGCGCUUGCGAGUACAUUAAAAUUUGCACAACAGUAUGGUGAGCUCAUUUUGAGUUUGGUGCCUGAUAAAUUAAAGAACUCUUGCCAAAAUUUGCUGAUGAAUAUGGGGUCACGAUCGCUGAUGAUUGACUUGGGCAUACCGUGCAGCCUCACUACUCCUUCACUUUCUUCUCGAACUGGCCGCGGUGAACCAAUGGUUUCGUUGGUGCCGUGGCUAGUGGUGUCUUUGGAUGCAUUGAAAGUUUCUGCUAAUUUGCUAAUGGUGUCUUCUAAUCGCUGAAGCUUGUCAUUGAUCCCAAUCUCCAUGCGUUCCAUUCGGCUCUCCAUGCUUUUCAGAUCAGCUUCAAUUCGCUCAAUACGUUCUUUGUUGGUCAUCAUUGUUAACCCGCUCUGAUACCAAUGUUAGGUCCCAGUCAGAGACAGCCAAUGAUCAUGCGUAACACAAGUGAUAUUUUUCUGCUUAUGACGAAAAAGGACCAAAUAAUUGUUGUUUAGAAUUCUCAAUACUUUUAUUCAUAUUCUGGAGCUUAUUUAUAAUAACAAGACUUUGGUUUCCAUCCUACAAUUACGGCUAAAUAAACGAGUAUAACAACUUAGCUAAAAAUUCGAAACCGAAAGAUAAUCGAAAACAACUUCCGUGUCUUAGCUUCCCUCCUUACUCGCUGCACAAUUGUUGAUAAGCGUAUUCCUAGAUCACGGCUCCAGCUCCAGCACGUAUCUUCACGAUCUCAGCACAUGCAUGUUUCAUGCAUGGCUUGCAUGGGACUCAUGCCCUCACGUAGCAAACUUAGGAUUUGGCUUUGGCAUUUCCAGAUCUCCGUGGCUCAUGCAUUUGCUGUCUAUCAGUUGGUCCUUUCACGCUUCCCCCACUCAAUGGGACUCUCACCAAUGUACAAUUCUUCUAAUCGUGAUAAGCUUGAUAUGACAUUUGGUGGAAUAACUUUUAGAUUGAAACAGUUGCUCAGAUCCAACAACCUCAACUGAGUCAGCCGGCCUAUUUCUUCAACCAGUUUCUGCAUAUUAGAACCUCGAAGUGUAAGGAUUUCUAAUUUCUUUAGAUCUCUAAUAAUAGCGAUGUCUCCGAGUUGGCAAUCAUCGAGAGACAAUGUUUGAAGGUUUUGUAAGAGACCAAGCGAUGGAGGCAAAGGCAACAAAUGCAUCGUAGUGAAAUCUAAAACUCUAAGCCCUGUCAUCCCAGUAAAAAGGUUAUCUGGGAUUCUCAAAGAUGGAACAUUAUCAAUGGUGAGGUAUUUAAGUUGCGGACAUUCAAAAUCUUGAGGAAACUCACUAAUAUUACACCUACAUAAGGAAAUAACUUUGCAAACCUUCAGUCUCUCCUUAUCUGGCCAGCUGGUCAGCGGAAUAACCUCGUUUUCCACCGCAAACACAUGUUGGUCUCUAGAUGCAAUUGAUAUGGCUACAUCACGAACAACAUCAUGCAUAGAAAACCAUUCACUUGUAUUGCCAUCAAGCAACAAACAAGAUUUUUUGAGUUUUUCAACCAAUUCAUGUGCUCUAUCCCGCGCCUCUUCCAACGUGUUGAUGUUUUGAAACAGACCCAAACCCAUUCCAUAAAAGAGCACGUCUUCAACGCAAGAGAUGAAGGCGUACCUUAUUAGCAAAAAUGUACUCUUGAGCUCCUCCCCGUUUAAAUGACUGUAACUUAGCUCUAUACUUUUAUAUGCCACCUCCAGUGUUCCACUGAAGUUCCUCAAGGAAGGCCUUCUUAAUUCUAGCAAAGCAUCAUUCCAUUCACACAAUCUCUUAUUUCUCAAUGCCCUUGCUACGGGUACAAUGGCAAUGGGCAAACCAGCACAUUCCUUGACUAUAUCUUUUGCUACCGAUCUCAAUUCAUCAUUUUCUAUGCAAUCACCUGUCGUCUUCGUAAAAAGACUACAAGCUUCUCCUCCAUUCAAAACAUCAACACGAAAAUUCUGUUGACAAUCAAUCUUACAGGACAACACAUCUACACUUCUUGAUGUCAGCAGAACUUUACGUCCGCUGUUAUCAUCUGCCAAUGGAAUUCCAAUCGCCUCCAAAUCAAGACUCCCCCAAAUAUCAUCCAAGAUUAUAAGGAUCUUCUUCUCUACUUUCAAUCGUUCAUAUAGCCUCCCUGCUCUUACAGUUUCAGUCUCUUUAACUAAUCGCAAGCCCAUCUUCUCUGCAAUUUCUUCACCAGCGUCGUCUUUCCAACCCCACCCAUCCCGUAGACCCCAAUCAUGUUGAAUUUACGGUUGCUGAGUGCGUCUAGUAUCUCCUUCAAAGUGCACUUCCUCGAUUGAAAGUGCACGAAACCCUGGGUAGACUUAAGCCAUGGCUCUUCUGGAAUGGUUCGAAAAGAAACACUGUCCAAUCUCCCUUUUUCAAGGAGUUCAACAAUAGCAUUCACCUCCCUCACUGCUUUCUUGCUAAGCUGGUACCGAGUCUUCAAAUCAGGGCAUAACCCCUUCAAACACCGGUUGUUUGAAUUCUCUUUGUAUCCAAUAAGUUCUCCGACUUCAUUGAUGAGCCUGUGCGCACUAAUCAGCCACUCCGCAACUUUCGGUAGAAUUCCAUCCCCAUUAUUUCUGGAAUCAUCAACUUUAUGCUGCACACUGUCUCUAGCAUUCUUUAGGUUACCAACUUCAUUCUUCAGCUUCUCGAAGUUGGUCUUGUAGCUGCGGCAGUAAGUAAAUGGGUGAAAAAUGGGACCAACCAAGUUCUUUGAAGCUUUUGUAACAAUGGAGAUAACAAUUUCCAUUAUCCUUUUUUUUCCCCCCGCUUUCAGAAAACAGGGAAAAGCAAAACUAAUCAAACUAAGCAGAGCUAAUCAAUCGGCUGGGAAUUUGGAUAAAUUGCUGAAAUAAGAAGUUGUCCGAAUGAAAUUGAUGAAACAAAUAUUUAAGGGAGAAGGAGGGGAAAGGAGUGAAAAAUCUAGAGAUGAAGCGAAGAGGAGACAAAUUAAAAAGUGAGUGCAAUGAAAGAUUUGCAAAGAAGGUAUGGGAGGACAAGGAUGAUUCAGACAAGGGAAACAGAAUAUGAAGAAAGGGAUUUCAGAGAACUCUAAAGAUUAGGGAAGAAUGAUGAUUAGGAAAAUGAAGAGGCAGACAGUUGUGAUCUCGAGACUCAAGGGGUAAACUGAAUCAUGCAAAAAUGCCAAACUAAAUUCAUACAAGGAGAAGACUCGUGCUUCCAAGUCAACUAGAUUCUCCAUAAGUAAAUAGCGUUAAAGUCGCAGGUUAAAUGCUAAAUGGCAUUUUGGCAUUUCGUUGAAUUUUCUUGUUACCAGUAAGUGCUGUGCUGCCGACAUUUUUCAACUUGUAAUUGUAAGACUUUCCAAGCAAUUUUUGUGGUAGUUUUAAUUAAUUUUAAUUGUAUAUCAAAUAUUUUAUUACUGUAAUUUAAAAAUCACAAUUGAUAAACAACAAUAGUAGAGAGAACGUUAAAUAGUUUGAGAAUGAUUUUUUAUUUAGGGCAUGUUUGUGAUUGCUUUACGAACAAUCAAAAUGCUAAUUCUAUUAGCCAAUAAACACAAGCGCUUUGUCAAGAACAUUACGCGAAGAACCCUUUAUAUAAAUAGCAAUCAUGUAAUUACGGAAGGCUUAUCCUAAUUACAUUUUAGUUACAUUCAAUAACAAAUUAACAACAAUAUUACUUAAAAAUUUUCGUUUGGCAAUGAGUAUAUUGGAGGUAGCAUAAAAAAAUCUGAAAACUUUGCAAACUUUUUAUGAAAAUGCAUUAGAGUUGUUAUGUUCUUUCACUGUUGAUAAUGGAAAUAUAAUGCAGGCCAAGAGACCCAAAGUGAAAGUGACCCAUGUGCUUUUCUAAUUACUCUGCUAUAAAGCCAAAGUUUGCGGACUUUAUGAUUUUUUUUUUCAGAAAUAGAUAUGCAAAUAAAUUGAAAAGAAAAAAAAAAACCCUGUUGCGUGGUCAUGUGGGUCCUCGAAAUCAUUUCGGCAUUUAAUCGAACAGUUGGAUGUACUCGGCAAGACGGCAACUAUACUUCCUCGAAGGUUCCUGGAUGUUGCAAGUGCUGCCGGCAUUUUCAAACUCGGAAGGUUUCAAUAAUUUUUUUUCUUUGAAAUAAAGGUUUCAAUAAUUAGCUUUGAUUAUUGUGUAAUAUACGAUAAUCUAGUGAUGAUGGUCACUUAUAUAUGUGAUUAAAAGCUAAGCUGGUUGAUUUGUAAGUAAGAACACACGGCAAAGUAUUUGAGCAAGCAUUUUUAUCUUCUUAUUACCACAUUCUUCUAACCAAUUUGCUUUCACCAACAAAAUAAUUAAUAAUUUGUAAAUAGUUGGAUCUUAAGCUCAGAUUUUGACAAUACAUGAAUGAUAAUAUAUACUUAUUUUCCAAGAGUAUACUCUAUUCAAGAGAGGAUCUCAAAUUUUUAUUAGAGAAGAUCAUAUUUAAAGCUCAAGUGCAAGAAUAAUAAUGGUUGCGUUGACUGGAGAACAUCAAAUACAAACAAAGACCAUGCUAAAGGAAAAGCAAAAGCUGGCGAGAUUGAUAAAGAAAGACUAAUAAAGCUUUCCUUUCAGCAUUAAUCAUGAUUAUUGGAUGAACUAGAGGUGAUCACUGUUUUAUAUUUUUAGUGCAAAAUAGAAUACACUGCAAGAGCUGAUGGCUUUCUUUGUUGUCCUCUUAUUGUCACGUAUUUUGUAGCUUUCUCAUUUUGAUUAGUUGUUCGCUCAAUAACCUAAAUGGGUCAGGGUUUUGAUGAAUUGAAAUUGACAUCAUUUCUGUUAAGAGUAGUUUGUUAUAGUUAGUUAUAGCUGCUGACUUAUGCUGACGUGUUAGAUGAGCUAAUAAUUGUUAGUUAUAUUGGUUGUAGUUUGUUAGUAAUCUUUUAGCACAUGUAUAAGCUAAGCUCAGCUCGCGUGAAUUGAUUCCAGAAUAUUCAAGAGCUUAGUAUAAAUACUCUUGUAACAAAUACAACAAUUAAUUCUAAGCUCUCCAUUCUUCUUUCAAACUUUCUUUCGUUUUCUCUGUUUUUCUCAGAUGCUAAACACUUUUCUUAUAUUUUAACUUGGUAUCAGAGCUUCAAUCUUCAAUUCUCAUGGCAUCAUCAAGCUCAAACUCAAACACAAACUCAAUUAUUUCAUCAUUUACUUUCAUCUCACCGAUCAAACUUGAUCGUUCAAAUUAAACAAUCUGGAAGUCUCAAAUUCUUUCAUUUGUUCAAGCCAAUGGUCUAGAAGAUUUGCUUGAUGGAUAAAAAACCUAUCCAGAUCAAUUUCUUCAAGGUGAAACUGAAAACGCCUCUGCUAAUACUCAGCUAAAUCCAGCAUAUACUACAUGAGAGGGAAAGGGUCAGUUGCUACUGAACUGGUUGAUGUCAUCUAUCAGUAUUGAGAUUCUGAGUCUUGUAGUAAACUCUGAAACUUCUCUAGAACUUUGGACUAGUUUGGAACAACAGUUUGGAUUUGAAACUUUUGCUAAGAAAAUUCAUCUAAAAAAUGAUGCUUAAUAACCUUAAAAAAAGUUCGAUGACAGUCACUGAAUUUUUUGGCAAGUUAAAAACAAUUACUGAUGAGUUAGUCAUUACUGGUAAUCCAAUAAGUUCUCUGGACUUUCUUACACACCUGAUUUCUGGAUUAGGUCAGCCUUAUUAUCCUGUUGUAGUUUAUCUUGAAGCAAAUCUUGUUAAGAUCUCUAUCAAUGAGGCAUAUUCUAUGUUAUUAACUCAUGAAGUUAGUCUAUAGGCAAAUCAGUUAAGUGCAAGCAAGGAAGUUAAGUUGAACUAUACUGCAAAUAUUGCUCAAACUGGAUCUAGAUCUAAUAAUAACAAGAAACAAGGUGGUCAAUUCAAUAACAAUUGGACUGGUGGUCAAUUUAACAAUAAUUGGAACAAGAAUGCUAGCUUUAGAGGUGGAUAUGCUGGAGGCAAAGGUGGUUAUGGUAGAAAUUUUUCACAAGGAUAACGAAGAGGAAACUGGAAUGGUGUGCCAUUUGGAAAUUUUUCACAAGGAGGCAAAGGAAGUAAUUACAAUGGCAAUCCUAGUCAAAAUGAGGGAUUUACUAGUGGAUUUACUAAUGGCACAGGUGUUAUGGAUCAGGCUACUGCCACUGUAAUUUGCCAGAUUUGCUUUAAACCUAAGCGCACUGCAGCUGAGUGCAGAAACUGAUUCAACAAGGAUUAUGUUCCUUUCAACAAUCCAUUUCAGAACUCAUCAAGAAUUGCCCAUCUUACAACUUCAGAAGGGGCAAUAGCUGAUCAAGGAUGGUAUAUCGAUAGUGGUGCCACAUAUCACAUCACUAACAACUUACAAAAUCUACAAAUUGGAAGUGAGUAUUCAGGUAAUCAGCUGCUCCUUGUAGGUAAUAGUCAGGGUUUACAUAUUUCACAUAUUGGCUAUGCAUAUCUUCAAACAUCAUGCAAUACAACUUUAUACUUAAGAGAUACUUUGUGUGCUCCUAAACUUACUAAAAAUCUCAUAAGUGUUUCGAAAUUGCUUGAAGAUAACAUUGAUGUAACCAUUGAGUUUGUUGCCAAUAUGUGUUUUAUAAAAGAUAAGAGGAAGGAACGACAUCUGGCUCAAGGGAUUGCUAGAGGAGGAUUGUAUCUGUUGUUGUCAAAGAAUGACUUUGUUUCGAAUUCUAGUUGUCUCACUUAUGCACCUAGCUCUAUGCUUUCUGUUUUGAAUAAUUCAGCUUGUAAAAUUUUUGAUACUGCUACAAAUAAAGUUUGUAAUCCACAAUGUCAAAUGAACACAACCAAGAUAACAAACUUGUUUCAUCAGAAAUUUGGUCAUCCUAAUAAACAUGUGUUGAAAUCCAUUUUAUCUUCUCUUUCUAUUGAGUACUCAUCUAUAUCAGCACCUGAUUUUUGUGAUGCCUGUCAAUAUGGUAAAGUCCCUCAAAUGCCCUUUUACACAACUAGAAUCAUAACUAAAGCUCCUUUAGAGCUUAUCCACACUAAUCUUUGGGGUCCAACACCCUUACCAUCUCUACAUGGCUAUAGUUAUUACAUUAGCUUUGUAGAUGACCAUAGUAGAUAUUGCUGGAUUUUUCCAUUGACCCUCAAAUUAGAAGCAUUAGGCACUUUCAAAUUCUUCAAAACCUUAGUCAAAAAAUAGUUUGGCUACACUCUAAAAUCACUGCAGUCUAAUUGAGGGGGUGAGUAUAGAAGCUCUCAAAGUUUCCUUGAAGAAGAAGGGAUAAGGUUUAGACAUAGUUGUCCUCACACACACCAUCAAAAUGGUGUGGUUGAAAGAAAACAUAGACACUUGGUUCAAACAGGACUUACCCUUCUGACACAAGCCAAAAUGCCUCUGUCUUUCUGGUGAGAAUCAUUCCAUACAGCUUCCUUGUUAACAUAUAUGUUUCCAUAAUGUUGAUUUUGAUGAUAACAAAUAAGAUUAAGAGUGAUAAAUCUUUUAAGCUCAAAUUAUUUUUUAUACAUUUUAAAUAAAUCAUUAUUUUUACAUUAUAAAGGUUUUAUAUUUAAUGGAAAAAUGAUUUUAUGAAAUUGAUUGUUUUUAUUCUUUUUAAAUAAAUCAUUAUUUUUGCAUUAUAAAUGUUUCAUAUUUAAUGGAAAAAUGAUUUUAUGAAAUUGGUUGUUUUUCAAAGUUUAUGGUUUAAUUGAAAGAAUUUUGAAAACUUUGAAAUAAACAAGUAUUGCUUGAAAUUUUAGAGAAGGACUUAUUUGAAAAGUAUCAUAGCAUUUUGGGCUAUACCAUAAUUUCAAAAAAUUUUGGGAUUAACAAAGCAUUAUUUAGAAAUUCUGGAAUCGGACCUAUUUACAAAGUUUUAUAAUAUUUUGGGUCGUAAUACAGUUUUAUAAAGUUUUGGGGUCAAACUAUAAAUUUGGGAAAUAUUUCACUGUAGCAGUUACUGUAGUAGCUACUGUAGAAAACGGCGAUCCGACAUCUUGAUAACGGCUCGCCGAUAUCUAACAGAGUUGAAGAUUAGCCUCUGGACCUAAACGGCGAUCCGACAAUUGUGAUAAACGGCUCGCCGAUAUUUAACAGAACUGAAGAUCAGCCUCUGGACCUAAACGGCGAUCCGACAUCUAGAAUAAACGGCGAUCCGACAAUUUGAAAAAUCAGCCCAACGGUCAUAUUGACCAGUCAAACGGCGAUCCGACAGUGUGCAGACAGUCUAUAACGGCUAGUUUUCAGCUGCAGCUAUAAAUAAGCUCAUUCAAAUUCAAACAAAGGUUAAUCACAACACGACUAUUGAGCUUAUAUCCGAGAAUACAAUCUUCAUAGAGCUUUAAACACAUUCUCUCUUCAUCUAUUCACAUAUUGGGCAUUGAUUUGUAAUCUUAAAUAUUGUGUGAGAGAAAAACAAUUUGUAAUCUUUUACUUUGAGUGAUUGUAAGUGUUGGGAUACACUUGGGUUAAGAGAUUGGGGAUAAUCUCUUGUUGUAAAGGUCCAUUGACACCUUGGAAGUCAAUUGUAAGCGUUUGAAGCCUUGGGAGGCUAGCUUAGUGAAAUCCUCAAGCCCGGUGAGCUUGGAGGCGUGGACGUAGGCGGGGAUUGCCGAACCACGUAAAAAUCCUUGAGUUUGCUUUCUCUUCCCUUGCUCAUUUAUUAUUGUGCUUUCAUUGAAUUUAUUGUUUUCAAAUUUAUUAAGGCAUUAGAUUGGAUUGUUGUGUGGUUUGCUUAGCUUAAUUUUUAAAUCCCAAUUCACCCUCCCUCUUGGGUUGCCUAGUUAGUAUUUCAUUUGGUAUCAGAGCGAGGUGCUCUUGUGUAGACUUAACGUCUAGAGUCAAAGAUCCAUAGCAACCCAAAUUAGCUCAACCAUCAUGGAAGGCCAAUCUAUCACUAGACCUCCAUUUUUCGACGGAAAUGAUUAUCCUUAUUGGAAAACUAGGAUGAGAAUUUAUUUACAAGCUUUAGAUUAUGAAAUUUGGGAAGUUGUUUGUGAUGAUUUACUCAUUCCUAGAAAGAAUGCUUUAAGUGAGUUGGAUAAGAAAAAGAUGUCUUUAAAUUCCAAGGCUAUGAAUGCUUUAUUUUGUGCCUUAGAUAAAAAGGAAUUUCAUAGAGUUUCAAAUUGUUCUAAUGCUUAUGAAAUUUGGAGAAAACUUGAAAUUGUGUAUGAGGAGACUACAAACGAGGAGAAUUUUCAUGAAGUGUCAAAUUUGGCACUUAUGGCAAUUGGAGAUGAAUCGGAUGAUGACCCAUGUGCUUUUCUAAUUACCCUGCUGAAAACUAUAAAGCCAAAGUUUGCAGAUUUUAUUAUCAAUUUUUUUUUUCAAAAUAGAUAUGCAAAUAAAAAGACAAAAGAUGAGACUUAUUAUAGUACCAGUGGCGGGCCCCCUGGGUCCUCAACUUCUUCAAAUGGGCAUUUUAAUAUAUUUACAUAUAAAUAAAUGAAUAUCUUAUGUAAUAUUCACUCCAUCAAGCAUGAAGUAUAUAAUUAAUUGAAUGUACAAGCAUCGGCAUUAGUUGACAGGAAAAGAGCUCGUUAAUAAAUUAUAUGAGUGAUAAUACUACUUGAAUCAAACUCACGUCCAAAGUUGGGACUCGCCUAUUGUGCAACAGUGGCACCAUGCCACCGUUUUUGUCUUUUUCUGUGUAAAAUUUCAUGAAGCCCUUUCACUUAUUCUUAUUUGAACUUUGCUUCACAAAUAUUAAGUUCAUUUCUCCCAAACUCGUGAAUCCUUCAACGGCCGAUCAACGGCAAAUCGGCUCCUCCAAUGGCUGUGGUUGGUCAGAAAAGACAAAGGGAACUGUGGAGAACAAAACCCAAGUGGUGGUGUCACCGGAAACCGGAGAAACCGCAGUGAAUUGAAGCGGGGAUUCUGUGACUUUUUGCGGCUUUGAUCAACAGCUUUCCGAAUGCUUUACGGCAACAAGGAUGGCAUGAAGAUGACCAGCGUCGCACGAGCUUCCGAUCGGUACCAACCUUGGCUGGUGGAGUAGGCAGAAACGUAAAAAAAAUUUGGGUCGGGUUCACGAGUCAGGUUGACUCAGUUAUUUUUGCGACAAGGAUGGUGUGGAGAUGACCGGCAUCGCAUGAUCUUCCGAUCGGUACCAACCUUGGCCGGUGGCAUGGACGAAAAUGGAAACGAAAUUCGGGUCGGGUUCGUGGGUAUUUGUGAUAAAGAGAGGGGUAUUGUGAUAAAAGGUGCAAUAUAGAAGGAAAAUGUAUAAAUAGGAAAUAGUAUAAGGUGCUAAUUAUAAUGUUUAUAUGGAUGCAAUAGAAAUUAAUUUAAUAUUUAUGAGGUAAAGUUUAAAUAAAAAUGAAUGAAAGUGGUUCAAUGAAAUUUUACAACAAUGCUGGCACAAAAGACAAAACCAGUGGUACGGUACCACGGUGGUACCGUAGCUGGAUCCCCAAAGUUGAUAAGAGUUAAAUUAAAUAAAGCUUUGAUGAUUUAAUGUGCAUAAAAUUAUAAAUUUAUAAUCAUCAAAUGGAUCCACCUAUGUCACAAUAGUUGCACCAUACCACACUUUUUGUCUCUAUUUCGCAGAGCCGUAAGAUGUUUUAUUGUUCAAUCUAACUAUUGAUGCCAAAAUCGGCUCGUCCUUGGACCGACCAGAUUCGUUCACCAACGUUUAAGUUAUCCACUGCUGCACGAACCGCUAAGGCUGGAAUUACCCUCCUUUCUCUCACUAGACCUGCGUUCACCAAAAACAGAUCAGAGACGCCGGUGGUUUUGCCGGCGUAAACCCUCCGAUGCCUAAGUUAGCACAAGGUGUUUACGGGAAAACAGUUAAAUUUUGAUUCAACAGUGGUUCUAAUUUGUUCGAAGUUUGUAAUAAAAUUGUCUGGUUUCAAUUUGGCAGCGUUUUCCCUCUCCCAGUUUUGUUAUCUCCAUCUUCAUCGAUUUCUUCUUCUUUUAUAGCUGCUGUUUGUCCCACGUCUUCCGCUUACCCUCUAUCCCCCCUUUUCUCGGGUUGUGGCAGCCCCUCAUGGGGCUCUGACUGUUGCAUUGUGGCAAACGUGGGAUCUUAUGUGUCCUUCAACGGUUCCGGGAAAGGCGCAGCAGCCGCGAUUCUGUGGGAUCGUGUUCCCGCUUUUCUGGGGAGUGUGUAUCGGUUCGGUAUUAACAUCUGGUCGGCAUACGCUCCCGUGCUCUGCUCGUACCCACGGCUGAGGUGAUCCAUGCCGGGGUGGAGGUAGUAGCAUGGUCGACCUGGUGCUUUUAUUAACUUAACACCAGUCCCCCAGUUUCUGGUCUUGCGAGUGAAAUGAGUUAGGAGUAGAAACUGAUAGUCAAAUCUUACCAACCUGGGGAGCGUCUCGCCUGGUCUUCCGCUUACCAGGACAGAUCUCAGGUACCAUUUUCCUUCUAGGGAGAUUCCGACCUGAGCAUGGGCCUAAAUGAGCCUGUCCGUUGCAUAUCUGGGCUUUCAUCUAACCCGGUCUCUUGUAACGGUUGGUGACGUGGUGCUUCCCGACUCUUCGUAUUUGAAAUUUGAAACGACGGGCUAUCCGUCCUCGAUAUAUGGGGGGGUGAGCUGGCAUAUCCCAUCACUUAAAUGCUUCCAUUUCCCCCUUUUCGUUUUAAAUCCCUAGACUGGAGUCUUCACCAUCUUGUUACUCGUUUCUCCGCCGUUAACCAAAUUUUCUCUGAACUUUGCUCACACUUCCAGCGUCCGGAGUAUCCAUUUGCUGGGUGUUUUCUCUGUUACGGCAGCGCUAUCAGUGUCAGUCUAUUCCAGGUAUAGCCUUUAACCUUUUCUUCGGCUGUUGUUGAUUGGGUUCUGUGUUGCCCCUUUGUGUCCAUAUACUCGAGUUUUCUCUGUUUUCUUUUGGGAUUCCGGUAUGUCAAAUCGGAAGAGGAAGUUAAUUGUUGAUGAGGGUGAUGACGAAUCAGGGGAUUCAGGCCUCAACGUGCCAAUACCCACCGAUUUUUUAGGUCCCUCCAGUAGUGUAGGUCCUCCCCAUGGUAGGGAUACCCUUGAUUACCUACGCCCCCUGGUUGUCUCUCCCUCUCCCGAAUUAGAGCUUGUAGGAAAUAGGGGUGGACCUGCGUCGGGCUCUGGUGAGAACCACAGCUUUGGUGGGGUUGGGAUCCCUGAAGGAGUUGGUGAUGGUGAGGGGGAGCAGUUCCGGACCGAGCAGACCUGCUCAGAAAAGGAACCUAGGCCAUAGGGUGGAGGUUGAUUCCUACCCUAUUGAUUUCAUGGCUUGUGCCACCACCCCCACCGAUCUAUUUAAACUUAGGAAUCUCUACAACAUCCCCAACGAGGUUCUUCUUGUAGUUCCUGGAAAAGGUGAUGUCCCUAGUCGGCCUCCGAAAGGGUAUGUGACGAUGCACUUGGAGAGUUUCAGACUAGGAGCUCGGCUGCCCCUUCAACCUUACUUUGCCAAGAUACUGGGCGGUAUGCACCUGGCCCCAGGUCAGCUACACCCAAAUGGGUGGAGGGUUCUCUCGGCAAUGUUUGUGUUGUGGGAGAGGUGCGGGUCGGAGGAGCCUUCUCUUGUUGAAGUGAAACAUCUGUACCAGUUGCGGAGUAGCCCGAAAGAGGCAGGCUGGUACUAUUUCAUGUCCAGUUCCGCAAAGAGGAAACCGAUCACUGGGUUUCCAUCUUCAUGUAAAAAUUGGAAGAAUAAAUUCUUCUUUGCUGGAGGGAACUGGUGUCCAGCGGUUCGGUCGCUUGGUGGGGAGAUUUAUCUUCCCACCCAUUUUGUCACCCCAGGUCGUUCAUUUUUUGCCUAUAUUCUUUCUCAAAUUGACACUCAUUGGGUUCUUUAACCUUGUUUGUUUUUUCAGAAUCGUGGGGUUUGGUGAAGGACCUUGAAGACCGACCUUUGCUUCAGGUGGAAACUGCUCUGUUGAACGCGUCUACUUGCCAAGACCUCCUGUCGCCAACAAACUUGGUCGGUUCCCGCUUAGUCGAUAUUGCCGCUGGAAUGGAUAACAAGAUCCUCAGCGCGUUGAGCAGAAAGCGUGGUCGGGCUCCGAGUAGCUCCAGCAACCCUCCUCCUCCUCCAAAGAAACCCAGCGUCGGUCCUUCCAAGGUGCCAGUUCCUGCUCUGCCCCCUCCUCCACCUCGUAAGAGUGGUGGGGAUAAAACCUCCGACAAGAGUCCUGAGGUCAGCUUGCAGUCUGGGGACCGCUCUUCUCCUCUUCCAUCUCGGGAUCAGGGUGACUACCUAAGCCCAUAUCAGAAGGAUUAUAGAAAAUCGGUUGGGCCCAAGAUGGUGAAGGACAUCGAGAGCAUGAGCCUCUCCGAGUUAACUGCUUCUGUUCAAAGAGUCUCCUUCAGGCUGGCCACAAUGGUCUCGUGCUACAAGACCGGGUCCGCGCGUCAUGAGAGGAAGCUUCAAGCUGAUAACCAGGAGUUGAAAAAGAAAGUUGAAUCUGCUGACCGCUCCAAGGAGAAACUGGCCGAGCUGAACAAGCAGCUUACGGAGCUUGAGGAGAAAGUUGCUGUUGCUGAGUCCACUUCCUCCAAGCUUGAGGGUGAGUUGGGUGAUCUGAAGUCCGAUCUUCAGGCUACCCAAAGUGAAAAGGAUACUCUGAGGAUCGCCCUUGAAGGAGAGAUCAACUUCCUGAAGGACAGCUGGCUGAGGAGAAAAGCAAAUCCGCUGACGUGGAUGAUCGGCUGGAUGCCGAGUAUGACUCCGGGGUUGCUUUCAGCUAUAAGUGCAUCAUGUCUGUGCUUAAGGAAGAAUACCACGAGCUCGACAUGAGCAAGCUGGAAUCUGGGGUGGAGAGGUAUAUGGCUGGGGCCGGCCAGGGAGAUAAGGAGCAGGUGGAGGUUCCUUUUGAUGAGGUGCGGGAGGGAGGAGCUGGUCAGUGUGUUUUUUAAGUGGGACAAGGGUCUGUGCCUCCUCCUCCCGUUAUUGCUGAUCUUCCACCUCCCGAGAUAGCCGACCCUUCUCCUACUGAGGCCGUUGACCUUCCUAAUCCUUAGGUCUAUUUUUGUAAAAACUCUAGAUUGUUAUUCGCUUUGUAAACAUUUGAACAUUUAUAAAUUUUUAAAUGCUCUCUAUUGGCUUUCUUGUCUGGUUUUGCUCACGGGUUGCUUCUGCAAAACAACUUGGCAAUUUAUCUGAUUUUGCCUGUUGGUUCUUUAGUGCAUUGAGCAGGAAUAGGCAUCCGUUUGCCUUAGCGAAAUUUUCGCAAAAUUGCCUGCUGGUCUUCGGUGACCGAGCAGGAUUGGACACUUAUUUGCCUUAGUAGAAUUGUCGUAAAUUUAACUGCUGCUUUUCGUUGACCGAGUAGAGGUAGGCACUUGCCUUAGUAGAGUUUUCGUAGCUUUAGCUGCUGAUCUUUUACUUCACCGAGCAGAAGUAGGCACCGAUUUGCCUUAGUAGAAUUUUCGUAGCUUUAGCUGCUGGUCUUACGUUGACCGAGCAGAAGUAGGCACUGAUUUGCCUUAGUAGAAUUUUCGUAGCUUUAGCUGCUGGUCUUACGUUGACCGAGCAGAAGUAGGCACUGAUUUGCCUUAAUAGAAUUUUCGUAGCUUUAGCUGCUGGUCUUACGUUGACCGAGCAGAAGUAGGCACUUAUUUGCCUUAGUAGAAUUUCCGUAGCUUAAGCUGCUGGUCUUUCGUUGACCGAGCAGAAGUAGGCACUGAUUUGCCUUAGUAGAAUUUCCGUAGCUUAAGCUGCUGGUCUUUCGUUGACCGAGCAGAAGUAGGCACUGAUUUGCCUUAGUAGAAUUUUCGUAGCUUUAGCUGCUGGUCUUUCGUUGACCGAGCAGAAGUAGGCACUGAUUUGCCUUAGUAGAAUUUUGGUAGCUUUAGCUGCUGGUCUUUCGUUGACCGAGCAGAAGUAGGCACUGAUUUGCCUUAGUGAACUUUCAAGAAUUUAGCUGCUGGUCUUUCGUUGACCGAGCAGAAGCAGGCACUGAUUUGCCUUAGUGAACUUUCAAGAAUUUAGCUGCUGGUCUUUCGUUGACCGAGCAGAAGCAGGCACUUGCCUUAGUGAAAUUUUUAUUGAUCUUGCUAGCAGGGGGAUUUCAUGUUGAAUUCAUCUUUAUUGAAAUUUGAAUGUAUUACAAAAAACAUAGAAUAUAUGCAUGUGCGACAGGCCAUCGGGCAUUGUAACAGAAAUAACUUGCCAGAGUGAGGAUUUAAUAGAGCAUUUUGCUUACUGGAAAUACUUCUUCAGGUGUUCGGCGUUCCAUGACCUCUUCACGUCUCGUCCGUCUUGGCACGCUAAUUUAUAUGCUCCUGGUCCAGUGGCUCGUAUCACUCGGUAUGGGCCUUCCCACUUUGGGCCAAGAGCGCCAUGGUUAGGAUUCCUGGUGUUCUGGUUCACCUUCCUAAGUACCCAAUCUCAUGCUCGGAACUGCCUCACGCGUAAAUUCUUGUUGUAAUAACGCAUGACCCUUUGCUGACAUUGGGCCACUUUCUGCGAGGCCUCUUCCCUUUUCUCCUCCAGCAGGUCUAGGCUUAAGCAGAUCUGCUCGUCAUUUUGCUCCUCAACGAAAUGUUCUGUUCGAUGUGUCCCCACUCCAAUUUCCGCUGGGGCUACCGCCUCAUGACCAAAAGCUAAAGCAAACAGGUUUCCCCUGUGGCGGUUUUGUGGGUUGUCCGAUAGGCCCAUAAUACCCCUGGUAGUUCGUCAACCCAAGCUCCCUUCUUCUCUCCCAAUCUAGUUUUCAAGAGCUUCUUUAUUACUUUGUUAGCUGCCUCCACUUGUCCGUUUGCCUGGGGGUGCGAGGGGGUGCAAAACUUCAGGUCCACCCCCAGAUUCCGACAAAAUUCUCUGAAGUUGUUGUUGUCAAAUUGCCUCCCAUUGUCGGUAAUAAUGGCAUAAGGGAUUCCGUAUCUGCAGAUGAUAUUCUUCCAAAUAAAAUCUGUUGUCUUUCUUUCCGUGAUUUGGCUGAGGGUCCCCACUUCUAUCCACUUGGUGAAGUAGUCUAUUGCUACAAUCGCAUGGGUUGCCGCUCAUCGGCCUUUCGGUAACGGACCAAUCAGUUCUAUUCCCCAUUGAGCAAAUGGCCAUGGGGAUGUCAUAGUAGUCAGCUUUUCUGGGGUUGUGUGGGAACCUCUGAAAAGCUUUGGCAGAUAUUGCACCUCUUUGUCAUCCAUUUUGCAUCCUGGUGCAUGGUCGGCCAGAAGUAUCCUUGCCGGAGUGCCUUGAAGGCUAAAGCUCUGGCUCCUGAAUGAUUUCCACAUAUCCCUUCAUGAAUCUCCCUUAGUACAUAGUUUACCUCCUCGUCAUCCAAACAUCUCAAAAGGGGUAAGGUGAACCCUCGGCGGUAUAACACUCCAUCUAGUAGCGUGUACCUCGCUGCUCGGCAUUUUAACUUUCUUGCUUGCCUUUUGUCUUUCGGUAAAACUCCGUCGCGGACAUACGCGCAAAUCGGGUCCAUCCAGGAUUCUCCAGCGCUUACUCUCAUCACCUCUACUUCCUCCCCUAUACUCGGCGAGGUCCUCACCUCUAGUGGAACCGACUUAGGUAAUUUUGGAUCUGCAAUUGCAGCCAUCCUAGCCAACAUAUCCGCUCGGUAAUUCUCAUUCCGAGAUAUCUGCUUUACUUCCACCUCUUGGAAAAGCCCGACCAUCUGCUUCGCUUUUUUUAAAUAAAGACCCAUCUUCUCUCCCCUUGCUUGGAACUGAUCAUUGAGCUGAUUACAUACCAAUUGGGAAUCUGCUCGGAUUUCUACCCUUUCUGCUCUCAAAGCGUGUGCAAGCCCGAGCCCGGUGAUAAAGGCUUCAUACUCAGCUUGGUUGUUUGUGAGCUGAAAUUCGAACUUCACCGCAUAUGUUAUCUCGGUUCCCUCUGGGCUUCGUAUUACAACUCCUGCUCCGGAUCCUUGCUCACUACAUGAUCCGUCAACCAUUACCAGCCAUAUCCCCUUUGAAUCAUGUUGCUCUGCCGGUUGUUCCUCUUGGACCUCUUCCCCCGGUUCAACACGGUCCACCAUAAAAUCUACCAGGGCUUGGGCCUUGAUUGCUCCUCGGGGCCUGUAGGACAGGUCAAAUUCGCUCAGCUCCAUGGACCAUUUUACUAACCGACCAGACACAUCUGGUUUUUGAAACACUUGCCGAAGUGGCUGGUCAGUCAUCACAACGAUCUGGUGGGCUUGGAAGUAUGGUCGGAGUUUGCGUGCUGCCGUUAUCAAAGCCAGCGCCCACUUCUCCAUUAGCGGAUAUCUGGUUUCUGCAUCCACCAGGGCCUUGCUUGUGUAGUAUACCGGGUGUUGCUUCCCUUCUUCUUCCCUGACUAAGACCGAGCUGGUAGCCUGCUUAGAGAUUGCCAAGUACAAGAGCAGCUGAUCACCCUCUCUCGAAGUUGAUAGUAACGGGGCGCGGGCUAGGUAUUCCUUCAGCUGUCCAAAUGCCCCCUCGCAUUCCGGUGUCCAUUCUAGCUUCUUCCCUUUCUUUAUGACUUGGAAGAAAGGGUGGCACUUAUCAGUGGCUCGCGAAAUGAAUCGGUUCAAUGCUGUCAAUUUCCCCGUAAGGCUCUGCACCUCCUUAACUGUUCGUGGGGACCUCAUUUCUAUUACCGCCCGUAUUUUUUCUGGGUUGGCUUCAAUACCCCGAUGGCUCACCAGGUAUCCCAAAAAUUUGCCCGAGCCGACCCCAAAUGCACAUUUCUCCGGGUUCAGCUUCAUUUCGUACCUCCUCAGCAAUUCGAAAGUCUCCUCCAAGUGCUUCACAUGAUCUCUCGGGUCUCUUGACUUGGUGAUCAUAUCGUCCACAUAUACUUCCAUAGUGUGACCGAUCAAUGGUUUGAAGACCUUGUUCACUAACCUUUGAUAGGUAGCUCCUGCAUUUUUCAGGCCAAAGGGCAUCACCCUGUAACAAAACAGACCCAUGUUAGUUAUAAAGGUGGUGCUUUCCUCAUCCUGCUCGUUCAUGGGUAUCUGGUUGUAUCCGGAGAAGGCAUCUAUGAAACUGAGCAGACUAUGACCCGCGGUUGAGUCCACCAACUGAUCUAUUUUUGGUAGGGGAAAUCUAUCCUUCGGGCAUGCCUUAUUAAGGUCCGUGAAGUCUACACACAUUCUCCACUUCCCAUUGGCCUUCUUUACCAGUACCACAUUGGAAAUCCACUCCGGGUACUUGGCUUCCCUUAUAAAUCCUGCUUUUAGCAGCUUUUCCACUUCGGCAUUUAUGGCCUCGUACCUUUCAUGAUUGAAGCACCUCCUUUUCUGCCUCACCGGCCUUGCCCCUCUCUUGACCGCCAGCUUGUGACAAGCUAUCCCGCGGUCAAUACCUGGCAUAUCCUCAUGAGACCAGGCAAAUAUGUCUGCAUGGGACUGUAGACACUUCACCAGCUCGGCCUUUAUUGCUUCGCCCAAUUCUGAUCCGAUCUUAACAACUCUGCUAGGGUCACUCCUGCUUACAACAACUUCCUCCAGCUUCUCAACAGGUUCCUGACGACCAUUUUUUGAAUCCCCUCGGUUAUCUAGAGAGGUAACCUGCAGCGUUUCCUUGGCCGCUGUAGCAUAGCAGCUCCUGGCCAUUCUCUGGUCGCCCUUUACCACACCCACAACUCCAUUUAUUCUGUACUUCAUCGCCAGAUAAUGCGUGGACAUUACACAUUGGCUUAUCCUCAUGAACGGUGUCCCCAAUAUCAUCUGGUAAGGACUUCUUUCCUCUACCACUACAAAGUCCAACAUCAUCGUUCUUUCAAAUGGCUUUGUCCCCACAGUAAUCGGGAGUUCAAUGACCCCCAUGGGAGUUAACCGUCCCCCUCCAAAUCCCUUCAAGGAUGUAUUCGUUCGCUCCAGCUUGAAGUCUAAAAUCCCCAUAUCAUCUAGGGCCGACUUAAACAGAAUGUCUACUGAGCUGCCCGUAUCUACCAGUAUUCGUCGCAAUUCUGUACUGGCCACCAAUGCUUUAAUCACCAGUGCAUCCUCGUGAGGGUACAAAAUGCCCUCUUCGUCGUCCUCUGUCCACAUAAUAGGAACUUGCCGCACUUUUGCCCUAUUGGCUACUGGCAAAUUGAGAAGCACUUCCUUGCCAGUCAUGGCAUAUCUCCUAUAGUUUUUUCGUGCUCUGUUUGAAUCCCCGGCCAAUGUUGGCCCUCCUGCUAUCACCUGGAUAGUCGGCUGUUCUCGUUCCAAACCCCUUUCAACUCCUUCAUCCUGUGCAUAUUGCGACUCACUGACGGGCGACACUCUAUCUACGUACUCACCCAAGUACUGGUUCCUCACCAAAUCCUCCACCUGAAUCCUUAGGUCACGGCAUUGGCUGAUGGUAUGACCGUGAGUAUUGUGAAAUUUGCAGAACCUGCUCUUAUCACGCCGGUGAGCGGGUUUCGUUAUAGGGGCCGGAGUAUACAGCAGUCCUCGUCCCUCGAUCCUUUCAUAUAGUUCCUCCAUGGAGAUUUUUAAUGGAGUAUAUUGUCUAUAUGCCGCGCUCUGGUCAACCAACUGAACUGCUCGGCUAUGAUGGAUGUCACCUCGGUCUGGUAUAGCCGGUAGCUGCUCUGGUCGGCCAGACCUGUAAUUAGUUGCAUUUACCGCUCUGGGGGUGCUGUGAUAAGGGUGAGCAGUCAUCUGCCUGAAUUCUCGCUGCCGCUCUGGGAUCGGGGGGCGCGGAGGUUGAGCCCGGCUGUGUUGGAACUGUUGUGCUCUCUGAGCUAUGGGGUAAGGGCGAGACCGAACUGAUAUUCCGCCCAUCCCUGAAGAUUCUCCAGUUCGCUUUCCCGACCCGCUCCCUUUCGGGGCUCUCCGUUCCCUUCGCCUCAGCUCUUCUAGCUGUUCACUUUUAAUUCUUGCUGAUUUCUCCUCUUCUAUUUCUAUAUCUCAUCUCGCCUGCUCAUACCCCGACGAGUAAUUCUGUACGAGGGGGCUUCUUAAGUUAUACCACAAUCGGCCGAUUCUUACACCUUCUUUUAAUCCCCUCAAUGCCUGCGGGUGAUUAAAAGCUCCCAAAUCCAGCACGGCUCGGUGAUAUCGUUUUACGAAAUCUCGAAGGGAUUCAUUCUCCUCCUGCUUCAUCCCCAUCAAUUCCAUCAUGUCAUCCUCUGGGGCCACUGCCCCUCGGAACUGCUCGGCCAACUCCUGGCACAUCUGCUCAUACCCCUUUAUUCCUCCUCGGGGCUGCUUGCGGUACCAUUCUCGGGCUCGUCCCUCUAGUGUCAACGGGAACACCCUGCACCUCUGAGCUGGUGUCAGCCCCUGCACACCCGUCAUGUCGUUGAAACGCUCAAUGUGCACCAACGGGUCACUUCGCCCGGAGUAUUUGAGGUCGGGGAAGCGGAAAUCUCUUGGGAUUAUGGUACUCAUGAUCUUAGUUGAUAACGGGGAUUCUUCAUCUAGCAUUAUCCUCCAGCUCGGGGGCUUUCUCUUGCCCUGCAUCUCCUCUAUCACCUGCGCCAAUCUGCGCACCUCCCCCUCCAAUUCUAUAGCACGAUCAGGAUCAUGUGCAGCUAUCUGGUCUCGCUCCUGCUCGACGUUCUGCAACCGCUGUCUGAGCUCUCCUUCAUCAACACUGGCCCCUCGGCCAUUUAUUUCCAGUACCCGUCUGGGGCGAGGUUGGUCUCUCCCUUCAUCCACGUGUUCCCCUGGGACCCGACCAGUACUUCGGUGAGGAUGCACUCCGUUAGGUUGGUCUGCGGGCGGGGGGAUUUCCCCGACCCUACGCCCCCGGAGGCUGGGUUCUGCUCCAACUCCAUCUCUUCCCACGGGGGUUUCACAAUCCCUUCUCUGCUCGUCCCUCAGCUCAAACAAUACAGCCGCGAGAGUCUCCAUUUGUUUCUCCAUCUGCUCCAGUCUAUCUUGCAUCAUCCUCUCUCGGGCUUCAUUUGCAAUCUCCCGGAGAGUGAUUGUCUCCACCGUUUCAUUGCCCUCCCUUAAAGUAUCCUUUCUUGACGCAUCCAUAUCCAAUCGUUCGCUGCUUCUCCGGUACUUACUAAUUUGGUGGUAGCUUUUUAUUCAGCUCCCCACAGACGGCGCCAAAAUGUUGAUGCCAAAAUCGGCUCGUCCUUGGACCGACCAGAUUCGUUCACCAACGUUUAAGUUAUCCACUGCUGCACGAACCGCUAAGGCUGGAAUUACCCUCCUUUCUCUCACUAGACCUGCGUUCACCAAAAACAGAUCAGAGAUGCCGGUGGUUUUGCCGGCGUAAACCCUCCGAUGCCUAAGUUAGCACAAGGUGUUUACGGGAAAACAGUUAAAUUUUGAUUCAAGAGUGGUUCUAAUUUGCUCGAAGUUUGUAAUAAAAUUGCCUGGUUUCAAUUUGGCAGCGUUUUCCCUCUCCCAGUUUUGUUAUCUCCGUCUUCAUCGAUUUCUUCUUCUUUUAUAGCUGCUGUUUGUCCCACGUCUUCCGCUUACCCUCUAUCCCCCCUUUUCUCGGGUUGUGGCAGCCCCUCAUGGGGCUCUGACUGUUGCAUUGUGGCAAACGUGGGAUCUUAUGUGUCCUUCAACGGUUCCGGGAAAGGCGCAGCAGCCGCGAUUCUGUGGGAUCGUGUUCCCGCUUUUCUGGGGAGUGUGUAUCGGUUCGGUAUUAACAUCUGGUCGGCAUACGCUCCCGUGCUCUGCUCGUACCCACGGCUGAGGUGAUCCAUGCCGGGGUGGAGGUAGUAGCAUGGUCGACCUGGUGCUUUUAUUAACUUAACACUAACGACUACAAAUUUUUUUUAAAAAUCAAAUAGCUACUGAUCAACUGUGCAAUUGCUUUAUACAAUUAGGGUUCUUGCCUUAAUGAUGUCAUGGAGAUGGGUGAAUCAAUGGCCACCAGGCACCAAAUUCAUGACCAAUCAAUGACCAACAAGCACCAAAGUAAUGCCAAGCACACCAACAACCACCGAUUAAUGGCAAGCUUAGUGUUUAGAAUUUGGAGAAGCACUUGGUACUGUAUCGAGGUAUUAAAUCAUCAAAAACCAAUUUGGUUUGGACUCUUCAAUUUCAACUUGACUCCUACACCAAAGCCGCCCAACAACAACUCAACAACCGAAUCACUCGUCCUAAUAGCAUAACAAUCCAGUCGUCAGUUGCCUGCACAUGAGAGACCAUUUUCUAAUUUAUGAUCGAAAUUGUUGAAUUAAUUUUACAAUUCUCUUGUACCAAUUUUCAUCAUAUAUGUUGCCUCAAGAAGUGAAGAUUGAUGUCGGAAUCACUUUCAGUUUCAAUUACAUGAUGUUUGCGAUCUUCUUAUACCAAUUCGGUUUACAGUUGCCUUAAGUAUCCAUGUCCGUCAAAUCUUAUCUAUAUUAAAGUAACCGCCUAAACUGUUAACCAGUGGCUGUUUGAUUUUAAAAAAAUAUUUGCAGCCGUUAGAUUGAACAAUAAAGCAUCCGACGGCUCUGCCAAAUAGAGACAAAAAGUGUGGUAUAGUGCAACUGUUGUAACAUAGGUGGAUCCUCAUCAAUAUAUCUCGAGACUUUGUAAAGUUACUAUGAAAAUCCAUCACAGCUGUAGUUAUUAUGAUUUAUUUGGUCCAAAUAGUCUAAUGCCAGUGGCGUGACCUCGUGGGUCCUCAAAUUAUUCAAAUGGGCAUUUCAUCGAAUAGUUGAUAUACUCGGCAUCUGCAAUUGGAAGACACGUUCAAAAACUCUAAAUCAUGUUAAAGUCAACCAGAAAGACGAAACAUAGAAAGCAACAAUCCAACAACUUGUUUAAAAUAUUCGCUUCAACAAAUGGUUGCGUUGACGUGUAUUUUGGGGGAUCAUCAAAUAUAAACAAAGACCAUGUUAAAGACAAGCAAAAGCUGGCGAGAUUGGUACUGAUAUACUAAAAGAAAGACUAAUAAAGCUUUCCUAGCGGCAUCACUCGUGAUUAUUUGAUAAACUAGCGGUAAUAAAUGAUUAUAUUUUUAGUGGAUAACAGAGUACGUUACAAGAGCUGAUAACUGAUCGCUUUCUUUAUUUUUUGUCAAUAUUCAAGCAAAAAUACAAGUCAAUCAAAAUAACGUACCAUAUUAACAUUAAAUAAACAGAGAGGGAUAAGCUGGGCCAAGUCUUUAAAUCAGCUACGUCAUGGAAGAUUAAAAAAAUAGAUCAACUAGAAUAUAAUAUAAUGCUCUCACAUUUAAUUAAUUAGGAGGCUAAUGCACUAUAACUCAGCAUUAAUCAAAAUUAUUUCAUAAACUAGUAUAUACUGGAUAUCUCGAUCGGUGCAAAACCGAGUACUGAGAGAUAAAAAUUAACCUGGUGUCUUUGGCAGGUCUUUAAUAUAAUUGCUAAGCUUGCCCCAUGCCAUUGCCAACUUUGGCCAUCGGCUAGCUGCUACUUAUGAAGCAACUCAAGGAAACAUAAAGCAGCCGUCGUAAGAUCAAGCACAACAAGUGUGAUCACUGAUCAUGCAUCCAGGACAAUUUUAUAUUUAUUCAAUUUCAAUAAUCAUAAUAUACUAUUGAAUUAUAGACCAGGAUUUCUAUUUUUAAGAAUAUAAGACACAAGCACGAGCAUAUUCGCGCAUCUUUAAUAAAUUUAUUGGGACACACUAUUUCUGCUUAUUGAAGAAAAUCAAGAAAUGCUGAUUCCACCGUGCAUGGUUUAAUGUUAAUUAAAGUUUAAAGGGAUCAGAUUCAUAUUCAUUAAUAUGCUUUUAUACGAAUCGUUCUGUUUGAAUAUAAUAAUGGUUUCAGAAAUGCAUACCUGUUAAUUCUCCAUUUCUUGUCUCCGAGGAAAGUUUGACUUCAAGCAAUGUUAUAAGAGGUUUAAUUGUGGGUCAAUUUCUUGCGAGCAUUUCAACAAACAGGUGAUAUGCAUGCACAUCUCCUACGCUAUCACUGCCAUACUUGCCCUGUAGUUGCUUCCAGUUGUAACAGGAUGCUGACAUGUCAUCAUACUUGGACAGAUCUUUAGAGGCCAUUCUUCGAAGCGCUUGAUGAUGCAAACACGUGAGGACAAAUCAUGCACGUAUGAUAUGUGUUUAUUAAUUAAAUAUAACUAUUAAUUACAAGAUUAUUUUUUUAAAUAAAUACAUACAUGUCAUGUAUCUAUUAAUUAUAUAGAAAUAGAAUACAACAAAAUAUUUUUAGAAUCUGUGGGUGAACACAAUGUAAUUAUUAUAAUAAAAGAAAAACUUUAGAGCCUUUGGUGUACUCAUUAGUGAAAUUUGAGCAAAAGAAAAAUUCAUGUUUGUAAACCUCGAAACCACAAUAACCUUAAAUUUGAGAUCAUUAAUCAUUGAAUGUUUUGUUUGUAAUAUCAGUGGCAACACGUUUAAUGAUUUGAUUAAAUUUGUGUUUUGUUCUAUGAAUGAUUUCAUUCAUUUUUAUGAUUUUUUUGGGUUGACUCAACGGAACAACUAAUAAUUACCCAGUUCCAUAACCGUAAUUAUAACAGCGGCAAUUAGAUUUUUUUAUUGUUAUUAUUUUAAUGUGUAUUUUAUAGAAUAUAGAUAUUUUAGGCUAAUGAUAUUUAAGGGUGUUUUAAUUUAUUUUUUUUUUUAAGUUUCAAAUCACUUAACUUUUUUACCAAUCUAUUAAGGGUCCGCCUAAGUUACGUUUAAUGUAACUUACGGCUUGGCCCUAAAAUUUUGGCAACUACUCACUUCAAUGGACUGAAGUUGUUAUUGCUGGACAAAAGGAAAAAGAGCGGGUUCAAUAGAUGAGUUGUUCCCAUUGAAGCUAUCAAAGAAAGAAAAGGAAAAAGAGCGGCUGCAAAAGGGAGGAAAGUGGGAGGAGUUGAAAGGCUGUCACAGUAAAUUGAUCGCCUUGUUGAUACUGUGGAAAUGGAGGUCGAAUUCAAGAAGAAGAUCAUGGUAUUAAUGUUCCUAAAGGUAAAGGUCGAGAGAUGGGGAGAUUGAGAAAUAAUAGUGCUGCAAGUUUAAUGAGUGGACAAUAUUGUAGUUAUAUAUAUAUAUUUUUUUACACACAUGUAUAAAAUAUUUUAUUUUUAUGAGCUACUUCGAUUGCAAUAGUUUUAUGUACAUAAAAGUUUACAUAAAGAUUAAAUUUUUGCAUUUUCUUUUUGCACUUAUUUAUCAAUCAAUUUAAUAAUAUGUUAGCAUUUGUGCACAUUACAAACUGCAUAACAAUUUUUUUAGUUAAAAAAAAAUUAAAGUUAGUUUUAUUGCAAAUUAAAAUAGUUAAUAAAAAUUAUAUAAGUAUGUAAUAAAGAAAAUAGAAUAUACUCUUUAAAAAUCCAGUAAAUAAAAAAAUGAUGUUAAUAAUAAUAUUCUAAAUAAACUACAAAUAAACAAACAAGUACAUUUUUAUUAUUGCACAUGAAUAUUACACUUUGAAUUUUCACUUAUCAAAUUUGUAUAGUAGAUUAUUUGAAAAAUGAUUGUCAAAUAAUCAUCAUUUACCAAACACCCUACUAAAUUAUUCGUGAAAUUAAUUAUUGGGAAGUAAAAGAAAUCCCCAAUGUACCCUCAAUCAAUCACAAGAAGUUAUUUAAGUUAUGAUAUCUAAUGAAUUCUAUUAAUAGUGAGCGUGUUUAUCAAAAAUAUAAAAAUAAAUAUUUUAGUUAUUAUCCACCUGUUUUCCUGAAAUCAUUCCCAAUUUUUUUUCGUUUGCCGAAAAUUCCAAGGAAAAUAUAAAAAGAAGAAGAGUUGGGGGAAAAAAGAAAAGGAAGGAAAAACAGGUUCCUCUGUUUUCAUUCCCCUGUUUUGAAAUUAUCUAUCAUCGAUAUAAUUUAAUCCCCCUGUUACUAAAGGAGAAUGGUUCAGAUUAGUUGCCUGGACUCGCUUAUCUUGAUCUGGGUGGUCAAACCCGCCCAUCAGGAGGAUUCAGAUUUUGAAUUACCUGUCAUAAUUUGUUUUCCCACCUAAGCAUCUUGAGCAUGCUUAUUAAAAGAAUUGUUGUUCCACUCGUAUAGUCAAUGGAUUCCCACCUACGCGUUUGCUUAUUAAAAGAAUUAAUCUUGCUUUUCUAGGAAAAUAAUGCAAUACGCAUGACGGUACGUGUCCAUGUGAGAAAGUUGAUGAAAUCUUCACUUUCAGUGUUGGAACUCCACAAUCGAAACAAUCAAUACGACAAUUUUUCUCCAUCGUUUCAAUCUUAAUUAAAUAGAAAACAAGUACGGUCAAAUAAAUUCUGGUCUACCAAUUUAAUUAGUAUAAACAUAUGGAUCCCAUCAUUAAUAUUAUAAAUAUGUGGGUAUUUUUAAUUAUUACAUUAUAUGACUAUUUACAGAUUGCUUUCAUUAUGUCAUAUUAGGUAAGGAGAUUCCCCUUAAAAAAACAAAAAGAGGGAGAGAUUCCCUCUUCGGCGAAUGAAAAUAAAAGAAAUUAAAAAUAAAAUAAGACUUGGUAAAUUUCGCUCUUUUUUUCUCUUUUUGCUGUUGGCAUUUUAUUCAUAAAAGAAAUGAUCACAAGUCAUUCAAUAAAUAUUAAGGGCUGCAUGAUUAAGUCUUCUUCUUUUCCAAAUCAUUGUCAUUACUCUCAUAAGCUCUCUAUAAUCACAUUCCUCUGCAGGUAACAGAAAUUUUUUGUUCAUUGAAAUUGCUCUUAAAUGUUCAAGGCGAUCACAGAGGCUCAUCAACUUUCUGACCCCACAUAAUUAAACAGGUGCACUUGUUCUAAAACCUUCAAUUAAUUUCUUUUAAUAGCAUAAUCUCUAAUGCUUGAUCUUUAUAGCAUUUCUUUCUUAAUUUCCAUCCACUUUCCAAGAUAAAAAUUAUGUGGCUUGUUUUGCUUGAGUUUUGUAGUUAUUGUUCAUUUAUGGUAAAUUUAUGGUUGUUUUUUUUUUAAGACGCUUGAAGUAGGUUUUGUUAAUAGCAAAAACUCUGAUCCUUAACAAAGAAGAAAAAAUGUUGCGAUACUGUUUACUGUCUUUUCCUUUUUUGUCUUUCCCUCUAGUUCAUUUUAAUUUAUUUGAAUUCCUUUCUUUGACAUUUUAUUAGAUUUGUUAAGCAGCAGGCAAUGGCAGAGGUGGGUCUUGCAGCUCUCUCCAGCAUCGUAUCAGAAGGUGCAAAUUCACUGUUCAAAGCGAUUAUACGGCAGAUAUCUUAUGUGUUCAGGUACCAGAGCUACAUAGAUGGGCUAAAAGAUCAAGUGAAGCAGCUGGGAUAUAAAAGAGAAAUGGUGCAGCAACCAGUUAAUCAUGCUAGGCUACAAGGGGAUGAGCUUUAUGAGGGUGUCACAGACUGGCUACAUAACGUUGAUGAAUUCAUCAGUGAAGGGGUUGCAAAAUCCAUCAUUGAUGAUGAAGAUAGAGCUAAGAAGUCCUGCUUCAAAGGGUUAUGCCCAAACUUGAUUUCUCGUUACAAGCUUAGUAAACAAGCAGCAAAGGCGGCAGAAGCUGCCGCUAGUCUCGUGGGAAAAGGCAACUUCUCCAAUGUUUCCUACCGUCCUGCUCCAAAGCUGGCAGAACAUAUGCAAGUGAAAGAUUUUGAGGCGUUUGAUUCAAGAAUGAAAGUAUUUCAAGAUGUUGUGGAGGCAGUGAAGGAUGACAAGGUCAACAUAAUUGGGGUCUAUGGGAUGGGCGGCGUGGGCAAAACCACGCUGGUCAAACAAGUUGCAAACCAAGUGAUGGAAGAUAAGUUGUUCGAUAAGUUCGUUAUGGCUGAGAUAACACAGACCCCAGAUUAUCAUAAAAUUCAAGACAAACUUGCUUUUGAUUUAGGCAUGGAAUUUGACUUGAAUGAGAAUGAAUUUCAAAGAGCUUCUCGACUGUGUCAAAGGUUGAAGCAAGAGAAGCGGCUCCUCAUUAUACUGGAUAAUAUUUGGACAAAACUUGAGUUCGAUACAGUUGGAAUUCCUUAUGGGGAUGUUGAUGAGAAAGAUAGAGAGGACGAUCGGAGAAGUCGCACAAUAAUAUUGACGUCUAGAAGUCGAGAUUUAUUGCGCAAUGAUAUGAAAUCUCAAAAGGAUUUCUCAAUUGAAGUUUUAUCCAAGGAAGAAGCAUUGCAAUUGUUUGGAAAGAUAGUGUGUAAUUCUGCAAAAGCAUCUGCUUUUCAACCUUUAGCAGAUGCGAUCGUUGAAAAAUGCGGAGGAUUGCCUGUUGCACUGAUUACACUUGCAAAAGCUUUGAAAAAUGAGAGCUUUGACACUUGGAAGGAUGUGCUGCGUCAGCUAAGAAGUUCCUGUGCAAAAGAAAUUGAUGGAAUGGAAAGAAAUGUGUACACCUCCAUAAAAUUGAGUUACGACUUGUUGGGAAAUAAGGAAGCAAAAUCUCUGUUCCUUCUUUGUGGUCUAUAUACUGAAGGUGAUGUCAUACACGUUUCUGACUUAUUGAGAUAUGGUAUGGGUAUGGGCUAUUUUAAAAACGUUUACACGCUGGAAGAAGCAAGGAGUAGAGUGCAUACGUUGAUCGGCAAACUCAAAUCUUCAUGCUUAUUGUUGGACGGUGAUGCUGAAGAUGAAGUUAAAAUGCAUGACAUCAUUCAUGCUGUUGCUAUAUCAAUUGCAGAAGAGGAGCUCAUGUUUAAUAUUCCAAAUGUUGCCUACGUGGAGAAAAAGAUGGAAGAGACAAUACGGGAUGGUCCAAUAGCUAUUUCUUUACCUUAUAGAGAUAUUCAAGAGCUUCCCAAAAGGUUGGAAUGCCCCCGUCUCGAGUUACUUUUGUUGUUUUCAAAGCGUUAUAGCUCUUUGCAAAUUUCAGACCUCUUUUUUCAAGGGACAGAAGAACUCAAAGUUUUAGAUUUUACUGGAAUAUUUUUCUCUUCAUUACCUUCAUCACUUGGUUGCCUCAUUAACGUUCAAACAUUAUGUUUAGAUGGUUGCCGACUGAACGAUAUAACUGUAAUUGGACAGCUAAGGAAAUUAGAGAUUCUCAGCUUCCGAGAUUCUGAUGUCAAGGAGUUGCCACUUGUAAUUGGACAAUUGACGAGAUUACAGUUGCUAGAUUUGAGCAAUUGUAGCAGCCUUGUGGUGAUAGCUCCAAAUGUCAUAUCAAAAUUAUCUCGAUUAGAAGAACUAUAUAUUGGUAACAGCUUUUCACAGUGGGAGAAGGUUGAAGUAGGAAGUAACGCCAGUCUUGCUGAAUUGAAUGGGCUGUCAAAGCUAACUACUUUGGAGAUACACGUUCGGCAUGCCGAAAUUCUACCGCGGGAU